rnacentral:lncRNA from 1 species
UGUUCCUACUUCAUCAACUCAUGGUCGUAGUUCAUCAACUUGUGGUCAUAGAUAUGACAUAUUUUUAAGUUUUAGAGGUGUUGACACUCGUCAUAGUUUCACUGAUCACCUUCAUAAGGCUCUCAUUGAUGCCAAUAUCACUACCUUCUUGGAUGAUGAAGAGAUUGAAACAGGGGAAGAUCUGAAACCAGAACUAGAGACUGCAAUUAAGGCAUCUCGGGCUUCUGUUAUUGUAUUGUCUAAGAAUUACGCUUCUUCAACAUGGUGUCUGGAUGAAUUGGUGUUGAUCCUUGAGCAGCGUAUGACAUCCAACCAUAUUGUCAUCCCCAUCUUUUAUCAUGUGGAACCCACCCAUGUCAGGAAGCAACAAAGUAGCUUUGGAGAUUCAAUGGCUAAGCAUAAACAGACAAUGGACGCAGAGACAAAUGCAAAUAAAAGAAGUCAAUGGGCUCAAAAGAUGGAGCGAUGGAAUAAAGCACUUACACAAGUUGCUGAUUUAAAAGGGAAUGACGUAAAAGGAAGGUAACCACUUUCUUACCCAUAUUUCCAUAAUCCUUCAAUUUUCUUUCAUUAACACAUGAAUGUCGGUACCACCUUAAAAUCAUAGUGUCUUUUCUGAUAAUUAACUUCUCUUACCUUUAAGAAGUAAAAUAUUACCUAUAACUGGCAUGUUUUUUCAAACACACCACAGUGAUAGUUAUGAUGGUCCUGUGUAAAUGCAGUGAAGUUAGGUUGCCCAUUAGUGAAAUCUGGUAUCACAUUGGCAUCUUUUAUCUUAUUAUACAUAAAUAUUUAUGACCUUACACAUUGGAUACUUGUAUGGUUAGAACAUAGAAGUGUAAGCACACUAUGCUUUUAAUGUGAAGGACUUGAUUAAAAUUAAUAGCUAUGAUAUAAUUAAAUCUCCAAAUCUGGUUUGUUAGUUUUGUGGUUCAUAUAAAAUCAGAUUUCAGGUUAGAGACAGAGUUCAUUGAAGAAAUUGUGAAGGACAUCCACCAUAGAUUAUAUGUACCCUUAAGGAGCGUUAAACCACAACUUAUUGGGAUGAAAGAUGAUAUUAACUUCAUCACUUCAUGGUUGAAAGACGGAUCCUCACAUAUGGCAGACAUACUCACUAUUUCAGGUAUGGGUGGGAUCGGGAAGACAUCUUUAGCCAAGCAUGUGUAUGGGCUAUAUUCUCAUGAAUUCCACAAAAGCAGCUGCAUUGAAGAUAUUAGUAGGAUAUGUGAUGGAAAGUUUAAGUUGCUUGAUUUACAAGAACAACUGUACAGUGACAUUUCAAAAACAAGUUCAAUUAAAGUUCAUGAUGCUUUGGUAUAUACCUCAAAGAUAGAGAAUGUUGUAGCUCGUCAAAGCGUGUUUCUUGUUCUUGAUGAUAUUAGUACGAUUGAUCAGUUGGAUGCGUUACUUGGAAGCAAAGGUUUUCACCCUGGAAGCAAAAUCAUUAUAACCACAAAGGACAAGCAUUUGACAAAGAGUUGUGCACUAUUCAAAACAAACAUUGAACCCAUGCAUAAAGAGCUCGUGCUUCAAGGCUUACAUGAGAUCAAAGCAUGGCAACUUUUGUGUCUCCAUGCAUUCAAAUGCAAUUAUCCCAAGAAAGGUUACAAAGAGGUGUCAUAUAAGCUUGUGAAGUAUUGUCAAGGACAUCCAUUGGCUCUUGAAGUAUUGGGAAAAUCGCUAUAUGAUCGAGAUGUAACUUAUUGGGAAGGGUGCAUAGAAGGGCUAAAGAAAGAAACAGAUUCUCAUGUAAAUAAUGUCUUGAGAAUGAGCUUUAAUUCCUUGCCAUCCAAAAAUGAUAAGGACUUGUUUAAGUAUAUUGCUUGUUUUUUUGUCGGAAAAGAUAGAGAUCUUACUGAAACAAUAUUAAAGGCAUGUAAUAUAAACAUAAGAUCUGGAAUCCCAAAUCUCCUCGACCGAUUCCUUCUUUCUAUUGGACGGAAAAACGAAUUGAAGAUGCAUCAGUUGGUUCAAGAGAUGGGAAGAUUCGAAGUACAUCAAGAAUCACUUGAUAAGCCAUGGAAGCGAAGUCUAUUAUGGUGUCAUGAAGAAUCAUUCAGAGUGUUGAAACGAAAAAAGGUAAGAGGCCAUGUAUGCUUUUAGUAGUGUGUAUAUCAAACAUAUUUUGUAUUGCCUGAUUUAUUUAUUUGCAUCAUGUUUCUUAUUAGGGUAAGGGAAAACUUCUAGGCCUUACCCUUGACAUGCACAUGCUUGAGAAAGAAAAGUUGGAUGUAUCAUAUGAGCUGAAAACAGAUGCAUUAAGUAACAUGGAUAAUUUGAUGCUACUACAACUCAAUUAUGUGCACAUGAACGGGUCUUAUGCAAACUUUCCAGAGGAAUUAAGAGGCUUGUGUAUGCAUGGGUUUCGUUUAAAGUCUAUACCUUUAGACUUGCCGAUGAGGAAUUUGGUUGCUCUUGACAUGUCGUAUAGCAAUAUUGAAGCAUUUGUCGGCUGUUAUAAUAAUUCACAACGGCUUGAGAAGAGGCAAACGGUAAAUUAUCUUCAUUUAUUAUUCAUGCAUCUUGAGUUGAUGAAAUUUGUUACUCUUAUAACUUAUUUCCAUUUCUACAGUUGGAUGAGUCGUGUUUAAAAGAGAAAAGGUUGUUUGGAUCAUUGAAGAUUCUUAAUUUAAGUUUCUGUAAACAACUCCGUAGUCUUGGUGAUUUUGACCAACUUCCUGCACUUGAGAGGUUAAUCGUUAGACAUUGCAUUGGUUUGCUCGAGGUUUGUGAGUCAAUUGAGAAAUGUGUUGAACUUCUCUUCAUUGAUCUGAGCUAUUGCAAGAAGCUUGAAAAACUUCCAAGAAACAUAGGCAUGUUGAAGAAUGUUAAAACAAUGUUGCUAGAUGGUUGUAGUCCCGGUGGAUCUCGAAUCCAGAAUAGGGGUAUGGAUGCACUGGAAUUGGGCAAGGCUGACAACAUUCACAUAAAUACAAGAACCUCUUCCUCUGCCUUUGUGGGUGCUAUACCAAGUGAUUUGAAGUUGUUUACAAUUUAUUUACCAAGGUCUUUAGUAAGUUUGUCACUCGCAUAUAGUAAUUUGUCCACUAAAUCCUUUCCCACGGACUUGAGUUGCCUAUCCAUGUUAAAGGAAUUAUAUUUAGAUGGCAAUCCUAUAAAUUCCAUGCCCAGUUGUGUGAGAACCCUUCCUAGGCUUGAGAUGCUUAGUAUGCAACAGUGUAAAAAAUUGAAGUCAAUUGAGCAUCCUCCACGUACACUAAGCAAGUUGCUCUUUCCUGUUGAUGAGCGUGUUUUACGCAAAGUCGUUUUUGAUCCAAACAUGUCCCCACUAGAUUUGUUAAGAAGUUCGAUGGUUUAUUCAGGUUUGUCAUAUGAAAUUGAAGGCAUUGUGAAAAUCCAACCAAUGGUAGGUGUGGAGGAGAAGGUAUUACGUAGCUUGGGCUGGAGUAAUUUAGACUUCCUUAACGAAAGGCACUUGGGAGCUAAUUCUUGGGAAUCUGAAACCCAGGUUUAUUUUAGUUUAUUGUUUGUCUCUAUGUGAAUAUGUAUAAUAUGCUUCUUAUGUUGAUUAAUUAAGGUGGUUGUAUUUGGCAGCAGAUGUUUUAUGAAUUUGGAAUAUUCAGCACAAUGUAUGAGGCGGAGGAGAUGCCGAGUUGGUUUAGGCAUAGAAGUGUGGGGCCAUCAAUAUCUUUUACCAUCCCACCAUCAUCUCCAAACAACCUCCUUACAGGACUCAACUUCUGCUCUCUGCACACAUUAAAACCUCCUGUUGAGUGGUGGAAUUGUUUCCCUUUUACGCCAAUGAUGACAAUUAGUAAUAUAACAAAGAACCGCAUGUGGAUAUACGAACGUUGCUUUGACAGGGGUAUUUUAUCUAGAGACUGUUGCGUGUUGUUAAGUCAUUGGAUGUUUCGGAUGAAUGAGAUGGAAGGUGGUGACCACAUUACUAUUACUGUUACACUGCCGAAUUAUCGAGUUGUAAAGGAGUGUGGGGUGAGUCUUGUGUAUGAGGAUGAUGGAGUGAAGAAGGAUGAAGAAGAAGAUGUGUUGGGUUAUUACAAGUCAUGGAAUCACAUAAUUGGUGGAGAUCUCUCUCCUUUUCAGACAACUACAGGACAAUUCAUCCUAAGAAACCGGCAGUUUUUUACACGUGGCAUUGUAUUGUCUCCCUAUCAUCGAAAAUUCGUUCCAGACGGCCCCGACAUUCAAGGUAGAUGUGAUUUUUGUUAAAUAUAUUUUUAUUCUCAUGUCUUAUGUAUAAUGACCUACCUCACCCAUCACCCACUUUCUUUAAAUAGAUGGACAAUGACCCAUUUAUUUAUUAAAUCUUUUAAACAAAUGGAUAAUAUGACCCAGAUCCACUCAUUUAUUAUUGAUUUAAUUGACCUAUAAGAUAAGAUUUUGAUUUUAUAAAAUAUAUAAAAUAAAAUUUGUACUUUUAAUUUAUAAAAUGAAUAGACCCAAGCAUUGAUUCGUCUAGUCUACAGCAGGAGGUCCAGGAAAGCCCAUCAAAAUAGUUGGGAUCAAGUUCAGUCCUUACACUCUUAAGAGAGUUUUAUUUUUCUGUUUUGUCUUAAUAGAAUUCCCUUAUGGGUGAAGCACUAUCUUUAUGUUUGGUUUGGUAUGGAGUGCUGGCAUCCAUUUUACCCUACGUUGAGGAGUAUUUCAGCUUUUCAUUUUCUAGAAGAUUGUUAGCUAAGAAAAUUGUAGUAGCAAAAACUAUUGGAGAGGCCCUUCCUCUUGAAAGAAUGGGAAACCCCUAUUAUAUAUAUCAUUCAUUAUCGGUUACUUGUUUCUGGUUGUGAAUUUCCUGCUUAUUCUCUUUACUCUGUGGGAGCUUAUCAAUACAGUCAAUUGAUUAAGUCUUUCGAUAUGUUGGAUCACAUAAAUAUAUCUGGACCCAAAACGACUACUUUGUCCAAGUAGGUUGUUUGUGAACAAUGAUUAACAUAUCACUUUUUAUCUGUUUUCAGCAAAAAAGGAAGAUUGUUGGUUCAGAGCUUUAUCCCCAAGGAAGCCUGGCAUAAUUGGUGGGGCACAUGAGGUAUACUUUUUGACACCCAAACCCUUUCUCUCAUCACUUGAACAAAGGCUUACACAACCAAAUAUUAGGAAUCAAAGUACUCCAUUGGUUUGGGGGUGUAACAAAAUAAGAGGAAUUAUGACCUUGCAAUGAACACUUGAAAAUGCCAACAUUAAAAUUUUGAAUCAUUUUCUGUUCAUACCAUGUCUAGACACAAUGGGUCAAAAUCUUGGAUAAAAUUCUCACCACUCCUGUACUUGAUAUGCAGUUGAGUCCAAUUCAUAGAGUCAUCAUGUUCAGUAGAUGUUGUUCUUGAGCAAAUUCUAUGUUAAUAACAAACUAUUGCAAUUAAUUUGGAAAACAAUAUGAAAUAGUUUUAAGCAUAUUCCUUGAUUUUAAGGAAUCUUAUUGAUAGAUUCAUUCUUAGGAUAGAACCAAGCAACAUGUUGAGAAUGAAUAAAAUGCUUCAAGAGUUUGGAAAGAGAUGUAUCACUAGGAAUCAUUAAUUCUAUUGUAUCAAGAAAAUGCAACAUAAUAUUUACACUUCCAACUAACUAUCUGUUUUCGUAGCAUUUUGUAUUAUAUCUUGUGUACUUACAUAACUUUUAAAAAUUUCUUAUUUUUUCCUUUAUUUGUAGGGUGAGGGGGAAUCUUCAAGGUGUCAUUCUUCACAUGAAAAGGAUUGAGAAAAAGAGGCUACAUGGCAUGAAUAGAAGAUGAAUGCAUUCCGCAAAUGGGUAACAUAAUGCAAUUGCAACUCAAUUGUGUAACUCGGAGUUAUAUCCUACUUUUCCAGAAGUGUAUACUAACUAGCCUGUAUUGCAAAAUUAUACACAUUUCAAAUUGUAUGGUAUUUUCCAACGACUCUUUUAAGCAUAGUUGUUAAAAUUAAACACUUCUCAAAUUGUGUGCUGUUUCCUGAUCAUAAUUUGAACUGAAUUUUUGGUCUCAAUCAUUGGCUUAUCAACAGUGUCCAACGUGUAUGGGCUCAAAAUCUCAAAUCCUUUAUAGGAUUCUAUAAAUCAGCUACAGUCUACAUCAGUCUGACACGAUUCUUGAUAGAAGCUCAUGAACAAGCCCAUUGUAUAUACUCCACUCCUUCAAGAUUCCCCUGUUGUACUUGUCGGAUUGAAGGCAGCUCACUCAUACUACUAAUAACACCUUUCAAAUUCCCCUGAAGCAUCCCAUUGAGGUUAAACCUCCUGAUGAAACAUGAAACUUCCUCUCUCCCAUUGAAUUAAUUAGCCAUGGAAACUAACACAGAUUGUAUCCCUAGAAUAAACCUAACGCCCCUAACCUCUGUCAUGUACAGCAGCCAUCAGCUACCAUCAUUUGACCUAAAACAGCUAGAUUUGGUUGGGAUAAAUUUCAAAAACGAAUAAUAGUUUUUUUUAAUAUUUAUAUAUUUAGAAUGGCGAAGAAAUAAAAUUAAAACUGGAAGGGUACAGAGACGAUUGAAAUAGAAAACAGUAAUAGCCAACCUAAUUUGAAUACAACACAAAAACCAAAACUAAUGAAGCAAAACUAAUUAAAUGAUGUGAGUAGAUGCAAUGCAACAGUUGAACAAGGAGGAGAUGUACAAAACGCAGCAGCAAUUAGCCAAAGCUAGUUAUUGGAGACAAUAAACCACUUAAAGCAACUGGAGAAUGAAAAACAAUGAAAGCGACCCUAUUUGAAAACUCUGAAUUGCAUUCAGUGCACCACCACUUUAAAGUAAUAAUAUCCACACCACUAGUAAUCCCCAAGAAAUAUUCAGAGCACCUGAAAAAGCAACCUAAAACUACAAUAGAACUUGCACCAAAAACUUGAAGCAGCUCCAAUAAACUACAUGUGUCAAACAACUCCAAAUGACAGCUCCAAUAACUUUUUCACUCUUGCAAUACUCUCAAGUCUCAACAUAGAAAACAUUUGAACCUCUCAUUCCUAAAACCUGUACAUAACAUUAACAAGUUACAAUAUGUUCAUAUAAUUUUUUUUUUGGAAUUUUUUUUUAUGAAAUAGACAUCAAAGAACAUCCACACCCUUCUUUUCUAUUACUAUAAAUAUAAGAAAACAAGGUCUUACAUCGGUGUUUUAACAUCUAAUUAGCUAUGUGGAUAUGGGCUACAAAGAUUUGAUAUUACAUAAUGUUUUUGUCAACAUACCAAUCAAAACCAUGUUUGUUUUGAUGACUUCCAAAACCACAACCCUUGAAGAUGGAUUUAAGAAAAAUUAUAGCCAUGGAUGCACAUUCUAAAAUAUAGAUUUGGAUUUUUUUGCAAGUACGGGUUGUGGGGUUUAACUUCGAUUUCAUAUUAAUUUGUUUUUUCCUCAACUUCUUAUAAGAUUUAAUGAACCAAAAUGAAUAUGAAGAUGAUUUUCAUACCAUAAUCGAUUUAUGGGUUUCAAUUUUCUUUUGAGUUUUCAUAUAUUUUAUGAUUUAGUAAAUGUUGAAUGGACAUUUAAAACGAGCUUAAGUUUUCAAAUUUUACAUCUAGUUUCUAUUUUGUGAUUUUGCAUAAGAGAAUAAGACUGUUUUGGAUUAUCCUUUUGUAUUUUCUAGCAAUCUUAUUCUCUAAAAAAUAGCAAAAUAUAAAGGAGUAUGGUAGUGGGUGCUGGUGGCGGUAGUAGGCUGACGCGGACCCAAGAAGUUUUAGUAGGGGUAGCACCAAAAAAAAUUCCUGAUUAUAUAUAUAUAUAUAUAUANAGGAGUAAGAUCAAAUGAGAACAUCAAAAAGGUUGAGAACGCGAGAACAAAGUAUAUUCAUUUGUAAUUCCAUUUAUUCAUUUGUGGAGAAAUGAUAAAUUUUUACGCCUUUAAUUUCAAUUGAAGAGAAAAACUAUAUUCAUGUUGAUUGUGCGUAAAAAAUUAUCAUUUCUCCACAAAUGAAUACAUGAAAUCACAACUGAAUAUACCUGUUCUCGCGUUCUCAACCUUAUAUAUAUAUAUAUAUAUAUAUAUAUUACAUUUUAAAGUUAACAUCUUUGUGUAAUCAUUUUUUAAACAAUUCAUCAUUUUUCAAUCUUAGCAAACAUACGCGUCGCUCGUUAAAUCAUCACCCACUUUCAUCACUACUACGAAGUACCAACAUUCAAUUUCCAAAAAAAAAUAUUAAAGUUUUAAAAUUCAUAGUUGAAUAUUUAAACCUAAUUUCACCAAUAACAUAAAUAAAUAACAAAUGAAGAAUUAAUUGAUUAAUUUUAGGAUUUCAAUUUGAAUAAGUAAAUUAACUAAAGUGUUAAAGAUAAAGGUAAUACUUUAUUUUGCUAGUGGGAAAAAAGCCUAGCUUUUGAGAGGAAUGAGCAAGUAGGAGAAAAUGCCAAGCUUUUGUUAUUUAUGGUGUGGACUUGUAGUGAAGGAGGGCAGGAGAACUCAUUUUUUCCCUUAUGCUAUUGAAGAAUGUCAUAUGCCUUUUUAGUAAUUGAUUCACACGUAAUGGCCUUAAUUGGCUAAUUGAUUCACAUAAUGGGCUAUUUACUUGGAUUUUUUAUUUAGCCAAUAGUGAGAUGUUUAGUUGGAUUUGCAUUAGGUGCACAUUAGAUCAAAUAUAUAAAAUCCAUUUUUUUCAAACUUUUGAGGAGAUAUUGAGGAGUAGUACUUGCUAUCCCUACCAAGUAACUACAUCCACCAUUGGUGGUAGGUGGGAUGGGGUUGGGGGUUUACAUAUAGGGGUUCACAUAUAACAGAGGAAAAAAUGAGACAUGACAAAAGAAGGUUAAAAAAAAUCUCUUUAUAGUUGAACUUAAAUGAAAAGUUUAACAGAUUUGGUAAAAGUGACAACCAAUGAAAGAAAUUAAGACUAUAAGGAUGGAUGGUUGUGUGUCGUUUUUUAAACUUGUCCUCAAAGUGAAAUUUUCACUAAACGUCAAGGGCCAAUUUGUAAUUUAGUCUUCCAUUCCAGAAAAAAUAAAUAAAUAAAUAAGGAAAUUCAAAAAAAGCAAAACCUUGUUUCUUUUUUCUUUUUUGGAAAGAACCCUGAAAGCCUCCGAUCCCAACGCGUAAGAAAACACCAACAUUUACGUUGUUUAUUUAUAGUCUCUCGCCCUCUCCCUUCCUUUCAUAGUGGACUCCUGCUGACUUACUGCUCAACUUUCUUGGUCGUUGUCUCUGUUCAUUUUUCCUCUGCUUAUCGCCGCUUCAGGUUUUUAUAAACUCUGCUCAUCCUUACAGGUUAGUUUUGCUUGUGUAAGAAUUUCACGUAUCAAUCACAGAUCAUUUGAAUUUUCAUAAACAGGUGAUUAAAAUUUUGUUUAUUUCAGCUAUAUUUUUUUUUUAGUUUAUAUAUCAGUUACAGUCCAGUACGUUCUUGCUUGAAGUCCAGAAUGAUGAACAAAACUUUGAGCACGCAGACUGGGAAAUUCUCGGAUUCUUGAAAAUUGCCUCCUUAAUCACUUUAUAUUUUGAAUUGAUAAACACCAUUUUUACAUUUGAUUCUUUUUUGAAUGAUGGUAUCUGUUCCUUAAUCGUAAGCUAAACACUCAAAACCAACAAGCUUCAAUAUUCGAUUGUCAUAAUUCUAGAUUGCCUGUUGAUGUUCCUCUUGUUCAAAACUUGCGGAUCUGUCAAGACAAAAUUAGGAUUUUGCUCUUUCUGUUUGAAAUUAAGCUGGAUUAGGUUUAUGUAAUUAUGUUUGGAGGUACAAAACUGAUAAGAAAUUUCUUUGUAGAUUUAAGACAUAUGAUAUGACAUUGGUCAGCUAAGCUGAUGUCAUUUGUGACUUAAAUCAUUCAUACCUUCCGGUUUCAAGUGUUUAAACUUCUUCCAUAAGUUGUUCUACUUCUGAUACAGAAAACAGUCUUCAAGUUCUAUGUUGUGAAACUUCACAUUUCUUGGUUAUUUGGUGGUUAAUUGGGUCAGCUGAUAAAGCUUCAGUUUUCACUUCCAAGGAUGGUAUCAGAGCUUCGGAAUCAGCCAUUCCAUCUUUUGGCGAUUCCAUUUGUAAGGGUAUGAUUUCUUGAUUCUUAUCAACAUGGUUGUCUAAACUAGUUGUUUGAGGAGAAUCCAGAUAAGAUUUGAUAAUCCCACAUCCGGAAUGGGAUUAGCCGCUGACCUGGCAAUCAUUUCUUCAUUCUUAUCUUGAAAUGGAGAUGGAAUAGCUUGGAGGAAAUAUAAAUCCCAAAGUCUUGAGUUCAGAAUCCCAGGAAAUACCUGUUUGUUGUAGGGUUCUGUUGUAGUCUCUGACCUUUUUGCCCUCAAACAACUAACCCUUCAUGUAGUUCGCCUCCUAGGAUAGCUGAAACAGCCUCCAUAACAGUCCUCUAUGGAAAAAAGAAAUGAAGUUCCAAAAAUUGUAUAAAUGAAAACCUUAUAGUUGAUGCUAAACUUCACUGGAAAAGAAACAUUACGAGGGAAUUUUCAACCAUAAUGUAAAUGAGUUACAUGAGAGAGGAAACUUACCAUGAUUAUCUCCAUUGCCACUCUUCUCAUGAAACAAAGGAGUCUCUGUUAGACACUUUGUCUUGACUGUAUAUCUGUUUUCUAUUUUUGGUAAAGUGGCUUUGUUUUACCUACUAAAAGAACCAACAAAAUGAUAUAGUUACACAGAGGGCUGCAUGAUCUAACUUUUAGGCUGCAUUUGUCAAGCUAGAUAUACUUUCAAGGGCAUUUCAGUUAUGAGGAUCAGGAGGGCAUUUACGUCUUUUUCAUAAACGAGAGACCAAGAGAUAAAAAAUUUCAAUUUAAAUAACUCACAUGGCAAUAUAAUAUUAUUUUACAUCAAUACUUUGCUGUUAGCAGAUGAAAUUUAAGUUGCAUAUUAAUCAAUAAUUUGCUAUUAUGCAGAGGCAUUUUCUAUGGGUCCUGAGACAUUAAAGAACAAGUGAAGAAAGCCGGUGAAACCAACUUUCAUAACUAAUAACAUCUGUGGAGGAGUUUGAGAGCUUACUGAGAAGCGUGAAGGAUCAUCAACCUGUAAUUUGUUAUGGUGGUUCUAUCUGAUCUUCCAGAAGGUUCUUCAUCAACUGAUGAUUAUAGUUCAUCAGCCCAUGUUCCUACUUCAUCAACUCAUGGUCAUAACUCAUCAGCUCAUAAUCAUAGAUAUGAUGUAUUUUUAAGUUUUAGAGGUGUUGACACUCGUCAUAGUUUCACUGAUCACCUUCAUAAGGCCCUCAUUUAUGCCAAUAUCAAUACCUUCUUGGAUGAUGAAGAGAUUGAAACCGGGGAAGAUCUGAAACCGGAAUUGGAGAGUGCGAUUAAGGCAUCUCGGGCUUCUAUUAUCAUCCUGUCCAAGAAUUAUGCUUCUUCAACAUGGUGUCUGGAUGAAUUGGUGUUGAUCCUUGAGCAGCGUAUGACAUCCAACCAUAUUGUUAUCCCCAUAUUUUAUCAUGUGGAGCCCACACAUGUUAGGAAGCAACAAAGUAGCUUUGGAGAUGCAAUGGCUAAGCAUAAAAAGACAAUGGAGGAAGAGACAAAUGCAAAUAAAAGAAGUCAAUGGGCUCAAAAGAUGGACCAAUGGAAUAAAGCGCUUAUUGAAGUUGCUAAUUUAAAAGGAAAGGAUGUAAAUGGAAGGUAACCACUUUCUUACCCAUAUUUCCAUAAUCCUUCAAUUUUGUUUGAUUAAAACAUGUAUGAUAGUAUCAUGUUCUCCCAAUGCAUGUCAAUAAGUUUCUUUAACAUCAUUUAGUAUACAUAUAUUUGAUGUAUUAGGAUAUAAAUUUCACACAUUUAUUAUGCAUUUUGUGCUUCAUUAUAAGUUACUUCAUUUAGACAAACUAUUUCAAUUAUUUUGUAUGCUUUCUAUUAAAAAACAAGAUUUAAAGGGUUUUCUAUGCAUCUACUAUUAAUUAUACCAUACCACCUUCAAAUCAUAGUGUCUUGUAUGAUAAAUAACUUCUCUUACCUUCAAUUAGUAAUUACCUAUAACCGACACUUUUUUUUCAAACACGCCACAAUGAUAGUUAUGAUGGUCUUGUGUAAAUGUAGUUAAGUUAGGUUGUCCAUUAGUGAAAUCUGGUAUUACAUUGGCAUCUUUUAUCUUAUUAUACAUAAAUAUUUAUGACCUUGCACAUUGAAACUUGUAUGGUUAGAACAUAGAAGUGUAAACACAAUAUCAUUUUAAUGUGAAGGACUUGAUUAAAAUUAAUAGCUAUGAUAUAAUUUUGAUUUUGGUUCUUUGGACAAAUUAAAUCUCCAAAUCCAGUUUGUUAGUUCUGUGGCUCAUAUAAAAUCUGAUUUCAGGCUAGAGACGGAAUUUAUUGAAGAAAUUGUGAAGGACAUCCACCGUAGGUUACAUGUACCCUCAAGGAGUGUUCGACAACAACUUAUUGGGAUGGACUAUGAGAUUAAGUUCAUAACUUCAUGGUUGAAAGAUGGAUCCUCACAUACGGCAGACAUACUCACUAUUUAUGGUAUAGGAGGGAUUGGGAAGACAACUUUAGCCAAACAUGUCUAUGGGCUAUAUGCUCACAAAUUCCACAAAAGCAGCUGUAUUGAAGAUGUUAGUAGGGUAUGUGAUGGAAAGUUUAAUGGGUUGCUUGAUUUACAAGAAAAACUAAGCAGUGACAUUUCAAAAACAAGUUCCGUUAAAGUUCAUGAUGCUUCGGUAUACACCUCAAAGAUAGAGAAUGCAGUAGCACGUAAAAGGGUGUUUCUUGUUCUUGAUGAUAUUAGUACGCUUGAUCAGUUGGAUACGCUACUUGGAAGCAAAGGUUUUCAUCCCGGAAGCAAAAUAAUUAUAACCACAAAGGAAAGGCGUUUGAUAGAGAGGUGUGCACUAUUCAAAACAGACAUUAAACCAAAGCAUACAGAGCUCUUGCUUCAAGGCUUACAUGAGACCGAAUCAUGGAAACUUUUGUGUCUCCAUGCAUUCAAAUGCAAAUAUCCCAAGACAGGUUAUGAAGGGGUGUUUUAUAAGCUUGUGAAGUAUUGUCAAGGACAUCCAUUGGCUCUUGUAGUAUUGGGAAAAUCUCUAUAUGAUCGAGAUGUAACUUAUUGGGAAGGCUGCAUAGAAGGGCUAAAGAAAGAAACAGAUUCUCAUGUGAAUAAUGUCUUGAGAAUGAGCUUUAACUCUUUGCAAUCCAAAAAUGAUAAGGACUUGUUUAAGUAUAUUGCUUGUUUUUUUGUUGGAAUAGAUAGAGAUGUUGCUGAAACAAUAUUACAUGCAUGCAAUAUAAACAUAAGAUCUGGAAUCCCGAAUCUCCUCGACCGAUUCCUUCUUUCUAUUGGAUGGAAAAACGAAUUGAAGAUGCAUCAGUUGGUACAAGAGAUGGGAAGAUUUGAAGUACGUCAGGAAUCACUUGACAAGCCAUGGAAGCGAAGUCUAUUAUGGUGUCAUGAGGAGUCAUUCAGAGUAUUAAAACAAAAAAAGGUAAGAGGUCAUAUGUGGUUUUAAAAGUGUGCAUGUUAAAAACAUUGUGUAUGGUCUUAACUUUUUAUUUACAUUAUGUUUCUUCUUAGGGUAAGGGAAAUCUUGUUGGCCUUGCCCUUGACAUGCGCAUGCUUGAGAAAGAGAUGUUGGGUGCAUCAUAUAAGCUAAAAACAGAUGCAUUAAGUAAGAUGGAUAAUUUGAUGCUACUACAACUCAAUUAUGUUCACAUGAAUGGGUCUUAUGAGAACUUUCCACCGGAACUAAGAGGUUUGUGUAUGCAUGGAUUCCAUUUAAAGUCUAUACCUUCAGAAUUACCUAUGGAGAAUCUUGUUGCUCUUGACAUGUCAUAUAGCAAUAUUGAAUCAUUUAUCGGUUGUUAUAGUAAUCCACAACGACUUGAGAAGAGGAAAAAGGUAACUUAUCUUCAUUUAUUAUUUUUCAUGCUUAGUUGAAUUUCACCACCAUUCUAACUUCUUUUAGUUUUUAUAGUUGGAUGGAUUAUGCUUAAAAAACAAAAGGUUGCUUGGAUCAUUGAAGGUUCUUAAUUUAAGUUUCUGUAAACAACUUUGUAGUCUUGGUGACUUUGACCAAUUCCCAGCUUUGGAGAGGUUAAUAGUCAGAAAUUGCACUGGUUUGCUUGAGGUUAGUGAAUCAAUUGAGCAGUGUGUUGAACUUGCCCUCAUCGAUCUAAGCUACUGCAAGCAGCUUAAAAACCUUCCAAGAAUCAUAGGCAUGCUAAAGAAGGUUAAAACAAUGUUGCUAAAUGGUUGUAAUCUCGGUGAAUCUCAAACUGAUAAUACAAAUUUAAAUAUGGAUUCACUGGACAUGUGCAAUGCUAACAAAAACAUUAGCAUACGCACAAGAACCUCUUCCUCCGCCUUUGUGGGUGCAAUACCAAGCCGUUUGAAGUUGUUUUCAGUUUCUUUACCGAGGUCUUUAGUAAGGUUGUCCCUUGUAAAUAAUAAUUUGUCCACUGAAUCCUUUCCUAUGGAUUUCAGUAGUCUGUCCAUGUUAAAGGAAUUAUAUUUAGAUAGCAAUCCUAUCCAUUCCAUGCCCAAUUGUGUGAGAACCCUUCCUAAGCUUGAAAAACUUGGUAUACGAGACUGUAAUAAAUUGAAGUCAGUCGAACAUCCUCCACACACACUAAAAACAAUGAUGCUCUAUUCUUAUCCCGAUUCUUUAGAAAAAGUUGUAUUUGAUCCCAAAAUGUCUCCCCUCCAGUUAUUUCAUAGUUUAAAACAUUACACACCUGGGUCGUAUGAAAUUGAAGGCAUGGUGAAAAUCCAACCAAUGGUGGGUGUUGAGGAAAAGGUAUUACGUAGCUUGGGCUGGAUUAAUUUACUCCAUAACAAAAGGAAUGGGGGAAAUAAUCCUAGGGAAUCUCGAAUGCAGGUUUUGUCUGGUUAACUGUCUUUCUUUAUUUGACUACAUAAAAUACUAUAAUAUAAUCAUUUAAUUAAGAUGUUUGUAUUUGGCAGAUGUUAUAUGAAUUUGGAAUAUUCAGCACAAUAUAUGAGACAGAGGAGAUGCCGAGUUGGUUUAUGCAUAGAAGCCCAGGGCCAUCGAUAUCAUUUACGAUCCCAUCAUCAUCUCCAAACAACCUCCUUACAGGACUCAACUUCUGCUUUCUGCAGACAAGGAGAGUUUUGUAUGAGAGGCCUUCAAUUCUACUUCAUCAUUUCCCUGGUUCACCGAUGAUCACAGUUAGUAAUAUAACAAAGAACAGUAUGUGGAUAUACGAACAUUACAGGAUGCCAUUUGGUGUAGGGCGAGUGUGUAGGGUGGUGUUAAGUCAUUGGAUGUUUGGGAUGAAUGAGAUGGAGGUUGGUGACCAUGUUACUAUUACUGUUACGCUGCCAUAUGAUGAACAUGUAAAGGAGUGUGGGGUGAGUCUUGUGUAUGAGGAUGAUGGAGAGAAGAAGGAUGAAGAAGAAGAUGUGUUGGGUUAUUACAAGUCAUGGAAUCAUAUAAUUGGUGGAGAUCUCUCUCCUUUUCAAACAACAACAGGACAAUACAUCCUAAACGACAGGUGGUUUUUUACACAUGCCAUUGUAUUGUCUCCCUAUCAUCGUAAAUUCGUUCCAGACGGCCCCGACAUUCAAGGUAGAUGUGAUUUUUGUUAAAUAUAUUUUUAUUGUCAUGUCUUAUGUAUAAUGACCUACCUCACCCAUCACCCACUUUCUUUAAUUACAUGGAUAAUGACCCAUUUAUUUUAAUACAUAUGUCAUAACUUAAAUCUUUUAAACAACUGGAUCAUAUAUACUAUUGAUUUUAUUGACCCAUAAGAUAAGAUGUUGUUUUAUAAAAAUAUUAAAGAUAAAAGUUGUACUUUAAAUUUAUAAAUUGCAUUGAUUCGUGUAGUCUACAACAGGAGGUCCAAGAAGCCCAUCAAAUUAGUUGGGAUCAAGUCCAGUCCUUAUCACCCUUGUUUAGCUGCAGUUAAGAGUUUUAUUUUUCUUUUGUAUGUUAAUAGCAUUCUGUUAUGAGUGAAGCACCAUCUUUAGGACAGGGGGCAGCCUUUUUGGUUUGGUAUGGUGUGCUGGCAUCCAUUUUACCCUACCCUGAGGACUAUUUAAACUUUUCAUUUUCUAGAAAAUUGUAGUAGAAAAAGUUAUUGGAGAGACCCUUCCUCUUGAAAGAAUGGGAAAAAACCCUAAUAAAUCAUUUAUUAUCAGUUAAUUGUUUCUGGUUGUGAAUUUCCUGCUUAUUCUCUUUACUCUGUGUGGGGCUUAUCAGCACACUCAAUUGAUCAAGACUUUUGAUAAGUUGGAUCACAUAAAUAUACCUGGGCCCAAUACGACUACUUUGUCCGAAUGGAUUAUUUGUGAAUAAUGCUUAACACAUAACUUUUUAUCUGUUUUCAGAAUACAAGGAAGAUUAUUGGUUCAGAGCUUUAUCCUGAAGGAAGCCUGAUAUAAGUGGUCGCACACAUGAGGUAUACUUUUUGACACCCAAACCUUUUCUCUCUUCGCGUGAACAAAAGGCAUACACAACCGAAUAUUAGGAAUCAAAGUUCUCAAUUGGUUUAGGGUGUAACAAAAUAAGAGAAGUAAUUAUAACCUUUCAUUGAAUGCAUUAAAGUGGAAAUAUUAAAAUUUGGAAUCAUUGAAUACUACAAAUAUCUGUUCAUACCAUGUCUAAACACUAUGGGUCAAAAUCUAGGAUUGAAUUCUCACCACUCCCUGCCACGGUUUUGGGGAAUGGCAUCACCUGUCAUGACUCGUUUUUGUAUCUAGAGUCUCCUAGAAGGAGAGCGUGAAUUUGUAUAUAGAUCUAUACUGGAUUGACUAUCCUACACCUUGCUAUUCACUACAGUUGGACUUGCAAGUCUACGGGUGCCAAAUGUCAUUUCUUCCGAUGUCUUUCAUCGUCGUGUUAUUAGUUGAUAGUAUGGUGCAAUCAUAUCACAUUAUACCUUAAAUAACAAUUGGUUUAAGGUAGAUAGUACAACAGUAGUUACUAUAAUACAACACUACAGUACUAUUAUUAUUUCCCCAUUACAUUCAAAUUGUGAUCUUCUUACACAAGCGGUAAUGUAGAAAUUAUAUUUUUGGUUAAUGAUAGUCACACUUGGGAAAAUACACACUUUUACAAGAAACAAACAUACAGAACAUUUGAUGCCUUGGUAGAAGGCUAAGUUUAAUAGAAAAUAUAGGAUUUUCUAGGAGAUACAAACAUUUACUACAAACAAUUACAAACUUAUACAUCAAACACUUACAAACAUUUUCAUACAAACAAUGACACUAAAAUGCUUAUGAACUCACCAGCUUUAAAACUGAUAAACUCUUUUAAAAUUUGGAAUCAUUGAAUUCUCACCACUCCCUGUCACAGUGUAAUAUGCAACUAAGACCAAUUUAUAGAUUAAUAAUCUUCAGUAGAUGUUGUUCUUGGGUAGAUUCUAUGUUAAUAACAAACUAUUACACUUUGGAAAACAAUAUGAAAUUGAUCAAGCAUAUUGCUUGAUUUUAGGGAAUCUUAAUGAUAGAUUCAUUCUUAGGAUAGAAGCAAGCAACAUGUUGAGAAUGCUUAAAUUGCUUCAAGAGUUUGGAAGAGAUGUGUCUCUAGGAAUCAUUAAUAUUGUUGAAUCAAGAGAAUGUAACAGAAACUUUUACAAUUUUCUUACUUUUCCUUCUUAUGUAGGGUGAGGGGGAAUCUUCAAGGUCUCAUCCUUCAUUCACAUGAAAAGGGUUGAGAAAGCUAGAGAGGCUACAUGGCUGGCAUGAAUAGAAAAUAGAUGUAUUCGGCAACUGGGGGAAUCUUCAAGGUCAAUCAUAUGCAAGUCAAUGAGCUAUAUAUGUUACUUUUCCAGAAGAAUUAAGAUAAUAUAUACCAGCCUCUACUGCAAAAUUAAACACAUUUUGAAUUGUAUGUUAUUUCCCCAUGAUUCUUUUAAGCAUAGUUAUCAAAAUUAAACACUUCUUGAAUUGUGUGCUAUUUCCUUAUCAUAAUUGGAAUUGAAAAUUUUGUCUCAACUCUCAAUCAUUGCAUUAUCAACAAUGUCCAUCGUGUCUACGGACUCAAAAUCUCAAAUCCUUGAUAGGAUUCUAUACUUUGUUUGGGUACUAUGUAAAAUUAGCAUGCUACACCUUAAUAUACUAAGACUCUGAUUCAGAGUUGUGUGAGGUAACUAAGUAGGGAGUCCUUUGGCUCCGCAGUCGGGCUGGGACCCGGUAUUUCAGAUAAUUGGUGAACGAACUGAGACCAGGAGGUCUCGUUAGAUUUUGGAGAGCAGCCAUGUGGUAGCAUACUGCUUCAAGCAGUUCAGUGUUUCAGGCAGUUACGUGUUUUAGGCAGUUCAGUAUUUCAUGCGGUUCCGUGUUUCAGGCAGUUCAGUGUUCAGGCAGUAAGUGUUUUAGGCAAUUCAGUGUUUCAUAAAUUUCAAUGCUUCGGACAGUCAGUGUCUCAAGCGGUAAUGGUAACUGAGGAUCUCAUGUAUGGUAAGUGUAAUAGAUUGCUGAGUAAUGCUAAGUUACCCACCGCGGGGUUCAUCUAUAAUGAUUCAGUAUGAGUGGUCUAUUAAGGAUUCAGAUCAUCUAGAGACAGCAAAUUUCAGACAGAGUACAUGUAAUCUUGUUGCGAGGUAUUUGUUCACCUUAGGAAUUUAGGGCUUUACGAAGAUUGUCACGACUACCCUAGGAAGCCUAGGGUGUGCUCAGGAUAGUGACCAUGUUACUUGAGUGGUUCGGCGCAUAAGAGAUGGUAAGGAAUGAUUUCGAGGACAAAAUCUAAUUUAAGUGGGGGAGAGUUGUAACACCCUGUUUAUUUAUUAGAUAAAAAAUUAAUUAAUGAAUGAAUACUAGCCCUAAAAUAAAUAAUUAUAUUUCAAAAGUUGAUCUUGAGGAGCUAAUUGUCACCCUUUAAGAGAUUGGGGGUUAAAAGUGUAAGUUCCAGAUUAGUUUUUUAAGUAUUUAAGAAGGCAGGGGCUAAAUGGUAAGUAUUAUACUCGAUUUGUAAAGAAUUUUAAGGCUGAGGGUUAAAAAGGUAUAUUGGGGAUUUAUGUUGAAAGAAAAGGAGGGUGGAGGGGCUUAUCUUGCCAUUAUGGAAAACUUAUGUAUGGAGGCGGGUAUUUAAGGGUUCAAACCCUAAACCUAGUGCAAGAAACUACAUCUGCCAUCUCCUUUUUCAUUCUGGUAGCCGCUGCUACCAUUGGAGCCUCCUCAGCCACCAUUUGCGUCACCAAGCCCGACAACCCAGUCCCGCCUACUGUAUAUGAGGAUGAUGGAGAGAAGAAGGAAGAAGAAGAAGAUGCAUUGGGUUAUUACAAGUCAUGGAAUCACAUAAUUGGUGGAGAUCUCUCUCCUUUUCAGACAACUACAGGACAAUACAUCCUAAACAAUAUGCAGUUUUUUACACAUGCCAUUGAUUUGUCUCCCUACCAUCGUAAAUUCGUUCCAGACGGCCCCGACAUUCAAGGUAGAUGUGAUUUUUGUUAAAUAUAUUUUUAUUCUCGUGUUUUAUGUAUAAUGACCUACCUUACCCAUCACCCACUUUCUUUAAAUACAUGGAUAAUGACCCAUUUAUUUUAAUAGACGGAUCAUAACUUCAAUCUUUUAAACAAAUGGAUCAUAUAUAUUAUUGAUUUUAUUGACCCAUAAGAUCAGAUUUUGUUGUUAUAAAAAAAUAUAAAAGCUAAAAGUUGUAAUUUUAAUUUAUAAAAUGAAUAGACCCAAACAUUGAUUCAGAAACGGGGACAGUUCUGGUCCCAGGGGUACUUUGGGAAAACUUUCCUAAUUUAAAGUUUUGAGUUAGUUUAGGAUUCCAAUUAGGGUAUGGUUGUGUGACCUUUUUAAUUAAGUUUUUUUUCAGUCUUUUCAGUAAUAAAAUUUGGAGAACAAGUAAUUUUCCCAGAUUUCUUCCUCCCCUGUUUCGCUCAUGCUCUAUUUCUUUUCUGCACACAGCUGAAGUUUCCAUUCUGUCAUAAUCAAGUGAAUUGAUAUGGUGUGGUGGCAUCCAUUUUACCCCACCCUGAGGAGUAUUUAAACUUUUCAUUUUCUAGAAGGUUGUCAGCUAAGAAAAUUCUAGUAGCAAAAACUAUUUGAGAGGCCCUUCCUCUUGAAAGAAUGGGAAAACCCUAAUAAAUCAUUAAUUAUCAGUUACUUGUUUCCAGUUGUGAAUUUCCUGCUUAUUCUCUUUACUCUGUGUGGGGCUUAUUAGCACACUCAAUUGAUCACAUAAACAUUCAUGGACCUAAUAUGACUACUUUGUCCAAAUGGAUUAUUUGUGAAUAAUGACUAACACAUAACUUGUUAUCUGUUUUCAGUAGAAAAGGAAAGGUUUUGGUUGAGAGCUUUAUCCCUAAGGAAGCCUGACAUAAGUGGUCGUGCACAUAAGGUAUACUUUUUGACACCCAAACGUUUUCUCUCUUCGCGUGAACAAAAGGAAUACACAACCGAAUAUUAGGAAUCAAAGUUCUCAAUUUGUUUAGGGUGUAACAAAAUAGGAGGAGUUAUAACCUUUCACUGAAUGCAUUAAAGUGGAAAUAUUAAAAUUUGGAAUCAUAGAAUACUACAAAUAUCUGUUCAUACCAUGUCUAAACACUAUGGGUCAAAAUCUAGGAUUGAAUUCUCACCAUUCCCUGUACUUGUCUCAGUGUAAUAUGCAAGUAGGACCAAUUCAUAGAUUAAUCAUAUUCAGUAGACGUUCUUGGGUAAAUUCUAUGUUAAUAACAAACUAUUGCAUUUUGGAAAACAAGAUGAAAUUGUUUAAGCAUAUUGCUUGAUUUUAAGGAAUCUUAUUGAUAGAUUCAUUCUUAGGAUAGGAAUCAUUAUUCUGUUGAAUCAAGAAAAUGUAACAUAAACUUUAACAAUUUUCUUACUUUCCUUUUUAUGUAGGGUGAGGGGGAAUCUUCAAGGUCUCAUCCUUCAGAUGAAAAGGAUUGAGAAAGAGAGGCUACAUGGCUGGCAUGAAUAGAAAAUAGAUGGGUAGCCUGAUGCUAUUGCAAAUUCAUUAUAUCCUACUUUUCUAGAAGAAUUAAGAUAAUAUAUUCCAGCCUCUACUGCAAAAUUAAACACAUUUGUAUUUGUAUGUUAUUUCCCCAUGAUUCUUUUAAGCAUAGUUAUCAAAAUUAAACACUUCUCGAUUUGUGUGCUAUUUCCUGAUCAUUAUUUGAACUGAAAUCUUAGUCUCAGUUAUUGCCUUAUCAACAAUGUCCAUAUGAAAGAUGAGAAUUCUCGUAUCAUUUGUUUUCUUGUUUUGUUUAUUUAUUUAUUUAUUUAUUUUUUAUUUUAGAAGCAACACUUUUAGGUCGCCCCUUUUUCUACACAUCACGAUACAGAAUAGUAUCACAUAUUAAUUUAUAUAUCUUAUCUUUACUGUCCUCUAUAUCUUUUAUUGUUACUAUUUGUGGUUGCCAAAAGAAUAUCAUAUUCUCAUUUAUUUUCAUUUUCCAGCUCAUCUUGAUAUCAUAUCAAGUUAUCAGUAGUGUUUUUGCAACAAAGUUAGACUCCACAAUCUGGUCAUUUGAGGCUGAAAAUAAAUCAUCAACAUCAACUUAUCUGUGGUCUUUAUGCACCACUCUCAUUUCGUGUCUUUUUCCCAUGUCCUCAUUGUCCUUAACAACUUGAACAUCACAUAACCCCGUGCCUGAUUCCACCUCAUUUGAGCUUAAAAAAAACCUGUUCAUCUCCUUACCAACAUCUUGAUUACCAUUGAAGUCAUUUUAUUGGCCAUAAUUAUCAUUCACACUUGCAUUAGUAACCUUGCUUUCAGUAUCCAGAUUGGAGAUGAUUGGAGAUACAAGGAGUAGAGGCUUUAAUUAACUCUUUUGCUUUCAGUAUCUGAAUACAACAAAAUGGCACCAAAAACAAAAACUAAGAAGCAACACCCAAAUGAUGAGAGAAGAUGCAACAUGGCCAAAAAGCAAUUAGCCAAAACUAUAUCAUUGGAGACAAUAAACCACUUCAACUUGGCCAAAAAGCAACAUGAAGCAAUUGGAAGCAAUGAAAGAAUACACUAUUUGAAAACUCUAAAUUGGAGCGAGUCACCAAUUUAAACUAAUAAUAUCCACAUCAAGAGUAUAUGCAUAGCUCCUCCACAUGUUGACUUUUUUUUUUUUCUUAACUACAAAUCUAGCCACUUUUUUUCAUAAUUUAAUAAAAGCUUUGUUUUCUAUUUAUCAUUAUUUGUAUACACAUAGCAAGAAAAGCUUAUAACUCCAGUGGGUGCAAUCUUUGGGAUAAAGUAUUUACAUAUAAAAACAUUUUACACAUUAAUUUGAACCAAUCAUUAUAAAGUUAGAAAAAUCAUAUUACUAUAUAAAUUAAUAAAUGUUUGAAAAUCAUUAAUUAAUGAUUAUAACUACAAAGUAUUAAUAUUAUUUUAAUUUACUAACUGCGGUUACUACGAGUUAGUUUAUAAAGAAGCAAACCACUUAAAGAUACCUUUUUCACUAUUCAAAUACUAGAAAUCACUUGAUCCUCUUCUUAACAAACCAUUAUUAUAACCACAAAAAAGAAGAAAUAUGAACAACAAGGUCUAAGAUGAGAGAGAGUCAAUACUCAUAAUUUUCUCAGGCCAACCCCACUUCUUAAAAUUUGGACAAUUUUAUGCAUACAACUAGUCUAGGAAUGACAUUUAUUAUUAACAAAUUGAAAUGAAAUGAAAAUGAAAUUUAAAGAGUAAAAUGGAAUAAGAUGUGUGGUUUUCAAUUGGUACGAAGAGAGUAUUUGUAAUGAUAUAAAGGAGAAAAAAAAGGAAAAAAAAUGAAAAUGUAACUGUUAGAACGCGUUCCACAAACCUUUAACCUUCUUCUAACGGUAACCAAUGCGCUCAAAUCCAUCUCCUCGGCGGUACUGCCCGCCACCCGCCGGAGCCCACUUCCGAUACCCUCCACUCUAAUAAAUAUCAUUAUUAUCUUCCAAUUUUAAGUAUCAUGAUAAGUACUGUGUUGACUUUGGGUUGACAUAAGGAAUAACAAUUAUUUUCUCUAAAAUUCUCCUUGCGAAUCAUUAUUUUGUUGAAAUGUACCUUUUCUUUAUGAGCAUAAUUACUUUAUUGAAUUUAGCUUGCCUUGAUAAAUAUCUUUUAUUUUCGUGAAGUUUACAUUGUCUUAAUAAAUAUCAUUACCACUUUAAUAAUUAUCAUUUCUAAUUCCACAAUAAAUAUCAUUAAAUAGUUUUCUUUAAUAAUUAUUAGACAAAAUUACAAAAAUGGUCCCUGUGGUUUGCCAAAAGUCACGAAGUCAGUAUCUGUUAAUUUUUUUUUGAUGUAAAUGGUCCUUGUGGUUUGCAAAACUUGCAAAGAUGACCCUUUUUACUAACACCAUUAGUAUUCAGCCGUUAGGGACUAAAUCUGUAAGGGUAUUUUCGUCUUUUCAAGUAUAAAGGGACUGAAUUCGUGACAUUUAAUAAACCAUAGGGACCAUUUUUGUAAUUUGUCUUAAAAUAAUAUAAAUGAUAGAAAAUGAAGUGUACUAUAUUCGAACUUUGGACCUCCUACCUUUCUCCCUUAAUCAACCAAAGCUUUAACCAACUAGGCUAGAGCCGCACUUGAUUUAUAUUUUCGAAAACUAACUAAUAUUAUCUACAAAUCGUAAAUAAAUUAAUAAUAAAAUAUUAAAAAAAACAUAUUUUUACAAAAAAAAAAAAUUAAUAAAACAAAAUAUAUUUUUAGCGUAUUGUAAAAAAAAAAUACAAACAAUUAUUUGUUUUUUUACGUAUUUAAAAAAAUAAGUUUCCGUAUACUUUUAAAUACAUAAAAAAAUAACGUAAUAACAUAUUCUACAAAAACAUAAUCCUAAAAAACAUAAAAAAAAGUUUUUUGUAUAUAUUUAUUUUAUGUGAAGAUUCAGUUCCUAACGGCUGAAUACUAACGGUGAUAGUAAAAAGGGCCAUCUUUGUAAGUUUUGCAAACCACAAGGACCAUUUACAUCAAAAAAAUUAACAGGGAUUGAUUUUGUGACUUUUGGCAAACCAUAGGGACCAUUUUUGUAAUUAUGUCUAAUUAUUAUUAUUUAUAGAAAAGAAUUGAAAAAAAAAGCGACACCAUCAAGGCAUCGAAGGAAAACCCAACACCCUCGUUGACUCUCCUCUCUGGUCGUCUCCCUUCCUCGUUGACUUGCUGUUUCCCUGCCGACUUAACGCGGUUCGCUCUGUACUUUUCACUCUUCAUCGAUCUUUCUCAGCCGCGUCACUGUUGGUUCAUCCUUUAUCGCUGCUGUUUCAGUUCUCCUUGUCAUCCUGUAUGCUUCUUAAUUACAAGUUGUUAGACAAUUUCAUCUUAUGAAUCAUAAAUCACAUCAUAAUCAUUUCGUUAUUUCACUAACAGGUGAUUGAAUAUUGUCUAUUUCCAUUAUUUUUGUUUUAUUUUAUAUAUCAAUUAGGAUACUCCACACUCCUUCUAGCCCAAAGUCCAGUACGAUGAACAAAAUUUCCUGCACGUUGAGAAUUCUUUGAUCCUUUAAAAUUUCUUCCUCAAUUCCUCUAUAUUUUCUAAUUCGCAACACGAUUUUUAGAUUUGAUUCUUUUUGAAUGAUGUUUAUGAACAAGCUUCAAUAUUUGAUUGUCAUAAUGAGUGUUUUGCUUGUGUAUAGACUAAAGAGUGCAUUUAGCUUUGAAAUUUCUUCUAUUAUUGAGUUUGAAAUUGAACCCUUAGAAAGGGCAAAGUGGAAGGCGUGUUUUGCUGGCUUCAGAAACAUAUCAUUUGGAACAAGCCCAUAAAUAUUGUUAGUUGAAACACUUAAAAUAAGAUGUAUGCUGAUACUAGAUCCAGUUAUAUAUGAAUUUUAAAUUUGUGUAGAUUGUUGUGCUAAUUUUGGAGAUCCAUAAUUAAACAACCUUGUCAAGCAAGUGCUGUUUUUUUUUGUUUAAAACUUUACAUCUUUCAAUUGUUUGUUGAUAUCUAGUAAAAGCUUGAAAUUUCCUAUAUGCUUUGCAAUUUCCUUCAUGGGAGGUAAUAGUGGAUCUUGUAGUUAUUUCAAGAAUGGUAUUUUGGUGUAGAUUUGUUUGACGAUUACUCUACUGAAAUUCAUAUGGAUUUUACUUAGAUAAAUAAGGAUCUUUAUGUGGGCUAAUCAAAUUAAAACAGAGGCGUUGUAGUUUCAAUGCAUAAAUUGGUUUGUUAUUUUCUUGAAUCUAAACUUAGCCAGAAAAACAGGUUAAUUAAUUGGUAACAGCUUUUAAAAUAAAUUUCAUGGCAAUGUAAUGGUUAUUCUAUAUCCAUACUUUGUUUUUGUGGGAAAGAAUAUUCUAUAUAAAUACUUAGUUAGCUAUAUAUGUUUUGGCUAAAGGAUCCAAAAACCUGUCACAUAAUUAUUAUUGCCAUGAGAUUGCUGUUGUAGUGAUUUAACAGCGUCUCUUUGUAUUUCAAACACAGCAGCAACCGAUUAAUGCUUAUUCUUUUGUGUUCCUUUUCCAGUGUUUAUUUGAUGAGAUUGAAGUUGCAUAUUUUAAAUAUUAAUAAUUUGGAUUUUAUGUACAGGCUUUAUUUGAACCACAAGUUAAGAGCUUCUAGCUUAUUGAGAUACACAAAGGCUUAUCAACCCAUAACUCAUAAUGGUUAUUCUCUCUGAACUCCUCUCAGAAGGAUCUUCAUCUUCUUCAUCAAAUAGUGGUCAUAGUCCAACUGAUGGUCAAAGUUCAUCAACUGAUGGUUACAUGUACGAUGUAUUUUUAAGUUUUAGAGGUGUUGACACUCGUCAUAGUUUCACUGAUCACCUUCAUAAAGCCCUCAUUGAUGCCAAUAUCACUACGUUCUUGGAUGAUGAAGAGAUUGAAACAGGGGAAGAUCUGAAACCAGAACUAGAGACUGCAAUUAAGGCAUCUCGGGGUUCUAUCAUUGUGAUGUCUAAGAAUUACGCUUCUUCAACAUGGUGUCUGGAUGAAUUGGUGUUGAUCCUUGAGCAGCAUAUGACAUCUGAUCAUAUUAUUAUCCCCAUAUUUUAUCAUGUUGAGCCCACUCAUAUCGGGAAGCAACAAAGUAGCUUUGGAGAUGCAAUGGCUAAGCAUAAACAGACAAUGGAGGCAGAGACAAAUGCAAAUAAAAGAAGUGAAUGGGCUCAAAAGAUGGACCGAUGGAAUAAAGCCCUUAUAGAAGUAGCUAAUUUAAAAGGAAAAGACGUCAAUGGAAGGUAACUGUUUUCUUACCUAUAUUUCCAAAAUUCUUCAAUUUUGUUUGAUUAACACAUGAAUGUUAGUAUCAUCUUCUCCCAAUGCAUUUCAAUAAGUUUCUUUAACAUCACUAAAAAGACAUAUNUAUAUAUAUAUAUAUAUAUAAUGUAUUAGGAUAUAAAUUCCACACAUUUUUUUAUGCAUUUUGUGUUUCAUUAUAAGUUACUUCAUUUAGACAAACUGUUCCAAUUAUUUUGUAUGCUUUCUAUUAAGAAAACAAGAUUUGAAGGGUUUGCUAUGCAUCUACUAUUACUUAUACCAUACCACCUUAUAAUCAUAGUGUCUUUUAUGAUAAAUAACUUAUCUUACCUUUAAGCAGUAAAACAUUACUUAUAACUGGCACUUUUUUCAAAACACGCCACAAUGAUAGUUAUGAUGGUCUUGUGUAAAUGCAGUGAAGUUAGGUUGUCCAUUAGUGAAAUCUGGUAUUACAUUGGAACUUGUAUGGUUAGAACAUAGAAGUGUAAACACAAUAUCAUUUUAAUGUGAAGGACUUGAUUAAAAUUAAUAGCUAUGAUAUAAUUUUGAUUUUGGUUCUUUGGACAAAUUAAAUCUCCAAAUCCAGUUUGUUAGUUCUGUGGUUCAUAUAAAAUCUGAUUUCAGGCUAGAGACGGAAUUUAUUGAAGAAAUUGUGAAGGACAUCCAACGUAGGUUACAUGUACGCUUAAGGAGUGUCCGGCAACAACUUAUUGGGAUGGACUAUGAUAUUAAGUUCAUCACUUCAUGGUUGAAAGAUGGAUCCUCACAUACGGCAGACAUACUCACUAUUUAUGGUAUAGGAGGGAUUGGGAAGACAACUUUAGCCAAACAUGUCUAUGGGCUAUAUGCUCACAAAUUCCACAAAAGCAGCUGUAUUGAAGAUGUUAGUAGGGUAUGUGAUGGAAAGUUUAAUGGGUUGCUUGAUUUACAAGAAAAACUAAGCAGUGACAUUUCAAAAACAAGUUCCGUUAAAGUUCAUGAUGCUUCGGUAUACACCUCAAAGAUAGAGAAUGCAGUAGCACGUAAAAGGGUGUUUCUUGUUCUUGAUGAUAUUAGCACGCUUGAUCAGUUGGAUGCGUUACUUGGAAGCAAAGGUUUUCAUCCCGGAAGCAAAAUAAUUAUAACCACAAAGGAAAGACAUUUGAUAGAGAGGUGUGCACUAUUCAAAACAGACAUUAAACCAAAGCAUACAAAGCUCUUGCUUCAAGGCUUACAUGAGACCGAAUCAUGGAAACUUUUGUGUCUCCAUGCAUUCAAAUGCAACUAUCCCAAGACAGGUUAUGAAGGGGUGUUAUAUAAGCUUGUGAAGUAUUGUCAAGGACAUCCAUUGGCUCUUGUAGUAUUGGGAAAAUCUCUAUAUGAUCGAGAUGUAACUUAUUGGGAAGGGUGCAUAGAAGGGCUAAAGAAAGAAACAGAUUCUCAUGUGAAUAAUGUCUUGAGAAUGAGCUUUAACUCUUUGCCAUCCAAAAAUGAUAAGGACUUGUUUAAGUAUAUUGCUUGUUUUUUUGUUGGAAUAGAUAGAGAUGUUGCUGAAACAAUAUUAAAGGCAUGCAAUAUAAACAUAAGAUCUGGAAUCCCGAAUCUCCUCGACCGAUUCCUUCUUUCGAUUGGAUGGAAAAACAAAUUGAAGAUGCAUCAGUUGGUUCAAGAGAUGGGAAGGUUCGAAGUACGUCAAGAAUCACAUGACAAGCCAUGGAAGAGAAGUCUAUUAUGGUGUCAUGAGGAGUCAUUCAGAGUAUUAAAACAAAAAAAGGUAAGAGGUCAUAUGUGGUUUUAAAAGUAUGCAUGUUAAAAAUAUUGUGUAUGGUCUCAACUUUUUAUUUACAUUAUGUUUCUUCUUAGGGUAAGGGAAAUCUUGUUGGCCUUGCCCUUGACAUGCGCAUGCUUGAGAAAGAGAUGUUGGGUGCAUCAUAUAAGUUAAAAACAAAUGCAUUAAGUAAGAUGGAUAAUUUGAUGCUACUACAACUCAAUUAUGUUCACAUGAAUGGGUCUUAUGAGAACUUUCCACCGGAACUAAGAGGUUUGUGUAUGCAUGGGUUUCAUUUAAAGUAUAUACCUUCAGAACUACCUAUGGAGAAUCUUGUUGCUCUUGACAUGUCAUAUAGCAAUAUUGAAUCAUUUAUCGGUUGUUAUAGUAAUCCACAACGACUUGAGAAGAGGCAAAAGGUAACUUAUCUUCAUUUAUUAUUUUUCCAUGUUUAGUUGAAUUUCACUCCCAUUCUAACUUCUUUCCAUUUUUAUAGUUGGAUGGAUUAUGCUUAAAAAACAAAAGGUUGCUUGGAUCAUUGAAGGUUCUUAAUUUAAGUUCCUGUAAACAACUUUGUAGUCUUGGUGACUUUAACCAAUUCCCAGCUCUCGAGAGGUUAAUAGUUAGAAAUUGCACUCGUUUGCUUGAGGUUAGUGAAUCAAUUGAGCAGUGUGUUGAACUUGCCCUCAUCGAUCUAAGCUACUGCAAGCAGCUUAAAAACCUUCCAAGAAUCAUAGGCAUGCUAAAGAAAGUUAAAACAAUGUUGCUAGAUGGUUGUAAUCUGGGUGAAUCUCAAACUGAGGAUACAAAUUUAGAUAUGGAUUCACUGGACAUGUGCAAUGCUAACAAAAACAUUAGCAUAAGCACAAGAACCUCUUUCUCCACCUUUGUGGGUGCUAUACCAAGCCGUUUGAAGUUUUUUUCAAGUUCUUUGCCAAGAUCUCUAGUAAGGUUGUCCCUUGUAAAUAAUAAUUUGUCCACUGAAUCCUUUCCUAUGGAUUUUAGUAGUCUGUCCUUGUUAAAGGAAUUAUAUUUAGAUGGAAAUCCUAUCCAUUCCAUGCCCAAUUGUGUGAGAACCCUUCAUAGGGUUGAGAUACUUAGUAUGCUAAACUGUAAUAAAUUGAAGUUGGUCGAACAUCCUCCACACACACUAAAAAUCUUGCUCUAUUCUGAUCGCGAGUCUUUAGAAAAAGUUGUAUUUGAUCCCAAAAUGUCUCCCCUCAUGUUAUUUUAUUUUCCAAGAAGUUACACCCCUAGGUCGUAUGAAAUUGAAGGCAUGGUGAAAAUCCAGACAAUGGUGGGUGUUGAGGAAAAGGUAUUACGUAGCUUGGGCUGGAUUAAUUUACUCCAUAACAAAAGGAAUGUGGGAAAUAAUCCUACGGAAUCUGGAAUGCAGGUUUUGUCAAGUUAACUGUCUUUCUUUAUUUGACUACAUAAAAUACUAUAAUAUAAUCAUUUAAUUUAGAUGUUUGUAUUUGGCAGAUGUUAUAUGAAUUUGGAAUAUUCAGCACAACAUAUGACGCAGAGGAGAUGCCGAGUUGGUUUAUUCAUAGAAGCGCAGGGCCAUCGAUUUCAUUUACAAUCCCAUCAUCAUCUCCAAAUAAUCUCCUUAAAGGAAUCAACUUCUGCUUUCUGCAGACAAUGAGAGUUUUGUAUGAGUUGCCUGUAAGUCUACAUGAUCAUUUCCGCAUUACACCGAUGAUCACAGUUAGUAAUAUAACAAAGAACCGCAUGUGGAUAUACGAACCUCUCUGGGACAGAUACUUUGUAGAUAAAAAGUGUAGGGUGGUGUUAAGUCAUUGGAUGUUAGGGAUGAAUGAGAUGGAGCCUGGUGACCACAUUACUGUUACUGUUACAGAGCCAUCUUAUGAACUUACAAAGGAGUGUGGUGUGAGUCUUGUGUAUGAGGAUGAUGGAGAGAAGAAGGAUGAAGAAGAUGUGUUGGGUUAUUACAAGUCAUGGAAUCACAUAAUUGGUGGAGAUCUCUCUCCUUUUCAGACAACUACAGGACAAUUCAUCCUAAGAAACCAGCAGUUUGUUACAUGUGGCUUAUGUAUAAUGACCCAUUUAUUUUAACAGAUAACUUAAAUCUUUUAAACAACUGGAUCAUAUAUACUAUUGAUUUUAUUGACCCAUAAGAUAAGAUGUUGUUUUAUAAAAAUAUUAAAGAUAANUAUAUAUAUAUAUAUAUAUUAUUGAUUUUAUUGACCCAUAAGAUAAGAUUUUGUUUUUAUAGUAAAAAAUAAAAGUUGUACUUUUAAUUUAUAAAAUGAAUAGAUGCAAGCAUUGAUUCAGAAACGGGGACAGUUUUGGUCCCAGGGGUAUUUUGGGAAAACUUUCCUAAUUUAAAGUUUUGAGUUAGUUUAGGAUUCCAAUUAGUUUAGUAUAAAUAGGGUAUGGUUGUGUGACAUUUUUAAUUAAGUUUUUUUUCAGUAAUAAAAUAUGGAGAACAAGUAAUUUUCCCAGAUUUCUUCCUCCCCUGUUUCGCUCAUGCUCUGUUUCUUUUCUGCACACAGUUGAAGUUUCCAUUCUGUCAUAAUCAAGUGAAUUGAUUCUUGUGUUAAGUUCAUUUUCAAGAGAAUUAAGCGAAUUAAUUCCUUCAUCACUUUCCAUAAAUAGAUGGAUAAUGACCCAUUUAUUUUAAUACAUAUGUCAUAACUUAAAUCUUUUAAACAGGAUCAUAUAUACGAUUGAUUUUAUUGACCCAUAAGAUAAGAUUUUUGGUUUGGUAUGGUGUGGUGGCAUCCAUUAUACCCUACCCUGAGGAGUAUUUAAACUUUUCAUUUUCUAGAUGAUUGUCAGCUAAGAAAAUUCUAGUAGCAAAAAGUAUUUGAGAGGCCCUUCCUCUUGAAAGAAUGGGAAAACCCUAUUAUUUAUAUAAUUCAUUAUCAGUUAGUUGUUUCUGGUUGUGAAUUUCCUGCUUAUUCUCUUUACUCCGUGUGGGGCUUAUCAGCACACUCAAUUGAUUAAGUCUUUCGAUAUGUUGGAUCACAUAAAUAUAUAUGGACCCAAUACGUAUGACUACUUUGUCCAAGUAGGUUGUUUGUGAACAAUGAUUAACAUAUCACUUUUAAUCUAUUUUCAGUAUGAAAGGAAAAGUUUUGGUUCAGAGCUUUAUCCCUAAGGAAGCUUGACAUAAGUCGUCGCGCACAUGAGGUAUACUUUUUGACACCCAAACCUUUUCUCUCAUCGCGUAAACAAAAGGAAUACACAACCGAAUAUUAGGAAUCAAAGCUCUCAAUUCGUUUAGGGUGUAACAAAAUAAGGGAGUUAUAACCUUUCAUUGAAUGCAUUGAAGUGGAAAUAUUAAAAUUUGGAAUCAUUGAAUACUACAAAUAUCUGUUCAUACCAUGUCUAAACACUAAGGGUCAAAAUCUAGGAUUGAAUUCUCACCACUCUCUGUCACAGUGUAAUAUGCAAUUGAGACCAAUUCAUAGAUUAAUAAUUUUCAGUAGAUGUUGUUCUUGGGUAAAUUCUAUGUUAAUAACAAACUAUUACACUUUGGAAGACAAUAUGAAAUUGUGUAAGCAUAUUGCUUGAUUUUAAGGAAUCUUAUUGAUAGAUUCAUUCUUAGGAUAGAACCAAGCAACAUGUUGAGAAUGCUUAAAUUGCUUCAAGAAUUUGGAAGAGAUGUGUCACCAGGACUCAUUAAUUCUGUUGAAUCAAGAAAAUGUAACAUAAUAUAUACGCUUCCAAGUAACUAUCUGUUUUCAUAACAUUUUGUGUUGUAUCCUGUAUAAUAUAUAACUUUUAAAAUUUUCUUACUUUUCGUUUCUAUGUAGGGUGAGGGGGGAUCUUCAAGGUCUCAUCCUUCACAUGAAAAGGAUUGAGAAAGUGAGGCUACAUGACUGGCAUGAGUUGAAAAUAGAUGCAAUGGGAAAAUGGGUAGCCUGAUGCUAUUGCAAACUCAAUCGUCUAUGACCUACUUUUCCAGAAGUAUUAAGAUAAUAUAUACCAGCCUCUACUACAAAAUUGAACACAUUUGGAAUUGUAUGUUAUUUCCCCAUGAUUCUUUUAAGCAUAGGUAUCAAAAUUAAACACUUCUUGAAUUGUGUGCUAUUUCUUGAUCAUAAUUUGAGCUGAAAUCUUGACCAUUGCCUUAUCAACAAUGUCUAUCGUGUCUAUGGACUCAAAAGCUCAAAUCCUUGAUAGGAUUCUAUAAUUUAUUUGGAUACUAUGUAAAAUUCGCUUGCUUCACCUUAAUAUUUUAAGACUCCGAUUCUGAAAGAUGAGAAUUCUUGUAUCAUUUGUUUUUUUAAUUUUAGAAGCAACAAUUUUAAUUAGGUCGCCCCUUUUUCUCCACAUCACGAGACAGGAUAGUAAUAGUAUCACAUAUUAAUUUAUAUAUCUUAUCUUUACCGUCCUCUAUAUCUUUAUUGUUACUCUUCUUGUUGUCAAAAGAAUAUCAUAUUCUCAUUUAUUUUCAUUUUCCAUCUCAUCUUGAUAUUCUAUCAAGUUAUGAGUAGUGUUUUUGCAACAAAGUUAGACUCCAAAAUAUGGUCAUUUGAGGCUGAAAAUAGAUCAUCUACAUCAAGUCAUCACUUAUCAGUGGUCUUUUUGACCACUCUCCUUUAGUGUUUUUUUCAUGUCCCCAGUGUCCUUAUUAACAACUUGAAUAUCACAUAACCCCUAGCCUGAUUUCACCUCUAUAUGAGCUAAAACAAACCGGUUCAUCUCCUUACCAACAUCUUGAUUACCAUUGAAGCCAUUAGAGUUGGUCAUAAUUACCAUUCACACUUGCAUUAGUAACCUUGUUUUCGGUAUCCACAUUGGAGAUACAAGGAGUAGAGGCUUUAAUUACCUCAUUUGCAACAGCUAUAGUAUGCAACUCCAUCAUAAAAAUAAAUAAAUAAAUAAAUCAUGUUCCCAGUAAUGUAUUGAAACAAAUGAACUCAUAUUCGUUUCUUCAUGAUACUCAACACUUCUAUCGCUUCUGUUGACUAAGUAAGGUUCUUUUUAUUAGUCUUCAUGCACACUUUGCCUCCUAACCUCUAUUUUUUCGAUCUCUAACCACACAACCUGUCAUCUACCACUGAAUAAUGCAUCCCGAAACCUUUCUGAUUAACAACUGCCACAGCUCCUUCUCGUUCAUAGAGUUGGGGAAAUUAGAAAAAUGAAAAGUAUAACAAAAUAUGAUCCAUUGAUUUACACGAUCUACUAAACUUCCUUCCUUCUCUUAAUUGAUCGAUCUUUGUAGAAGAAAUUUGCCAUCCUCCCUCCUGGUUGCACUGUUUCUUACCUGAUUGAAAUCUUUUCAUAAAGAUUCCCCUGUUAUUGGAUUGAAGAAAGCUCACUCAUACUCCUAAUAACACCUAUCAAAUUCCCCUGAAGCAAUCUGGUAAGCCUCCUGAUGAAACAUGAAACUUCUGUAUAUAUAACUUCCUCUUUCCAACAGAAUUAGCCAUAGAAACACAGUAGUCCUACGUAUUGGGUACAGAAACGAUUGAAAUAAUAUUAAAACUGGAAUUNNNNNNNNNNNNNNNNNNNUAAUAGGAGACACUGAAAAUGGUGUGCUAUAAUAAACAAAUCAAUGAAACACGUUGCUAUUUCUUGCAUUUAAACCUUAAGAGUCAGUCAAAGAUGGUAUUCAUGAGCAUUCAAACCUUGAAAAUGAAUCAAAGCACGCAUAUAGGCACACAAGUCCCUGGUCUAUUGCAUAGAAUCUGUGAAAAGAAUUUAGCAUGCUCUUCAAAGUUAUUGAAACAAAGAAACAAACAAGACUAAAUUACAAAAAUCGUCUCUAUGUUAUAUUACUUUUUAUGCGUAUGGUCAAGUCGAUGGAUUUAAUGGACGGGCAACCAGGGACUAAAAGUGUGACCAAAUGUUGGUUUAGGGAUGGAAAAGGUAAAUGAUGAAACUAUCAGACCAUAUCGAUCGCAUUUUCAACUUAUUUUGUUAUUAGGACAUAAUACUUUGAAGAAUCUAUCCAAUUAUAAUAGUGAAACUUGCAUUGUAUCGGGAUGAUAUUGCUACAAUUAAUAGGUUUUCAAAGUAUAUUGCGGUAAUACGCAUGAAUGAAAUUAGGAUGCUAUUAGAAAACAGAUCAAAAUUUUGUUUCUUAGAUUUAGCCCUAAUUAGUAAAAUGAAAAACUUGAAUUGUUUGAGAUAUAAACAAGAUACAAAUUACACAUACUCGACAUUUUAAAAUGAACAGGUUACAACACAUUAAAUAACAAUGUGAUAUGCAUUUAUACCACUUAUCAAUUGGUGAGUCCUCAAAGACACAUUCUUUCUGAACAUCAAUGCUAUAACUAACUGUUACAUUUUUCAAAGUAAAAUGCCCUAAGAAAGAAACGGAAGUACCUUGCUAUCAUCAUAAAACCAAAGUCAUUUGAAGUUGCUAAAAGGUUUGGUAUGUAUAAAUAGUCCCGUGCUUCAUUAGAAGAAUUGGAACUUACCAGUGGAUUUACAAGAAGGAAUUGAGAUUAUAGAAAACAUUACAUAAAUAGUCCCAUGCAUCAUUGGAAGUCAUAUAUAGGUUAAAUCAUUAACUUUUUUCCUUGAUGAAAAUGGUCUUUGUGGUUUCAAUUCCUUACAUGGUUUGUUUCUAAUCCAUAUAAAAUGAUAUCUAUAUAUACCAUUUUAAUAGAUUUAUCUUUUUUUUUUUACUUAAUUUUAUUUUUUAAUAUGUUAACAUUGAGGGACCCACCAUACCAAACAGUUCACACACCUAUGUUCACCAGAAAGAUUACCAAAGUUAUAUUCAAGCUUAGAAAAUUACAAGAAAUUAAGGUUGUAUACAACAGUAAGAAUAAAAAAAAAAACUCCAACAAGAAAGAAACUAUCUCUUUUCUGAUCAUUUUGAGGUCUCUAAAAAUCUGAAAGCUGCAUAACUUUCAGAUUAUUGGGUUCAUCGGUAACAGAAUAUCUAAAAUUUGUUGUAGAAUAAUUUGUAUCACAAUAAAAGUGGUGCAUCAAGUUGCAGGUAUAAUUAUCUUAUUCCACUUACUAAAAGCAUGGAAAUGGAAUAUUUGGUUUAUAAAAAGAGUCCCAGAAGAAUAUACUAUAUAGCUCAGAUAAAAAUCUCCCCAAUCACCUGGAUAGACAAUACCAUAUGAACCAAUGUAAAAAACAGCAUAAGCAUUUCAUCAAAUACCUUGACUACGUGAUGUAAGAUGACCACAUUCGCCAAAAAAACACAAUGAAAGAAGGAAAAUUUUAGGAACAUAAUCAAGUAUAACAUUCUAAAGAUUGAGAACUGAAUUAAAAAAACAUCAUCAUAAUAAUAAUAAUGAAAUAAACCAAAACAAAGACAAUGUAACUUGAAAGAUUUAUAUAAAGCUCUGUUAUAUCUACUGACGGAAUAAGAAAUUGAGGAGGAGGAUGAUGGAAGUACAAGAUCUAACCAUGACAAAUGAACAAUGAGCGUUGGUUUGGAGAUGUUUCUGUCUAAUUUCCAAUACGGGUGAUUUUAAGAAGGCCUUCGAACACCUCACAUUAUUUCUUAUUCAAAUUUUGAUCCGGAAUGUCUAAUAAAGAUACCAUGGAAAGAUGAUCCGUUAGAAACAAUAAAUGUGGCUCUCGGAGCAGCGCGGUGGAGCAACUGAGCGCAAUAUGAAGCAUUGCCCUCGACCACUACCAGAAGUCAGGAAUUGAGUUUGAUUGUGCUUCUAGCCCUUGAACAUCGCUAUCUGAAAUUGGGAAUUGGGGACGAAUUUCAGGGAGAAAUUAGAAUUGAAGCAACGUCAGAAUGUGGGAUCGUGGAAAAAUAUACUUCACCUGUGUGAGAGCGAGGCGAGAGUGUUGCCGAUUCAACAAUGUUGUAACAUGAUAUUCAUUAUUUAGUAGGUUUGGUUCACGAUUAUUUUGGAUGGAAUUUGAAUUUGUUAAACAAAUUGAAAUUCAUUAAUUAGAUUUAGAAUUUGAAGGAAUUAAUCCAUGUUAUGUCUUUGGUUGGUAAAAAGUGAGAUGAAAUUUUAAUUUAUAAACAAAGGGUAAAAUGGAAUCUUUUUUCUCAUUGAACACCUUUAACAAAUAACAUAAAUCAUCCUUAACCAUUGAGGCCUAAAUUACCAAAUAGCCCUUAAAUUUAUAAAUGGAUACUCACAUAAAUGACUAUUAAGUAGGGGUGAGCAAAAACCGAACCAUCAAAACCAAAAGAAACCGCAAUUGACCAACCGAAACCAAUGCAAAAAACCUUUGGUGCGGAUUUAAUUUCUACAAAAACCGAAGUUAUCGGUGUGGUGCGGUUUUUAUCAAAAAACCGGUCCACCAAAACUGAACCGCACCAAAGACAUAUAAAUAAUAAAUUAUUAAUUUCUAUUAUAUACAUAAUUAUAUAUCACAUGUUAUUUGAAAAAGUAAUAAAUACUAAUGUAACUUUGACGAUAGGUUUAAUAAUUUAAUCAUAUUCGAGAGCAUUUAAAAGAAGUCUCAUUGUUCCCUUCUUCCUUUCCUGAUCUUGUGUUAGACGAAAUCAAUGUUUGUUUAAUUGUGUUUGUGGAACCAUAGAAAUGUGUUUAGGCGGAGGCCACUGUAAGUUUUUUUAACACGUUAAUGGUAUGACAUAAAUAGGUUUUACUAGAUUGUAUGACAUAAAUUGUUUUUUUUCCUACAAAACUUAAUUAAUAUGUUUAUUUAUCAAUGCUUUUGUAGUUUUGUAUAUAUAAAAAAGAACUUGUUUUACAAAAGGCUAUGACAUAAAAUCAUAAAUGAUUGUUUAAAAAAUACGUUGUUUAAAAAACAAAAAAAAAGUUGUCCAUAUGUUGGCUAUUUAGUUAAAAAUUGGCUAAAUUAGUUUCAAAAUAUGGCACCAGGCAAGAAUUAAGAAUUAUUGGACUUGCAUAGUUACAAAAAAACCUGACCCAUAACAGCAAAAACCGCACCAAUACGUAUACCAGAUUUAAAACUGAAACCGCACCAUUUAAACCGAAACCGCAUGAUAAAACCGCAAAACCGAACCAAUGAAAAACCGCACACGUUGGUUUUAGUUCUACAAAACCUCACCUUGCAUUUAGCGGUUCAGUAUUGCCCUAAAACCCCACCAAACCACACCAUACUCACCCUAGUAUUAGGAGCAAAGUUAUUAUCCUAAAAGAUUUGUACGACCAUUUUCUUGGCAGCACAUGACACAUGAAGUAUAUGAUAACUACAAAAGGGUCAAUGGCCUAGCGGUAUGGAGUGACCGUCUCAUAUGAGAGGUCAGGAGUUCAAGUCUCAGUGGAGACAUAGGUGGUUAUUUAGUAGUAGAUUAGUUAGUUUGCCGUUUCAAAUAAAAAAAGUAUAUGGUAACUUGAUGUGAAAAACGAAUUCUUUUAUGAGGAGGUUGAGUGAUAUACUUUAGAACAACCCCAAAGUUUUAUUUCACAUCUGUUUUUAGGAUAUGUUGAUAAGUUUGCAAGAUUUAUCUUUAUUUCAUACGAGAAGUUAUCUUUUAUUAUUAUUUAAGAUUAGUAUGUAACACCGGUCAAAAUUAGGUCAAAGAUAAUUCCCAUAAAUAUAAUUAACACACAUUAUAAUCAAUUUACUUUAAUAUUUAAUGAUAUUUUCAUUCAACACUACAAGUCUAAACGAUUCCAAAAAUAUAUAGAACGUCUAAAUCUGACUUCGCAUGAAGAAGUUAUGAUAAAUUCUAUCACUAUAGUAUUUGUAACAAGUGGAAUUUAAAAUAGACUUAGAAUUAGCUAUUGGAAUCUAGAAGAAAGUUGUAGUACUCGGAAAUACUAACGCGUGGAUAAAAGAACAUCAAAAAUGAAGUUCGUAUACAAAAGUUAUGACCUUCCGAAGAUGCAGUUGUCUAAGUGCAUGACACGUGGUAGAAACCCUAGCCGCCAUGGUUCACGACGUGAACAUUAAUUCCACGACGUGAAACGUGUCAGGGGCACUAAUCGGGGCUAGAAAACACGUGUUAAAGCUACGGGGUGACUCAUGGAUGUUCACGACGUGACCCUAGGCAUGUCACGACGUGAAUGUGCCAAAAUCAGCCUAUAAAUAGCGAUCAAGACCCUUUCAUUCCUUACACCUUCUACUUUUCUCUCCCUCAUUUUUCGUAGGUUGUUUCCCUUCUCGAGCCUGACAACGACGAGCCUUUGACCGUUUAGAUUCUAUAGAUCACGCUACUAGGGUGAGUUUCACGACCCCACUUUUUAAUAUUUUCGGGGAAAAACACAUGCUAAAUAUUGUAUAUAAGUUAAUAUUAUAUCUAUAUGAUAGUAUAUUCGUAUCAACAAAACUAGUUAUAUUAACUUGGAUAUAGUUGUUUUAAAUAUGAUAUUUUGAAAAUAUACAACUAUUAUCAACUUGUUAGCAUGUUACUGUACUNAUAUAUAUAUAUAUAUGUUAUGUGUGAUAUAGUUUCGGAGUUAUACUCGAAAGUUCUAUAUACAAAUUACUAAGUAUGUUUCUAUUGUUGGUUUUAUGUCAAGAUAAAACCUAGUUUUACCUCAAGUUAUAGCUGUUAUACUACCUAAAUAUUAUGAAAUUAGGAGUAAUGCUUAAAAGCAUUGUCUAGUAAGUUAGGGUUUUAGACACGAAUAUGCUGUUGUUGUUAGAGCUAUAGGAGUCGUUGAAGUCUACAUGAGCUAUUGUAUUCAUCAACUAAGAUUGGAAAUCUUAGGGAAAAUCCUCUGACCUGUAAACGUUAAUCCCGAGCGAGCGAGGAAGUCAUGUAUGAAUAAGAUACAGGUUGACAACCCCACUUGUGUUUGUUAGCUACAACCAAAUUUAAACGAGUGACGAACUGUCCUUUUAUUUGUUAAUUGUUCCCACGUUUAUGAAGCGUGUGGAACUUAUCUUAAGAUGCGAAACUUGUAGCAUCAAGCAGAGGUUUGAAACUAGGCAUACAGCCGCGGUUACGGACUUAUGGUAGCAUUAUGCAAUUGAGACCAAUUCAUAGAUUAAUAAUCUUCAAUAGAUGUUGUUUUUGGGUAAAUUCUAUGUUAAUAACAAAUUAUUGCAUUUUGGAAAACAAUAUGAAAUUGUUUAAGCAUAUUGCUUGAUUUUACGAAAUCUUAUUGAUCGAUUCAUUCUUUGGAUAGAACCAAGCAACAUGUUGAGAAUGCUUACAUUGCUUCAAGAAUUUGGGAGAGAUGUGUCACUAGGAAUCAUUAAUACUGUUGAAUCAAGAAAAUGUAACAUAAACUUUUACAAUUUUCUUAAUUUUCCUUGAUCUGUAGGGUGAGGCGGAAUCUUGAAGGUCUCAUCCUUCACAUGCAAAGGAUUGAGAAAGAGAGGCUACAUGGCUGGCAUGAAUAGAAAAUAGAUGCAUUCGGAAAAUGGUUAGCCUAAUGCUAUUGCAAACUUAUUAUAUCCUACUUUUCCAGAAGAAUUAAGAUAAUAUAUACCAGCUGCCUCUACUGCAAAAUUAAACACAUUUGGAAUCAUAUGCUAUUUCCCCAUGAUUCUUUUAAGCAUAGUUAUCAAAAUUAAAUACUUCUCGAAUUAUGUGCUAUUUUCCUGAUCAUAAUUUGAACUAAAAUCUUGGUCUCAGUUAUUACCUUAUCAACAAUGCAAUCGUGUCUAUGGACUCAAAAUCUUAAAUCCUUGAUAGGAUUUUAUAAUUUAUUUGGGUACUAUGUAAAAUUCGCGUGCUACACCUUAAUAAUAUUUUUAGACUCUGAUUCUGAAAGAUGAGAAUUCUCAUAUCAUUUGUUUUAUUAUUAUUAUUUUAGGAGCAACACUUUUAGGUCGCCUCUUUUUCUUCACAUCACAAGAUAGUAAAGUAAUAGUAUCAUAUAUUAAUUUAUAUAUCUUAUCUUUACUGUCCUCUAUAUUUUUAUUAUUACUAGUUGUUGUUGCCAAAAGAAUAUCAUAUUCUCAUUUAUUUUCAUUUUCCAGUUCAUCUUGAUAUCCUAUCAAGUCAUCAGUGGUGUUUUUGCAACAAAGUUAGACUCCAAAAUCUGGUCAUUUGAGGCUGAAAAUAAAUCAUCUACAUCAAGUUAUCAGUAUUCUUUUUGCACUGCUCUGAAAAAGCAAAGUAUGAAACUGUUGGACCAAAUUUAUAAAAAGAUAAAACACAGGGAUGAUUUUUGUAAUUUAGUCAACAAAUAAUUACUUGCAGAAGUAAAGGCAAAGUACCACUUCAUGAAGCCCUUUCUACACCAAAACACCUGCUUCAAAAACUAGCAAUGUACUUUCAUUAUUGUUGUUAUAGAAUUCUACUUCCAUUUCUUUCUAUUACAUCAAUGUAUUUUAUAUAUUUUUUUUCUUAUGAAAGCAUUAUACAUUGAAAUAUCUACCCAAUAAAAGCAUUGCAUUUUCAACUUAUUUUAUUAUUAGGGCACAAUACUUCAAAAACUAGCAAUGUACUUAACAACCAAUUUGGAUUGUCAUAUUGCAAUUCUCAAGCACACAUACAAACAAUCACGACUGUGUUGCUUGGAUAAUCCUUAGUCUACAUCUUAAGUCUUAAGAUAGAAAUGGCUUACAUCCUUUAAACCCUAAAAGCCAGUUUAUCACAAAUUAUCAAGCCAAAAUCAUUCAAUUGUGGUAAAAGUUAAUACAUGUUUCUGGUUAUUGAACUCAUUUGCUUCACACAUAUAAACUCUUGAUUGAUGGAAAUGCGUAUAUAAGUAAGGACUUUAAUUUACUCAAUAGCAAUCACGAUUCUCAACCAUCAUAUAGGAAAAUUGUUUUUUUUUUCAAACGCAGCUUUGGAUUUCGAAGAACAAAUAACAAUAAUGCUAGUAGUUGACUGAAUUUUACCGAGAGAAGUAUAUUUGUUAAUAGGUCACGCAUUUCGCAAUUCGUCAUUUAGAUGUUGAGCCUCGACUGACCUGGUUUUGUAGAAUAGCAAAUGACUUGAGAUUACGCAACUUCGGAUCCACUUCCUUAUAUUUCACAUCCGACUCGUCUCCCUUGGUUUCGUUGGGUGAAAGAAUUGUUACGAGAAGAAAUGGAAUUAGCCAAUUGAAUAGAAAGAAUUGAAAUUCAGGAGAAAAUUAGGUAAAUGGUCCCUUGCAUUACAAAAAGUCAUAAAUUAGUUAUUAAAUUAUUGUCAUUAACAUUUUUUGUGAUAAAAAUACACAAGUGAUCCUUGUGGUUGGUAGAAAAUACAAUUGGAAGUCUCUUUGAGGAAUUUUUAACAUCUUUUGGGCCUCCAUAAUGCUUCCCACUCAUUCUCAUUGACGCAGAACGAAAGCAAAAAUAAAGAAAAACUCAAAGUGUUUUAUUACUGGAAUUCCAAUUCUUCCCUUAAACAUAGAGGCUCAAACCCCUGAUUAGGUUUUGCAAUUAAAUAGUGGCAACACCAUGGCGAUAUAUGCCACAUUGUGACGCCAACUUAAUGCCACGAUAACUCUUGCCUUGGAUAUGUUGUGGGACUCCCUCACCACGUUGUGGCCAUAAGAGAUCCAACUUUCAAUUUAUCAAAAUUACAAAAAGGAGCAUUUCCGAAGAAGUUAUGAGUUGAUGAAAGCGUAGAGUUUGUCACACCCCCAAACCAGAACGGCGUAAACGUUCGGGGGCGGAGGACGUCAUGUUCAAUAUCAUAACAGUUCAUAGAAAGGAAAGUACACACCACCAUAUAUAAUAAGUUUGCAAGAUGUUUACAUAGUUGUAUUCAUUACAUGUUCAAAAUAAAGGUACAUAAACAUCAUUCAAAAUGAAGUAAUUAACGCCAGCGCGUUAAUCCCAAAAGUUGAUUCCCAACCUGCUUAGCGAUUUCCUGAGAAUACAAGUUAUUUCAAAGAAAAAGUGUCAACAAUUAAGUUGGUGAGUCCAUAAGUAGUUUAGAAAAAUUGGAUGCCAUUCCAAAAUGGGUGUAUGUUUUCCAGUAAACGUAGCGUUUCAAAAUGUAAAGAGUUAUGAUUUGUGGUGUUGGAAAUGAAUGCAUUAGCUCCAGAAAAUCCCAUAUUUUCCUUAAUAGUCGAAAUACGAUUUGUUGUGUUUUCCAAGAAAAACCCUUAUUUUCUUAUAAAAGUAUGAGAUGUAUAUAGUUGUUCAUGUUAUAAGUUGUAAAUGAUUGCACCGGGAAAAUCCCUUAUUUUCCUAUUAGUUGUUUGGUUUGUAUGCAGGAAAAACCCUUAUUUUCCUCACACAUAAUGCCAGUCUCUAAGACCGAAAAUUGCAAGAAACCGACGUUUCUCGUAAGUGUGUCAUAGUUUUAUAUAUAAUAAAACUACGCGAAGACCGAACCGGUUGGAUGAAGAAUAGUUUUAAUAACUACUCGCUCAUCAAAACUGAAUAUCAUAGUAAUUGUAUAUCCGAUGAGUUUCUAUAACCAUACUAAACAUAAUAUGCCUGUAACGACGUUCUUCAGGCGUCGCAGUGCUAUGACAACUGUCACCCCAAAAGACGGACUGUAGCUAACAGUCAGGGUGCGGGAUCAUGACUUCCCGUAUAGAUCUAUACACAUUUGACACGUUCUCGUCACGGGAGAUUCUGGUUAUAGACAGGACUUACUGCAGUACUUUCUAAUAAAGAAAAGUAACGUUUGAAGAUGUACGCGUCUCAUGGAUUCUCAAUUAAGUCUAUAUUAAAGUGAUAGUUUUGUAUGCAAAGUUUAUCUUUUUUUCAAAAUGUUUGAUAAAGCAAAAUCAUAAGUUUUUAGAAUGUAUAAAACGAUUUAACAAUGAAAGAUCAUUAUAUGCUUCGUAUAAGUCUAAUGCACACAAAGUAUGACAAGAGUUUUCCAUAAUAGUAAUGAGUUCCAAGUGGUUUAUUUGAUAAUAUAAGUGAAGUGAAACUUUAUAAAAUACACGAUAAUAACCGUAUGUUUACUUGUAUUCCCCCCCUAAAAGAGUGUAAAAGUAUUUAAAAAUGUAUUUAAAGUGUGUUAGAAAGGGGUAUGAACUCACUUGACAACUUGAAGAUGGCGAGAUGGAAAAACGGCAGAGUUUCGUCUCGGGAAAUGGAUUUUCCUCGGAAAUCUCGGGAUUCCUCGGGAGAAAAUCGACCUUCGGAUCUUGCACGAAGCGACCAGGGCUUCGGGGUAGUACGAGCACGGAAAACGAGGAAAAACGCAAGAGAAAUGAGAGAGAAUGAGCCCUUUCUUUGGAAACCUUCGUAUGCUAUUUAUAGAGAGGCUGGUCUGCCUCAGUACGCGGGGCGUACGCUAGUACGCGGGGCGUACGCUAGUACGCAGCGCGUACGCGUACGUCACGCAUGACCGAGGCCUCGACUGCCUCGGCUNUGGGUCGGAUGGGACGCCGGGUCGGAUGGGACGUCGGGUCGGACGGGUCGGACGGGUCGGCUUCCUCGGAUAUGGCGACGUGGACGAUCCGAGGCCAAUCCUCUCGGUUACGCGGGGCGUACAGGAGUACGCAGCGCGUACUUCGGAGAAGGACGCUGACUCCUCUUCGGAUAAUAUCCGAAUUUUGAAUAAAAAUUAUAUAUAAAUUAAUUAUCAAACUUCAAAAAUUCAUAUCUCCCUCAUACGAACUCCGUUUUUGGCGUUCUUUAUAUCCCCGCGAAGGUGAGACUACGAUCUACAACUUUCAUUUAGAUUCCGUUGGCAAAUUCCGAAAUUAUUUUUAUUAUUUAUUUAUUAAAGUGACGUGUUUAAGGAAUUUCUUUAAAAAUUCAUAACUUAUUCAUAUGAUGUCCGAUUUGAGCGUUCUUUUUAUGCAUGUUUGUAGUUUAACGAUAUCUAUCACUUUCAUUUAGACACCUAAGGUCAGAAAAUGUUUUAUUGAAACUUUGCGUUUUUACGUAACUUUGUAUUGCUGGUUUUUGUCGGAAAACUUAUAAUGAGCAUAACUUCUUCGUUAUAACUCGGAUUUUUGUGUUAUUUAUAUGUUUGGAAACCUUAAGAUGAUAACUACCACAUAGUGUACUCCAAAUAGAGUUUUUGAAUACUUCAUAUUCUAUUUCCUUUCUCAAGGAGGUUACAUGACUCGAUCUUUACUGACAUGAAAUAACGGGUUGUUACAGAGUUUCUCAUUGCCUUUUCAUCGAUAUAAGGAUUGUCGCACAUCGUACAAGUUGAGUACACCCCGCGUACUCAUCAGGAAUGGAUUCCGGUGUUUGGGCUUCGGUUUGGGCCAUCUUUUGUGUUUAGUUGCUUUAGGCCAUAUUGCGUGUGACAUCCCAAAAAUCUCGGCCAGAAAAGACCGAUUUUCAUUUAUGCUUUUAAAAUAAUUUCAGAGUAAAUCCUUUUGAUUUGAAAGAGUUGCGGAAUUUGUUCCCAAAAACAAAACGUGAUAAAAUAAUAUUUACCAAAGCAUUUCAUAAAAGAAAUGUAUUUUCAUUAUAUAAUCAAAACUCGGGAUGUCAUGUUCCGAUACAGACCAUAAAGCAUAAACGAUGACAUUACAAGUCAUUCAACAAAUAUAUACAUAUACAGACUUUUAAACAAAACAACUUGAUGGUUCAUCCAUCUUAUGCCCUUGCACCACUUCCUGUAAUACAAAUAAAACUGAGUGGGUCAGGCGUGGGAGCCUGGUGAGCAUAUAGGGUUUUCAACCCACAAUAAAUAAUUAUAUUUAAUUCCACCAAUCAACAAUAACCCAAUUACCCAUUCCCAUUAUUCUCACUUUACGUCCCUAAAACAACUAACACAAGGGACCCUAGUCUUAGAAUAUUUGAUCGGGGCAACAACACAUGCAUUCGGGGGUUUCCCGACAAUAUAUGUCAAACAAGGCAACCGUGAGGGGGAUGGAGUACAGCGAAUGAACACCCAAGUUCAUUAAGACCUACAGGUGGCGAACCUGCUAGCGUUCCACAGGACUUUCUAGAAAAGUCUGUGGUCGUCAUCUAAACUCCGUUAGAUGACUGAAUCAAAACAACAACGAGGCCUCUCAUCUGUUUAUUACACACCAACUAUCUACCCAUGUUCUACCCAACAUAUUAGUAGAUAAAAACAUACAUUUUUAUACAUAGUUUAAAAACCUGUAUAGCAUGCUUUAAUCAAUACAUAUUCCAAAACAACAGAUGAGACACAUACACAUAACACGUAUUUCAUUGAGAAUAAAUCAUAUCUAUGAGAUAGAAGAAAGUGAAUAUACAUUCUCGCAUAUAACAAGAAAAUGUACACAUAACACGUAUUUUAUAUUAAAUACUUAAUAAUUAUGCGUUAGAAGAAAGUAACCACACACUCACCUGAUCAGAAGAUGAUCGGACAGCACUACGGCUUGCAGAAGUAGUAAUCCUCAACAGAUCUGGAGGAUCUCAACAGAUCUGGAGGAUCUCGAGAAUCGCACUUCUUGGGAUCCCGGGAGCAUGAAACUUCCUUUUUAAUUUGGAUAUGAGGUUCGGGGUGUCGGGAUGGCUUCGGGGGUUUAUGCGCAGAGUUUCGGCACAAAGAGGAGAAGAAAUGAGCAAAAAUACCCGGAACCCUCGCAUCCUAUUUAUAGGAGGUUGAGGCCUCGUCGUACGCUGGGCGUACAGCCUUACGCGGGGCGUAAGCCGCCGAAUUCGUCACUGCAUGCAUCAUCCGAAGAACUCGAGUGCGAGGUGCAUCAUGCUUCGCGGUACACUGAUCAUUGAUUCCUUCGGAUAUACAUCCGAAUUAAAGAUUAAAUUUAAAUACUAAUUAUUUAAUAAACUUCGGAAAUUCAUAUCUUCUUCAUACGAACUCUGUUUUCGACGUUCUUUAUAUCCACGCUUAGGUGAGACUACAUUCUACAACUUUCGUUUAGACUUCGUCUGCUAAUUUUGAAUUUAUUUAUAUUAUUUAUUUUUAGUAGGCCCGGACAGGAAAACUUCGUUAUAAAUUCAUAAUUUCUUCGUUUGACGUCCGUUCUCGCCUAACUUUUUAUCGUUUUACUACAAUUAAUGAGAUCUCCGAUUCUCAUUUAGAUUGUUUCGGCUAAAAACCGCUCGGUCUCAAAUUGAGUAUUCGGGCUGCAUACCGCUAAGUCAAAACUUCGAAAAAUUAUAACUUCCUCAUACGAAGUCAGAUUUUGGCGUUCUUUUUAUGCACGCUCUCGGUUUAACGAACUCUACGACUUUCGUUUAGAUUACUAAGGCUAAAUAUCGCUCUAACGUAAAUUUCACUUUUUACGUCAUUCAGCGUUUGUCGGUUCUGUCGCGAAACUUCGACAGGUUAUAACUUCUUCGUUAUAACUCGGAUUUCGACAUUCCUUAUAUCUCCGGAAUCCUUGUUUCGAGCACUACAACCUUAUGUAAAGAUAUUGAGUUUAUUUUACACUUAAAUUUUGACGCUUAUUUUAUUCUUAAUUAAUCAAAUCACAUAAUUAAGCAAUUAAGCACAAAACACAUAAUACUCAAAUAAUUCAUCAUUAAUACUUCAAAAAGAGUUACAAGGGUUAACCUAGACUAUUAAAUCAAUGAAAAUGCCUAGCCUGGAAACGCAGGCGUUACAAUUCUCUCCCUCUUAGGAUGAUUCCAUCCCCGGAAUCACACAUCAACAAACAAAUGCGGAUAGCGACUCAACAUGUCACUCUCCGUUUCCCAGGUGAGAUUUGACCCAUUCGUAUGUUUCCAACGGACAAGCACUAAUUCGACCAUCUUGCAUCGAAGCUUCUUAGUCUUUCGGUCAACAAUUGCCUCAGGUUCUUCAAUUAACCUCUUGUUUUCAUCAAUUCUCAAUUCAGAAAUUGGAAUUAUAUCGGGAACUUCUCCCGUGAACUUCCUCAAAUAACACACAUGAAAAGUGUUGUGAAUUCCAUUCAGUUCUUCGGGUAAUUCGAGCUUGUAAGCUUGGUUCCCAAUCCUCUGAAGAACUUUAAACGGUCCAAUAAACCUUGGACUCAACUUUCCCCUUUUACCAAAUCUUAUAAGUCCCUUCCACGGCGAGACUUUAAGCAAAACCGAAUCUCCAACCUCAAAAGUCAUCGGUCUUCGCUUCUUGUCAGCAUAGCUCUUUUGAUGAUCUUGAGCUGCUAACAUCCUUUCCCUAAUCACUUUCAACUUCUCAGCAGUUUGAUGGACCGUCUCGGGACCCAUAAACUGUUUUUCCCUAGCCUCAAGCCAACAAGACGGCGUACGACACUUUUAUCCGUACAAAGCUUGAUAAAGUGCCAUCUUUAUGCUUGAGUGGAAACUAUUGUUGUAGGAAAAUUCUACCAAAGGUAAAUAUUCAUCCCAAUUACCUAGGAAUUCUAGGGUACAUGCUCUUAGCAUAUCUUCAAGUGUUUGUAUUGUUCUUUCACUCUGACCAUCAGUCUGCGGAUGGUAAGCUGUACUUAAACAUAACUUGGUACCCAUUUCCUUUUGUAGACUUUUCCAAAAUCUUGAGGUGAAACGGCUAUCACGAUCCGAUACAAUCGUUAACGGAACACCGUGAAGCCUCACAAUUUCCUUCACGUAAGAAUUCGCAAGCUUUUCCAUAGACCAUUUCUCCUUGGCCGCUAUGAAAUGCGCACUCUUAGUGAAUCGAUCAACGACCACCCAAAUCAUGUCGUGACCAUUCUUUGUUCUGGGCAGUUUAGUGACAAAAUCCAUAGCAAUGUCUUCCCACUUACCCAUAGGCACAGGCAAAGGUUCUAAACUCCCGUACGGUUUCUGAUGUUGUGUCUUGACUCUCGCACAAGUCACACACUCGGCCACAUACUUUGCAACAUCAAGCUUCAUCGUCGGCCACCAGUAGUAGGGUUUCAGGUCCCUAUACAUUUUAGUGCUACCCGGAUGAAUCGAGUACAUGGUCUUGUGAGCUUCUUCCAUCAGAAGAUCCCUAAUUCCUCCUGACUUAGGUACCCAAAUACGAUCUUGGAAUACCUUCAGUCCAUGACCGUUUGUACCAAACACCAACGUUUUACCCAAACGUUCCUCCUUCCGGUCAUUCUUCUCAGAAGCUUCCUCUUGAGCUCUCUUUAUACUCUCCACAAUUGUCGAGACAACUUCUAUUUUCAAUGCUCUUGGCCUUUUCCUUUCAACAUUGACUUUACGACUAAGACCAUCAGCAACAACAUUAGUUUUACCGGGAUGGUAAAGUAUCUCACAGUCGUAGUCCUUGAGUAACUCUAGCCAGUGUCAUUGCCUCAUAUUCAAUUCUUUCUGAUUAAAGAGAUAUUGGAGACUCUUAUGAUCAGUGAAAAGUUUGCACUUCAUGCCAUAGAGGUAAUGCCUCCAUAUUUUUAGAGCAAAAACUACCGCUGCCAACUCCAAAUCAUGAGUCGGGUAGUUCUUUUCAUGCUCUUUUAGCUGUCGAGAUGCAUACACGAUCACGUUAUCUCUUUGGGUCAAAAAACAACCCAAUCCAACUCCAGACGCAUCGCUAUAAAUAGCGAAGUCUUCAACUCCAUCGGGUAGAGAAAGAAUCGGUGCCUCGCAUAACUUCUUCUUUAGCUUCUCGAGUGCUUCUUUAUGCUUAUGACUCCAAGCAUAAGUAGCUCCUUUGUGGGUCAAAGCUGUCAAUGGACUAGCGAUCGAAGAAAAGCCUUGGAUAAACCUUCGGUAAUAUCCGGCUAAUCCUAAAAAGCUUCGGAUCUCCGUGGGACUUUUCGGUUGUUCCCACUUCAUUACAGCUUUAAUCUUUGCAGGAUCAACCAUUAUCCCUUCUUGGUUGAUCACUUGACCCAAGAAUUGGACUUCACGAAUCCAAAAUCACAUUUGGAGAACUUUGCAUACAACUUCUCCUGCUUCAAAACUUCUAACACUUCUUGCAAGUGUCUGCCAUGCUCCUUAUGGCUUUUCGAGUAAAUCAGAAUGUCAUUUAUGAACACUAUCACGGAUUUAUCAAGGAACGGAUUACAAACACUAUUCAUUAAAUCCAUGAAUGCUGCUGGAGCAUUGGUUAGUCCAAACAACAUAACCAAGAACUCAUAGUGUCCAUAUCGUGUUCUGAACGCAAUCUUCUCGAUAUCCUGCNAUCCUGACCUAAGAUCGAUCUUCGAGAAAUAGCUCGAACCUUGCAAUUGAUCAAACAGGUCAUCAAUCCUCGGCAACGGAUAUCUAUUCUUUAUUGUUGCCUUGUUCAGCUCUCUGUAAUCGAUGCACAUUCUCAUACUUCCAUCUUUCUUCUUUACGAAUAACACCGGAGCUCCCCAGGGCGAUGAACUAGGUCUAAUGAAACCUUUGUCCAAUAACUCCUGAAGUUGCAUCAUCAGCUCCUUCAUCUCCGUCGGUGCUAAUCGAUAAGGUGCUUUUGCUAUUGGCGUGGUUCCUGGUAACAAGUCAAUUCUGAACUCCACUUGUCUAUCAGGUGGUAAUCCAGGAAGAUCUUCGGGAAAUACUUCUGGAUAAUCACACACCACUGGAAUACUCUGCAUCACCUUCUUUUCCUUCUUAGCAUCAAUCACGAAUGCUAAAUAUGAUGUACAUCCCUUGGUCAAACACUUUCUGGCUUUCAUUAGGGAAAUGAUUCCAGAAUUUACUCAGCGUUUGUCCCGAAACACCAUAAACGAAUCUUUCCCAGGUGGGUUUACUUUAACUAUCUUCUUCUUGCAUAAAAUUUCGGCAUCAUUGGCGCUAAGCCAAUCCAUUCCCAGAACGACGUCGAAACCAUUAAGUUUGAUAGGAAAUAAUUCAUCGUGAAACUUAUUCCCAUUAAGGUCGAUUAAGAUGUUUUUCAUACGAUGGCUAACAGGUACAAACUUGCUACUAGCAACUUCGACUAAUAAAGCAUUAUCUAGUCUAUCAAUAGGCAAAGCUAUUUUUCUACCAAACUCAUGCGAAAUAAAGGAGUGGUUGGCUCCAAAAUCAAACAAAAUUUGAGCAGGUAAUUCGUUUACGAGAAAGGUACCUGAAGCGACAUCAACUUUAUCUUUAGCAGCCUCAAGUGUCAUUUGGAAGGCUCUCGCCUUCGGCUUUGGUGGAAUGUUGGGCUCAGCUGCCUCCUUCUUCUUCGGACAGUCUUUCAAAAUGUGCCCCUCUUCAUUGCAACCAAAACACAUCCUUUUGUUGGACGAACACUCAUUGGCAAAAUGCCCAAUUUUUCCACACUUGUAGCAGGUUACAUCCUCACUACACUUCCCAAAGUGCUUUUUCUUACACUUAUCACACCAUUUCGCUUCGCAUCCUUUUCCUCCAAACUUUUUCGAAUCAGAUUUCGAAAAAUUGCUUCUCUUACCGGAACCAGAUGUUCCCUCAAACUUUCUCUUCUCACCAACCUCAACCUUGUCGGUGGUUCUCCCCUUAAUCAUGUUCUCAACAGACUUGACAUCCCAAAUAGCUGCCUCUAGAGCAGGUGCCUAACAAACUGGCACUGCGUACUCCCAUGAGAGUCCCUUUGCAUACCGGUCAACCUUUGUUAACUCAUCUGGAACGAUGCGCAAAGCAAACUCCAUCUUAUCGGUAAAGUUAUUAGUGUAUUCAUCAACUGACAUGCUGCCUUUCGUUAAUGUUAGAAACUUGUUCAUCAACUGAGCCGAGCAGAACUUGCGCUUGAACUGCACCAAGAAUUCUGCCCGUGUCAAUUGCAGUGGCUCAUUAGGGCUUAAAGUCUUCCCUAGAGUGUUCCACCAACGAACGGAUCCACCUCGGAACUGACGUACUGCGAACGNCCCUCCCCCCCCACCCACAAGUCAUAAAGGCUAACUCCAUUUCGGAGAUCCAAUCCAUCACUCCGAUCGGGUCCUCCUUUCCAGUGAAGGUCGAUGGUUUGCAAGUCAGAAAGUCCUUGUACUUGCAUCUUAUUCCAUCAUUCCUUCCAUCAAGGUUGUUUUGCCUAACUAUCAGUGGGUUGGCUUGACCAGCAGACCCACUGAAGUUUCCACCUUCCGAGUGCCCUUCAUUAAAUUCAGGCUCUUCCACAUGAAUUUACAGUUCUUCACGAUUCUGUUGAAGCAACCACCUAGUUUCAUCCAUCUGACGAUCCAACAUUGUUUGAAUCAUCAUUUGCACACCAGCCAUGGUUAUUGGCUCAGGUGCUGCUGCUACGACAGGUAUUUGUUCAAUCACUGGUGGUUGAUUCCUGUUUUCAUCAGCAUUUCCAACUCCACUUCUUGUUCUCACCAUUUUGAUCUACACACCGAAUAAGGUGAAAUUAGAUCCUCAAUCACGAUAGAUAUUCAAAUCAUCCUUAUCACUCCGAAACGUUCACAUGCUAGUUCUAAUAUUGUAGACGUACGCUUAGAAUCCUACACACAUAAAGUUUCUAGAUCCGGUUGGCAACAGACCAUAGAUCCGAACAAAUAAUAUCAUAUAUGGCAACAUAUAACAUUUAGCACAUAAAAGCAUUUUAGGCAACUUUCCUAAAAUAAACUAGUGCUCGUGUCUAAAACAUAAUAGACACAUAUCUCAAAACUUCACUUAGCAUUUUAAGUUUAAGUCUCGAAAUCCUACAAAUUCCUAGUUCGCUUAAACUAAUGCUCUGAUACCAACUGUGACAUCCCAAAAAUCUCGGCCAGAAAAGACCGAUUUUCAUUUAUGCUUUUAAAAUAAUUUCAGAGUAAAUCCUUUUGAUUUGAAAGAGUUGCGGAAUUUGUUCCCAAAAACAAAACGUGAUAAAAUAAUAUUUACCAAAGCAUUUCAUAAAAGAAAUGUAUUUUCAUUAUAUAAUCAAAACUCGGGAUGUCAUGUUCCGAUACAGACCAUAAAGCAUAAACGAUAACAUUACAAGUCAUUCAACAAAUAUAUACAUAUACAGACUUUUAAACAAAACAACUUGAUGGUUCAUCCAUCUUAUGCCCUUGCACCACUUCCUGUAAUACAAAUAAAACUGAGUGGGUCAGGCGUGGGAGCCUGGUGAGCAUAUAGGGUUUUCAACCCACAAUAAAUAAUUAUAUUUAAUUCCACCAAUCAACAAUAACCCAAUUACCCAUUCCCAUUAUUCUCACUUUACGUCCCUAAAACAACUAACACAAGGGACCCUAGUCUUAGAAUAUUUGAUCGGGGCAACAACACAUGCAUUCGGGGGUUUCCCGACAAUAUAUGUCAAAUAAGGCAACCAUGAGGGGGAUGGAGUACAGCGAAUGAACACCCAAGUUCAUUAAGACCUACAGGUGGCGAACCUGCUAGCGUUCCACAGGACUUUCUAGAAAAGUCUGUGGUCGUCAUCUAAACUCCGUUAGAUGACUGAAUCAAAACAACAACGAGGCCUCUCAUCUGUUUAUUACACACCAACUAUCUACCCAUGUUCUACCCAACAUAUUAGUAGAUAAAAACAUACAUUUUUAUACAUAGUUUAAAAACCUGUAUAGCAUGCUUUAAUCAAUACAUAUUCCAAAACAACAGAUGAGACACAUACACAUAACACGUAUUUCAUUGAGAAUAAAUCAUAUCUAUGAGAUAGAAGAAAGUGAAUAUACAUUCACGCAUAUAACAAGAAAAUGUACACAUAACACGUAUUUUAUAUUAAAUACUUAAUAAUUAUGCGUUAGAAGAAAGUAACCACACACUCACCUGAUCAGAAGAUGAUCGGACAGCACUAUGGCUUGCAGAAGUAGUAAUCCUCAGCAGAUCUGGAGGAUCUCUACAAAAAUCGAAUUUGGAUAUGAAUCGCACUUCUCGGGAUCCCGGGAGCGUGAAACUUCCUUUUUAAUUUGGAUAUGAGGUUCGGGGUGUCGGGAUGGCUUCGGGGGUUUACGCGCAGAGUUUCGGCACAAAGAGGAGAAGAAAUGAGCAAAAAUACCCGGAACCCUCGCAUCCUAUUUAUAGGAGGUUGAGGCCUCGCCGUACGCUGGGCGUACAGCCUGACGCGGGGCGUAAGCCUCCGAAUUCAUCACUGCAUGCGUCAUCCGAAGAACUCGAGUGCGAGGUGCGUCAUGCUUCAUGGUACGCUGAUCAUUGAAUCCUUCGGAUAUACAUCCGAAUUAAAGAUUAAAUUUAAAUAUUAAUUAUUUAAUAAACUUCGGAAAUUCAUAUCUUCUUCAUACGAACUCUGUUUUUGACGUUCUUUAUAUCCACGCGUAGGUGACACUACGCUCUACAACUUUUGUUUAGACUUCGUCGGCUAAUUUUGAAUUUAUUUUUAUUAUUUAUUUUUAGUAGGCCCGGACAGGAAAACUUCGUUAUAAAUUCAUAACUUCUUCGUUUGACGUCCGUUCUCGCCUAACUUUUUAUCGUUUUACUACAAUUAAUGAGAUCUUCGAUUCUCAUUUAGAUUGUUUCGGCUAAAAACCGCUCGGUGUCGAGUAUUCGGGUUGCAUACCGCUAAGUCGAAAUUUCGAAAAAUCAUAACUUCCUCAUACGAAGUCAGUUUUUGGCGUUCUUUUUAUGCACGCUCUUGGUUUAACGAACUCUACAACUUUCGUUUAGAUCACUAAGGCUAAAUAUCGCUCUAACGUAAAUUUCACUUUUUACGUCAUUUAGCGUUUGUCGGUUCUGUGUCGCGAAACUUCGACAGGUCAUAACUUCUUUGUUAUAACUCGGAUUUCGGCAUUCCUUAUAUCUCCGAAACCCUUGUUUCGAGCACUACAACUUUAUGUAAAGAUAUUGAGUUUAUUUUACACUUAAAUUUUGACGCUUAUUUUAUUCUUAAUUAAUCAAAUCACAUAAUUAAGCAAUUAAGCACAAAACACAUAAUACUCAAAUAAUUCAUCAUUAAUACUUCAAAAAGAGUUACAAGGGUUAACCUAGAGUAUUACAUCAAUGAAAAUGCCUAGCCUGAAAACGUGGGCGUUACAUUGCGCCAUCAGAUUUUGAUCUAAUAUUUAUUUGUGGAGACCCACUAUGGGAUUUGGGCCCAAUUUGGAAAAUUAGGCAAUAUUUGGGCCUUGGGUGUUUAAUUGGAAUUUGGGCUUUUGGAUUGUUGAAUUGGGCCUUGGAUUUGGGCCAAGUUAUGAAGAGGCUAAAAAGGGCUUUUACCCUAGUUUGGACACUUUGUAUGUGUCAGAUUCGAUUCUUGAUAGAUGAUUAACUUGUGAUUGAUAGUGCGAAGAUUUUAGCGGGGGCCAACAGUCAGAGAUUUAUCUGCGGGAUUCAGAAGUGCAAGGUGAGUCUCCUCACUGUGAUAUUGGGUCGAAGGCACUGAUGCCAGUCUAUUGGUUUAUAUAUCAUCGGAAGACUAGGAGGUGACCCUUGGCACUUAUAUGUGUCACACCCCCAAACCUGAACGGCGGAAACAUUGGAGGCGGAGGACGUCAUGUGCAGUACCAUAACAAUUAAAUAGUAAAGAAAGUAUACACCACCAUAAUAUAUAUAUAUAUAUAUAUGUAUAUAUAUAUUUGAAAAGUUUACAUGAUUGUAUGUGUUACAUGUUUGAAAGUCAAAUACAAUAUGGUGUUCCAAAAUAUGUUACUAACGACAGAGCGUUAAUCCCCAAAAGUAGUUGCUAACUUGGUUUAGCGAUUCCCUGAGAAUACAAGUUAUUUCAAAGAAAAAGUGUCAACAAUUAAGUUGGUGAGUUCAUAAGUAGUUAUUUGUGUAAAUGUAUGACAUUCGAAAGUUCACGUUUGUUUUCUAGAAAACUCGAUAUUUUCUUAUGAAAUGAGUUAUGAAUCGUUGUUGUAUGAAAUGAAUGUAUUGAACCAGGAAAAUCCUAUAUUUUCCUAAAUGUGAGAAGCAGUCUUAAAUGUCCAAGACUGUAACUUGUAAGCAAAUAUGUCAUGCUUAAACUGAUAACAUAUAGUUUUAUUAGUGAACAAAACUAUAAGAAGCUUGUAGUUGUAUGUAAAAGCAACCGUAAUAUUACUUUUCCCGUAAAAACAUAAUACCAUAAUAAUUGUCUAUCCAGUGAGUUUUCAUCACCGUACUAUGAUGGAUUUGCCUGUAGCGACGUUCUUCAGGCAUCGAAAUGUUAUGACACUUGUCACCCUUAACCUGCCGGUCCGGUUGUAGCUAACAGCCAGGGUACGAGAUCAUCAAUCCCAUAUAGAUCUAUACACACUUAUCACAUUCUCCGGACGGGAGACUCUGGUUAUAAAACAUCACUUUCUAGUGGUACCUUGAUAGGUAUAAUGAAGACGAAUGUCGCACGGAUUCUCAAUUAAGUCUAGUAUUUCAAAUUGAAUGUGUUAUAGUUGAAAUGGUUACCCUUGAUAUGAUGUAAUAUGUAAAUAUAUAAAUAAAGCAUAUUUGUAUUUAUAAAACAUAAUGUAUCCCAAGAGGGUAAAGUUGUGUUGUGAGAUGUUUUGCAUGUUCACAUCUUCAUAUGAUAGUUUUAACAACAAUAUGAAAAGUAUAGCAAAAGAUUGAUGUUUUCACACGAUUUUAGUCAUGUGUUUACUUGUAUUCCCCCCUCCCCCCCCCUCCCGUAAAAGUGUUUAAAAGCAUUUAAAAUCGUAGUGAUAGGGGUAUGAACUCACUUGGUAGAAAUUACGUUUUGAUGGAAACGAUGCUUUAUUCGGGCAACACUUCGACCGGAAACAAGUCGAUUUCUCGAGAAUCUCGAGGCUUUGAACUUCCGUCAAAGCUUGGAUAUGAAGUCAUGGAGUCGGGGUAGUCUCCAAAGGGUAGAAAGUGAAAAAGUAGUGGAGAGAGAUUGGAAAAUUAGCCCAUAAACCGGAGCCUUCGCAUCCUUUAUAUAGGGCUAGAAGAGGCCUCGAACGCGGAGCGUUCUUGCGAAGAACGCUUUUUCCAAAUGGAUUAUUUGUGAAUAAUGAUUAACACAACUUUUUAUCUGUUUUCAGUAAAAAAAAAGGAAGAAUGUUGGUUCAAGCUUUAUCCUAAAGGAAGCCUAACAUAAAUGGUCGUGCACAUAAGGUAUACUUUUUGACACCCAAACAUUUUCUCUCUUCGCGUGAACAAAAGGCACACACAACCGAAUAUUAGGAAUCAAAGUUCUCAAUCUGUUUAGGGUGUAACAAAAUAAGAGGAGUUAUAACCUUUCAUUGAAUGCAUUAAAGUGGAAAUAUUAAAAUUUUAAAUCAUUGAAUACUACAAAUAUAUGUUCAUACCAUGUCUAAACACUAAGUGUCAAAAUCUAGGAUUGAAUUGUCACCAUUCCCUGUACUUGUCACAGUGUAAUAUGCAAUUGGGACAAUUCAUAGAUUAAUCAUCUUCCGUAGAUGUUCUUAGGUAAAUUCUAUGUUAAUAACAAACUAUUGCAUUUUGGAAAACACUAUGAAUUUGUUUAAGCAUAUUGCUUAAUUUUAAGGAAUCUUAUUGAUUGAUUCAUUCUUUGGAUAGAACCAAGCAACAUAUUGAGAAUGUUUAAAUUGCUUCAAGAGUUCGGAGGAGAUGUGUCACUAGGAAUCAUUAAUAUUGUUGAAUCAAGAGAAUGUAACAUAAACUUUUACUAUUUUCUUACUUUUCCUUCUUAUGUAGGGUGAGGGGGAAUCGUCAAGGUCUCAUCCUUCAUUCACAGGAACAGGGUUGAGAAAGAGAGGCUACAUGGCUGGCAUGAAUAGAAAAUAGAUGCAUUCGGCGAAUUGGGGAAUCUUCAAGGUCAAUCGUGUGCAAGUCAAUGAGCUAUAUCCUAGUUUUCCAGAAGAAUUAAGAUAAUAUAUACCAGCCUCUACUGCAAAAUUAAACACAUUUGGAAUUGUAUAUUUAUCAAAAUUAAAUACUUUUCCAUGUGUGCUGUUUCCCCAUGAUUCUUUUAAGCAUAGUUAUCAAAAUUAAACACUUCUCGAAUUGUGUGCUAUUUCCUUAUACCGGUAUCUAGAUUGGAGAUAAAAGGAGUAGAGGCUUUAAUUAUCUCAUAUGCAACAACUAUAGUAGCCAACCUAAUUUGAAUACAACAAAAUGUCACCAUAAACAAAAACUAAGAAGCAACACCCAAAUGAUGAGAGAAGAAGCAGCUCCAAUAACUUUUUCACUCUUGCAAUACUCUCAAUGUAGAAAAUACUUGACCCUCUCAUUCCUAAACACUAUACAAAACAUUAAAUGUAAUUAAGUCGCCUGUUUAAGUCAAAAGCUAGAUUGCCCAAAAAAUUAUUCUAUUUAACUUCUUUGUGGGCAAUUGAGGAGAUCAAGAAACACAAUGCCUUCGAUCCUACAUCAACAACCUACAAAACAAAGCAACCUCCAUCUUCCUCAUAAUCACCAUUUUUUCAUCACUGUUAAUAGUCGUUGAAGUUCUUUACUUUCUUUACUACAUAUGUUAUUCGUUGGUAGUCAAAUUCAUGUUCUUGAACCCAAAGAACACCACAGCUAUCAGAACUUUUAUCGAACACUUGGCGUGUGUUCUUACAAACUCCACCUCAACCCAAAAUCUCUUUGUUGAGGGACCCCAUUUUCGAUUCAAAUCACCAAAACAAAUACAAUCCAAUAAAAUCAAUAUGAAUUAUGAUUUGAGAUUUAAAAAAAAUCACGUAAAAUAUGCACCCAAAAACAGUAUGGUUUUCACUUACGACAGAAAUAUCCAUUGAUUAUCCACUAUGAAGUUAUAACUGAAACACCAUUCUUACAUCUCCAUCCUCCACAAUAUGUAUGUGUUUAUGCGUAAAGAUACAAAGAAGAAUUAGACCCGGGAAUUCAAACCUUUGUACGUACAUUAUCUAAGGGGGUGUUUGGAUAGGAAAAAAAGAGGUGCUUAUUGCUUAUUCCCACAAUAAGCUAAUUUAAGUGUUUGGAUAAAAUCCAGCUUAUUAGGCUAAAUAAGCUAAUUUUAAUAAGCAUUUCUUUCCAUGCUUAUUGCUUAUUGCUUAUUUCCACCACAAAUAAGCUAUAAGCAAUAAGCUAAAAAUCUAAUCCAAACACCCCCUAAAUGGGUUAUACACAUUUCCCCAUAUUUACAUUAACAGUCCCUAGAAAUAUGUGUGUAUGUCUACUUUAGCCCUAGACUUUUAUUUUUAAGCCACAUGGUCCUACAUCAACAUUUGAGCAUAAAUUUCAAGUACUUACAUGGCAUAUAAAACUGGCUAUAUCAGUUAUGGACGAUCAAAAAAACAGGUCAGCAUCCACUCUAAGCCUCUAUUAAGCCGAAAAAUAACUUCAGGGACCUUUUAAACUAAUUCGAAAAACAUUGUUACCCAUAAGUGACAUUAACCCUUGCAAAAAUUGUAUAUUACUUUGUAUGCAUAUGGUCAUUUCCAUGGAUUUAAUAGGUGGGCCACCAAGGACUAAAAAUGUGAUCAAAUCGUUGGUUUAGGGAUGGAAAAAGGUAAAUGAUGAAACUAUUCGACCAUAUCCAUGACAACAUAAACCAUAUGGUUUAUUUUUUUAGUGAACGUAGAGCUAGUUGUAUGAGUAUUUAACAGUUGAGCAAUCUAGUUAGAUGACCCAAUUGACAAACAGUGUGACCAAAUGUUUUUUUUUUUCGGCCUGAACAAGUAAAGUACCAAACUGUUGGACCAAAUUUAUAAAAGACAAAACACAGGGAUGAUUUUUGUAAUUUACUCAACAAAUAAUUACUUGCAGAAGUAAAGGGAAAGUACCUCUACACCAAAACACCCGCUUUCAAAAAAAAAUAAAUAAAAAAAAAUUUCAAAAGAAAGCAAAACGGUGUUUCUUUUUUUCUUUUUCGGGAAAGAACCUUGAAAGCCUCCGAUCCCAACGCGUAAGAAAACCCCAACAUUUUCGUUGUUUGUUUAUAGUCUCUCGCCCUCUCCCUUCUUUUCAUCGUGGACUCACCGUUUCCCUGUUGACUUACUGCUCAUCUUUCUUGGUCUUUGUCUCUGUUCAUUUUUCCUCUGUUAUCGUUACUUCAGGUUUAUGUAAACUCUCCUCAUCCUUACAAGCUAUUUUUGCUUGUCUAAGAAUUUCACUUAUCAAUCACAGAUCAUUUGAAUUUUCAUAAACAGGUGAUUAAAAUUUUGUCUAUUUCAGCUAAUUUUUUUUAGUUUACAUAUCAGUUAUAUUGUUACAGUCCAUUACGUUCUUGCUUGAAGUCAAGAAUGAUGUACAAAACUUUGCGCAGACUGGGAAAUUCUCCGAUUCUCAAAAAUUCCUUCGUUAAUCACUUUAUAUUUUGAGUUCAUAAACACCAUUUUUUUUACAUUUGAUUCUUUUUUUGAAUGAUGUUAUCUGCUCCUUAAUUGUACGCUAAACACUCAAAGCUUUAAUAUUCGAUUCACAUAAUUCUAGAUUGGCUGCUGAUGUUCCCUUUGUUCAAAACCUGCUGAUCUGUCAAAGCCAGAGUGUAAGACAUCCAGGUGUUAUUUUGCUUGAAUCAAUAUUAGGAUUUUGGUAGUGCAUAGUCUAGAUUCUGAAACAAAUAAGUAAUGCUCUCUCUGUUUGAAAAUAAGCUGGAUUAGGUUUGUGUUUGGAGGUACAAAACUGAUAAGAGAUUUCUUUGUAGAUUUAAGUCAUAUGAAUAACAUUUGUCAGCUAAGCUUAUGUCAUUUGUUACUUAAAUCAUUCAUACCUUCCGGUUUUGAGUGUUUCAACUUCUUCCACAAGUGCUUCUACUUCUGAUACAGAAAAUGGUCUUCUAAUUCUACGUUGUGAAACUUCACAUUUCUUGGUCAACUGAUAGUGCUUCAGUUUUCACUUACAAGGAUAGCAUCAGAGCUUUGGAAUCAGCCAUUCCAUCUUAUGGCGAUUCCGUUUGUAAGGGUAUAAUUUCUUGAUUCUUAUCAACUUGGUUUUAAGGGCAUUUCAGUUAUCAGGAUCAUUAGGGCAUUUACGUCUUUUUCAUAGACGAGAGAUCGAGAGAUCAAAAGUUGCAAUUUUGUCAGGGUAUAAUGUCUUGCAUAACAAACAGGGCCUUAAAGCAUUAGAAUUUCCACUCAAUAGUUUUGUUAGGGAGUUCAUAAUCUUUCUUUAAAGUUACUUUACAGUAUCUAGACGCCAUCAUCUUCCUUAUUCUUCUGUAUCCAGCCAGCACGUGACUGUGCCUGAAAUGCCCUCAUUUUGGUUCCAUGGUGAUUGAAUUUUCAUCAUCAUCAUCAUCAUCAUCAUCUCUAAUACCCAUCAUUACAUAUACCUUAUGUCUUACGAAAGGGUAGAUUUACACUACUAUGUAAGUGAACUUCAGAUGAAUUUUAUUUAGACAGUAAUAGGAUACUUAUGUGGGUUUACCAAAAUAAAAUAGAGAUGUUGUGCAACAAAUGAACAGAUUGGUUAGAUAUUUUCUUGCACCCCUGAAAAAAAAAAGAAAAAAAAACUCAAUUCAGUUAAGUGAGCAGCUACUCUUUAAAUAACUAAAUAACUCACAUGGCAAUGUAAUUUUUAUUUUACAUCAAUACUUUGCUAUUAGCAGAUGAGAUUUAAGUUGCAUAUUGUAAUCGGUAAUUUGCUAUUGUGCAGAGGCAUUUUGUAUGGGUCCUGACAUUUAAGCACCAGCACAAGUGAAGAAAGCCGGUGAAACCAACUUUCAUAAUUAAUAACAUGUGGAAGAGUUUGAGAGCUUACUGAGAAGUGUCAUCAACCCGUAAUUUAUUAUGGUCGUUCUAUCUGAUCUUCCAGAAGGAUCUUCAUCUUCUUCAUCAACUCAUGGUUAUAGUUCAUCAGCUCGUGUUCAUACUCCAUCCACUCAUGGUCAUAAUUCAUCAACUCAUAAUCAUAGAUAUGAUGUAUUUUUAAGUUUUAGAGGUGUUGACACUCGUCAUAGCUUCACUGAUCACCUUCAUAAGGCCCUCAUUGAUGCCAAUAUCAGUACCUUCUUGGAUGAUGAAGAGAUUGAAACAGGGGAAGAUCUGAAACCGGAACUGGAGAGUGCGAUUAAGGCAUCUCGGGCUUCUAUUAUCAUCUUGUCUAAGAAUUAUGCUUCUUCAACAUGGUGCCUGGAUGAAUUGGUGUUGAUCCUUGAGCAGCGUAUGACAUCCAACCAUAUCAUUGUCCCAAUAUUUUAUCAUGUGGAGCCCACCCAUGUCAGGAAGCAACAAAGUAGCUUUGGAGAUGCAAUGGCUAAGCAUAAACGGACAAUGGAGGCAGAGAUAAAUGCGGAUAAAAGAAGUCAAUUAGCUCAAAAGAUGAACCGAUGGAAUAAAGCGCUUACACAAGUUGCUGAUUUAAAAGGGAAUGACAUAAAUGGCAGGUAACCACUUUCUUACCCUUAUUCAUCUCCCAAUGCAUUUCAAUAAGUUUUUUCUAAAUCAUUAAAUAGACAUAUAUCUGAUGUAUUAUGAUAUAUAGAAGAUGCACAUAAUUGAAGAUAAGUUUCCAAAUAUGUGAUCUCCUAAACCAGUUCAUAUAGAUGGGUUAGCCAUUCUCAUAAUUUUCACAUGUUUGUUAUGCAUUUUGUAUUUUAGAUGAAGUUAGUGCAUUUAGAUGAACCAUCUCCUGGAUUUUUACAUGCUUUUUAUUUAAAAACCAAAGUUUGAUGAGUUUGCUAUGCAUUUACCGUUAAUUAUACCAUACUACCUUCAAAUCCCGGCUUUUAUGAUAAAUAAUUGCUUUUAGGUGUAUGUAGUAAAAGAUAGCCUAUAACUAUUUCAUGGCAUUUUGUUCAAAUCUAUGUAAACACCCACAUCGAUGGUUAAGUUUGAUAGUCUUGUAGAAACAUAGUGAAUUUUGGUGGCCUGUUAGUGGAAUCUUGUAUUUCAUUGGUUGCUUUGGUUAUACCAUAAUCAAAUCUUUAUGACCAAUCAUUAGCAAAAUCUUGUAUUUCAUGUCAUUUUGUUCAGAUUGAUGCAAACCAAUUAAUAAUAACAGCUAUGAUAUAAUCUUAGUUUGGAUCUUUGAAUAAGUUAAAUCUCACAAUCUGGUUCAUUAGUUUUGUAGAUUGUGUUUUGAAGUUCUUAUAUAAUCAAGUUUCAGGUUAGAGACGGAGUUUAUUGAAGAAAUUGUGAAGGACAUCCACUGUAGAUUACAUGUGCACUUAAGGAGUGUUGGACCACAACUUAUUGGGAUGAAUUAUCAUAUUAACUUUGUAACUUCAUGGUUAAAAGAUGGAUCCUCACAUACAGUAGACAUACUUACUAUUUAUGGUAUAGGUGGGAUCGGGAAGACAUCUUUAGCCAGACAUGUAUAUGGGCUAUAUUCUCAUGAAUUCCACAGAAGCAGCUAUAUUGAAGAUAUCACUAGAAAAUGUGGGGGAAAGUUUAAUGGGUUACUUGAUUUACAAGAAAAACUCUGCAAUGACAUUUCAAAAACAAGUUCAAUUAAAGUUCAUGAUGUUUCGGUAUACACCACAAAGAUACAGAAUGCACUAGCCCUUAAAAGGGUGUUUCUAUUUCUUGAUGAUAUCAAUACUCUUGUUCAGUUGGAUGCAUUACUUGGAAGCAAAGGUUUUCAUCCUGGAAGCAAAAUUAUAAUUACAACAAAAGACAGUUGGUUGACUGAGAGUUGUGCUUUAUUCAAAACAAACAUUAAACCCAAGCAUGAAAGGCAUUUACUUCAAGGCUUAGGUUAUAGUGCAUCGCUACAACUUUUGAGUUCUCAUGCAUUCGUGUGCAACCAACCCAAGGCGGGAUAUGAAGAGGUGUCUGAUAAACUUGUUAAGUAUUGUGAAGGACAUCCAUUGGCUCUUGAAGUUUUGGGAAAGUCUCUGCAUAAUCGAGAUGUAGCUUAUUGGGAAGGGUGCAUCGAAGGGUUAAAGAAAGAAAUUAGUUCCCCUAUAAAUAAUGUUUUAAAAAUGAGUUUCGACACCUUACCAUCCAAAAAUAAUAAGGACUUGUUUAAGUAUAUUGCUUGUUUUUUGUUGGAAUAGAUAGAGAUGUCACCGAAACAAUACUAGAGGCAUGUGAUAUAAACACAAGAUCCGGGAUCAUGAAUCUCAUUGACAGAUGUCUUCUUAGUAUUGGAUGGAAUAGUGAAUUGAAGAUGCAUCAGUUGGUUCAAGAGCUGGGAAGAUUCGAAGUACGUCAAGAGUCACUUGACAAACCAUGGAAGCGAAGUCAAAUAUGGUGUCAUAAGGAGUCAUUCAAAGUGUUGAAACAAAAAAAGGUGAGAGCUUAUGUAUACUUGUUGGUAGUGUGCAUAUUCAAAUUACAUUUUAUUAUUCAUUUUUAUUUUUGGCCAUCUGUUUCUUCUUAGGGUAAGGGAAAUCUUCUAGGCCUUACCCUUGACAUGCGCAUGCUUGAGAAAGAGAAGUUGGGUAUAUCAUAUGAGCUAAAAACAGAUGCAUUAAGUAACAUGGAUAAUUUGAUGCUACUGCAACUCAAUUAUGUGCACAUGAAUGGGUCUUUUGCAAACUUCCCAGAGGAAUUAAGAGGUUUGUGUAUGCAUGGUUCCAUUUAAAGUCUAUACCUUUAGACUUACCGAUGAUGAAUUUGGUUGCUCUUGACAUGUCAUAUAGCAAUAUCGAAUCAUUUGUCGGUUGUUAUAAUAAUCCACAACGGCUUGAAAAGAGGCAAAAGGUAACUUAUCUUCAUUUAUUAUUCGUCUGUGCUGAGUUGAUGGAAUUCUCAACUGUUCUAUCUUAUUUCCAUUUCUGUAGUUGGAUGGAUCGUGCUUAAAAGACAAAAGGUUGCUUGGAUCAUUAAAGAUUCUUAAUUUAAGCUUCUGUAAACAACUCCGUAGUCUUGGUGAUUUUGACCAACUUCCUGCACUUGAGAAGUUAAUAGUUAGAAACUGCAUUGGUUUGCUCGAUGUUUGUGAAUCAAUUGAGCAAUGUGCUGAACUUGUCUUCAUCGAUCUGAGCUACUGCAAGAAGCUUGAAAAACUUCCAAGAAAUGUAGGCAUGUUGAAGAAUGUUAAAACAAUGUUGCUAGAUGGUUGUAGUCCUGGUGGAUCUCGAAUCCAGAGGGCUAGCAACAUUGACAUAAAUACAAGAACCUCUUCCUCUUCCUUUAUGGUUGGUAUACCAAGUGAUUUGAAGUUCUUUGUAAUUUAUUUACCAAGGUCUUUAGUAAGUUUGUCAGUUGCAAAUAGUAAUAUGUCCACUAAAUCCUUUCCCAUGGACUUGAGUUGCCUAUCCAUGUUAAAGGAAUUAUAUUUAGAUGGCAAUCCUAUGAAUUCCAUGCCCAGUUGUGUGAGAACCCUUCCUAGGCUUGAGAUACUUAGUAUGGAGAAUUGUAGAAAGUUAAAGUCAGUUGAGCAUCCUCCACGAACACUAAAAAGGUUGCUCUUUUAUGUUAAUGGGGAUCUUCAAGGAAAAGUCGUAUUUGAUCCAGAGAUGUCCCCACUACAGUUAUCAUCAACGGUGUCGGUUUCUGCAGCUUUCUCAUAUGAAAUUGAAGGCAUUGUGAAAAUCCAACCAAUGGUAUGUGUUGAGGAAGAGGUAUUACGUAGCUUGGGCUGGAGUAAUUUAGACUUUCUUAACCAAAGGCACUUGGGAGCUUAUUCUUGGGAAUCUGGAACCCAGGUUUUUUUAGUUAAUUGUUUGUCUCUAUAUGAAUAUGUAUAAUAUAAUUAUUAUGGUGAUUAAUUAAGGUGAUUGUAUUUUGCAGAUGAUUUAUGAAUUUGGAAUAUUCAGCACAAUGUAUGAGGCGCAGGAGAUGCCGAGUUGGUUUAGGCAUAGAAGUGUGGGGCCAUCAAUAUCAUUUACCAUGCCAUCAUCAUCAUCAUCAUCAUCAUCAUCAUCAUUGUCAUCAUCUCCAAACAACCUCCUAAAAGGACUCAACUUCUGCUUCUCUGCUGACAAAUUGAGACCUGCAGUUCCAUAUGGUUGGUUCCAUUGGUCACCGGUGAUGGCAAUUACUAAUAUAACAAAGAACCACACGUGGAUAUACAAACGUUACAAAGACAGUUAUUGUUUUGAUCGAAAGUGUUGGGUGUUGUUAAGUCAUUGGAUGUUUGGGAUGAAUGAGAUGGAGGCUGGUGAUCAUGUUACUAUUUUUGUUACACUGCCAUAUAAUGAAUGUGUAAAGGAGUGUGGGGUGAGUCUUGUGUAUGAUGAUGGAGAGAAGAAGGAUGAGGAAGAAGAUGUGUUGGGUUAUUACAAGUCAUGGAAUCAUAUAAUUGGUGGAGAUCUCUCUCCUUUUAAGACAACUACAGGACAAUACGUCUUAUACUACUGGCGGUUUUUUGAUUAUGGCGUUACAUUGUAUCAAUAUUAUCGUAAAUUUGUUCCGGACGGCCCCCACUUUCAAGGUAGAUGUGAUUUUUGUUAAAUAGAUGGAUAACGACCCAUUUAUUUUAGCAGAUGGAUCAUAACUUAAAUCUUUUAAACAAAUGGAUCAUAUGACCAAAAUCCUCUCAUUUUAUUGAUCUAUAAGAUAGUAUUUUUUUUAUAAAAUAUAAAAAAUAAAAGUUGCACUUUUAAUUUAUGAAAUGAAUAAACCCAAAACAUCGAUUAGUCUAGUCUACACCAGGAGGUCCAGGAAGCCCAUCAAAUUAGUUGGGAUCAAGUCCAGUGCUUUUUGGUUGGGUAUGGUGUGCUGGCAUCCAUUUUACCCUACCCUAAGGAGUAUUUAAGCUUUUCAUUUUCUAGAAGAUUGUUAGCUAAGAAAAUUGUAGUAGCAAACAUGACUGGAGAGGCCCUUAAUUCCUCUGAAAGAAUGGGAAAACCCUAAUAAAUCAUUCAAUCAGUUAGUUGUUUCUGGUUGUGAAUUUCCUGCUUAUUCUCUUUACUUUGUGUGGGAGCUUAUAAGUACAAUCAAUUGAUCUAGGCUUUUGAUCUGUUGUAUCACAUAAAUACAUACGACUACUUUGUCCAGGUGGAUUGUUUGUGAAUAAUGAUUAACACGACUUUUUUUUUUUUUUUUUAUCUAUUUUCAGCACAAACAGAAAAGUGUUGGUUCAGAGCUUUCUCCCAGGGAAUCCUUGCAUAAUUGGAGGUGCAAAUGAGGUAUACCUUUUGACACCCAAACCCUUUCUCGCUUCACAUGACCAAAAGGCAUACAAAAUAAAAUAUUAGGAAUCAAAGUUCUCAAUUGGAUUAGGAUCUAAUAAUAAUAAGAGGAGUUAUAACAUUGCAAUGAACGCUUGAAAAUGCAAACAUUAAAAUUUAUAAUCAUUGAGUACUGUUAUGAAUUUCAGUUCAUACCAUGUCUAGACACAAUGGGUCAAAAUCUAGCUAGGAUCAAAUUCUCACCAUUCCCUGUACUUGUUAUGCAAUCGAGUUUAGUAGAUGUUGUUCUUGGGCAAAUUCUAUGUUAAUAACAAACUAUUGAACUUUGGAAAACAAUAUGAAAUUGUUUAAGAAUAUUGCUUGAUUUUAAGGAAUCUUCUUGAUAGAUGCCUUUUUUUAGGAUAGGACCAAGCAACGUGUUCAGAAUGCAUAAAUUCCUUCAAGAGUUUGGAAGAGAUGUAUCACUAGGAGUCAUUAAUUCUGUUGAAUCAAGAAAAUGUAACAUAAUAUUUACACUUCCAGGUAACUAUCUGUUUUCAUAGCAUUUUGUAUUAUAUCUUGUAUACUUACAUAACUUUUAUUUUUGUUUUUUUACUUUUCCUUUAUUUGUAGGGUGAGAAGGAAUCUUCAAGGUCUCGUCCUUCACAUGAAAAUGCUUGAAAAAUAGUUUGAUUCAUUUGAAAAUAGAUUCAUUCGGAAAAUGGGUAACCUAAUGCUAUUGCAACUCAAUGGUCUGCAAUUGAAUGAGUUAUAUCCUACUGCAGCUCAAUCGUGUGCACCUCAAUGACUUACUUUUAUCCAUACCUUUCCAGAAGUGUUAACAUAAUAUAUACUAGCCUCUGUUGAAAAGACUAAACAAAUUUCAAAUUGUAUGUUAUUUCCCCAUAAUUCUUUUAAGCAUAGUUGUCAAAAUUAAGCACUUCUCGAUUGUGUGCUAUUUCCUCAUAAUUUGAACUGAAAUCUUGGUAUCAAUCAUUCCCUAAUCAACAAUUUCCAUCAGUCUAUGGGCUAAAAAUCUCAAAUCCUUUUUGGGAUUCUAUAAUUUAUUUUGGUACUAUCUAAAAAUUCGCACACUACACCAUAAUAUCCUUUUUAGGCUCCGAUUCUGAAAGAUGAGAAUUCUCUUAUCAUUUGUUUUUUGAUUUUAGAAGCAACAUCUUUAGGUCACCCCUUUUUCUUCACAACACGGAACAGGAUACUAUCACAGAUUAAUUUAUAUUUCUUUUAUUUACUAUCCUAUUUAUCUUCAUAUUUACAUUAUGUUGUUGCCUAAAGAAUAUCAUAUUCUCAUUUGUUUUUAUUUUCCAUCCCAUCUUGAUAACCUAUGAAGUAUCAGUAGUGUUUUUGCACCACUCUCAUUUACAGGUUUUUACAUCUUGAUAUCUCAUCUUGAUUCCGCCUCAUUUGAGCUAAAAAACCGUUCAUCUCCUUACGAACAACUUGAUUACCAUUGAAGUCAUUCAGUUGGCCAUAAUUAACCUUGUUUUCCAUACCCACAUUGGAGAUACAAAUAAGGUUCUUUUUAACAGUCCUUAUGCAUACUUUGCUCCCUACCCUGUAAUUUUUCAAUCUCUAACAAUUCCAACCUGUCAUCCACCACGAUGCUUGGUGACCGUUGCUCAAGAGAAGCAAACAAAGAAACAAAGAAGACUAAAUUACAAAAAUCGUCUCUAUGGAAUAUUACCUUUUAUCCUUAUGGUCAUUUUGAUGAAUUUAAUAGGUCGGCCGCCAAGGACCGAAGGUGUGACCAAACGUUGGUUUAGUGAUGGAAAAGGUAAAUGGUGAAACUAUUAGACAAUAUCCAUGACAACAUAAACCAUAUGCUCAAUUUUUGUAGUCAACAUAAAACUAGUUACAUGAGUAUUUAAUAGUUUGAUCGAUCUAGUUACACGACCCAACUGAUUAACAGUGUGAACAAAUCUUGUUUUUGGGCUGAACAAGCAAAUAUGAAACUACUGGACCAAUUUAUAAAAAGAUGAAACACAGGUAUGGUUUCUGUAAUUUAGUAAACAAAUAAUUACUUGAAUUUUUGAUGUUAUUAACUAUUUUUCCCAAUUUUUAAGCCUCCAUGACAAUAUAAAUUCGUGAAAAAUAGUAUCCAGAUGAUAAAAAAUUCAUCAUACUUCCACUAAACAAACUUAAGCUGGGAAAAAUAUAAAAUGGGUUUCUAAAUAGUUACCUGGACUUUAUUAUUUUUUGUGUAUUUAUUCUAACAAAAAUGGAAAUAAAUAGAAUACAGUUUCCAAAAUCGCCCAAACUUUUUUUAACUCUGAUUUUAUACAUAUAUAAGCUGUGAAAAAUAUAAAAAAAUAUUUUUCAAUUAGAUUUUCUAUUUUUCUUUGUUUUAUUCUCUUGAAUAAUCAUUAAUUGGUGAAUAAUUAUCAAACUAUUAAAUUAAAUUACCAAAAUAUUUGAAAACUUCGUUUACAGUGUACAUAAUCUGGGAAAAAUAUCAAUGGUGAUUUUUACAUAUUGUAAUAUGAUUUUGUGGAUUUAAGUGUAUUUAAUCUUAGAAAUAGGGGAAAAAUAGUAUACCGAAUAGAAAAAUCAUCAAAAAUUUUAGUUACAGUUCUAAUAUAUAUGAGAGUCCUCUGGUACAUUUUCAUGAAUUUUGAAUGAAUAAAACUAUUUUUCUCAUUAUUAGUCCAUUAUAAAUACAAAAAUCGGGGAAAAUAGAUAUGCAUCAUAAAAAAUUCUGAAAAUAUUUUUCUGAGUCUUCCACAUAGGGUAGGAGCUGCGAAAAUUGUUAGAUAGACUUUUCAAAUUUAUUAAGGUGGUUUUAUGAUUUAUUUGAAUUAAACAAAAAAAAAUUCAAAACCAUAGCAAAAAGUAACAAAAAUCGAUGAAACUCACUGAGAAGUCAUCAUUCACUUUAGGGUCAUCCACGAAUUUACCUAUGAUUUAUAGACAUCAGAAAAUAUUUUAUAUGAAUUGUUUCCCUAUUUUAUUGCAAUAAUUAUAAUAAUUCGAGAAAAAUGAAUUAUUUUCUGAAAAUUUGUAGAACAUCUCAUUUUGUUGAUGGAAUUCUAGGUAAAAUCGGAUUUUGUCAUAAAAGAAGUUUAACAUAUUUAUUUGGGAAUAAAUCUUUUAUGAACCUAUUUGAAUGCUUUUUAACAACAAACUUUGAUGAUCAAGCCUCUAAGCUUGAAGAUCAUCACAUGCAUGUUGGUUUUUGGGUGAAAUAAUAUCACCAUAAUCAUAAAAAUCAUGGUUAUGAACAUGCAUGUGAAUAAUCCAUCUAUAGAAUGGUGUAGAAAAAGAAGAUAUGCAAGAAAACUUGAGAUUUUGAAGGAAGAUUGAACGAUUUUCGUGAUUACCUUGAAGAACCACCCUAGAUGAUGAAGAUUUCAUGAUUAUAGGUGUUGUUUGAUCUUAUUUUUCCAAAAAUUUCAUGGGUUAGGAAGAGGGGGAAAGAAUGGGGGUUUUAGAGAGAAGAAAAGAGAGAUUAUAUCUCUCUGGAUAGAUCAUCUCUCUCGUCAUCUCUUUGGGGUUCCCCUUAACCAAAAGCGACCACAAAAAUACAGAGAUGCAUCAGGACUCAUGAAGAAUGGACUGGCUAAAUCUCUGCCACAGAUUCGGCUCCUAUGUUCGUCAGUUUUAAAGAGAAGUGAAAGAUAAGUUUUUAGAGAGAGAAAGAAAAAGGCGGAGUGUGGGAAAUGAGGGAUGUGAUUAUGAUUUUGGGGAAGAGAGGUAUGGGGGAGGAGAGAUCCGACUUUUGAAUGGAGAUAGAGGUUCCCUCUUUUAAAUUUUAUAAAAUUUAAAGCAAAUUUUAUAAAAAUAUCAAGGUUUUAUUCACAAUACGUUGAGUUUUGGCUUAUAAAUUAAGGGUAAUUGGUAAUGACCUAAAUUUUUUUUCCUUAAAUAAAUUUUCAUAAUUUUAAUUAUUAUAAGAUCAUAUUAUAAGUUUCAUAAUUAUUUUUAUAGAAUUUUUAAGUUUAAAGUUUAUAAAUACGAGUUUUUAUGGCUUUUAGGGUUUUGGAGUUUAUUAAACUUUGAAUAUCAAAAUAGAUUGAAUCUUUGAGACUUUAAAUUAUUUUUGUGUUUCCUAACUCUUAUUCAGGUUAGAAAUAAUGUUUGUAAUUUAUUUUUAACGGUUUAUUGGCAUUCUAUGUAGUGUUUCCGAGAUUCAAACGAAAUUGAGGAAUCAAGUAUACAAGUCAUAGUUUUCAACAUUGACUUAAGUUUCUAUGAGACAUUGACCUAAUUUCUACUUCUAGGUCAAGUGCAUGAUGUGUGUAUAUGAUUCUUAAAAAGGUUUUCGAGUCAAAGAGUGACCCAAAUAUGGAUAGUCUCUAUAGUUAAGUAGUUACAGAAUUCACAUAUUAAUGUGAAAUCUAAGUACACCAUCCAUUGUUUCUAUCUGUUUUCAAGUUUCUAGUAGGCUAUAACUUUGUUUCUAGCUACCAAUUCUAGUAUGUUUCAUGCUUAUAUGUGGAACUAAAUUUAGUCAAAUCUAGAACCGACUCGAAUUUUGACGGUUGUCACAGGAAGGGUGCUUAGAAGGGCUAAAGAAAGAAAUAGAUUCUCGUGUAAAUAAUGUCUUGAGAAUGAGCUUUGAUUCUUUGCCAUAUAAAAAUGAUAAGUACUUGUUUAAGUAUAUUGUUUUUUUUUGUUGGAAUUGAUAGAGAUGUUACUGAAACAAUAUUAAAAGCAUGUAAUAUAAAUACAAUAUAUGGAAUCCCGAAUCUCCUUGACCGAUUCCUUCUUACUAUUAGAGGGAAAAAUGAAUUGAAGAUGCAUUAGUUCGUUCAAGAGAUGGGAAGAUUCGAAGUAUCUCAAGAAUCACUUGAUAUGCCAUGGAAGCGAAGUCGAUUAUGGUGCCAUAAAGAGUCAUUCAGAGUGUUGAAACGAAAAAAGGUAAGAUGUCAUGUAUACUUUUUGUAAUGUGCAUGUCUGAAGCCCUUUUUAUUUUCUAAUACUCUAAUUUUUAAAAUUUAAAUUGUAUUUCUUCUUAGGGUAGGGGAAAUCUUCUAGGCCUUUCCCUUGACAUGCGCAUGCUUGAGAAAGAGAAGUUAGGUGCAUCAUUUGAGCUAAACACAGAUGCAUUGAGUAACAUGGAUAGUCUGAUGCUACUGCAACUCAAUUACAUUCACUUGAAUGGGUCUUAUGAAAGCUUUCCUUAGGAAUUAAGAGGGUUGUGUAUGCAUGGGUUUCGUUUAAAGUUUGUACCUUUAGACUUACCUAUGGAGAAUCUUGUUGCUCUUGAUAUGUCAUAUAGUAAUAUUGAAUCAUUUGUCAGUUGUUAUAGCAAUUCACAACGACUUGAGAAGAGGCAAAAGGUAAAUUAUAUUAAUUUUUUGUUCUUUCAUGUUCACUAUACAAUGUGUUUAUUAUGUUUAAAAAGGAGAGAGAUCUUUCAUUAAACUUUCCAUUAUAUUCAUUUUUUGUUCUUUCUUGUUCACUAUACAAUGUGUUUUGUAACACCCGUAGAUCUGGGCUAGUCAAUUUAGAGGCAAUAAGUGUCGAAAACGACUUUUUGGCAAAAGAUUAUUUAGAAUAAAUAAUCUUAACCAAGUUGUAGAAUAUGUCUCAAGGAUUCUGUACAUAUAAAGAACGCCGAAAUCCGAGUUAUAACGAAGAAGUUGUGGCCUGUCGAAGUUUUACGGCAAAACCGGCACGACACCGGGAGACGUAAAUAGUGAAUUUACGAAGGAGGACCUUUUAGUCUUGAUGAUCUAAACGAAAGUCGUAUAACAUGUUACACUGAGAGCGUCCAUAAAAAGAACGUCCAAAUCUGACUCCGUAUAAGGAAGUUAUGAAUUUUCUAAUAUUCAGCAUAGCAGUGCACGACCCGAAAUUCGAAUUUUAGUUUAAGCGGUUUUUGGCCAACACAACCUAAAUGAGAAUUGAAUAUCUUAUUAAUAUUAAUACAACGGUAAAAAGACAGACGAAAACGGACGUCGGAUGAAGAAGUUAUGUAUUUUGAACGGACUUUUCCUGUCCUGUUAAAAAUAUAAUUUUAAACAUAAAGUCAAAAUUAGCUGACGAAGUCUAAACGAAAGUUUUAGAGUACGUCUCCACCUGCGUGUGGAUAUAAAGAAGGUCAAAAACAGAGUUCGUAUGAACGAGUUACAAAUUAUAAUAACAUGUUUACAUAUUAAAAUAAAGNUAAACUUGAUAAGAUAUACAUUCAAUACUCAUUCCAGAUAAACAGAUCAUGUAUAUAUAUAUAUAUAUAGACACACACACACAUAUGUAUAUAUAUCAUUAGAAAGGUAUCAACGAUGUGGUCAUUAUAAGACUAAUGUUGAGUUCUUUCGACAUUAGUUUAAUACAAAUAUCGUUAAAUGUAUUUAAAAUAGUAUUAUAAAGGGGUGUUUAGUUGUUUAUAUAACUAUAAGGCCAUUAAGUAAUUAUGGAGGGUAGUUUUUGAAAAUUCAAUUACUAUAAAUAAGAGCCUUGGGCUCUCAUAUUUUUUGCAUCAUUCUCUUGAUUCAAAAGUCUUUCUCUUCUUAUCCCCCGAGCAUUUCGGUCCCUCGUGAUUCGACUUCUCUUUCUUUAGUUUUAGUAUAGUAAGGUUAGCGUUGCAUGAAUCUUUCUUAGAAAGAUUCAGUGGCGAAGUUCUGUCCCUGCAGAGCUCGGCUCCUAGCUAAAGCCCCUUUGCAAGUUCUGUCCGAGGGAAAUUAUUUUGAGAUAACGAAGUGCUGCCCAAUUGCAGAGUCACCACCUUUUCAAGUGAGUGCAUAGUUACUUUCAUCUUAAACAUAGAUAUGAAGUAUUUAAUAUAAAUUACGUGCUAUGUGUGCAAAUUGUCAGAAUACUUGUUGUCUAUGUUGAUGAAAGAUUUUUAUACAUGUUUUAAAUGAUUUAAAUUGUAUACUUAUUUUAUAUCUACAAAUAUGUUGGGUAUAACAUGGGUAGAUGAAUGAUGAGAGAUAAAAGAUGAUGUUAGUAAACAUUGGAAGCUAUAAAUUUAGUGUCCAGUAAAUAACACCGGCAUCUAUGGGCUUAGUGCAUAUUGGACAAACGAGGGUAGCUAUUGACUUAGUACCUAUUAGGUAAACACGAGUAGCUAUGGACUUAGUACAUGUUAGGUGUUGGUAGCUAUGGACUUAGUACUUGGUAGCUAUGGACUUAGUACCUGUUAGAUAAACGUUGGUAGCUAUGGAUUUAGUACCUAUAAUGGUAGCUAUGGAUUAAGUACCCGAUGAAUGAACUUUGGCAGCUAUGGAAUUAGUGCAUUGGCAGCUAUGGACUUAGUGCCUAUCUUAUAGCCCUGGAAGUAAGGGACUUCGGAAUGAACGAAUAGAUGACUCUUAGGGUAGACCCUUGAGAGUAAGGAAGAUAUGGGGAUGGGUAAUUGGGUUGAUUGUUUGAUGUUUAAACAAAAUAAUUAUAUUAUUGUGGGUUGAAAACCCUAUGUACUCACCAGGUUUCCCAACCUGACCCACUCAAGCUUAUUUGUAUCACAGGUGUCGAUAUGAAGUUACAUUACACUGAGAGAUUAAAGAGAUGUAGAUCACUAGUGUAAAUAAAUGUAAGUUCUGUUUAUGCUUAUGUUUCUGUAUUAAUGAUGACAUCCCACAUGUUUUAAAAUGAACAAAAAUACAUUUAUUCGGAAAUUCUUUGAUAACGUAUUUAUCAUGUUUUUUUCUGGGAACAAAUUCCGCAACACUUUUAUUAAAAGAUGUACUCUAAUUUUUAUAAAACAUAAACAAAAUCGGUCUUUUCUAGCCGUGAAAAUGGGGAUGUCACAGUUGAUAUCAGAGCAUUAGUUUAAACGAACUAGGAAUAAAGAUUUAUUUCAAGACUUAAACUUAGAAUGCUAAGCGACGAUUGUGAGGAGUGUGUCUAAUAAAUUUAGGUAAUACACCUGAGUAGACACAAGCACUAGCUUAUUUAGGGAAAAUGCCUAACAUACUUUUAUGUGCUAAAUGAUUUAUGAUAUGCAUUAUAAGAUCAGAUCUAUGGUCUGUUGACGACCGAAUCUGGAAACAUUAUGUGUUUAGGUUUUUAAAUGUUUAGUUACGGUAUUAGAGUUGGCACGUAACUUUUCAGAGUAAUAAGGAGUGUUACACGUCUAAAAUCUUCUCUAUCUAUAUUCUCGUCUUGAUGCGAUGAAUGCAUGCUUUAGUGAAAAUAACAUCAUGGUGAAGACUUAUAGAAAAUUGAGUAAAUAGAUGAAAUAAAAAAGGCUUAUGAUAGUGAAUGACACCUAUCAGAAGAUAUCGUAAGAGAAGUAUUUUGCCUUUAGAAUAUGUUAGAAGGUACGUUUAGAGGAGUACGGUACGUCCAAAGUACACCGUCGAUUGACGGGAUGAUGGAAUGUGGUGGUUGUCGAGGCCAACAAAAAUAAUAACCCUAAAUAUUACACACUAAAAUAGUGUAUAGCGGUAAAGGGGUCGAAUCCACAGAGAUUGGUUCAAUUUAUAACUCUAUGAAAAAUCUCUUUGUAAAAAUACUUGUAAAAUUACAAUAAAAAUAAAAUGGGGGGUUUUGGUGUUUUGAAAUACUUUAAACAAACUAGAAUUAACUAUGAUUUAAAUAGACAAUUUCAAGAAAAAUAAGGGUUUGAUGUAAAAUCAAUAAGGGUGAGAUGGUUGACUUAAAGUUUCCUCACUUUGACUUUUGAUGAACAUAUCAUUAGAAUCCAAUGGUGCAAUACUUUGAUUUAAAUCCUUAAUUUGGCUAUAGUAAUCCAAGGAGCUUGAGAUUACCUAGACUUUUCUUAAUUGUUGAAAUGGCUAGAGAAGCUCAUAAUAAUUUCCUUAGUCAAAGUCACUAAUUCCAAAUAGCAUGCAAUUAAUGAAAGUCAACUAGCAUUAAGAACCAAAAAGUCACCAAAUCCAAGAGGAGUCAAUUGCUUUCAUUACCAUGUUGGAGAUUUUUUUUAUGUGGUGUGAAGCAGAAACAACACAAAAAUCAUUUGUUGCUUGCUAAUUUGAGGAUCCUUUACUUAAUCAAGAAAUUAGCCAACUAAUCACCACAAACACAUUUAAACUCAUGAAUAAAAACAUAUUAGUAGUGAUAAUAUGAUAAAACACAAAACAUUUCCAUAAAGAUUUAAGAACAAGUUCAUGGAUUUUCAACAUUCAACAAAAGUUCAAAGGAUUCAACAAAAAGUCAACCAAGAUUAGUUUAGCCAAGCAUGACUAAACUUAAAGAAGCAAAAUUAGUUAAGAUUGUACCAAACAUUUGACAAGAAUCAAGAGAUGAAAGAAGAUAUUCUUGAAGUGUUCUUGGCCUUCAAAAGUACUCCAAACUCCAAAGAGAAUGUGUCAAACUCGGACCUCCAAGAUAAGGCUGAGAAGGAACGCCAACCUUCCCAAUAUAGAGCUUUAAGUAAAAUUCCAAAAUUGCCCUUGUCAGGAAUCCACGCGGACCGCGGGUAAUCUUACGCGGGCCGCGUUACUGCGAUGAAAUUUUUGGGCUUCUUCAAGUCUUGGGCCCCCACAGCUAAUCCAUUGGCCCAGUUCCAAUCCAAUCAUCUUCUAGCCCAUUUUUCUUCAAUAUUUCUUCAAUUAGAGCCCAAUUUGUCUCUCCACAUCACUCAAAACUUCCGCAAACUCCUAGACAUCGAUCUUGCACACUCAAGAAUUCUCCCGCGCCCUUUGAUAUUUAAUGUUCAAAACUUUCGCGCCUUCAAGCAGUUGACAAGCCUACUCCCUGAAUCACCUCCACAUCCAUCAAGCACGAAAUACCCACUACUCUUCAAGUGCAAUCGCCUUCCAAAAGAUCCCGCACACUCCCACUCCUCUAGUUUCCUUAAAAUCUGCAAUAAUGCUCAAGAAACUAGAAAGUACCCGAAUUGGUCAUAAAAAUAACAAAAAGGAAAAAAUACAUGGAAAUUAACUAAAAUGUGAAUGGAAUGUGCUAAAAAAACUAUAAAAAGAAGUAAAUAAAACGAAGCUAUCAGAACGAUUGGUUUAAUUCCUAAAGUUGUCCUAUCGUAUGGCAUUUCCACCACCAACCGAGUUGAAGCAGAAUUAAUGAUUGAAGAUACAUGUGGAAGAAGUCCUAGUAGAGUCUAGGGGAGAAUUUUGUGAUUGUAUGGACACAUUUGUAUGUGUUAAAUUUUUUUUUUUGUGAUAAAGACUUGGAAAACUACGACAUAAUACUUGGGACGGGUAUGAGUAGGUGUGGAUGGUAGUAGAGGCCUAUACUAUCGGAAGCACAACACUCUCACUUGGAUUAGGGAAAGUCACAAGGUUACCAAGAAGCUAGUAAUUGAUUUUGUUUUGUUCAUGUGUGUCAUUAUCAUUGUUUCGGUAAUAAUUAAGAAGAUGAUUGUUAUUCCGCCCCUAGUGUUCAUAUCAUAUUGAGUCCGACUAAGACGAGUAUGUUACGUGGUUCAGAGAACCAAGUUUGAUGUAACAUCUGACUUAAGCCAGAAGAUUGAAGUGAGAGAUAAUUGAAGUGAUCAACAGAAGUAUCGUUCUCGUUGUUAAAGCUUGUAGCUAGAAGUGCUACAUGCUAUGACAUGAUUAUAUCACAUUAGAACAUGAAGGAAGACAUAGUAUGUUCUGGAGUUUGACUCUAAGAGACCUGAGUCUAAGCGUUGCAAUAUACGAUGAUAGGUCAUUAGAAUAUGACACAUCGGUCCAUUGUAGUAAUAAAAGAACUUAUCUUAAGUUGAGUGUCCAGUAAGGAUCAAGAUUGCGAAUCGAAGGUCUAACAUGGGACAGAGCGAGAUCAAGCACUACUUGUAGUAAAGAAGACCAUGACUUAGAUAUUCAUUCAAAGAAACAUAGAAUUUAUGAUUAUUACCUUGGAUGAAGAGAUAAAGUAUGGAGUCAUUAUACAACCCUGUUUCGUUCAUGAUUCCAGGACGUAAUCAUCCUAAGGGGGAGAUAAUUGUAACACCCGACUAGUCAAUAUAAAGGCAGUAAGUGUCGAAAACGACUUUUUGGCAAAAGAUUAUUUAGAAUAAAUAAUCUUAACCAAGUUGUAGAAUAUGUCUCAAGGUUCUGUACAUAUAAAGAAUGCCAAAAUCCAAGUUAUAACGAAGAAGUUAUGGUCUGUCGAAGUUUUACGGCAAAACAGGCACGACACCAGGAGACGUAAAUAGUGAAUUUAUGAUGGAGGACUUUUUACCCUUGGUGAUCUAAACGAAAGUCGUAUAAUAUGUUACACCAAGAGCGUCCAUAAAAAGAACGCCAAAAUCUAACUUCGUAUGAGGAAGUUAUGAAUUUUCUAGUAUUCGAUAUAGCAGUGCAUGACCCGAAACUCAAAUUUUAGUUUGAGCGGUUUUUGGCCAACGCAACCUAAAUGAGAAUUGAAUAUCUUAUUAAUAUUAGCACAACAGUAAAAAGACAGGCGAAAACGGACGUCGGAUGAAGAAAUUAUAAAUUUUUAACGGACUUUUCCUGUCUUGGCUUGUUAAAAAUAUAACUUUAAAAAUAAAGUCAAAAUUAGCCGACGAAGUCUAAACGAAGGUUGUAGAGUACGUCUCCACCUGCGCGUGGAUAUAACGAACGUCAAAAACAGAGUUCGUAUGAACGAGUUACAAGUUAUAAUAACAUAUUUACAUAUUAAAAUAAAGUAUAAAUCAUAUAUACGUAAGCAUAUAUAUAUAUAUAUANUCAUUAGAAAGGUAUCGACGAUGCGGUCAUUAUAAGACUAAUGUUGAAUUCUUUCGACAUUAGUUUAGUACAAAUAUCGUUAGAUGUAUUUAAAAUAGUAUUAUAAAGGGGUGUUUAGUUGUAUAUUAUUGUGGGUUGAAAACCCUAUGUACUCACCAGGUUUCCCAACCUGACCCACUCAAGCUUAUUUGUAUCACAGGUGUCGAUACGAAGUUACAUUUGUUGGAAUAGUGUCUAAGGCUGCAACUAUAUUAGGCAAGUAUUUGACCCGAUUGUGCAUGGUCCUUUUGGGUUGCCUUCACCAUAGCAACUUGAUAGGAUGAUUUAUUAUGAGAGAAUAAAUAUUAUUAAUAUAUUAUGAGAAUAGUAUAAGGAAUAAUAAUAUUGUUAUUUGAUUAAUAUACGUCAAAGAUUAAUUAAUAUUAAUUUGGUGACUUAAAGAGAUUAAUUAAAUAAGAGGGUAUAAACUGUCAAUUGUUUGAUAGUUACACUUUGGGCUAUAAAUCCUUAUAGGAUAUAGGGUGGAUGAUUUCUAGAGCUAGGAUAAGCCUAAAAUCAUCCAGGCAUAUCCAAGGAAAGGAUUAGGAUUACUUAGAGUCUAAGUUAUCCAAUUAGGGUUUAAGGGUAAAACCUUAGGAGCCUUACAAGUAUAAAUAGACCCCUUGGGAUAGGGAAAUCGGCAUCUCCUCUACAACAAGGAUACCCUGACCGAUUUACUCCUCUCUCCUCUCUCUCAAAUCAUUCUCUUUGCUAGUUGGUGUUUGUAAGCCAUUAGAGGAGUGACAAUUGUGACUUUAAAGCUCCAAGAACAAGAAGAUCAAACAAGUGUUUCAAGGUAUGCUUCUAACUCUGGUUUUGUAUUGUUCUUAUACCUAAUUAGUCAUUAGAAGUCUUGGAUUCAUUGCAUGUUUAAUUAGAGAAACCUAGAUCCAAGCAUUAAGGUUUGUAUGUGCACAUAGGAAUGUUCAUAUGACCAAAACCCAUCAGUGGUAUCAGAGCCUAGAUUGGUUUCUAUUAAAUUGUUGCUUGAUUGUUUGAAUCUUACCUGCAAAAUUCAAAUUUUGUGAUUAUGAGUCAUGGACUCGACGAGUCCCAUAGUGGACUUGGCGAGUUGGCCUGAAUCGGCGAGUCCAGUUUGGGUACUUGGCGAGUCCGAGCGUCAGGAAGAGCCAAAAUCGGGAUUUUUUUCAUAUUUAUCUUAUGGAAACUUACGUUUAUCAUAUUAGAUCAACCCAAAUCCGAUUUCAUGAUAUAUAUGACUAUAUUUUUGAUCUAAUUGAAGAUAUUUAUCAAUUAAUAAAAUAUUUAAUUUCCUUAUAUGAUAAUUAUUAAUUAUUUUGAUUAAAUUGGUAAAUUGUUCAAAUAUGGAUAAUUAUGUGAUUAAUUGUUAAUUUAAAUUAUUUUUUAUUUGAUCCUUUAUGUUUUAAAUGUUUAAAACUUGUCCUCAAGUUUUGAAAUUUAUGUUUUGUAAUUAAAAGUUUAAUUUAGACAAUUUAAUUUUCAAACCCUAGAAUUUUACAAGUUUAAAAUCCAACCCUAUACUAAUAUAAUAUUACAAGAUUAAUAUCUAUAUAUGUAUAACUUAUAUGCUAGUCUUACCGUUAGUAGGCCUCAUUCACGAAGCUGGUCUAUAAGGUGGGUAUAAGGUUGCGGCCUAUAAAAUGGCGCUUAAUGGGUGUACACUUACACCCACCGCUUCCUUGAUCGGUGGAGGGUAGUUAGUCGAACGGGUAGGAUAGGGCAACCUCAUCCUCUCAUUAAAAGUAUAAUAUGAAAUACAAAGUAACUACAUGUUUUCUUAAAACUUCCCAAUCUUAGUUACUUUAGGAAAAGUGAAUUGAUGCAAUCCCAUGAAAUUACACUUUGCACCUUGCUAAGAUGUUAGUGGCGCGUGUGUGGUUUACCGGCACACUAAUUGGUUCUAAGCGAAGGUGGCAAAGGGUGAUUCAUUGUUUAUCAUAUUUCGAUGGAGCGUGUGUGGUUUACCGGCACAUCGAAUAGGCGAUCGUUACAAUGAAGGCACCAUGUGAAUUUGCAUGGUAAUUCACACCCGCUUUGUGAUCCUCGGUAUCCCAGUCACAAACUAGAGGGGCAUAUCGAGAUUUAAACAUGUCAUUGAAAAGUUUCAAUGAAUCUCAUUCGAACCUAGGAAUUCUCAAUACAUUUAGGACAUAAAGUUAUGUUUUUCAUGGUGGAGAAUUAGUGAAUCGUCAUUCACUUACCUUCAAAUUGUUUGCAUAUUAGAUUACGGCAUCCCUCUUCUAAUGUGUAAAUAUUGUUGUUGGAUCCUAGCCCUAAUUUUUCUUAUUGGGUGAUAAUUAGGGAUUCAUAUUCUAAUCUAUCUUUGUCCUUUCUAUUUGUAGAUGUCGAACGCAAACAACGCUGCUGCUAGUUCNNNNNNNNNNNNNNNNNNNNNNNNNNNNNNNNNNNNNNNNNNNNNNNNNNNNNNNNNNNNNNNNNNNNNNNNNNNNNNNNNNNNNNNNNNNNNNNNNNNNNNNNNNNNNNNNNNNNNNNNNNNNNNNNNNNNNNNNNNNNNNNNNNNNNNNNNNNNNNNNNNNNNNNNNNNNNNNNNNNNNNNNNNNNNNNNNNNNNNNNNNNNNNNNNNNNNNNNNNNNNNNNNNNNNNNNNNNNNNNNNNNNNNNNNNNNNNNNNNNNNNNNNNNNNNNNNNNNNNNNNNNNNNNNNNNNNNNNNNNNNNNNNNNNNNNNNNNNNNNNNNNNNNNNNNNNNNNNNNNNNNNNNNNNNNNNNNNNNNNNNNNNNNNNNNNNNNNNNNNNNNNNNNNNNNNNNNNNNNNNNNNNNNNNNNNNNNNNNNNNNNNNNNNNNNNNNNNNNNNNNNNNNNNNNNNNNNNNNNNNNNNNNNNNNNNNNNNNNNNNNNNNNNNNNNNNNNNNNNNNNNNNNNNNNNNNNNNNNNNNNNNNNNNNNNNNNNNNNNNNNNNNNNNNNNNNNNNNNNNNNNNNNNNNNNNNNNNNNNNNNNNNNNNNNNNNNNNNNNNNNNNNNNNNNNNNNNNNNNNNNNNNNNNNNNNNNNNNNNNNNNNNNNNNNNNNNNNNNNNNNNNNNNNNNNNNNNNNNNNNNNNNNNNNNNNNNNNNNNNNNNNNNNNNNNNNNNNNNNNNNNNNNNNNNNNNNNNNNNNNNNNNNNNNNNNNNNNNNNNNNNNNNNNNNNNNNNNNNNNNNNNNNNNNNNNNNNNNNNNNNNNNNNNNNNNNNNNNNNNNNNNNNNNNNNNNNNNNNNNNNNNNNNNNNNNNNNNNNNNNNNNNNNNNNNNNNNNNNNNNNNNNNNNNNNNNNNNNNNNNNNNNNNNNNNNNNNNNNNNNNNNNNNNNNNNNNNNNNNNNNNNNNNNNNNNNNNNNNNNNNNNNNNNNNNNNNNNNNNNNNNNNNNNNNNNNNNNNNNNNNNNNNNNNNNNNNNNNNNNNNNNNNNNNNNNNNNNNNNNNNNNNNNNNNNNNNNNNNNNNNNNNNNNNNNNNNNNNNNNNNNNNNNNNNNNNNNNNNNNNNNNNNNNNNNNNNNNNNNNNNNNNNNNNNNNNNNNNNNNNNNNNNNNNNNNNNNNNNNNNNNNNNNNNNNNNNNNNNNNNNNNNNNNNNNNNNNNNNNNNNNNNNNNNNNNNNNNNNNNNNNNNNNNNNNNNNNNNNNNNNNNNNNNNNNNNNNNNNNNNNNNNNNNNNNNNNNNNNNNNNNNNNNNNNNNNNNNNNNNNNNNNNNNNNNNNNNNNNNNNNNNNNNNNNNNNNNNNNNNNNNNNNNNNNNNNNNNNNNNNNNNNNNNNNNNNNNNNNNNNNNNNNNNNNNNNNNNNNNNNNNNNNNNNNNNNNNNNNNNNNNNNNNNNNNNNNNNNNNNNNNNNNNNNNNNNNNNNNNNNNNNNNNNNNNNNNNNNNNNNNNNNNNNNNNNNNNNNNNNNNNNNNNNNNNNNNNNNNNNNNNNNNNNNNNNNNNNNNNNNNNNNNNNNNNNNNNNNNNNNNNNNNNNNNNNNNNNNNNNNNNNNNNNNNNNNNNNNNNNNNNNNNNNNNNNNNNNNNNNNNNNNNNNNNNNNNNNNNNNNNNNNNNNNNNNNNNNNNNNNNNNNNNNNNNNNNNNNNNNNNNNNNNNNNNNNNNNNNNNNNNNNNNNNNNNNNNNNNNNNNNNNNNNNNNNNNNNNNNNNNNNNNNNNNNNNNNNNNNNNNNNNNNNNNNNNNNNNNNNNNNNNNNNNNNNNNNNNNNNNNNNNNNNNNNNNNNNNNNNNNNNNNNNNNNNNNNNNNNNNNNNNNNNNNNNNNNNNNNNNNNNNNNNNNNNNNNNNNNNNNNNNNNNNNNNNNNNNNNNNNNNNNNNNNNNNNNNNNNNNNNNNNNNNNNNNNNNNNNNNNNNNNNNNNNNNNNNNNNNNNNNNNNNNNNNNNNNNNNNNNNNNNNNNNNNNNNNNNNNNNNNNNNNNNNNNNNNNNNNNNNNNNNNNNNNNNNNNNNNNNNNNNNNNNNNNNNNNNNNNNNNNNNNNNNNNNNNNNNNNNNNNNNNNNNNNNNNNNNNNNNNNNNNNNNNNNNNNNNNNNNNNNNNNNNNNNNNNNNNNNNNNNNNNNNNNNNNNNNNNNNNNNNNNNNNNNNNNNNNNNNNNNNNNNNNNNNNNNNNNNNNNNNNNNNNNNNNNNNNNNNNNNNNNNNNNNNNNNNNNNNNNNNNNNNNNNNNNNNNNNNNNNNNNNNNNNNNNNNNNNNNNNNNNNNNNNNNNNNNNNNNNNNNNNNNNNNNNNNNNNNNNNNNNNNNNNNNNNNNNNNNNNNNNNNNNNNNNNNNNNNNNNNNNNNNNNNNNNNNNNNNNNNNNNNNNNNNNNNNNNNNNNNNNNNNNNNNNNNNNNNNNNNNNNNNNNNNNNNNNNNNNNNNNNNNNNNNNNNNNNNNNNNNNNNNNNNNNNNNNNNNNNNNNNNNNNNNNNNNNNNNNNNNNNNNNNNNNNNNNNNNNNNNNNNNNNNNNNNNNNNNNNNNNNNNNNNNNNNNNNNNNNNNNNNNNNNNNNNNNNNNNNNNNNNNNNNNNNNNNNNNNNNNNNNNNNNNNNNNNNNNNNNNNNNNNNNNNNNNNNNNNNNNNNNNNNNNNNNNNNNNNNNNNNNNNNNNNNNNNNNNNNNNNNNNNNNNNNNNNNNNNNNNNNNNNNNNNNNNNNNNNNNNNNNNNNNNNNNNNNNNNNNNNNNNNNNNNNNNNNNNNNNNNNNNNNNNNNNNNNNNNNNNNNNNNNNNNNNNNNNNNNNNNNNNNNNNNNNNNNNNNNNNNNNNNNNNNNNNNNNNNNNNNNNNNNNNNNNNNNNNNNNNNNNNNNNNNNNNNNNNNNNNNNNNNNNNNNNNNNNNNNNNNNNNNNNNNNNNNNNNNNNNNNNNNNNNNNNNNNNNNNNNNNNNNNNNNNNNNNNNNNNNNNNNNNNNNNNNNNNNNNNNNNNNNNNNNNNNNNNNNNNNNNNNNNNNNNNNNNNNNNNNNNNNNNNNNNNNNNNNNNNNNNNNNNNNNNNNNNNNNNNNNNNNNNNNNNNNNNNNNNNNNNNNNNNNNNNNNNNNNNNNNNNNNNNNNNNNNNNNNNNNNNNNNNNNNNNNNNNNNNNNNNNNNNNNNNNNNNNNNNNNNNNNNNNNNNNNNNNNNNNNNNNNNNNNNNNNNNNNNNNNNNNNNNNNNNNNNNNNNNNNNNNNNNNNNNNNNNNNNNNNNNNNNNNNNNNNNNNNNNNNNNNNNNNNNNNNNNNNNNNNNNNNNNNNNNNNNNNNNNNNNNNNNNNNNNNNNNNNNNNNNNNNNNNNNNNNNNNNNNNNNNNNNNNNNNNNNNNNNNNNNNNNNNNNNNNNNNNNNNNNNNNNNNNNNNNNNNNNNNNNNNNNNNNNNNNNNNNNNNNNNNNNNNNNNNNNNNNNNNNNNNNNNNNNNNNNNNNNNNNNNNNNNNNNNNNNNNNNNNNNNNNNNNNNNNNNNNNNNNNNNNNNNNNNNNNNNNNNNNNNNNNNNNNNNNNNNNNNNNNNNNNNNNNNNNNNNNNNNNNNNNNNNNNNNNNNNNNNNNNNNNNNNNNNNNNNNNNNNNNNNNNNNNNNNNNNNNNNNNNNNNNNNNNNNNNNNNNNNNNNNNNNNNNNNNNNNNNNNNNNNNNNNNNNNNNNNNNNNNNNNNNNNNNNNNNNNNNNNNNNNNNNNNNNNNNNNNNNNNNNNNNNNNNNNNNNNNNNNNNNNNNNNNNNNNNNNNNNNNNNNNNNNNNNNNNNNNNNNNNNNNNNNNNNNNNNNNNNNNNNNNNNNNNNNNNNNNNNNNNNNNNNNNNNNNNNNNNNNNNNNNNNNNNNNNNNNNNNNNNNNNNNNNNNNNNNNNNNNNNNNNNNNNNNNNNNNNNNNNNNNNNNNNNNNNNNNNNNNNNNNNNNNNNNNNNNNNNNNNNNNNNNNNNNNNNNNNNNNNNNNNNNNNNNNNNNNNNNNNNNNNNNNNNNNNNNNNNNNNNNNNNNNNNNNNNNNNNNNNNNNNNNNNNNNNNNNNNNNNNNNNNNNNNNNNNNNNNNNNNNNNNNNNNNNNNNNNNNNNNNNNNNNNNNNNNNNNNNNNNNNNNNNNNNNNNNNNNNNNNNNNNNNNNNNNNNNNNNNNNNNNNNNNNNNNNNNNNNNNNNNNNNNNNNNNNNNNNNNNNNNNNNNNNNNNNNNNNNNNNNNNNNNNNNNNNNNNNNNNNNNNNNNNNNNNNNNNNNNNNNNNNNNNNNNNNNNNNNNNNNNNNNNNNNNNNNNNNNNNNNNNNNNNNNNNNNNNNNNNNNNNNNNNNNNNNNNNNNNNNNNNNNNNNNNNNNNNNNNNNNNNNNNNNNNNNNNNNNNNNNNNNNNNNNNNNNNNNNNNNNNNNNNNNNNNNNNNNNNNNNNNNNNNNNNNNNNNNNNNNNNNNNNNNNNNNNNNNNNNNNNNNNNNNNNNNNNNNNNNNNNNNNNNNNNNNNNNNNNNNNNNNNNNNNNNNNNNNNNNNNNNNNNNNNNNNNNNNNNNNNNNNNNNNNNNNNNNNNNNNNNNNNNNNNNNNNNNNNNNNNNNNNNNNNNNNNNNNNNNNNNNNNNNNNNNNNNNNNNNNNNNNNNNNNNNNNNNNNNNNNNNNNNNNNNNNNNNNNNNNNNNNNNNNNNNNNNNNNNNNNNNNNNNNNNNNNNNNNNNNNNNNNNNNNNNNNNNNNNNNNNNNNNNNNNNNNNNNNNNNNNNNNNNNNNNNNNNNNNNNNNNNNNNNNNNNNNNNNNNNNNNNNNNNNNNNNNNNNNNNNNNNNNNNNNNNNNNNNNNNUGCAACUAUAUUAGGCAAGUAUUUGACCCGAUUGUGCAUGGUCCUUUUGGGUUGCCUUCACCAUAGCAACUUGAUAGGAUGAUUUAUUAUGAGAGAAUAGAUAUUAUUAAUAUAUUAUGAGAAUAAUAUAAGGAAUAAUCAUAUUGUUAUUUGAUUAAUAUAAGUCAUAGAUUAAUUAGUAUUAAUUUGGUGACUUAAAGAGAUUAAUUAAAUAAGAGGGUAUAAACUGUCAAUUGUUUGAUAGUUAUACUUUGGGCUAUAAAUCCUUUUAGGAUAUAGGGUGGACGAUUUCUAGGGCUAAGAUAAGCCUAAAAUCGUCUAGGGCAUAUCCAAGGAAAGGAUUAGGAUUACUUAGAGUCUAAGUUAUCCAAUUAGGGUUUAAGGGUAAAACCCUAGGAGCCUUACAAGUAUAAAUAGACCCCUUGGGAUAGGGAAAUCGGCAUCUCCUCUACAGCAAGGAUACCCUGGCCGAUUUCCUCCUCUCUCCUCUCUCUCAAAUCAUUCUCUUUGCUAGUUGGUGUUUGUAAGCCAUUAGAGGAGUGACAAUUGUGACUUUAAAGCUCCAAGAACAAGAAGAUCAAACAAGUGUUUCAAGGUAUGCUUCUAACUCUGGUUGUGUAUUGUUCUUAUACAUAAUUAGUCAUUAGAAGUCUUGGAUUCAUUGCAUGUUUAAUUAGAGAAACCUAGAUCCAAGCAUUAGGGUUUGUAUGUGCACAUAGGAAUGUUCAUAUGACCAAAACCCAUUAGUGGUAUUAGAGCCUAGAUUGGUUUCUAUUAAAUUGUUGCUUGAUUGUUUGAAUCUUACCUGCAAAAUUCGAAUUUUGUGAUUAUGAGUCAUGGACUCGGCGAGUCCCAUAGUGGACUCGGCGAGUUGGCCUGACUCGGCGAGUCCAGUUUGGGUACUUGGCGACUCCGAGCGUCUGGAAGAGCCAAAAUCAGGAUUUUUUUUCAUAUUUAUCUUAUGGAAACUUACCUUUAUCAUAUUAGAUCAACCCAAAUCCAAUUUUAUGAUAUAUAUGACUAUAUUUUUGAUCUAAUUGAAGAUAUUUAUCAAUUAAUAAAAUAUUUAAUUUCCUUAUAUGAUAAUUAUUAAUUAUUUCGAUUAAAUUGGUAAAUUGUUCAAAUAUGGAUAAUUAUGUGAUUAAUUGUUAAUUUAAAUUAUUUAUUAUUUGAUCCUUUAUGUUUUAAAUGUUUAAAACUUGUCCUCAUGUUUUGAAAUUUAUGUUUUGUAAUUAAAAGUUUAAUUUAGACAAUUUAAAUUUCAAACCCUAGAAUUUUACAUGUUUAAAAUCCAACCCUAUACUAAUAUAAUAUUACAAGAUUAAUAUCUAUAUAUGUAUACCUUAUAUGCAAGUCUUACCGUUAGUAGGCCUCAUUCACGAAGCUGGUCUAUAAGGUGGGUAUAAGGUUGCGGCCUAUAAAAUGGCGCUUAAUGGGUGUACACUCACACCCACCGCUUGCUUGAUCGGUCGAGGGUCGUUAGUCGAACGGGUAGGAUAGGGCAACCUCAUCCUCUCAUUAAAAGUAUAAUAUGAAAUACAAAGUAACUACAUGUUUUCUUAAAAUUUCCCAAUCUUAGUUACUUUAGGAAAAGUGAAUUGAUGCAAUCCCAUGAAAUUACACUUUGCACCUUGCUAAGAAGUUAGUGGAGCGUGUGUGGUUUACCGGCACACUAAUUGGUUCUAAGCGAAGGUGGCAAAGGGUGAUUCAUUGUUUAUCAUAGUUCGAUGGAGCGUGUGUGGUUUACCGGCACAUCGAAUAGGUGAUCGUUACAAUGAAGGCACCAUGUGAAUUUGCAUGGUAAUUCACACCCGCUUUGUGAUCCUCGGUAUCCCAGUCACAAACGAGAGGGGCAUAUCGAGAUUUAAACAUGUCAUUGAAAAGUUUCAAUGAAUCUCAUCCGAACCUAGGAAUUCUCAAUACAUUUAGGACUUAAAGUUAUGUUUUUCUUGUGGAGAAUUAGUGAAUCGUCAUUCACUUACCUUCAAAUUAUUUGCAUGUUAGAUUACGGCAUCCCUUUUCUAAUAUGUAAAUGUUAUUGUUGGAUCCUAGCCCUAAUUUUUCUUAUUGGGUGAUAAUUAGGGAUUCUUAUUCUAAUCUAUCUUUGUCCUUUUCUAAUUGUAGAUGUCGAACGCAAACAACGCUGCUGCUAGUUCUUUCACGUUGAUGAGCCUUUGCCAAAAGGUCACCUUCGAUGGAACGAACUUUAGCGAAUGGAUAAGAUACAUUCGCACCAUUGCUCGCUAUGAGGAUAAGGAGUAUGUCCUCGAUGAGAAGCUCGAGAAAAUCAACCCUGAAAUCGCUACUCCGGCUGAAAUGACCGCUUUUGAAACUCAUGAGCGAGAUGCAACGAAGGUACAUUGCAUCAUGAUAGCCACCAUGAACUCCGAAUUCCAAAAGUCCUACGAGGACAUGUACCCGUACGAGAUGCAUCAAGACUUAUUGGAGAGAUACCACCAAAACGCGAGACAAGAGCGUUAUGAGAUUUUCACUAACAUGAUUUCCGCUAAGAUGGGUCAUGGAGAAUCUCUUACCGUGCACCUGCAAAAGAUGCAAAGGUAUGUCGACCGUCUUCGCAAGUUGAAUGUUGACUUUGGGGAAGACUUGGCGAUCGACAUGGUGCUUCACUCUUUGCCUCCGAGCUACAAUCAAUUUAGGAUGACCUACCACAUGAACAAAGAGGAGGUCACCCUAAGCAAACUCCAAGGUCUCUUGAGGGUCGCUGAGAGCAACUUCAAGGACAAGUCUGUUGCACCAACUCCCAAUCCGCCCGCCGCUCCUGUCUUGGCUAUUGGACAAGGAAAGGGAAAGAAGAGGAAGGCUUCGUCGAAGAACUAUCGUAAGGUUAAAGCCCGAGAUGGUGCCUCUUCUAGUGGGACCAAAGUUGAUCCCGCUAAGCCCUGCCCUAACCCGAAGGAGGCAGAGUGCCACCACUGCCACAAGAUAGGACAUUGGGAAAGAAGCUGCCCUAAGUACCUGCAAGCCAUCAAGGAAGGAAAGAUCAAGCCAUCUUUCGCAGGUAUAUACACAAUUAAAUCUAACGAUUCAUCUCAUGAUAUUUCUUGGGUUCUUGAUACCGGUUAUGGUUACCACAUUUGUUCUAAUGUGCAGGGACUAAGAAGAAAUAGAAACGUGGAGCAUGGAAGAAUAAAUCUAAUCAUGGGGAACAAAAUAUCGUCGCUUGUGACCAAGAUUGGAGUGUAUUCUUUAGUGCUUAGGAAUGGUUUAUCUUUAGAUUUGAACAAUUAUUGCUAUUCGCCAGAAAUGGCUAGAAACAUCAUUUCCUUUCAUGGUUUGUUUAGACAAGGUUUUAGAUUUUCUUUUAAUAAUGAGAAUGGUUCUAUUUUAGCUUAUCUGAAUGGUGUUUUUUAUUUUGAAGCUAUACCAUGUAACGGAAUUUAUGAAACUGUUAUGAUUGUUGAUAACUUAGGAAAUGAUGUUUUAUGCAUGGAUUCUUCCAAUAGUAUGGAUAAGGUGUCCUUAUGGCAUUGUCGUCUUGGACAUGUCAACAAGAAACGCAUAGCCCAACUCCAAAAGGAUGGAGUGUUGGAGUCAUUCGACCUUAGGGAAGAUGACACAUAUGAGUCUUGUUACUUGGAAAGAUGACUAAGUCACAAUUCGCUGGUACGUACGAAAGGGGUGAGGGUCUAUUGGACCUCAUACAUACUGAUAUGUGUGGACCGCAUAUAAAGAAAAAAUAAUUAGGGUACAAACAUAAAAGAUUUGUAAAUUUUUAUUUUUAUUUUUUUAAAUUUUAGUUAUGGUGAAUUGGAAACCCAUUAUCAAAGACAACAAUCACAAAAAAUAAAAAUAAAUAAAUAAAUAAAAUACAAAUUUCGAAGACCAAGGAACAAAAGUCAUAAAAUGAGACAAAAACCUGCAAAAUUUUCCAAAUAUUAUCGUUGUUAAAGUCUUUGACGUUGACUUAUAUAAUUUCUUAGAAUUUUCCCCAAUUUACCAUUAAAUUUCUUGGAAUUCUCCAUAUCUCCAGAAAAUAAUAAAAAGAGAACACCAUCGAUUUUUAAGGCAAAGGAGAACCAUCCCCAUCUUAUCCUCUUUAGCUGUCUAUCUUCCUUCCUCGUUGGUUCGUCAUUUCCAUGCCGACAAACAAACCUCUGUAAUUUUCAGUCGUCAUCUUUCUCAGGCUCGAGACUCGUCACUGGUUGUUCGUUCUAUGUCAUCGCUGCUUCAAGUCUGCUUGUCUUCCUGUCGGUAGGUAACUAUGAAGUAUAAAGGGACAUUCUUAUAGUUUAGCUUCACAUGUUGUUAGAUAAUUUCAUAUCAUAAAUUACAUCAUAAUCCUUUUUUAUUUUGUUCACAAAUGAUUGAAUUUUUUUUCUAUUCAAUUGCUGUUGCUCAAUUAAUUCUAGAGAGUUUGAAAUUGAAACCAUAGAAAGGUCAUGGCUUGUUAGUUUCAAAAGCAUAUCAUUUGGAUCAAGCCCAUGAAUGAAAGUCGAAAUCCUUUAGAUGUAUGCUAAUACUAGAUCCAGUGAUAGUAGAUAUUAAUAGUUUCGAAUUUAUGUAGAGGCAUUAUGUACUAGAUCCCUACAUUGGAACACAAGGGAGGAAAGCCGGUGAAACCAACUUUCAUAACCGAUAAGGUGAGGAAGAGUUUCAGAACUUACUAAGAUACACCCUGUAUAUAAGGAGAAACUUUAAAUAAAUAAACAAAAUUGUGGGAAAGGUGAAGAGUCAUCAACUCAUUACUAAUAAUGGUUGUUCUAUCUGAACUUCCAGAAGGAUCUUCAUCUUCUUCAUUAACUCAUGGCCAUAGUUCACCAACUUGUGGUCGUAGUUCAUCAACUGAUGGCCAUAGAUACGAUGUAUUUUUAAGUUUUAGAGGUGUUGACACUCGUCAUAGUUUCACUGAUCACCUUCAUAAGGCCCUCAUUCAUGCCAAUAUCACUACCUUCUUGGACAAUGAAGAGAUUGAAACAGGAGAAGAUCUGAAACCAGAAUUGGAGAGUGCGAUUAAGGCAUCUCGGGCUUCUAUUAUAGUGUUGUCUAAGAAUUACGUGUCUUCAACAUGGUGCCUUGAUGAAUUGGUGUUGAUCCUUGAGCAGCGUAUGACAUCCAACCAUAUUGUCAUCCCAAUCUUCUAUCAUGUGGAGCCCACCCAUGUCAGGAAGCAGCAAAGUAGCUUUGGAGAUGCAAUGGCUAAGCAUAAACAAACAAUGGAGGCAGAGACAAAUGUAAAUAAAAGAAGUCAAUGGGCUCAAAAGAUGGACCGAUGGAAUAAAGCGCUUAUAGAAGCUGCUAAUUUAAAAGGAUAUGAUGUUCAUGGAAGGUAACAACUUUAAUUAUAUUUUCAUGCACUUUUGAUUUCUUUUUUAUUAAACGCAUGAAAUGUCAAUAGAAUCUUUUGCCUAUGCUUUUCAAUAUCAUCAAAUAGCUCGGUGAUCUCCUUAAUUAAUACAUAUACAUAGAUUAACAUCAUGAUAAAUUUGACAUGUUUCUGUGCAUUUAGUAUUUUAUUAUCAGGUAGUUCUUUAAGAUAACCUAUUUUAAGUUAUUUUAAUAUGUUUUGAACCAAAUUUUGAACAGUUUGAUAUGCAUCUACUAUCAAUUAUGUUAAUAUGUUCUUACCUGUGAGUAGUAGAGGAUAACCUAAAACUGGCAUAUAUUUUUCAGACACAUACAAAACCACAUUGAUAGUUAAGUUUGAUGGUCCUAUAGAAACAUGGUACAAGUUAGUUGGCCCAUUAGUGAAAUUGUAACAUGUUGGUGGAUUUGGCUUUAUCAUACAUAAAUAUUUACGACCUUAUACAUUAGGUGCUAAUCCUAUAUGGUGUUGAUGUGAAGAAUUUAAUUAAAAAUACAGCUAUGAUAUACUUCUGAUUUAGAUCUUUGGAUAAACUACAUCUCCAAAUCUAGUUUGUUAGUUUUGUGUAUUGUGUUUUGUAACUCUUAUUAAAUCAAGUUUCAGGCUAGAGACGGAAUUUAUUGAAGAGAUUGUGAAGGACAUCCACCGUAGGUUACAUGUACGCUCAAGGAGUGUUCGGCAACAACUUAUUGGGAUGGAAUAUCAUAUUAAGUUCAUCACUUCAUGGUUGAAAUAUGGAUCCUCACAUACGGCAGACAUACUCACUAUUACGGGAAUCGACUGGAUCGGGAAGACAUACUCACUAUUACGGGAAUCGGCUGGAUCGGGAAGACAUCGUUAGCCAAACAUAUCUAUGACCUAUAUUGGCAUGAAUUCAGCACAAGCAGUUGUAUUGAAGAUAUCAGUAGGAGAUGUGAUGGAAAGUUUAAUGGGCUGCUUGAUAUACAAAAGCAACUUUGGGAUGACAUUUCAAAAAAAAAAGUUCAAUUCAAAUUCAUAAUGUUUCAGCAUACACCUCAAAGAUAGAGAAUGCAUUAGCCCGCAAACGGGUCUUUAUAGUUCUUGAUGAUAUCAAUACUAUUGAUCAGUUGGAUGCAUUACUCGGAAACAAAGGUUUUCAUCCCGGAAGCAAAAUUAUAUUAACAACAAAGGAAAGAUGGAUAACACAGAGUUUUGCACUAUUCAAAACAAAUAUUAAACCUAAGCAUGUAGAACGCUUCCGUAAAGGCUUAUGUAGGACUGAAUCAUGCCAGCUUUUGUGUUCCCAUGCAUUCAUGUGCAACCAUCCCAAGGCAGGUUAUGAAGAGGUGUUAGAGAAGCUUGUGAAGUAUUGCCAAGGACAUCCAUUGGCUCUCAAAGUUUUGGGCAAGUCGUUACAUAAUCGAGAUGUAGCUUACUGGGAAGGGUGCAUACAUGGGCUAAAAAAAGAAACAAAUUCAUACAUAAAUAAUGUCUUGAGAAUGAGCUUUGAAUCUUUGCCAUCUAACAAUGAUAAGGAAUUGUUUAAGCAUAUUGCUUGUUUUUUUGUUGGAAUGGAUAGAGAUGUUACCGAAACAAUAUUAGAGGCAUGCAAUAUAAACACGAGAUACGGAAUCAUUAAUCUCAUUAACAGAUGCCUUCUUAGUAUAGGACGGAAAAUGAAUUUAAGAUGCAUCAGUUGGUUCAAGAGAUGGGAAGAUUCGAAGUACUUCAAGAAUCACUUGACAAGCCAUGGAAGCGCAGUCGAUUAUGGUGUCAUGAGGAGUCGUUCAAAGUAUCAAAGAAAGAAAAGGUAAGAGCCUUUGUAACCCUGUAUAGUUGUUAGUAAUGUGCAUAUUUAAAGUAUUUUGUAUUGUCUAAUUUUUGUUGGAUUUUGGUUCUUCUUAGGGUAAGGGAAAUAUUCUAGGCCUUGCCUUGGACAUGCGAAUGGUUGAGAAAGAGAAGUCAGGUGCAUCAUUUGAGUUAGAUACGUUGAGUAACAUGGAUAAUCUGAUGCUCCUACAACUCAAUUAUGUGCACAUGAAUGGUUCUUAUGAAAACUUUCCGGAAGAAUUAAGAUGCUUAUGUAUGCAUGGGUACCAUUUAAAUUCUAUACCUUUAAAUUUACCAAUGGAGAAUCUGGUUGCUCUUGACAUGUCAUAUAGUAAUAUUGAAUCCUUUGUCUUUUGUGAUAGUAAUCCACAACGACAUGAAAAGAGACAAAAGGUAACUUAUCUUCCAUUGUUAUUAUUCCAUGUUGAUUGGGUGAAAUUCACUAUUACUCUAACUUAUCCCUAUUUCAACAGUUAAGCGGAUCAUGCUUAAAACAAAAAAGGGUACUUGGAUCAUUGAAGAUUCUUAAUUUAAGUUUUUGUAAACAACUUCGUAGUCUUGGUGACUUUGACCAACUCCCUGCUCUUGAGAGGUUAAUAGUUAGGAAUUGCAUUGGUUUGAAUGAGGUUUGUGAAUCAAUUGGGCAAUGUGUUAAACUUGUCUUAAUCGAUCUGAGCUACUGCAACAAGCUUGAAAAAAUUCAAAAAAUCACAAGCAUGUUAGCGAAUGUUAAAAUAAUGUUCCUAGAGGGUUGUAAUCUUGGGGAAUCACGAAUCAAGAUUAGGGAUAUUGAUUUACAAGAAAGGCUCAAGGCUAACGACAUUGACGUAAAUACAAUAACCUCUUCCUCUGCCUUUGGGGGUGCUAUACCAAGUGAUUUGAAGUUCUCUGCAUUUUCUUUACCUAGGUCUUUAGUAAGUUCUCUGCACUUCAGUUGCCUAUCCAUGCUAAAGCAUUUAUAUUUAGACGGAAAUCUUAUCGAUUCCAUGCCCAUUUGUGUGAGAACCCUUCCUAGGCUUGAGAUACUUAGCAUGACAGUACAAAAAAAAUGUCAAUUAGUAACCAAAACGAUAUGGUCACUAACAAUAGAAUGCAUCGUCACUAAAUGAUUUAGUGACGAAAAUUCCGGUCGACACUUUUCGUCACUAUAGGUCCGUCACAAAACCGAUUUAGUGACCAAAUAUAAAUAUGGUCACUAAAUAGUGACUAAAAUAUACUCGUCACUAAAUCUGUGACAACCCACUUCGUCACUAAAUGUUGUCACUAUUUUAUCUACUUAGUGACCAAUAAAAGUCGUCACUGUUUAAUCCGAUUAGUGACCAGAGAAAAUGGUCACUAUUUAAUAUGAUUGGUGACCAUAGAAAGUGGUCACUGUUUAAUCCGAUUAGUGACCAUAGUAGGUGGUCACUGUUUAAUCCGAUUAGUGACCAUACCAAGUCAUCACUGAUUUAUCCUAUGAGACACAAAAAGGGGUCAAUAAUUAAGAAAUUAUUGAAAUAUUAAAUUUCAUUUUUAAUAUGAAAUAUAACAAUAUCCAAUUAGAUAAAAGAAAAAACAAUCCUAUAAAUUUUUACAAUACAACAAAAACCAAAUAAAUCUUCACAUUUAUAAUAUGAAAAUUAAAUGUCAAUUUUUAAAAAAAUCCAUACAUUUUAUCCAAUAUUUCAAACAACAAAAUAUAAAGAUCAACCGGGUGAAGUUCAUUUAAUAAGAAAAGUAAGUUCAAUUGAUCAAUGCAAUUGAGAUAAACGUGAAAGCUCACUCAUCAUAAAUUCCAUUUUCUUAUUUUGCUCCUCUCGAUAUUUGAUCUGCUCUUCUUGAAAUUGUAGUUGCUCUUCUUUAAUUACAGGAAUUUCCUCCUCCACGGCUUUUGAUUUUUCCUUUUCCAGUUCCAGAUCCAUUUGUAACUUUUCUGUGCCUAAAACUUGUUUUGUCGAAACAGAACGCCCUUUUAUAUAUCCCGGUAUACGAUGUAGUUUUUUCAUACAUAUUUCAGCCGGCGAACAAGAAGAAGAAGCUUCCUCAUUUAGUAAUUCAUUCUGCAUAACAAAACAAUUUAGAUUAAAAGUAAAACAAAUAUUAUUCAUAAAUACGUCAAGAUAUUAAAAAUACCCAAAUUUCUCCGGCCAUCUCAUUGACCAUUUGAUUUUUCUUUUUCGAAAAAUGCCCAAUCUUGUAACGUUCAAUGAAUGAUACUUCUUCUCCUUCUUUCUUUUUUAUGUUUUCAAAAGGAAGAAAACUUUGACAAUGCAAUGAAAGAUUUAAGUUAAAAAAGUAGCUUACCAUGUCAACAAUCCUUGCAAUUGAAAUUGUGUCAACCGCGGGUGGAACUUGAUUAAAUGAUUUGUUCUUCUUGUUUCUAAUGCUAACUUUCUACAACAAUUAAACAAGGGUUGUUUCUGUCAUAUUUGCAAACCAAAAAAAACAGGGACCGUUUAUGUCAUUUGUCCACACUAUUACAUAGGGACCAUUCCUGUAAUUCUACAAAGUAAAACAUAGGGACCAUUUCUGUAAAUUUUGAAAAAUAAAAAACACAAUGGUUGUUUCUAUCAUUUUCUCAAACCAAAAAACACAUGGACCAAUUUUAAAAUUCUGCAAAUUGAAUAGACAGGGACCAAUUAUGUAAUUAUGCAAAGUAAAAACUCAAUAACCAUUUAUGUCAUUUUACCAUUUCUUGAUAUAAUUUGGAAAAGAAGUAAAAACCUGAAAUUCUUCGCUUGCAAAUUUUUGAUAUAGUUUUACCCAAUCAACAUUGAUUACACCAUUUGGAGGAUGAUUGAUUGCUUCCUCUUUUGUAGAGAACUUUUUGAAAUGAAGGUGCAACCUAUAUUGCCUGUUUUUAUGUUGGUUCGCCAGUUGUGUAUCGAUAGCACGCACCAUCGAGCGACAACUUGGAUCGUAAGUUGAAUUUUCCUACAUAUAGGUAUAGCAAUGUAUUCUUAUUUAUAUGUUUAAGAAAUAGCAAUGUAUUCUCAUUUAUUGUUUCUAUAAAGAGAGUUGAUAACAUCAUACCGUGCAUUUAGUGAUAAUAUCAUACUUCAACAAAUCUGGUUGGUUUUUCCAAGUGGUUCCAUCAAAUUUUGCAUGAUCUCUAACUACACAUCCACCCUUAGUGAUGAAUUGUUGACUAUCUUCCCCAACUAUACGACCAACACAUUCAUCAACUUCAAAAACUAAAUUUGCCUUUAUUCGAGCGCCUCUUUUUAGUUUCAUUCAAAGCUCUAGAUUCUUUUUGAGUAUUAGACAUGCCUACAUAGAUUUAGUCAACAAGAAAAAUGACUGAUUAUAUAAUCAUAUACAUUAAUCACAUACUAUUUUACUUCUAAUCAACGUACCAUGAAAAGUUGAACCAAUGUUCUCAUCUCGAAAAGAAUCAACUUCGUGUUCCUCUUCUUCAAAAUCUUCCUCAUCGUGGUUCAAACUAGAAACUUUUCUCAUAUGACUUUGAUAGGGAGAAAGUGACUCCAUUGUUUCAUAAGUAGGCAACUCUUCAUCUUGCAACAUGAGAUUAGAUCUCUCCAAUACCCCUCUUCCAGGGCCAACUAUCUAAAUAACAAUAACACACAUUUUUAAUUUCAUGUAAAGUGGUGUUAUCAAAAGUCAAAGUUACAGAAAAUACCAUCUUUGAAAAAUUAGUAUUCUUCAACUUUUAUUGACUUGGCUUCUCUAUUCCCCGAUGUUUUUUCUGAUCCAUCAAAUGUCUAGUCAAACACUGCAUAGCAAACAAGACCAUAAAGAGUACAUAAAAGACAUUAUAUUCUUAAAUAGCAAUGUACUUUUCUGAAAUUAAUUUUUUUCAGAUUUAAAUGGUACUUUCUAGAAUUCAAAAUCACCGAUACCAUUAUACAUUGCUAUAAAAAAGUAAAAAUAAGAAAAUACAUUGAUAUAAUACAUGAAAUUAAUGUAAGUUGAUUGCUUACUUCAUCACGAAGGUUAGAUGCCUCCUUUUGGCCACCCAUAUCUUUAUUUACAUGUCCAAUAUCCUUUGUAAACCUAAAAAUGUAGACUUGUAAGGUUACAUACUAAUUUCACUAAAAACAACACUCGAGUCCUAAUAUAAACAUUAAUACAAUACAUAAAGUUAAUGUAACUUUUCUUUCUAUUACAACAUUGUACUUUCAAUUGUUUCUUAUUAACGCAUCAUAGUUUUAUUCUUUAAAAAUAUAUACUCAAUAAUACCAAUGUUAACCAAAUACAAAGCACACUUUUAUUAGAAGAAAUGAGAAUAUGAUGCUAUAAAAAACAAAGUAAAAAAAGUACAUUGUUAUGUCUUGCAUGUUAAAGAAACUAAACUUUAUCAAUGUUUUAAUAUUUUACUAGAACUAAAUUUAAUAGUAGUUUAAAACAUGGUUAAAUAAACAAGCUUCUCAUAACAUAAUGGUAAUUCAACAAGUGGGAGGUUCGCAUUGAUCCAUAACAACAUUUUACAUGGAAUGUAUGAAAAAAAUUACCAUUUUACCCUUAAGAGUUACAUUUAAUUUAAUUUUCCAUUUUAAAUGGAAAGUUAUACGAAAGAAGUUGGGUAAAUUUGUUACCUAUUUUGACUGAGUGUGUUGCCAGUAGGUGGCACAACUUGUCCUGUUCGCGUUCGAACAGAUACAAAUGGUCUUCCAGAUAAUCUUUUAGGAGUCAUUCCCGACAUAACUGCAUAGGAUUAAAAAUGAAAUAUUUUGUCUCAACAAAAAAAAAAUGAAAUCAAACUAAAUUUCAAAUAAAUACAUACUUAUUAUUAUCUUUUUAUCACACAAAUAAAAGGUUACCUUUUCACUAAAGGCAAUCUUCUUUCAACUGAUGCAACUCUGAAGAUGCUACAAGAACAAAUACUUAAAUAAAUUAGUAAAUAAAUGUGUUUAAUCAUACAUCAUCAAGGUAUGAAGAGAGAAGAUAAAGAAAUGAAAUCAAACUAAAGAUCAAAUAAAUACAUAGUUAUAUUGUAGAUAAAUUGCAUUUAUAAGAAAAGGGAAAUACAUUGUCGUUAUUCUAAUCUUGAAAAGAGCACAAAGGCUGAACUUUUAUUCUGAACUUGAAAAACAGCAAAAAGGCUGAACUUUUAUUCUGAACUUGAAAAACAACAUAAAUGUUGAACUUUUAUUUUGAACCUUUAUUCUUUUGCUACCAUUUUAUUUAUGCCUUCCAUUGCACUUGUUUAAGUAAUUGUAAAAUCUAUGAGUAAAAAUAUUUUUAUCGUAUUUCCUCAUUUUGUUGGACAAUUGAUUCAUUAUCCAUUUUAGCAUAAAAAUAUAAAUACCUUUUACUAAGAACGGGCUCUUGUCAUUGAUGUACUUGCCUUUGUACAUGUUUUUUGAGAUAUAUCAUGCAAUGCAAUGGUUAAGGCAUCCACCACUUCCAAUGGGACAUUAUCUCUUGUUAAGGAUAAUUGGUCCAUAUUCAAAUCAAUAUUUAGAUUUAGAUGUGGCUCAUGUUCUUGAUGUACUUCUUCCAUCAUUACAUGAACAUCAUACAAUGCACGAGGGGAACUACUUUGAACCACAUACCAAUUUUUGCCCAAUUUUAAAUCAGGAGCAUAAAAAACUUGUUUGGCUUGUGAUGCAAGUAUGUAUGGUUGAUCUAUGUACCAUUUUUUGGAUGUAUUCACACUUCUAACUUUGGAUUCUUUGUCAAUUCUUAGCCCUUUCUUAUCACCGACCAUAAACCAAUCACACUUGAAUACUAACACUCUUUUAUUUUCACCCAAGUAUUCAAUUUCUAACACUUCUUGUAAUAUCCCAUAAAAAUCAAUAAUGUUUUCCCCAUGAACACCUUGCACUACAACUCCGCUAUUUUGAGUUUUCCGAUUCUUCUCACGACUUUGUGUGUGGAACCUAUACCCAUUGACCAAACAUCCACUAUACUUGUUGACAUAACGUGAUGGCCCAUGCGACAAUAUAUGAGUUUCGUAUUCAAACAACUUUGGCCAAGAAUUAACCUAAAUAAAAAUGUAUACCAUAUUGGUUAACAAGAGUUUAAAACUCCCAUAUUAAAUUAAAAAAAAUAAACAUCAAAUGUAGUUCUCACACGUUGGCGAAGCCAUGAUGCAAAUUGUUUUUCAUGACGUUCAUUUACAUUGUCAGCAUUUUCUUCCUCUAGUUCAACUUUGUGUGAACUAAAAAGUUAAAAAUUAAGACUUGUUAUUAUAUGAAAAAAAAAGGAAGGUAUCAUUACAUAAAAAAAAUCACUUACGUUAUUAGUUCCUUUAUUUCAUCACAAUUGUUUAGAAUAUAUGUAUGAAUCUUCUCCAAUUCAUUUUCACUCAAAUCCUGUGAUUUUGGACUACCUAAUAGGCGCCCUUUGCAUGAAAAAAUGGAAAUUUCACCAUCACUAUCCAUCAUUUCAUUGUUGCGCUCAACCUUAUUGAAAAGCGUGUCAACAUCAUUCAAAUACAUAGAACAAAAAUUCAGGCAUUCCUUGUCUAUGUAUCUCUCAGCAAUACAUCCUUCUGGAUGAGCUUUAUUCUUGACAUAUCCUUUUAAAGUACCCAUUUUCCUCUCAAAAGGGAACAUCCAACAGUAUUGAGGUGGGCCUGCGAUCUUGGCUUCAUAUGGCAAAUGAAUCAAAAGAUGAACCAUGAUGUCAAAGAAUGAUGGAGGAAAUAUCCACUCCAACUUACAUAAUAUGAGAAUAAUUUUUUCCUCUUGUUCUUCUAAAACAUCUAGGUAUAUACUUCGUGUGCAUAAUUUUUGGAAAAACUCGCUGAGUUCGUACAACACAAGUCGAACUUCCUUUUUCAAACAACCCCUAAUUGAUAAAGGCAACAACCGUUGGAUGAAAACAUAAAAGUCAUGACUUUUCAUGCGUGACAACCGGAAGUCCCCCCCCUUUAAUGCAUCUAGAUAUAUUCGAGGCAAAUCCAUCCGGGAACUUAAGUGACUUCAAGAAAUCUAAUAUCUUUUGUUUCUCUUCCUUUGUCAAAUGGUAACAAGCCAUAGGCAUUAUAAAUGAAUUGCCAUCUGGUUGUAAAUGUAAGCUCUUUUUUAAUCCUUUAUCCAUUAAAUCCUUGCGAGAUUUCCAUGUGUCCUUUGUUUUAUUCUUAAUAUUGAACAAUGUGGCGGUCAAGCUUUCUGUCACAUUCUUAACAACAUGCAUGAUAUCAGUGUUGUGUCUCAAUUUUAGUUUAGCCCAAUAUGGAAGCUUAAAUCAUUUCCGCUAAAUCGAGGCUCCUUGCAGUCGUCAUUUGGACAGUGGGUAUGAGACGCAUAUUGUUUUCGAUAAAGAACACAGUCAUUAACACAUGCGUGAAUUUUUUCUCCUUGAAAACCCAAAUCACGUAUGUAUUUUUUUGCUUCAUAAAUUUUUUUGGGACUAAUGAUGGAGUUGGCAAGGCUUUUCUAAAUAUAUCAAGCAAAGCAUCAAAUGAUUUGAUGGACCAACCACUUGUUGUCUUUAUAUGUAAAAUUGUAACAAUAAACGAAAAUUGUGAGUAACUUUGACACCCUUCAUAAAGUUCCCGGUGCGCUUCAUCCAUCAAUCUUCAGAGGCCUUCUAAAUCCUUGUCUAUGGUACAUGAGGAAUCACCACUAGCUUGCCAAUUAUCACCCCAGUUACUUUGACCUAUGUUAUUUAACAUCUCAUCAAGGUCAUCAUCAUUUAAGUCAUCACAAGCCCCAUCAACUUCAUCCAUUGAUAUGUCAUCAUCCGAUGUAUCAUAUGACUCACCAUGAUAUAUCCACCUAACAUAACUAACAACAAUUCCUAUUUGCAUCAAAUGUGAGAAUAUAGCUGUUCGGUUAUGAUGUCGAAAAUUAUUGCAUUUUUUGCAAGGGCAUAGAACUUUUGACAACACUUCUCUAUCGCGGUAUGCAAAAUUAAGGAAUUCAUUUACACCCAACUCAUAUCUUGGGUCCUUCAUCCUUUGAACUAUAUUCAUCCAAGACUUAUCCAUAUGAUCUGGUAAAAGAAAAUUUCCUGAAAAUGGCAUAAAUGUAUAAUGACAGUGAAAUAGAAAACUCAGGUGGGGUUGUUAAAUUAAGCAAUAAGUUAAUCUAAACAUUGUAUAUGAGAUAGAAACUAAAAUGUAUUACUAACUUACAGAUCUAUUAAAGAUAACUAGCAUGCCAAUUAAUCUAAAGUAGAAUCUGAAAGUUUUCUUAAUCAUUUAGAAAGGUUUGUCACUACAAAAUAAUGCAAGAAAUAGCAACAUACUUUUUUCAUUUGUUUAUUUAUUUUACAACUUUACUUCAGUUUAUUUCUGUAAAAACUUUCAAAGUAGAAUGUUGUAAUUGUGUAAAAUUUUCAAAGCAUUAUGAGAAAAAAAUGAAAAUACAGUGUUGUAUUAGAAAGAAAGGAAAGCAAGAUGCUACUGUUAUAAUUUAUACACAAAAAUAAAUGAAAGAAAAUUGUAUUUGUAUUUUGAUGACAUUGCUCAAAUUGAUAAAUAAAUCAAUGGAAAUACGUUGCUAUUUUUAGCAUUUAACUUUUUCUUUAAAACUGUUAUAUUAUUGAUUAUAUUAUUAGUAACUUACUAGAGAUAUGAUUCUUAGGUUCAUAUGUAUGUGGAUGAUUGUGAGAAGGUUACUACUCAUUAUCAGGUAAAAAUUAUACAAAAAUUUAAUUGGAAUAAUAUGAACAUUUCAUGUAGAAUGGACCAUUUUGCCCCUAUCCUCUUCAAACCCAAGAUGCACAAACUCAGGUUUUGUUUGUAGGGAAAGAAAAGGAGAUGACAAAAAUGGAGAAGGGCAAAAUGGUCAUUUUCAUGAUAUGUGUGUCUAUAUAGUAUGCCCUACAACUAUGAAAACAUAAAUUUACCGUCACUAGGACCAUUUCUAUUACAAUUUACUGUCAAAAGGACCGUUCUAAUUGAUGUUACAAAACAAUAUCUUCAUCUCUUUAACAACAUUGUAUUAUCAUUAGUCAAAACAUAUGUUUUUCAAAACAGAGACAUAUCACAUAAUCAAAGGGUAUUAUAAUUAGAAUUGUGCAGCAACAUUGUUUUCAAAAUGACGACAUCAUUAAAACAUAUUUUUUUUCAAAACAAUGACAUAAUCAUGUACUUUGUAGAUAUGGUAUUAAUAAACCAAAAUAAUCAGUUCAUACCUGAUGCUUAUGGUUUGUAAGUGACUACAACUGAACUCAUAAGCAAUAUCACUUGAUAUUUUGUGACAGGUUCGUGGAAACCUUCUAAACAUAACCACAAGAAAAAAAACUGCACUAGAUAUAGCACAAUAUAGAUUUGGGCUUCCUUAACCAUUUCUGCAAUCUUGUUUUUGUGUUAUGAAAUGGAUGAAUUGAUUAGAUACAAAAGGGAAAGAGCUACUAGAGAAAAGACCGUUUUGCAGACACAAUUCUAAAAGCACUCCACCAGGACGAAAAAGCGGACCCCAUCAACUUGAAAACCAAAAAAGGAAAUGAAUCAAGAAAAUGAAACUUAAAGAAAACGAAGAGGAAGUGUUGUCAUUGUUAGACCCUUUUGUUGGAUUGUUAUGCAGUUGCUUAAGCUCAAAGUAUGAAGAUAAUAGAAAAACUACACUUUUUGUUAUGAUGUACGAAUGUUCAAGCAUAAUGUCUGGUGAAAUACGAAAAUUCCCUGAAGUUCUUCAUUUAUCUUCUAAUGGCAUCAUAUAUCUAUCAAAUGAAGUAAUGGCAAAAGAAAAAUCCUUACAUUCACUCAUUACAUUUGAAGGCUUUUCAAGAAUUCCUACCCCUGAUUACAUAUUCGAACAGAGGUAUCUCAGGGUUUUGCAUUUAGGAAUCAGGUAAAUGAGAAAUCUGUCUAAGUUACCUGAAGAAAUCAGGUACAUGAGAAAUCUUAGACAUUUGAAUAUCCAUGGGUGUUGCUCUUUUUAUCAUAUGCCACUUGGCAUGGGUCAGUUAUGCCACCUAAGAAGACUCAACACGUUUCUUGUGGGCCAGGGAGUCCAAGUAAGCGAGUUACAAGAGUUGAAUCUUUUAGGAGGAGAGUUUAGCAUAAAGGGUCUUACAAAUAUGAAAGAUUCAUUUCAAGCUCAGAGUGCAAACUUGAAAAAGAAACAUAAUAUAAACUGUUUAAAUCACUGAGUAAAGAGCUUAACAAGAGGGAAGCUCUAACAGAAAGGAAGAAACAAAAGCCAAAGCCUUCCGUGAUAUGGUCCAAAAGCAGAAAAUCUCAACUUAUCAAGAAAACUGAAUUGAUUCCAUAUUAUUAUAUUAUCCAAAAAAGUAACACAAGAACAAGAAAUAGUAGGAAAAAUAUGGCAUCACAUCAUAUUGUAGGGCUGGUGGAAAAUUCAUGGGAAAGGAAGGUUAGUAACUUUGUCAAAUAGAACAAAUCAUGGCAUACAAGUGUAUAUAUGAGAAGGUGAUUCAAUUUAAUUCAAUGUGAUUGUAAAACUCAGUUAAGCCUAGAAAAAGAAGUUGAUAGUCACUCAAUCGAUUGACUUAUCUAAUCAUGCGAGUUUGGAGUACCUGUUUGGCUUCAACUUUGACUCCGAGUAGAGAACAGAAGUGCGUCAAUAGGAGGGCGUGGAGGACGAUGGACCGCCGACCAAGAAAAAGAAGUUUUAGUCACUCAAUCGAUUGACUUAUCUGAUCAUGCGAGUAUGGAUUACCUGUUUGGCUUCGAGUUUGACUUCGAGUGGAGAACAGAGGUGCAUCAAUGGGACGGUGUGGAGCGACAAUGGAACGGAGGAGAUGGACCGGCGACGAUGGGUAGGCAGCGAUGGACUGGAGAUCUAACAAGGUCUGGUCGCGCAGGCGAUCGGAGAUCGGAGGUGGGAGAGAAAUUAACUGUGGAGUUAUCGUGAAAAAGUGUGGAGGAUGCUUUGAACGAGUGGGGAGCUGUGAACUGAGGUAUCGAUUCGGGGCAAAAAAAUGUGUUGAGUCGAUUUAGGGCACAGUACCCUUUAUCGGUAGUUAAAUUAGUUAGCUUGUUUAUCCUCUUUAUAUAUAUAAUUAAUUUGGUCAAAUUAGUGGUCAAAAUUAAUCAAGUCAAUUUGUAAACCUAUUUUUCCGACAAUAUUAGACAAUUUUUUCUAAAUCAGGUACAAUUUUAGUCGAUAUGGUAUUAUUUUUUCUUCAUUUUGAGGUAAGCUUCCAACAAUUUCCAGCAUACAAUUUUUUUAUUAUAUAUAUUUUGAGGAUUCAAUUUUGGACCUGAUUUUGAAGUUCCAUAUCAUGACUUUGAGAAGCCUUAGCAAUUUUAUCAUAAAUUUACGAUAGUGUUCUUUUGAUUCUCAUUUUAAUUGUAACUUCAUUUACCAAUUAAUCUAGAAUCCAUUUAUUGCAAGAAUACCAAUUUUGUUCUUUUUUUUUAGAUUGUGACAUACAAUAUAUGUUAUUGAUCUUUUGGUACUGCGGUGGUCUCCUUAUUUAGUCAAAAUAUAAAUACAACUAGUACUUUUUCUAAUGUGUUUUUUUUUUUUUCAAAUAUAUGUAGUCAGUGACCACUACUUAUUGGUUACUAAUUGUUUUUUUUCUUGUAAUUCAUCAGUGACCACUAUUGAGUGGUCAUUAAUUGUUUUUCCACAUUACAUUUACUUAGUGACUGCUAUUUUUGGUCACUAAACCUUCAAUACAGUGACCACUUUUUUGUCACUAAAUUUCUAACAUAUUGACCAUUGUUCUUAAUCACUAUAUAGUUAACAUAGUGAUCAUUAUUUUUAGUCACUAAAUAGUUGUUAUUAUAUGAAGCAAAAACAGUUAAAUUUUUUUGCAUUUUAGUGACUGAGUUAGUGACCACCACAUAUAAUUCGUCAUUAAAUUUGUAGGAUUACCAAAAUUUAAUGACCACUUAAUUUCUAGUGACUAAUAGAUGCUUUCGGUGACCAAAUUUUAGGUGGUCACUUAAAAAUAGUCACUAAUAAGGACUUUUCUUGUAGUGUGAAUAAUUGUAAAAAUUUGAAGUCAAUCGAGCAUCCUCCACAUACACUAAGAGUGUUGUUCGUCGUUUCUCAUAGGCCCUCUAUAGAAAAAUUGGUAUUAAAUCGAACAACAUCAUACACCAAUUAUCAUAUAACGAUAUAGAUUACGGACGUUGGUCAUAUGAAAUAGAAGGCAUGAUCAAAAUCCAAGCAAUGGUGGGUGUUGACGAAGAGGUAUUGCGUAGCUUGGGCUGGACUAAUCUAGACUUCCUUAAUGACACGCGUGUGGGAACUAAUUCUGUUUUGUCUAGUUAAAUGUUUGUCUUUAUGUAAAUACAUUUAAUAUAAUUAUUACGGUGAUUAAUUAAGGUGGUUUGUAUUUGGGAGACGAUGCAUUAUGAAUUUGGAAUACUUAGCACAAUGUAUGAGGCGGAGGAGAUGCCGAGUUGGUUUAGGCAUAGAAGCGUGGGGCCAUCAAUAUUAUUUACCAUCCCAUCGUCUCUAAACUGCCUUAGAGGGUUCAACUUCUGCUCUGUGCAGACAUUGCGAGUUCCAGAUGAGGAUUCAGGAAUCCAUCUUUCGCCAAAGAUCACAAUUAGUAAUAUAACAAAGAAUCGCACAUGGAUAUACCAACGUCGCUUGACCAGAUCUAGUGUAUGUCGAGAGUGUUGCGUGAUGUUAAGUCAUUGGAUGUUUGGAAUGAAUGACAUGGAAGGUGGUGACCAGGUUACUAUUACUGUUACAGGGCCAUAUAAUGAACUUAUAAAGGAGUGUGGGGUGAGAGUCAUGUAUGUUGAUGAUGAUGAUGGUGCGUUAGGUUAUUACAAGUCAUGGAAUCUCAUAAUUGGUGGAGAUCUCUCUCCUUUUCAAAUGACAACAGGAGAAUACAUCCUAAACAACUGGGAUUUUGGAAUCCACUUUAUGAAUUUUUUCAUGCAGUUAUUCUAAAUGCAUUAGAGAAGGCGCCAGCUAUCAAGGUUGAUGUCAUUCUUAUUAAAUAUUUUGUUAUCAUAGCCUAAUUCGUCUAAAUAAGUACAUCAUAUGACCCAAAUCCACCCAUUUAUUAUUGAUUUUGUUUGCCCUCUAAGCUAAAAGUUUAUUUUUAAUGUAUCGAUCCAGAUGCACGAUGGGUCGACCUAAGUAUUGAUCCGUCUAAAUGGGUUGAUCUGCUACAUCAAUUGAUUAAGUUUUUUGAUAUGUUGGGUCACAUAAUUAUAAUAUACCAGGACCAAUACAACUACUUUGUCCAAAUGGAUGUAUGUGAAUAGUGAUUGACACAAUGCUUUUUUUUCUCUGUAUUUUCAACACAAAAGGAAGUGUGGUUCAAAGAUUUUUCGCAAAGGAAGCCUGACAUAAUUGGUCAUGCACGUGAGGUAUAUUUUUAUACCUGAACAUUUCUCUCGUCACAUAAAUAAAGGGAAAAUGACUUAGGUUUUGUCCACAUUUGGUCACUUUCAUUUUUUUUGACAACAUUAACCAUUAAAUUCUCAUUUUCUGUUCAAGUUAUAGUAGGUUAAUGCCCAAUUGGCAUAUACUUGGCAUCUACAUGGUGGCAUUUGAGAUUAGCUGAUACGUGAUAUAAGGUAUUUCUUCACCCUCUUGCUCUUUUGUGCCCUAGAAUAACAAAAUCGACACGUCUUCUUCUUCUUCUUAAUCUGCCAGUAAAAAUCAAGAAUUCCAAGUUGAAAAUCCUUGAAAAUGUGGGUUACCUUCUCGAUUGAGGACAUCACUGAUGACAACCCUGAAGAAAGUUUAGAGUGUGCCCUAACUCGAUGGUAAAUCAAAUUAUGUUUUUUAUUUAACACUUCUUUUUUAUGUUCUUGUUUUAACAUUUCUAUUUAUUCAAGACUAAAAGGAAAAGUUGCAAUUUCUAGGAGUGGUCGAUGAAGAUUUUCAAUAUGAAGAUUUAAACAUCAAGUUGAAGUCGAAGAAUAUGGGUGUAAUGCAAGCUUAUGAACUAAUGCUGAAAAUUUGCUACAUCAGAGCAUGAGAUGAAGAUGGACCACGAAAUGGAGGCACUGAAAUGGAAGGUGUCCACUCACAAAAUAGUGCUCUUGUGUUGUUUGUUAUGCUUGUAGUUAAUCUACUUUAGGUUAGGGAUUAUAUUUGUUUAGGAUACAUUAUUUUUGUUGUAAGUUACAAUACAUUAUUUUUUGUUUAGGAUACUAUAUUUGUAGUUCUUCCCAUACUCUCCCUCUAUUUUCCUCUUUAUAGUGGGCCUCCCACGUAACCUUCUUUUUAAGGGGGGUUAAUGGAUUGUGAGCAUCAACAUGAGGCUACAUGACACAAUUAAAAGUCAUAAGUUCAAUCAUUAACUUUUUUACUUGAUUUUUGGAUGUUGCUUUUUCAAAUGAAGCAAUCAUUGAUGGGGAUUAUAUUAGAUGUCCUUGUUCUAAAUGCAAGAACAAGUCUUAUAAAACAAGAGGUGAUGUAGAGCUUCAAUUGUUACAAAACGGUUUCACUCCUAAUUUCAUAACUUGGCAGGCCAAUGGUGAAAGAAAUACGAUAUCUCAGCAUGAGGAAUAAUCUUCUAAUCUGAUGCAGGAUCCGAUGGAAGAUGAUGAUGAUGAUGAUGAUGAUGUUAAUGGGUGUACACAAAUGUUGAUGGAUGUAAUGGAAGGACUCCUGCAUCCAACCGCCAAGGGGUUCUAUGAUAUGUUAGAAGACGCUGAUGAACCUUUGUGGCAUGGAUGUGAAAAUUAUUCAAAAUUAGAAGUUGCAACAGAAAUGUUGCAUUGGAAGUCUGAAUACAAUAUAUCUAAGGCUACUUAUGAUCACAUACUUCCUAUAAUUAAGCGGAUGCUACCCAAAGGUAAGAAACUAGUUGAGAACUUCUACGAGACGAAGAAGCUUUUGCAAAGAAUUAGACUCCCAGAAAAAAAAAGAUUCAUGCUUGCAAAAACCAUUGCAUGAUAUUCUAUGGGGCUGAUUCUGAUUUGACUAAGUGUCGAGUGUGUGAUCAUGAUCGGUACAAGAGUGGCAGAUAUCUGGUUAUGAGGUACUUUCCGAUUGCUCCUAGACUCCAAAGGUUGUAUUUGACAAAAAGAUGGCAAAGCAAAUGACAUGGCACUAUGAACAUCAAACAUAAUCGGGUUUGAUGGUCCAUCCAAGUGAUGGUCAGGCUUGGAAGCAUUUCGACUCAAUGCAUCCAGAAUUUUCAAGUGAACCACAGAAUGUUCGCCUUGGGCUAUGCACUAUGGUUUCAGUCCAAAUAACUCAAAUAUAACCUCGUAUUCAUGUUGGCCUAUUUUCCUUUCAAUUUAUAACUUGCCUUCUUGGAUGUGCUUAAAAGAACCAUAUGUUCAAUUAAGCAUAGUUAUUCCUGGAAAAAAGAGCCCAGGUCAAAAUAUAGAUGUGUUUCUCAGGUCAUUAAUUGAUGAGUUAAAGAUGCUAUAUACAGAUGGCAUUGUCACUUAUGAUGCUUCGAGUAAAUGCAAUUUCACAAUGAAAGCUAUACUUCUUUGGACAGUUAGUGACUUUCCUACCUAUGCAAUGUUAUCGGGAUGGAUCACACAUGACAAGUUAGCAUGUCUGUAUUGUAUGGGUGAGUCGGGGUCGUUUUGUUUACACCAUGGUAGUAAACCAUGUUGGUUUGACUGCCAUCAAAAUUUUUUACCUGAACAACACACAUAUAGGGGUGACAAAAUAGGAUUUUUGGCUAAUAAGGUUGAUCGAUCUAGCUCCCCACCAAUAUUAACCGGUGAUCAGAUUUGGGAGCAAGUACGACACUUUCCAACGGUUUAUGAAGGCAAACCUUUUAAGAGAAGAAUGCAAAAUUGCCUGGUUUCGGGAUUACUCAUAAUUGGGUUAAGAGGAGCAUCUUUUGGGAGCUACCAUAUUGGCAGAAGUUGUUAAUACGACACAACCUUGAUCCCAUGCACUUUGAAACAAAUGUGUUUGAAAAUAUUUUCAACACCGUGAUGGACACUCCAAAAAACAAAGACAACAUGAAUGCAAGAAACGAUAUAUGUCACACCCCAAAACCGAUAACGGCGGAAUGUGUUUCAGGGUGGAUGACGUAGUGUACGGUAUCAUCAUAAUUGUAUAAUAGUAAAAGCAAGAAACAUACAACCAUUUCAUUUACAUAGUAAGUGUAAUUACAAGUGUGUUUUGUAAUGUUUGACAAACACCAAAAGUAAACAAAAAUAAGAUAUGGGUCUUGCAUGCUCCAUCUUCUCCGAAAAUGCUGCAGUUUUACCUGUCUAUCUUUGACCUAAAGAUACAAGUUAUUUUGAAAAGAAUAUCAGCAUAAAGCUGGUGAGUUCAUAAGAGUUUAGUGUGAGUUCUUAUAUAAAAAGCAUUAGAAUCAUUAGUAUGAAAGCUGAAUGUUUGUUGUCAUGAGUAGUAGUAAAACCUAGAAAAUCCUAUAUUUUCCAGAACUGAAUAGUAAGUGAAAACCAUUAUGAAAUAUGAUAUUUCCAUCUUUGAAAACCAUUUAUCGUAGAAGUAUAAUAGUGACUCACCAAUAAGUAAAGCAAUAUAGUGAGUUAUACUUGAAGUAAAUAAUAGUGGUGCAGCUUCCUUUAGUAUUAGAUACUUAUUUACUUCGGGAUAUUAACUUCAUCUUUCGUUUAGUGUUUUAGUGCGGUUAUAGUGUAUUUCUUGUAUGUUACCAAUGGUGUGAGUAAUAGCGGACCCCCAUGACCUUCCCAGUCAUGUAUAGUGUAGUGGAGUAAAGGCAUCCCUGGACCUGUGCGGCUCGGACUGAAAUUAUCAGUCGGGAUGUAAUAGCGUCUGCCCCGUAUAGAUCUAUACAUAUAGUGUCGUCUUCCUAUCAGAAAACUUCGGGCGUAGUGUGUAGUGAAUAGAGUAUCUCGUAGUGGGUAAAUGAGUUAUAUUAUGAUUUGUACUUUCUCUUGUGUUGUAGUGGGGUAGUCUUUUGUAUAACUUGUAUUGUACUCUCUUAAUAGUGUAUAGUUUUCAUAAUAGAGAGAAUUAUAGUAGUGUAGAGUAGUAGUUAAAACAAGAGAUAGAGACCUUAACUAUACCUAUUAUAGUUAACUUAGUGUAUAUGGUUCUAGUCAAGUUAGUGAUUUAGGCAUCUACUGAAAUAAGAAGUACUCGUAAUCCAUACUAAUAUACGAGAUAUAUAACUAAGAAAUCAACGACAGUCAGACGGAUAACCACUACCCUAAGUCCACAAUCAGACAAGAACAGGAAAUAAGGCGAGCUAUCGGUCCUAAGUCCUUCAAGUCUUACUUAUAUAAAUAUAUCAGUGUGAUUACAUUUUUAUGAAGAGAUUUAUUAAAUAAAAGUAUUGUACAAAAGAGACAUUUAAAACUUGUUUGUCCAUUCAAAAUAGUUUUGAAAAUAAAUGAUUGAUUUAUAAGGCAUAGUGAUAAAUCACAUGUGAUUUGAACUACAGGUAGUGAAUCACAUGUGAUUAAUUCUGUAAUAUGUAAAAUUUUCUUGUAUAACUUUCCAUAAACAUGUAUAUUGAACUUGUAUCUCCCCCCUAAAACAUAUAAAACAUUUGAAAGGUUCAUUAAAGGGGUAUGAACUCACCUGAAUUCGCGUAAAUCGGGUGAAUCGGGUAAAUCGGGUAAAAGUGUCGGUUGAGCGUUUUGUUCCAAACAAUGACUUGUACACCUUUUAGGACCCUAAUGUCAUAUGAAAAUAUGUAUUUUACAAGAAAUUAAUCAUUUUAUGCUUUCCGUUUAAGUAUUGAGGCAUUCUAGCAUCAAUUCGGGGUUUUAGGGCCUAGAAGGGGUUCCCGGGAGUGGUUUAAGGCUAAGAAGGAUUUACGGGAGGUUCCAUGAGCUCACUCCCUUGGAGUUUACGGCCCAAAGGCCACUCCUUGGGAGUUUACGGCCGUAAGCCCCCUAGGCUUGGCCGUAAACUCAUGUGGUCCUCCAAAUUGUAUGUUUAAGGCCUUAUUUCACUUCCUUACUUUAAUGGUAUGAGUCUUGGACCAAUAUGGAGGGAUUAAACUCUUAUUUUUGUGUCAUUUUGGGGAGUUUAUGGCCAAGGCUUGUUCUUGGGCCGUAAACUCCAUUUAAUCCAUCAAAAUGGGUGUUUAAAUGGUACAACAUGUUCUCAUUCACCUUAGGUAAAUCCUAGAAGGCCUUAAAAUGAGUUUUGGGACAAUUUGGCAUGAAAAUUGGGGAGUUUACGGCCCAAGAAUAUCCUUGGCCGUAAACUCUUCAUUUGGCCUCAAAAUGGGAAGUUUAAUGGUACAACACACAUCCAAGGGCCUUAGCUAAAUUCCUUACAUGCAUUAGAGAAGUUUUGGGACUUGUUUGACACAAAAACUUGGGUGUUUACGGACCAAGCUUAGCCUUGGCCGUAAACUCCUCUUUUUGUCCUCAAAUGAUGUUGUUUGAUGCAUUUAAACCUUCCUUAGUGUCAAGUAUAAAUUACCAAACACCUUAGAUGAGUUUUUGGGGUGUUUACGGCCUAAGCACAAGCUUGGGCCGUAAACUCCUUUUUAAGCUUCAAUUCCUUGUGUUUUAGUGUCCAAACUCUCCUAGGUAUAUGCCUUAAUUAGUCCAUAAGCUUAAAGGAAGGAAAAAUGAGGUUUUUGGCAAGUUUCUAGGGGUUUACGGCCUAAGGGGCUUCUUAGGCCGUAAACUCCUUUUUGGUCCUUGAUUUCUAUGAUUUUGGCCCCUAAAUACAGUGAAGUAUGUCUAGAUUAAGAUAGGGAAUGAGUCCUUACGUUUGGAAGCCGGAAAUUCGCGGAUUUAGGGUCGAUUUCGGGUCUAGAGAGAGAAAGUAGUGAGACAGAGGUGAGGGUGUGGUAAAAGAGUUCAAUUGUAGUGUCCCUUUGUUUAUAUAUGUCUCGGGUAUUGCACCCGAUACACGGCUACCCGAUGCUAACGUUUAACGGGGUUAAAACUUUUUACCCGGGUGAAGUGGUUGAAAAGUAAUAUAACUCUAUUUAGUUAAACGGGGUUAACAUUUACAAGUUAUAAUUACUUAUGAUAAUAUCGUGACAUAUGAAUAACUAGAUAUUUGUUUAUUGACGACUCCCAACCAUUACCGAAAAUAAUAUAUAGUGACGCAUUCCGUUAGUGAAAGUAGGGUUUGUAACGGCAAUAUAUUUGGGGUUGUCACAUUAUCCCCCCGUUAGGGGAAUUUCGUCCCGAAAUUUAGAAUUUAUACAGAUCAGAAUUACAGUACUACUACGCGAAGAGAUGGUGGUAUUUGAGUUUCAUUUGGUCUUCGCGCUCCCAAGUGAAUUCCGGUCCUCGUUUGGCGUUCCACCGAACUUUCACAAUUGGGAUACGGCUUUGUUUCGUUCGUUUUACUUCUCGAUCCAUGAUCUCCGCAGGCUCUUCCACGAAGUUGAGGCUCUCAUUGACCUCAAUCUCGUCAAGGGGAAUUACGAGUGUCUCGUCUGACAGGCAUUUCUUCAAGUUACAGACGUGAAAGGUAGGGUGUAUGUUGCUUAGUUCGUGAGGUAGGUUGAGUUUAUAAGCUACGGGGCCGACUCUAACGAGAAUCUCAAAAGGCCCUAUGUACCUUGGGUUCAGCUUUCCAUGCUUUCCAAAGCGUAUCGUGCCCUUCCAGGGUGAGACCUUCAACAGGACUCGAUCUCCCACCUGGAAUUCCAAGGGUUUUCUUCGUUUGUCGGCGUAACUUUUCUGUCGAUCCCUAGCGGCUUUUAGUCGUUCACGUAUCUGUACAAUCUUCUCGGUCGUCUCUCGAAUGAUCUCCGGACCAGUGAGAGAGCUGUCAGGAACUCUUCCUCUAGCUAGCUGAGUGUCACCCACCUCAGCCCAGCACAGAAGGGAUCUGCACUUACGCCCGUAGAGGGCUUCGAAUGGGGCUGUCUUGAUGCUCGUAUGAUAACUAUUAUUAUAUUACAAAACUCCACAAGAGGUAAGUGUGUGUCCCAUGAUUUGCCAAAGUCAAUCACACAAGCUCGCAACAUAUCUUCUAAGGUUUGAAUCGUCCUCUCACUUUGUCCGUCGGUCUACGGAUGGUAGGCUGUACUCAUGUCCAGUCUCGUUCCUAGUGCCUUUUGCAAUGAUUGCCAAAAUCUAGAGGUGAAUCUACUAUCUCUGUCUGAUAUAAUAGAUAUAGGGACGCCAUGCAGUCGCACUAUUUCUUUUAUAUAUGUUCUAGUGAGCUUCUCCAUCUUGUCCGUCUCCUUGAUGGGUAGAAAGUGUGCAGACUUGGUCAACCUGUCAACGAUGACCCAAAUGGUAUCUAAUCCACCUGCUGUCUUGGGCAGUUUGGUGAUAAAGUCCAUUGUGAUUCGCUCCCACUUCCAUUCUGGUACCUCCGGUUGUUGGAGGAGUCCUGAUGGCUUUUGAUAUUCGACUUUGACCUUCGCGCAAGUAAGGCACUUACUUACAAAUGUAGCGAUCUCCUCUUUCAUGUUCGGCCACCAGUAUCGGUUUUUGAGAUCCAGAUACAUCUUAUCUGAACCCGGGUAAACGGAGUAACGAGUGUUGUGUGCUUCCCUCAUAACCAAGUCUCUGAAACCUCCAUGGCGUGGAGUCCAGAUUCGGUCCAUGAAGUAGUAGGCUCCGACACCCUUAACCUCCAGAUUUUUAUCCAUUCCGCGCAGGGAUUCUCCUAUCACGUUCUCGGGCUUUAAGGCUUCUAGCUGAGCCUCUUUGAUCUGUGCGGAUAGAUGCGAAUGGAUAGUCAUUGUCAACGACUUGGUCCUUCGACCGGAAUAUUCCUUUCUACUCAGGGCGUCAGCUACUAUGUUGGCUUUCCCCGGAUGAUAUCUAAUUUCACAGUCGUAAUCGUUAAGUAGCUCGACCCAUCGACGCUGUCUCAUGUUGAGUUCUUUUUGGUUCAGUAUAUGUUGGAGGCUUUUAUGAUCAGUGUACACCACGCUCUUCGUCCCAUACAAGUAGUGUCUCCAGAUUUUUAGUGCGAAGACGACCGCUCCUAACUCGAGGUCGUGAGUAGUGUAGUUCACUUCAUGGUUCUUUAGCUGUCUCGAGGCAUAGGCGAUAACCUUGCCUCGUUGCAUCAAGACACAACCGAGCCCCUGAUUGGAUGCAUCACAGUAUACGACGAAAUCUUCUGUCCCUUCGGGAAGGGAUAAUACUGGUGCGGUGCAUAGGGCUCGCUUCAGGGUCUGAAAUGCCUUCUCCUGUUUCUCUUCCCAGUCGAAUGAUACACCCUUCUGAGUUAGCAUAGUGAGAGGCUUCGCAAUUCGAGAGAAAUUUUGGAUGAAUCUGCGGUAGUAGCCAGCGAGGCCUAGAAAUUGACGAAUUUCUGUAGGCGUCUUCGGUGCUGACCAGUUCUCAAUAGCUUUAAUUUUGGAGGGGUCCACGUGGAUUCCGUCUUCACUGACCACGUGCCCUAAGAAUUCAACUCUUCGGAUCCAAAACUCGCACUUAGAGAACUUCGCAUACAACUUCUCGGAUCGCAGGGUUUCCAGGACUAAUCGUAAAUGAUUUCUGUGCUCUUCCUCGCUCCGAGAGUAGACGAGUAUGUCAUCAAUAAAGACGAUGACGAACUGAUCUAGAUAUGGACGACAUACCCUAUUCAUCAAGUCCAUGAAUACUGCGGGGGCGUUAGUCAGUCCAAAGGGCAUCACUACGAACUCAAAAUGCCCGUAGCGGGUUCGGAAGGCUGUCUUUGGAACAUCUUCCUCAAGCACCCGUAACUGAUGAUACCCCGAUCUAAGAUCAAUCUUGGAGAAGUAACUUGCUCCUUGGAGUUGGUCGAAUAGAUCGUCGAUACGAGGGAGAGGAUAGCGAUUUUUGAUCGUGAGUUUAUUGAGUUCCCUAUAAUCGAUGCACAUCCGAAACGACCCAUCCUUUUUCUUCACGAACAAGACCGGAGCUCCCCAAGGUGAGAAGCUCGGUCUUAUAAAGCCCUUGCUGAGCAGUUCGUUGAGUUGACCGGAUAGUUCUUGCAUUUCGGCGGGCGCUAGACGGUAGGGCGACUUAGCUACGGGGGUAGCUCCUGGGAUUAGGUCGAUUCUGAAUUCAACCUGUCGUUUGGGAGGUAGGCCUGGAAGAUCCUCCGGGAAGACAUCAGGAAAAUCGCAUACUACAGGAAUGUCUUUUGGAUCUUUCGAUUUCUGGUUAGUGUCGACAACGUGAGCAAGAAAGGCGCGAUAUUCCUUGCGCAAGUAUUUCUGAGCCUGAAUACUAGAGAUGAUACGAAGGUUUGUACUUGGCUUAUCUCCGUAUAUCAAUAGGGUCUCUCGAUUCGGAAAGUUCAGGCGAAUGGCUUUCUCGGAGCAUAGGAUGUCGGCGUAGUGAAGGCUUAGCCAAUCCAUACCAACAAUGACAUCGAAAUUUUUGAUUGAGACUGGUAUAAGAUCGAUUAAAAAGGGGUGAUCAUCUAACGUGAGAGUACAACCUAUAUAGAUUUCAUUAGAGCUUUCUGUCUUCCCAUUAGCCAUUUCUACAACGAAUGUUUCUUUUAGUGGUUGAGGGGUUUGUUUGAGUAAGUGUUUAAAGUUUUGAUUUAUGAAGCUUCUUUCUGCACCACUAUCGAAUAAGACACAGGCAUAAGAGUUGUUGAGAAGAAACGUACCCGUGACCACCGUGGGAUCGGCUACCGCUUCAUUGUGACCGAUAGCAAGUAACCUUCCAGUUCCCCCAGCAUUUGCAGCCUUCGGACAGUUCUUCUUAAAAUGGCCCGCUUCACCGCAGCCAUAACAAGUUGGGGUCACUCCCGUACCAGGAACCUGUGUGAUAGGUUUGGGAGGGGCCUUGCAAAAUCGGACAGUAUGGCCCUUUCGUCCGCAGUUGGAACACUGCAAUUCACGGCAAGGACCGUUGUGGUGAAAAGGGCACUUGGGACACUUAGGCAAGUUUCCACUGUAAGCCUUCGGUGGGGCUGGAGCAGCUGGUGUGGCUGGGGUGGUGGCAGCAUGGACCGCCACAAUUUGCUGGUCCUUAGAGGCGGUUUGAGUCUUCUUGCCCUUCUUCUUAUCCCAUCGUUUCCUUUUUCUGUCAGAUGAUCCGGAUGGUGCAGUGGUUGUUGUGGUUGUUGUUGCUGGAGUGGAGGAGAUUUCGUGGUUGAUCAGACUCUGGGCCAAUUCCUUGGCGCUGUCGAAAGUGGUAGGGCGUGAAGCCAGAACAUUUCCUCGAUACGGGGGCACUAAACCCCAGAUGUAACGUUCAAUCUUCUUGCUUUCAGAGGGGAUCAUGUUGGGACACAUAGCCGCCAAGUCGCAAAACCUGGCCGUAUAAGCCGUUAUGUCGGUCCCCUUCAUCUUGAGGUUCCAGAGUUCUUCCUCAAGCUUCUGAACUUCGCCCCUAGGGCAGUACUCUCCUCUCAUAAGAUCUUUUAGAGUGUCCCAGCCCAUGGCAUUGGCUGUGACCAAGGAGAGUGCGUUGACAUGGCCGUUCCACCAUGACAAAGCCCUGUUAGUGAGGGUAGCAGUAGCGAACUUGAUUUUGCUCUCUUCGGGACAAGAGCACAUUUCGAAUACAGCUUCGGUUCUUUCGAACCAUUGGGACAAUGCCAGAAUUCCUCCGGUCCCAUCAAAGAAAGUAGGUUUACAAUUCAUGAAGUCUUUAUAAGUGCAUCCCUGCACUCGUUGGUGGACUUCACCAAAUCUAGAAUUUCCACCGCUCGCAUCACCCGAGUUCAUUUGGGCCAUGGCUGCUGUUACAGCCGCAGUCACAGCCGCUUGGAACAACACCGGAUCGAACUGCGGAGGAGGAGGUGGUGGAGGAGGGGUUUGAGUUUCAGGUCUUCCUCUGCUGGGACGCUUUCGUGGAGGCAUCCUUCACUGGAAGAUCAUAGAAAUGAUAGCAAUAGUAAGAGCCUAUUGCGAAUAUGAAUAGUGUGUUUCAUGGAUUAAAUCAACAUAAUCCAAGAUCAGGGUAAGAGUUAUAGCAAUAGAGAAAUCAUCUGCCAAUAUACUGGUAUUAAUGAUGCAACAGAAGUUCAUGAAAAUUGACCUAGCAGUAGGUCUUACAUCAUACCAUAGAGAAAUUGUUGGCAGUUUAGAGGUUCAACUAGAGUACUUUUAAACUAGGAAUGUUUACAGACAAGAGACCUACGGAACAUAGAGAUAAAAAGGCUAGUCCUUUAAACAAAAGAGUGAGGUAACUAGACGUCUUCUACUGGCGACGGUUGCUUGUUGGGCGAAUCCUCAGAUCCACUAGUUGACGCAUAACUUCUUGAAGGUGUCGAUCAUGAGUCCUUUGGCGUGCUCGGAGUUCCCUAACUUCAGCUCGGGAUGCAGCCAGCUGAUGCUGCAGAGCCUCAUUGGUCCUCCUUAUCCUGUCCACAGCUUCUUCGAGUUGACGAAUGCGAACAGUGUUGAGGUUUGAGUUGACAUCCACUUCUACAACUCGACCAAUAGCAGCCUGACUUUGCUCAACAUUCCUGGCAAUCCUUCGGAUCAUGAUGGGCAGAACCCGAUCCGCUGAUCCUCCUUCGCUUAUGUUGUAGAAGCUGCAGUCUCCAUUGUAAGGCAAGGGCUGACCCUGCUCCUCGCUCCGUCGAUACAAGGAUAUUGCCCACAUAGGAGNAGGAGUGGGGCCCUGAAAUGCCGGACGGGGGCUAGGGUUCGGGGCUUCAGGAGGUUGGUUGUUGACUUCUGGCUCGGAGCUCGAGCUAUCCGAGAAGCCUUCAGCAUGAUGAUCAUCCAAAGGAAUCGGGUGAUCGUCGUCUGACUCCUCUUCGAGCCAUCCUCCAUUGCCCUGGUUCGGAAAGUACGGAUCGCCGGGUAGGUGGAAGCCAGCCACUAUCUACGCGAGAAAGGGGGAAAAGAAGAUUAAUAAAUGUACUAUUCUAAGAUCCUUAUAGGAUAAAUCAUUAUUAGUCGACCAAAUACUUGCAUAGUGCAUACCGAUUACAUGUAACCAAAGCAAGAUAGUCCUUAGAAUAAACCACCCUAACUUCAGACCCCCAAUCAAACAAGAACAGUGAAUGAAGCAAAGGCUGCAGAUUCUGAGUCUAUAACGCCCUAAUCACAUGUAAUCGUGGUGUAUCAACUUAGCAACUAUUGUCCCACUAGUAACGACCCCUUUUUGUUAUCACAUACGUAUAAUCUAGAGAUACGGAAUACUCCUAUAGUAUUCUUAUGGCAGCGUUAUGAUGAUAUUUGUGGUAAGUUUUAGACUUGUUGCAACAUCACAACCAAACUUAGGCACAUGCUAGUCACUCUCAGGAAAGACGUAGUUGAUCAGGCUACAUCACCCUGAAUGUGACUAUAUGUCUCUAAACCCAAUUGUGCUAUCCAACAAUCUUAAUACUUUCAUUUUGUUCUAGGAUGAUACAGACUUCGGUGUUUUAUAGUGAUGUGUGUAUAUAUAUAUAUAUACUUAGUUAGAUCUUUUAGAUACUUAACAGUAUAUAUUCUUGUACAGAGUGUUUUAGUCCCGAAGUGUUUAUAGUUCGUAUAUCUCUUAUAGGUUGAUAUACUUGAUUCACUAUAAAGAAUGCUCUGAUACCAAUCUGUCACACCCCAAAACCGAUAACGGCGGAAUGUGUUUCAGGGUGGAUGACGUAGUGUAUGGUAUCAUCACAAUUGUAUAAUAGUAAAAGAAAGAAACAUACAACCAUUUCAUUUACAUAGUAAGUGUAAUUACAAGUGUGUUUUGUAACGUUUGACAAAAACCAAAAGUAAACAAAAAUAAGAGAUGGGUCUUGCAUGCUCCAUCUUCCCUAAAAAUGCUGCAGUUGUACCUGUCUAUCUUUGACCUGAAGAUACAAGUUAUUUUGAAAAGAAUAUCAGCAUAAAGCUGGUGAGUUCAUAAGAGUUUAGUGUGAGUUCUUAUAUAAAAAGCAUUAGAAUCAUUAGUAUGAAAGCUGAAUGUUUGUUGUCAUGAGUAGUAGUAAAACCUAGAAAAUCCUAUAUUUUCCAGAACUGAAUAGUAAGUGAAAGCCAUUAUGAAAUAUGAUAUUUCCAUCUUUGAAAACCAUUUAUCGUAGAAGUAUAAUAGUGACUCACCAAUAAGUAAAGCAAUAUAGGAAGUAAAUAAUAGUGGUGCAGCUUCCUUUAGUAUUAGAUACUUAUUUACUUCGGGAUAUUAACUUCAUCUUUCGUUUAGUGUUUUAGUGCGGUUAUAGUGUAUUUCUUGUAUGUUACCAAUGGUGUGAGUAAUAGCGGACCCCCAUGACCUUCCCAGUCAUGUAUAGUGUAGUGGAGUAAAGGCAUCCCUGGACCUGUGCGGCUCGGACUGAAAUUAUCAGUUGGGAUGUAAUAGCGUCUGCCCCGUAUAGAUCUAUACAUAUAGUGUCGUCUUCCUAUCAGAAAACUUCGGGCGUAGUGUGUAGCGAAUAGAGUAUCUCGUAGUGGGUAAAUGAGUUAUAUUAUGAUUUGUACUUUCUAUUGUGUUGUAGUGGGGUAGUAUUUUGUAUAACUUGUAUUGUAUUCUCUUAAUAGUGUAUAGUUUUCAUAAUAGAGAGAAUUAUAGUAGGGUAGAGUAGUAGUUAAAACAAGAGAUAGAGACCUUAACUAUACCUAUUAUAGUUAACUUAGUGUAUAUGGUUCUAGUCAAGUUAGUGAUUUAGGCAUCUACUGAAAUAAGAAGUACUCGUAAUCCAUACUAAUAUACGAGAUAUAUAACUAAGAAAUCAACGACAGUCGGACGGAUAACCACUACCCUAAGUCCACAAUCAGACAAGAACAGGAAAUAAGGCGAGCUAUCGGUCCUAAGUCCUUCAAGUCUUACUUAUAUAAAUAUAUCAGUGUGAUUACAUUUUUAUGAAGAGAUUUAUUAAAUAAAAGUAUUGUACAAAAGAGACAUUUAAAACUUGUUUGUCCAUUCAAAAUAGUUUUGAAAAUAAAUGAUUGAUUUAUAAGGCAUAGUGAUAAAUCACAUGUGAUUUGAACUACAGGUAGUGAAUCACAUGUGAUUAAUUCUGUAAUAUGUAAAAUUUUCCUGUAUAACUUUCCAUAAACAUGUAUAUUGAACUUGUAUCUCCCCCCUAAAACAUAUAAAACAUUUGAAAGGUUCAUUAAAGGGGUAUGAACUCACCUGAAUUCGCGUAAAUCGGGUGAAUCGGGUAAAUCAGGUAAAAGUGUCGGUUGAGCGUUUUGUUCCAAACAAUGACUUGUACACCUUUUAGGACCCUAAUGUCAUAUGAAAAUAUGUAUUUUACAAGAAAUUAGUCAUUUUAUGCUUUCCGUUUAAGUAUUGAGGCAUUCUAGCAUCAAUUCGGGGUUUUAGGGCCUAGAAGGGGUUCCCGGGAGUGGUUUACGGCUAAGAAGGAUUUAUGGGAGGUUCCAUGAGCUCACUCCCUCAGAGUUUACGGCAUAAAGUCCACUCCUUGGGAGUUUACGGCCGGAAGCUCCCUAGGCUUGGCCGUAAGCUCAUGUGGUCUUCCAAAUUGCAUGUUUAAGGCCUUAUUUCACUUCCUUACUUUAAUGGUAUGUGUCUUGGACCAAUAUGGAGGGAUUAAACUCUUAUUUUGUGACAUUUUGGGGAGUUUACGGCCAAGGCUUGUUCUUAGGCCGUAAACUCCAUUUAAUCCAUCAAAAUGGUUGUUUAAAUGGUACAACAUGUUCUCAUUCACCUUAGGUAAAUUCUAGAAGGCCUUAAAAUGAGUUUUGGGACAAUUUGGCAUGAAAAUUGGGGAGUUUACGGCCCAAGAAUAUCCUUGGCCGUAAACUCUUCAUUUGGCCUCAAAAUGGGAAGUUUAAUGGUACAACACACAUCCAAGGGCCUUAGCUAAAUUCCUUACAUGCAUUAGAGAAGUUUUGGCACUUGUUUGACACAAAAACUUGGGUGUUUACAGGCCAAGCUUAGCCUUGGCCGUAAACUCCUCUUUUUGUCCUCAAAUGAUGUUGUUUGAUGCAUUUAAACCUUCCUUAGUGUCAAGUCUAAAUUACCAAACACCUUAGAUGAGUUUUUGGGACUUUAAACAAGGGUUUUUAGGGUGUUUACGGCCUAAGCACAAGCUUGGGCCGUAAACUCCUUUUUAAGCUUCAAUUCCUUGUGUUUUAGUGUCCAAACUCUCCUAGGUAUAUGCCUUAAUUAGUCCAUAAGCUUAAAGGAAGGAAAAAUGAGGUUUUUGGCAAGUUUCUAGGGGUUUACGGCCUAAGGGGCUUCUUAGGCCGUAAACUCCUUUUUGGUCCUUGAUUUCUAUGAUUUUGGCCUCUAAAUACAGUGAAGUAUGUCUAGAUUAAGAUAGGGAAUGAGUCCUUACGUUUGGAAGCCGGAAAUUCACGGAUUUGGGGUCGAUUUCGGGUCUAGAGAGAGAAAGUAGUGAGAGAGAGGUGAGGGUGUGGUAAAAGNCUAGAGAGAGAAAGUAGUGAGAGAGAGUGAAUGAGUGGUAAAAGAGUGUUCAAAUGGUGUUCACUCUCAUUUCAUAUGCCUCGGGUGUUGCACCCGAUACACGGCUACCCGAUGCUAAAGUUUAACGGGGUUAAAACUUUUUACCCGGGUGAAGUGUUUGAAAAGUAAUAUAACUCUAUUUAGUUAAACGGGGUUAAUAUUUACAAGUUAUAAUUACUUAUGAUAAUAUCGUGACAUAUGAAUAACUAGAUAUUUGUUUAUUGACGACACACAACCAUUACCGAAAAUAAUAUAUAGUGACGCAUUCCGUUAGUGAAAGUAGGGUUUGUAACGACAAUAUAUUUGUGGUUGUCACAAUAUAGAAAUGUAUUGCAAUCGAGUGCAAUGGCAUACAUGGAAGAAGCGAAAUAAGGAUAUGAAAAAGAGAGCAUCGUUUUCUUUGAGCAAAGAACAAUUAAGUAACUAAAAUAUGCCAAUGGUUGAUUAAACUUAAAUUCCCGGACGGAUACGCCUCAAACUUGGGGGGUGCGUUAAUGUAGAUGAUAAUAGCUUUUACAAAUUCAAGAGUCACGAGUUCCAUGUAUUUCUUCAAAAAUUGUUGCCUAUUUCUCUAAGAGGUAUGGUGCCAAAUUCAAGAUGGGAUGCAAAAUAUGUUCAAAGGUGUUACGUGCGCGUAGAUGGCUUACAGCGCUUGCAAACUACUAUUGUUGAAACCAUUUGCAUGUUGGAAAAAAUAUUUCCACCUGGAUUCUUUGACUCAAUGGAGCAUCUUGUUAUCCACUUAGCUCGUGAAGCUAAGCUUGGUGGUCCGGUUCAAUAUAGGUGGAUGUAUCUUUAUGAAAGGUAUAUUUUUUACCAUACAAAAGAUUUUACCAUAAAACCUAUGGAAUUUCUAAUAAGCCUUUUCCAACAUCUUUUUAGGAAGUUGGGAUCAAUGAAAAGAAAGAUAAAAAACCAUGUGAAGGUUGAGAGGUCCAUUGUUGAGGUUUGCAUGAUUGGAGAAAUAUCGACUUUUUGCUCACAAUACUUUUUGCCUACAAUCGAAGCCCAGUUGAAUCGUGAGUCGUGUAAUUUUGCACCAAACAUUCCUAAUUAUACCAUGGUUGACUCUCGAUUAAGCAUUUUCAAAGUUCCAUCUCGAAGAUUAUUCGAAAAAAGUGGUCAACGGAGGCCUUUAACAGAUGAUGAGAUGCGUAUUGCUCAUAAUUACAUAUUGAUCAAUUGUGUUGAGGUUCUACCUUUUUUAAGGUAUGUUAAGUUAUCUACUUUUACUUGAUGUCAUGAAUCUCUAAAAUGUUUUUUAUUUUUUAAGGUUGUUUGAUAAUUAUGUGAUCCAAAGAAAACCUAAUAUCGAUGAUGGAGCAUUUGAAAGGUUUAGGGAUCAACAUUUUGCUAAGUGGUUUUAAAGAUCAUGUAAGUAUGAUACAAGCAAAAUUUGUAUUCUCAAAAAGUCUUGCCCCAUGAAUUAAUUAACAAAUGACUUUAUCAAUGUAGGUUUCACAACAAUCAAAUGAUAUUAGUUAACAUCGUAAAUGCCUUGCACGAGGACCAUUGCAAAAUGUUAGGUCCAAUAAAUGAUACUUUGUCAAUGAUUACAAGUUUCAUACUAAAAAAUAUGGUGAUGGACGGGUCACACACAAUAGUGGUGUAUUCGUAAGAGGAACUUGUUACAAUGAGACUGAGUGUGACUAUUAUGGGUUGUUGGAUGAGGUCUUGGAAGUAGAAUAUCAAGGCAUAUGGCGUUGCGUUGUAGUAUUGUUCAGGAGUACAUGGUUUCACCCUACUGAAGGGGUACGUGUGGAUCGAAAGAAUAAUUUGGUUGAUAUUAAAUACAAAUCAAGGCUAAGAAAUGAAGAUCGGUUUAUCCUAACGUCACAAGCAGAACAAGUGUAUUACUCACCAUAUCCUGCAAUCAAGGAUUUGAAAGAUUGGUGGGCUGUCGCCAAGACGAAGCCAAGGGGUGUAUAUGAUCUACGACAAUGUAUUACCAAAGAAGAUGAUGAUGAGGAUGAAGAGGAUCAAUUCAUUCAAGAAAGUGAAGCGACUUUACCUUCUACAAGUAGCGGUAAAAAUGAGGUGGCAGAACCCCUUUCUCAUGUAAUUGAAGGAGAAAUAGAAGAAGUUAAUGACAAUGACGUUGAGAGAGAAGAGGAUGAAGAAGUUGAUGAUAACUCGGAUGAUUCAUCCAAAGAUGAUAUUGAAGACGAAGACAACAUAUGUGAUGAUAAUUUUGAUGAUGAGUAAUUACUAAAAAUGUAGAAUGAAACAAUGUAUUUGGAACAAUAUAUUGCCUAAUGGACCUUAUUAAUAACUUUUUAGCUAAAAUGAUUGUUUUCUUUUUCUAUAUACAUUGUACUUCCAUUUAUUCGUGUAUUAUAUAGCAUGUUACCUUCUUUUACUUCAAGAAUUUUCUAUUAUAAUACAUACUUGUUCUAACCAAUCGUUUAUUAAUUCUUGAUUUUAAGGGUUUUUUUUAUUUACUAAUGGCGCUACGAGGAGCCCAUGGUGGUGAUCGCAGUGGUAGUCAUAUUGGUGGUCAUGAUGUUGGAGAUAGAAAUGCAUCUCAAUCAUACAAUAAUGCAGAAAGUUAACCUUCUUCAGUUAGAGGAUCAAACAUCUUGGAACAAGUUCCAACUAACCCAUCAAAAAGGAAGUUCAUUGAAGUCGAUUCUGAAAACGAGUACUAAUGUUAAUUUUAUAAUUAUUUAUGAAAAUGAAUUUACUUGUUAAUAAUAAUACUAAUGCUAAUUUUUUUAAUUAUUUAUUUUUUCAAGAGGGGUAAUUUAGGCAUUUUACUUGUUUAACUUGUUAAGAGGAGAGUGAAGGUAACUUUUUAUUUUUUGUGUUGUUUCUAGUGUUUUAAUUCAAACAAAACAAAACAUUUGUCUUUGGUUCUUUUUUAGAAACUAUACAAUAUUCUUUGAUGGAGAUGCAACUAUCUUGGGGCAAGCAACCCCAAUCUCUGGAUACGAAGGAGGAACCAACCGGAGAAUCAAGAAGCUAGAGAUACCGCUAUUUAAUGGAAAUAAUCCGAAUGACUAGGUUCUUGAGGCAGAGAGCCGGUUUCUAGAUUAUCGAUUAUCAUCGGCCAAUUAGCGAUUAACUAGAAGGCGACGACGCUCACUGGUAUAACGAGGAACACUAUCACCGGCCAAUUAGCGAUUGGGAAGAGAUAAAAUUCCUAAUCAGCCGGUGAUUCGGACCUUCCAUGGUGGGGGGUUUCAGUCGGAGCGAGAACGUAGUCUUAUGCAGAUAACGGCUCCGUUAAAUGACGGACGGCAAAAAGAAGACCAAGGUCAUCACAAAGUUGGGCUUAAAAACAACAUGUGGGCCAAAAUUGGAUUAUUGGACCCCGAGAAGUUGGAUCAGACAAUGGACUCGGAAAUUAAAGUGGAAGAUAAAUUAAGCCCAGUGUAAAUAAACCUAAUAGCCCUAAAACGAUGGAAACGUCAGUAAGGAGAUCAUAAACAAUCUUUGUGUAAGGUGGGUGGUGUUAACCCAGCUCAGAAUAUGCAGGAGUUUAAUUCUUCGGUGCAUUAUGAUCAUCAGGUAGGUUGGUUUUAUAUGAGUCGUCAAUCUCAGCUUCCCUUAUCCUCAAUCGGUUUCAUCCCUGGCAUGUGGUUGGUGUGGAGGGGCCUGGUUUGAACUAAGCUGUGUUUUGGACAAACACAUUAUUGGUCAAAGGUAUCAUAUCAAGAGAUGAAUUGCCCCAAAAAUAUAGAGAAUUCGGGAUGCAUUUUGAGAUCCCAAAUUCUCUAUAUUUUAGGUAAUACUUGUUUAUUUUGCUAGUGUGAAAAAAAGCCUAACUUUUGAGAGGAGUGAGCAAGUAGGAGAAGACGCCAAACUUUUGUUAUUUGUGGUGUCGACUUUCAGUGAAGGAGGGGCAGGAGAACCCAUUUUUUCCCUUUUGCUAUUGAAGUAUGUCGUAUGCGUUUUGAGUAGCUGAUUUACGCAAUGGUCUAAUUGGCUAAUUGAUUCACAUAAUGGGCUGUUUAUUUGUAUUUUUUUAUUUAGCCAAUAGUGGACGUUUACUUGGAGUUACACCCGGUGCACAUUAGAUCAAAGAUAUAAAAUCCAAUUUUUUUUUUUGAAACUUCUAAGUGCUAUCCCUACCAACUAACUAUAUCCGCCACAAGAAGUAUGUGGUGGUGGAUUGUAGGUGGGAUGGGGUUGCGGGUUCAUAGAGAAAAAAAGGAGACAUGACAAAAGAAUGUUAAAAAAGUCUUUUUAGAAUUGAACUUAAAUGAAAAGGUUAAGAGUUUUGGUAAAAAGGACUACCGAUGCAAGAAAUGAGACCAUAAGGAUUUGUGAUGUAUUGUUUUUUAAAUUUGUUCUCAAAGUGAAAAUUUCACUAAACUGCAAGGAUCAUAUUUGUAAUUUAGUCUUCAAUUCUAGAAAAAGAAUAAAAAAAGAAAUUCAAAAGUAGCAAAACCGUAUUCCUUUUGGGAAAGAACCCUGAAAACCUCGGAUACCAAAAAAUAAAAAGAAAGAAAAAAAAAAGAAAAACCCGAACAUUUUCAUUGUUUGUUUAUACUCUCUCACCGUCUCUGUUCGUUCAUCGUCGACUCACCGUUUGCCUGCUUGCUCAUCUUUCUUGGCCUUUGUCUCUGUUCAUUUUUCAUCUGUUAUCACCGCUUCAGGUUUAUAUAAAAUCUGCUCAUUCUUACAAGUUACUUUUGCUUGUCUAAAAAUUCCACAUAGCAAUCGCAGAUCACAUCAUAAUCAUUUGAAAUUUCAUAAACAGGUGAUUAAAACUUUGUUUAUUUCAGCUACUUUUGUUUAGUUUACAUAUCAGUUAUAAUCCAACACGUUCUUGCUUGAAGUCCAGAAUGAUGAACAAAACUUUGCGCAGACGGGAAGAUUCUCCAAUUCUCAAAUUUUUUUUUCCCUUAAUCACUUUAUAUUUUGAGUUCAUAACCACCAUUUUUUACAUUUGAUUCUUUAUUGAAUGAUUUUAUCUGCUCCAUAAUUGUAAGCUAAACACUCAAAAUCAACAAGCUUCAAUAUUCGAUUGUCAUAAUUCUAGAUUGCCUGUUGAUGUUCCCCUUGUUCAAAACUUGUAGAUCUGUCAAAGCCAGAUUGUAAGACAACCGGGUGUUAUUCUGCUUGAAUCAAAAUUAGGAUUUUGCUAGUGCAUAAUCUAGGUCUUGAACCAAAUAAGUAAUGCCCUUAAUUUCUGUUUGAAAAUAAGCUGGAUUUGGUUUAUGUUUCGAGGCACAAAACUGAUAAGAGAUUUCUUGCAUAAUGAACGGGGCCUUAAAGCAUUAGUAGACAAAAAGAUUCAAAGCACUAGAAUCCCCACUCAAUAGUUUUGUUAGGGAGUUCAUAAUCUUCAUUUAAAGUUACUUCUUAAUAAGUAAUAACUCCCCUGCACUACUAGAAAAACACCCUUUUACGACGCUCAUUGCGCGUCGUAAAAUGCUCAGACGACGCGCAAAUGCACGUCAAGAAAGGCCCUGUCAUAAAGAGAGACGACGCGCUUUUGUGCGUCAUCUAUAGACGACGCGCAUUUAUGACGCGCGGUUAUGACACGCAAUGCGUAUCAAGGAAGGCCCUGUCAUAAAGGAAGACGACAUGCAUUUGUGUGUCGUAAUCUUAUGACGCGCGCGUUCAUGACACGCAAUGCGUAUCAAGGAAGCCCCUGUCAAGAAAGGUCAUGUCAUAAAUGAAGAUGACGCACAUUUUUGCGUAUCAUAAUUUUGAUAUGCUCUAAAAAAAUAUAUUUAUAUAUUUAUUAAUUUUUAAAUUAAAUUUGCAUUUAAUAUCUUAUAAUACAAAUAAAAUAUCAUAUACAAAAAAUACAACCCAUUGCAUAAAAUUUAAUGUCAUACAAUUCAAUUUCUUACAAUAUCUAAAUUUGCAUCUAAUCUACUCUGUACAUCAAAUUCCAACUAAGUAAAGUUGCAUUUUGUCUUUCAUAAUUCUCUAAGACUAAUGCUCCAAGCAGCUGAUUAUAUGGAUAAGCAGUUGUACAUUGGCCCAAAUCAUCAAUUGCAGUGAUACGAGCUUGGUUUAGGAUAUGAAUAUCUAAAAAACAAUUAGACAAAAAAAAAAGAAUUACAGGAAAAUACCAUCUAUUUUUUAAUACUAAAUAGAAUUUAUACCCAGAGAGGAAAAAGGUUGUACUUUUAUCUACAUUACAUGUCAUUCCUAUUACGUCCUGAAGACUUACAGUUGUAAGCUCACCCAAUUUAUCUGCACCAAUAGACUGUUAAGAUGAAAAAUCAGAUUAUUAAUAAUAGAAACACAUGCAAUUAAGUUCGUUUCUAGUUCUUUAUCACAUCAGGUUUCUGGCCUAUAUACUCUGUUUAAACCCUUUAUUCAGAUCAAUAAAGCAAGUAUUCAGCUUCACCAAAACUACAACAUUCAACUUUGAAAAGCUCAAAAUAGUUGGAGACAGAUGUAACAACAAUACCUAGGAUAAAACUGUCAUAUAUGAAUAUUAUUGAGGUUGUGGUUAAAUAUCUACCUUUCCCCAUGUUUGUUUCUACUAAUUCCAACAUAUAGCUAUCCUACCCAAAAUAAGUAGAUAAUGAUUUAAAAGAUUGAUUUCAUAAAUAAUAUCUUGGCUGGUUGUCCAAGUUUCAGGUUUUCCAAGUUUCAUUCACAAGUUUUCGAAGUUUCAGGUUGGGAAGAAACACAAACAACAACACAUAGUAUGUAUCAAAAGUUGGAUCAUAGUUGUAAUUUUCCAGCAGAAAAGUAGUAGCAAUAGAAAAAAAUACACUCACACACAUGAAAUGAAAGGGUUGGUUGGGUCUAACCACAGUAACAUUUGGCCCUAGCACAUGGUGCUCCUUGUCCCACCACCAGCACCAGCAACAACAACAACAUGUAGACCCGUACAUGAAAGGUAGCCAAAUGAGCACCUUGCAUACCUGUCUAAACAUAAUUCAAAUAAUUAAAACAAAUCUUACUUAAUUCAAGGGAAAAUUAUGUUUAUAACCUUAUAAAGUUUAAAUAUUACUUAUAUAUACUUAUAAAUUUUAUACUUACAUAUAUGUAUAUAUAUAUAUAUAUAUAUAUAUACAUAUAUAUAUAUAUAUAUCCUUCUCAAAUUAUAAAACUCACAUCUAUAUCCAAAGUGAUAAUUUAAAUAGGCUUAAUUAAUCAAAUAUUAAAAAACUUAUCCAAAAAUUAAAAUCCUUUAUGUUUGUACUAAAAUAUCCUUCCAAAAUAAAUGUAGGAAGUUACCAUUUUACCCUUAUACUUUAAUAAAUCAUUUUUACCAUAUACAUAUUAGAGUAGAAUUUAAUAACUUGAAUCAUUGAUAACAUAUACCGUAAAACAUAGUGUUGACAUGUGAAGCCUUUUGUUAGGGUCCCACUUCCCUCAGGUUUGGAGGCAAGAUUAACCAUUUCAAGAGCAUAAAACAGUUCUUCCUUGCUGUAAAUGGAUUAAACCAAGAGCAUAAAGUGCAACUCCUUCUGAAUAGGGACUACCACCUCCACUACCACCAGCCGUUGCACUGAACUUAACCCAAUUUCUCGCCCUGAUUAGCCAAUGCUAAAAUCGUAUCCAAACAUAAUCCAAAAUGCUAAGGGGAGGAAUUUGUGUCAAAGUAAUUUGUUCUUAUGUGUUUUGCAAGAGUUCGAACACACUCCAAUUCCAACUUACAUUUACUUGAUUCUAAAGAUGAUGAAGACUUGUUGACAUCAAAAGAAAAGCAUAAGCAGCGAAUCACAUCUUUUCCAGCAUAUUUUGCUUGAAGUAUUCAAUAAUUGGAGGUCGUUGAACAUUGAAAACAUAAACUGUGAACACUCUUCAGGGUCUAUAAGUGCAUCAAUGGCAAAAAGAACACCUUCUUUAACAAAAGGCCCCAUGAAAACAUCGGUAUUCUUUUGUAGGAUAGUGUCAGAAAUAUUAAGAGCUAGCAUUAGUACACGUAUAUCCUUCCUAGUGAACACUCCAGCCAAAAACCUGAGAAAUUACCAACAUGAAACAAUUAAAAUUUAAGAGAAAUUUGAUAGAAUAAAGUAUAGUUGAGUAUCAAGAAUUCAACAUUAUGUCCCCUUGAAAUGUUGGUGCUUUUAAGCAAAUCAAGAAGCAUAUCAGAGUUGAUGUAAUAAAGUAACUUGUCAACAACAGAUAGACACCCAUAACAGAUAUAUAAAUCCACCCUAGAAUCAACAACCUGUUCAGAAAUAAGAAGAAAAGAAAGGGUAUAUCAGGGAAAUUGUAAAAGUUAGCAAGAAAUCAGUACAACAUGAUUGACAAAUGAUAACCAACCUGGAUCAAGACAGGUAAUAAAUCAUUCCCAAAUUUCUCUACAAGAUUAGGAUGAGUCACCAAGAAAGCUUCUUUUUCUGCAGCUAAUGGAACUUCUUGAUUUCUGGAUACAACGGGUAGAAGCUGAAUCAACAACUUCAAAACUUCAUGCAUUUGAUUAUAAUGUCCAUCAAUUGUUCGAGGGGAAGGGACUCCAUGUGAAAGGUCAUAUAUUGACAAGAUCUCUUUCAAAAUGCUACUUAUAUUAAGAUCAAAAAGUGUCUUCACAGCCACCAUAGAACCAGAAGCAAGUUUAACAAGUAGUCCAAUUAAACCCUACAUAAAAAUACACAAGAGUUCUUCAAAAAAGAUUGAAAAAAAAAACAAAAAUUGCUAAAAAUAGAAGAAGAUGGACAUACAGUAUGAACAUAAUAAGAUAGAGUGGUAUGGUUGAUCAGGUCUAUAAUAUGUGCCACUUGAUGAAUCAAUCCAUGUUUAGAAAGUUCAUCAAGCAUUUCACUGGAUUCUUGUACUCUUUCUGCUAUUUUAAUUAAGCAUGUAGCAACAUGUUCAACAAGCUGCAAUCGCAAGAAUAUGUCAGUAAAGUACAAAAGAUUAUAAGAAAGACCAUAAUUAUAUUUAUACCUGAUUGUCUUAGCUACAAUCACAAGAAUCAGAAGAUGUUGAAAUCAAUGAGGUUUUUGAAGUUUCUAGAGCGAUCUGUCUUAGCUGGUGUAAAGCCGGUCACAUAUUCAAUUUUUUAUUAAUUAAGUAAAAUGACAUAAGGGUAUAUUUGGAAACAUUAUGGAUUUAAAAUGUCGUAUUACCAUCAUUGUUGUUUUUUUGAGCGAGAACAGUUGGAGAUCAUAUAAAGGAUGCAAGACUUUAGGUACCCUCCAUGCCUAAUGAAUGAUAUAAUAGAGUAAUUUAGAAUAUAAAUGGAGUUUAAAUAUGAAUAUAUUUGAAUCUAGAUAUAGUAUAUAGUAAAAUGACAUAAUGAUAUAAUAAAGUAAUUUAGAAUAUAAAUGGCUGCUUACCUCUACAUUAACUUUGUCAAAAAGCUCAAGCUUAAGAUCAUACUCAUGCUGACCAGCUGAAGCAGAUAAUGUAAAAACACCUUCUGGAGCAAGAUUCACUUUUGCAUCUUUUGUAUCCGCCAAUAAAAUUGUGAUAUAAACUUUAUCCUCUCUCUGAGCCCACUUAAUUUCUUGAUGACGACUACAAAGCUCAAUAUUUUUUUGAAUUUAUUAGGAUACACCAAUCAUUGAACCAAGCACAAGCAAGCAUAAAUAUGUAAAACUAAUAAAUCAACUGUUUUCUAAUUCUCACCAUUGCAACACAAAGAACCCAAUUCUUGUGCCCUGAAUAGAUAUGUAAAAAUAUAACAAUUUGUUUGGCUUUUGUGAUUAUGAAGUUAUGAUAACAACCAUUAUAUUCACUACAUGGAACUUGGCUUCAGUGAAACUGUAUACCACUUACGAUUGUUAGCUGAAAGAGCAGAAUUUGUAACUGCAAAUUGAGUAGAAAGAAUAAUAGAUAUUUUAUGAAUCAAAAUUGUGUUUACAAAAUACAGAGCAGUAUAAGAAGAUGAAAUCAGAAUAAAAUUGUACCUAAGUGUUAAGGAGUGAGCCACUGACCGGAGAAACCGCCUGAAGGGGCUACCAACGCUGUGAGAUGAUAGAAUCGACAGAUGACAUGAUUCUCUCAUCUGUAUGAACUCAAAAAAGAAAAAAAUAUUACCUCUGUUUUACAUUUUCCAAACCAAACAUUGUGGAUUCGUCAUUGGAGCAGUCGAAGUGCACAUACACAACUUUUAUGAAAAAACCCUAAGUCGUCGGUGUCUUAGUCGAUAACUUGUACCAAAAAACCCUAAAUCGCUAUGAGAGAGGAGUGAGGCCUGAAUCACUUUCAUUAAGAUGUGAUAUCUUGAAGCAGAGAUGUAUAGCGGUCCGAUAGGGUGGGGAUACUUUACUCAUGCGGCACAACCGAACGAAUCAAGGGUAUCGAGCUAAUCCACAGGAAAUCGAUUGAAGCAAUUGCUUUCGAAUUUCGAUAUGGUUGAAAUUGAAAUUUUGGAAAUUGGAAGAACUUUGAAAGAAAUUGAGAAAUUAGCAUUGGAUUCCGGUUUAUUUGGGAUUUUUACAAGCAAAUCAAAGGCUUAUUUGGGCUAGAGGAUCGACGGGAGGGAACAGAGGAAGGAAAAGGGGAAAUACAACAAUUAGGGGUUUUAUAGGGUUACUGCAUCAUUCUUUGCUCUCCGCAUUUUUCAUAUUUAGAAGAAUGCUUUGGAGUAGAAUCCUUGGAGUUCAUUUUUUGAGUGUUAGGGUUUACUGCAUCGUUCAUUUUUUUAGUGUUAGGGUAUCUAGAGGUUGGUCGAGAGGGCCUGAACAUCAUCGUCGUGUGAGGCCUGAAGAGUCGGUGUGGGUUGGAGGUAGUGGAGGUGGGUGAGGGGUGGAGACGAAGGAGAGGAGAUGUUAGAGAACAGAUUGAUACGAAUGUAGGAGAAGAAAGAGGUUUAAAAUUUUUGGGGAUUUCAUUUCCCUCUAAGAAGAGAGAUGCGCGUUUCAUAACAAAAAUAUAAAACGACAUUCACAAAGAACGCACAUUUUAGAUAAAGUGCCCUCCGUGUUUUUAAUUUUUUUUACAUGAGACACUAAUUUAAGGGCACGCAAUAAUGCGUGUCCACUAUCCUUAAAUUUUUUGAAGAUAUGACACUUUUUUAAUGUCACUCUCUUUUACGUAACAUAAAUCAACGAGUGUCGUGGUUUGCGCAUCGUAAAAGGGUCUUUUUCUUGUAGUGAUGGCAAUAUAAUUUUAUUUUACAUCAAUACUUUGCUAUUAGCAGAUGAGAUUUAAGUUGCAUACUGUAAUCAAUAAUUUGCUAUUAUGUAGAGGCAUUUGUACAGGGUCCUAAAAUUAAAGAACAAGUGAAGAAAGCCAGUGAAAAAAACUUUCAUAACUAAUAACAUAAUUUAUUAUGGUGGUUCUAUCUAAACUUCCAGAAGGAUCUUCAUCUUCUUCAUCACUUCAUGGUUAUAGUUCAUCAGCUCGUGUUCAUACUCCAUCCACUCAUGGUCAUAAUUCAUCAACUCAUAAUCAUAGAUAUGAUGUAUUUUUAAGUUUUAGAGGUGUUGACACUCGUCAUAGUUUCACUGAUCACCUUCAUAAGGCCCUCAUUGAUGCCAAUAUCAAUACCUUCUUGGAUGAUGAAGAGAUUGAAACAGGGGAAGAUCUGAAACCGGAACUAGAGAGUGCGCUUAAGGCAUCUCAGGCUUCUAUUAUUGUGUUGUCUAAGAAUUAUGCUUCUUCAACAUGGUGCCUGGAUGAAUUGGUGCUGAUCCUUGAGCAACGGAUGACAUCCAACCAUAUCGUCAUCCCAAUCUUUUAUCAUGUGGAGCCCACACAUGUCAGGAAGCAACAAAGUAGCUUUGGAGAUGCAAUGGAUAAGUAUAAACAGACAAUGGAGGCAGAGACAAAUGCAAAUAAAAGAAGUCAAUGGGCUCAAAAGAUGGACCGAUGGAAUAAAGCGCUUACACAAGUUGCUGAUUUAAAAGGGAAUGACAUAAAUGGCAGGUCACCACUUUCUUACCCUUAUUCAUAUCCCUAUGCAUUUCAAUAAGUUUUUCUAAAUCAUUAAAUAUACAUAUAUCUGAUGUUUUAGGAUAUAUAGAAAAUGAACAUAAUUGAAAAUAAGUUCUCAAGUAUGUGUUCUCAUAAACCAGUUCGUAUAGAUGGAUUAGCCAUUCUGAUAAUUUUUACAUGUUUGUUAUGUAUUUUGUAUUUUAUCAUAAGUUAGUACAUUUAGAUAAACCUUCUCCACGAUUUUUACAUGCUUUUUAUUUAAAACCAAAGUUUGAUGGGUUUGCUAUGCUUUUACUAUUAUUUAUAUCAUACUGCCUUCAAAUCAUAGCGGUUUUAAUGAUAAAUAACUACUUUUAGUUGUAUUUAUUAAAAGAUAACCCAUAACUAUUUCAUGGCAUUUUGUUCAAAUCCAUGUAAAGCCACAUCGAUGGUUAAGUUUGAUGGUCUUGUAGAAACAUAGUGAAAUCUUGUAUUUCGUUGGUUGCUUUGGUCUUAUCAUAAACUAAUAUUUAUGACCUUCUCCAUUAGCAAAAUCUUGUAUUUCAUGGUAUUUUGUUCAAAUUGAUGUGAGAACUCAAUUAAUAAUAACAGAAGUGAUAUAAUCUUAGUUAGGAUCUUUGAAUAAAUUAAAUCUCCCAAUCUGGUUCAUUAGUUUUGUAGAUUUGUUCUGAAAUUCUUAUAUAAUCAAGUUUCAGGUUGGAGACAGUGUUUAUUGAAGAAAUUGUGAAGGACAUCCACCGUAGAUUACAUUUACACUUAAGGAGCAUUCGACCACAACUUAUUGGGAUGAAUUAUCAUAUUAACUUUGUAACUUCAUGGUUGAAAGAUGGAUCAUCGCAUACAGCAUACAUACUUACUAUUUAUGGUAUAGGUGGGAUCGGGAAGACAUCUUUAGCCAAACAUGUCUAUGGGCUAUAUUCUCAUGAAUUCCACACAAGCAGCUAUAUUGAAGAUAUCACUAGGAAAUGCGAUGGGAAGUUUAAUGGGUUGCUUGAUUUACAAGAACAACUCUGCUAUGACAUUUCAAAAACAAGUUCAAUUAAAGAUCAUGAUGUUUCAGUAUACACCACAAAGAUAGAGAAUGCACUAGCACGUAAAAGGGUGUUUCUAGUUCUUGAUGAUAUUAGUACUCAUGUUAUAAACAAUUAUUUAUGACCAUCCAUUAGCGAAAUCUUGUAUUUCAUAGCAUUUUGUUGAGAUUGAUGCAAACUACAAUAUGGUUUUGAUGUGAGAACUAAAUUAGUAAUUUAAAGCUAUGAUAUAAUCUUAGUUUGCAUCUUUAAAUAAAUUAAGUCUUCCAGUCUGGUUCAUUAGUUUUGUAGAUUGUGUUUUGAAGUUCUUAUAUAAUCAAGUUUUAGGUCCGAGACACAGUUUAUUGAAGAAAUUGUGAAGGAUAUCCACCGUAGAUUACAUCUACACUUAUGGAGCGUUCGGCCAUAACUUAUUGGGAUGGAAAAUCAUAUUAACUUUGUAACUUCAUGGUUGAAAGAUGGAUCCUCACAUACGGUAGACGUACUUACUAUUUAUGGUAUAGGUGGGAUCGGGAAGACAUCUUUAGCAAAAUAUGUCAAUGGGCUAUAUUCUCAUGAAUUCAACACAAGCAACUAUAUUGAAAAUAUCACUACGAAAUGUGAUGGAAAGUUUAAUGGGUUGCUUGUUUUACAAGAACAACUCUGUAAGGACAUUUCAAAAACAAGUUCAAUUAAAGUUCAUGAUGUUUUAGUAUACACCGCAAAGAUAGAUAAUGCAUUAGCACGUAAAAGGGUGUUUCUAGUUCUUGAUGAUAUCAGUACCCUUGUUCAGUUGGAUGCACUACUUGGAAGCAAAGGCUUUCAUCCUGGAAGCAAAGUUAUAAUUACAACAAAGGACAAUUGGUUGAGUGAGAGUUGUUCUUUAUUUAAAACAAACAUUAAACCCAAGCAUGAAAGGCAUUUGCUUCGAGGCUUAGAUUAUUUUCCAUCGCAACGACUUUUGUGCUCCCAUGUAUUCAUGUGCAACCAACCCAAGGCGGGAUAUGAAGAGAUGUUUGAUAAGCUUGUGUAGUAUUGUGAAGGACAUCCAUUGGCUCUUGAAAUUUUGGGAAAGUAUCUACAUAAUCGAGAUGUAGCUUAUUGGGAAGGGUGCAUCAAAGGGCUAAGGAAUGAAAUUAGUUCCCCUAUCAAUAAUGCCUUGAAAAUGAGCUUCGGUUCCUUGCCAUCAAAAAACGAUAAGGAGUUGUUUAAGCAUAUUGCUUGUUUUUUUUGUUGGACUAGACAAAGAUGUUACCGAAACAAUAUUAGAGGCAUGUGAUAUAAACACAAGAUCUGGGAUCACGAAUCUCAUUGACAGAUGCCUUCUUAGUAUAGGACGGAAUAAUGAAUUGAAGAUGCAUCAGUUGGUUCAAGAGAUGGGAAGAUUCGAAGUACGCCAAGAAUCACUUGACAAGCCAUAGAAGCGAAUUUGAUUAUGGUGUCAUAAGGAGUCAUUCAAAGUGUUGAAACAAAAGAAAGUAAGAGGUCAUGCAUGCUUUUAGUAGUGUGUGUGUGUGUGUAUGUCUGAUAUUUUGUAUUGCCUAAUUUAUUUAUUUGCAUUAUGCUUCUUAUUAGGGUAAGGGAAAUCUUCUAGGCCUCACCAUUGACAUGUGCAUGCUUGAGAAAGAGAAGUUAGGUGUAUCAUAUGAGCUGUAAACAGAUGCAUUAAGUAACAUGGAUAAUUUGAUGCUACUACAACUCAAUUAUGUGCGAAUGGAUGGGUCUUAAAAGAAUUUUCCAGAAGAAAUAAGAUGGUUGUGUAUGCAUGGGUUUCGUUUAAAGUCUAUACCUUUAGACUCACCAAUGAUGAAUUUGGUUGCUCUUGGCAUGUCAUAUAGCAAUAUUGAAUCAUUUGUCGGUUGUUAUAAUAAUCCACAACGGUUUGAGAAGAGGCAAAAUGUAAGCUAUCUUCAUUUAUUAUUCAUCCAUAUUGAGUUAAAGUAGUUCUCUACUGUUCUAACUUAUUUCCAUUUUUUUAGUUUGAUGGAUCGUUCUUAAAAGAGAAAAGGUUGCUUGGAUCAUUGAAGAUUCUUAAUUUAAGUUUUUGUAAACAACUCCAUAGUCUUGAUGAUUUUGACCAACUUCUUGCACUUGAGAGGUUAACAGUUAGAAAUUGCAUUGGUUUGCUCGAGAUAUGUGAAUCAAUCGAGCAAUGUGUUGAACUUGUCUUCAUCAAUUUGAGCUAUUGCAACAAGCUUGAAAAACUUCCAAGAAACAUAGGCAUGUUGAAGAAUGUUAAAACAAUGUUGCUAGAUCAUUGCAGUCCUAGUGGAUCUCCAAUCCAGAAUUGGGAUAUGGAAUUGCGCAAGGCUAACAAAAUUGACAUAAAUACAAAAACCUCUUCCCCUGCCUUUUUGGGUGUCAUACCAAGUGAUUUGAUGUUGUAUGCAAGUUCUUUACCGAGUUCUCUAGUAAGUUUGUCAAUUGCAAAUAGUAAUUUGUCCACUAAAUCCUUUCCCAUGGACUGGAUGUAACACCUAAAGUCAGGAAGGCCAAGAAAGGAAAGAAAACCCUAAUUUUAAAGGGCGACUCGACGCGUCCAAGGAUGAACUCGGCGAGUCCGAGCGGGAUCCGGGUCGAGGAGUAAGUGACCGACUCGGCGAGUCGGCCAAAGGGACUCGGCGAGUCUGGUCUGUGCGGAGAAAACCCUAAAAUCGGGACUUGGAGCCUAUUUAAGCGCCUCAUUCUCCUCCCUAGGGUUCCUUUACUGCCUCUUUUACCCAGAACAUCAAACCCUAGCCGCCAUAUCAAUUGAUUGAGCCAUUUGUUGCCUUGGAAGGUGCAUAAAAGUGUGGAGAAGGAAGAAGGAACUUGGAGGAGCAAGAAAGGACUAUAGAUCUGGGAUUGUGAGUUCAUUUCUGAGCAUUUGGAGGUAAUAAACUAGUUCUUGGACCCAUUUUGCACCUAUAUCUAUGUGUGGUUGUUGGGACUUUUUAGCUCAUUUGAGUUAGAAGCCAGAUCUGAAGUUGCUACUUCAGAUCUAAGCAUUUUAUGGUCUUGGGAAGCAUAAAGUAUCAGCCCUUGAGUUGUUUAUGGAGCCUCUUUGCCUUAAACCCUAGUUUAAGGUGUAUUUUGCCUAGAUCUCCUUCUCUACACUUAAAGUUUACAAAUUUACGUGAGGAAUAGGCUUGGGAAGGAUAGAUCUACAGUUUGGAGUCCAUGCAUGACUCAAAAGUUCUCUACAUGUAAGGAGAUCUGAAUGGACUCGGCGAGUCCUUUGAGUGGACUCGGUGAGUAGCAUGAAGAGGAGGAGCAACUCGACGAGUGGGAUGAACAGCUCGUCGAGUCAGAUGAAGAUUGCCUUGUACUCGGUGAGUCUGUUGUUGGACUCGGCGAGUCAGGUUGCGAUACCCCAAACCCUUCGAGUUGAGACUCGAAUUAGUGAGUCAGGUGGAGACUCGAUGAGUUGGACAGAUCAGGACUCAGAAAUCGGUAGACUCGGCGGGUCAUGGACUGACUCGGCGAGUCGAAAAGCAAAAGGAAGGAUUCUGAAUAUAUGAACUUGGCGAGUCAGUAGGGUGACUCGGCGAGUAGGGUUGACCUGGAAGGUUGACCUUGACCAAGACUUUGACUUGGACUAGGGUUGACUCGGUUGUCUUUCAGGGGUCAGUUAGACUCAGUGUUGCAUUGAUAUUGGGAGUUCGAGGAGCAAGGGAAGCAGGAGCUCGGUGAGUUGCCGGGUAGCAGCUAGUGAGUUCAUCAACAAGUUCAGCCAGUGCAGGUGAGUUUCCCUUUGUGUGAAUGGGUCUAAGGCCACAAUGUCAACCCAUGUAGUUAUGAGAAGAAAGCCUGGGGGUUAGCCCUAGGCACAGUAUGCUAGCAUGCUAUUCAGGACGAGGUCCAUUAUUAGCGGGCGGGUGCCCAAGGAUUUGUUUAUAUGAUAGUUUAUACUUUUUGUCUGUGUGAUACAUGAAUGUGCCUGGUAGGGAGGUGAGUGUGGGCGAGGUCUCGUAUCUCACCAAUAGCAGAGUGUGGAUGGGGUUCCAUGUCUCAUUAGUAGCAUAACAGGAGCGAGGCCCAAGUUAGGGAAGGAGUGAGGGUGGGCUGGGCCCGUAUCUCACUACCAGUAGGAGCGUGGACGGGGUUCCAUGACUCAUCAGUAGCAGGACCUGAGUGAGGCCCAGGACCGGUGAGGCCUUAGGACAGGAUCAGUCGUAUGAGUUUAGCUUAUGUGUUGUGAUAUGUUUAUGUCUUAUUAUUUGUUGGCGGGCGAGGCCUUGUGACAGGCGAGGCCUAAGUGAAACAUAUUUGUAACCGAGCGCGGCUCGAAGCCAGGCGGGGCCUGGAGCGGCGGAGCCAUUGUAGCGGGCGAGGCCCGAGGCAGGGGGUGAGGCCCAAGAUAGCGGGCGUGGCCCAGUAUGUAUAGUAUGUGAUUAUGCAUGGUAUGUGGUAGGGUGGGGAACUCACUAAGCUUCGUGCUUACGGUUUUCAGUUUUGGUUUCAGGUACUUCCGGUAGCGGAGGGACGAGCUCGGGGUGAUCGCAUGGCACACACCAUAGAAUAGACAGCCUGGGAAUGUUUACUCUGAUAAUGAACAUGUGUUUUGAAAAUUAAUUCUCUGAUUAUGUUUUGGAAUGAUGACUUUGCUUAAAGUAAUGUUUUAUUAAAAGAAAUUUUUGGUCUUUAAUUUUGGGUCGUUACAAGUUGGUAUCAGAGCCUUGGUUUGAGGGAUUCGGACAUGCUCACGGGUGUCUUUGAACUCAAACUGAGGAAUUGGUAUUGAAGUUUUCAAAAUGAAAAGACAGUUUUGUAAAAAGAGAGUUUUGAGAAAGAAAACAGUAAAGAAUUCAGAAAGAAAAGAACUUUGAAAAGAGAAAAGAGGUGUGGUGCAUGCAAUCAACUGAGCUCAAGUAAGUACCCCAAAAUACCCAUACAAGUCUAUGUUUUGAUUAUCAGUUAAUAGAACAGCAUGCUAGAUUAGGACUAAGGAUCUAGGGAUGAUGCCUUAUGUGCCUAUUAUAUGUGCUUUUGAUCUGCAUGAUAGUGCUGAAUAGAUAGUAGUAGGAUAGCUUGUUUAGGUUAUGCCUAAGUUUAUGAAUUUGUGUUGCAUGCUAGUUCAAAUUCUUGCUAUGUGGAUAUGAUUGCUUGAGUAUGUUAUGGUUAGAUUUUCCCUUUUGCAUGAAUGCUGCUUGCUUUGUGCAUUGUGGGAUUCUGAGUGAUGGGAGUUAGCCAUUAGGUGGAUACGCCACGUCACAUGUGAUCAGGGUUGAAUAAUCUCAGAGUGUUGGAUUUGGUCCUAUUGCGCAACUCUUGUUUGAGUCCAACCGUUGUAGGAACGAGUCUUUUACUUGAAGGAUUAUCUAAGACUCGUCACAUGUGAUGGUAUCCAGGUGAUGGCUAGUUGGCAUCACAAGGAAACCUUCAGUAACUGAGGGCUAGUUUGAGUUGAGUCAUAGGUUUCCCUAGUGUAAGCCUAGGAUGAGGAGUAGUAGUAGAAAAGGGACCUGGUGGAGUCGAAGCAGUUCUUGAGGAAAGUAAGGAUAGAUGUGGAAGGUAGUAUGGGCCCGUACUACUGAAAGCAAAGAAUCCGUACUCGAUUCGGGAAAGGUCGAGACAAGACCAGGAACCUGGUAGUGAGUAUGUUUGGUCUCGUAGUAGUGAGGAGUAUUCUGAUAGUGGUUAUGUUAUAUGUUUCAGUAUGGUGACGUUGCGAGAGAGACCAGCGGGCGAAUCAGGCGCCGGAGAGGAAUCAAGCUCGGGUUCAGGGGCCGAGCAGCUCGAGGAGCGGAUGAGAGAGUUGAUAUCAGCUGAGGUUACGCACAAUAUUCUAGCUCAGACUCCUGUGAUCUUUGGCACGGUCAAGGAGGGUAUAUUGGAGAUUUUGGAUGAGAGGCUGGGAGCCUUCCGUACUGAGAUGAUGGCUUUGAUGGGAGCGCGUACCUUGACAUUCGGGAGUUUAGGGCUUGCGGGGCACCAGAUUAUCAUGGGGCUAGGGACCCCAUCGCUAGCAGCAGAUAGUUGGCUGAUGUUGUCAACGCGUUCCGUACGAGCCGGUGUCCUGAGGAGGACAAGGUCAGACUCGCUUCCUGUCUUUUGAAGGACAGAGCGAGGGAUUGGUGGGAAGAGAUUGGUCAUGCUUUGGGUGAUGAUGUCGCGUUGAACGCGAUGACUUGGAGCGAUUUCUCAGCUAGGUUCAGGGUGGAGUUUUCGCCAAUUAUUGAGGUGUAGUAGUUGGCCCGGGAGUUUCAGGAUUUGACGCAGAACACUGAGACUGUGGCGGAGAUCACAACCAAGUUCAGGGAGAGGGCUCUUCUUGUUCCGCAGUAUGUCGCGGAUGAGGAGAUGAAGAAGGCCCGAUAUCACGAGAUGCUGAGGGCUGAUAUCAGGGAGUUCGUGAGCAGGUCUGGCUGUAAGACGCUGGAAGAUAUGAUUUCUCGGGCCAGGGAAAGGGAAAUUGAUUUGGAGCAGAUCCGGAAGAAGAAGUCGGAUGAGGUUCAGGUAGCCGCGAGUUCGGGCAAAAGGCUCAAGGGAUCGGAUUCGAGAUCGAGGGAUUAUCAGGACCGCAGUCGAUGCGGGAAGUGUGGCAGGGCGCACGGGGGCGCGUGCAGGAGUGGUAGUGGUGGUGAGUCUGGCUGCUUCAAGUGCGGUCGGACUGGUCAUUUUAGCGGGGACUGUACUGUUACCACCACUCAGGGAUCAUACUUGAUAUGUUUUCAUUGCAAUCAGUGGGGCCACAAGAAGGCCCAGUGCCCCAGUUUGUUUUCAGUAGGACGGGUGAUGGCACCUGCCCCUGCAACCUUGAGGAUCACAGACGGCCGUUAGGGCCGUGAAGAGGCGCCUGCGAUAGGAGGCAGGGCUUUUCAGAUGGCUACCUUGGAGACGCGAGCAGCACCGGACGUUGCAGGUAUGUGACUUUUGUUUUCAGUUCUUUUAUUUAUGGAUGAUUAUAUUGUUAUGGUUUUGCAUCAUUAUCAGUAGGAGUAUUUUAUUUUUGAGCGGUUUGAUUGUGAUCGAGUUAUAUGUCAUCUGCAUACCUUGGAUAUUUAGAUAGUAGUUAAGGAUUGGGUUCUGUUGGAAAAGAUUACUUAGGGUGCAGUAAUUGUAGUAUGCCUUGGAGGGACUUGGUAUGUCUCGCUAGUUCAGAGCAGUAUAAGUUUUAGAAUCGACAGGUUAGAUCCCUAGCUAUGGUAAGCUUGGGAUUCCUCAGCAGAUUGAUUAUGGAAUGGUAGCAAGGAUUGGGAUUUCUAAUCAUUGAGCUGUGAGGUGUAAGCAGGAUCGAAGUGGGGGAGAAUCCUCCGAGUGUACAAGGGUGAGAGCACACAAAUCCAGAACGAGUACGCGACUUCUGAGAAGGAAAAGAGGUAGUUCAGCGUCUGAUGAUUGAGGAGUUCAGGGAUAGGAGUUUGAGAAACUCCCCCUCAGCCAGUGCGUGUACUGGUGAUGGUUAGUAUGUGGUUGAGAAUUCAGGUUGAAGGAUCGUCUGUAGGACUCGUGUGAGUCGGAACGAAGAUCUUGAGGUCAGAUAGCAUGAGAUGCUUUCGUGCUAGUAGAUCGUGGCAGAGACGGCAGGUAGAGCAUGGAAGAGCGGCGGGAGAGCCUCAGCCUUCUUCAGCAGCAGUCAGUGGUGGAAAGUAUUGUAAGACUACGGGGCAGCAGUAGCAUUCACUAACCGUUAGUGGUGGAAAGUGUUGUAAGACUACGGGGCAGCAGUAGCAUUCACUAACAGUCAGUGGUGGAAAGUGUUGUCAGACUACGGGGCAGCCGUAGCAUUCACUAGUAGAUGGCGAUAGAAGGUGAUGGAAGACUGUGGGGCAGUCGUAGCAUUCCGUAGUAGUUUCGUUGGCGGAGUCCGGGCGAGGCCCUUAUCUCCUAGCAUUCAGAUAGGGGUCAGGAAUGGGUAAUGAAUGAGAAUGGUAAGGAGUUUGACUGUACAGCCCUGGACAGGUAAGGCCUUGGAAGAGGCCGUUCUAGGAUAUAAUUGGGUGAGACCCGUGGGCGAGGCCCAUAUGAGAAUAGCAGUGUAGGUGAGACUUGAGAGUAGGGUGCUUAGUAUUAUGGUUGGGUGAGACCCGUGGGCGAGGCCCGUGAGUUUUAGCAGCACAGGUGGGACCUGGUAGGGAUCUUUGUGUCUAGAUAGGGGAUCGGGGAUCCCAGGAAGUUGAAGUGCCAGCAUGGUGGAAUAGAUUGAGCAGUAUAGGUGGUUGAAGUUUCUUCGUAUGUCGCUGGGAGCGACUAGUGGUUGUGUUGGGUCAGCGAUCGGUGGGACCCGGUAAUCCAGAUAUUGAUAGGUUGGUAGGGACCAGGGUGGUCUCAGUUCAUUUGGAAGCCAGAUGAGGAAUAGCAAAAUUUCCAGUCAGUAACAGUGCGAGUAUGCAGCGUAUGGUAGAAUUCAGUUAGUUGAUCGUGGGGUGCUCGACACCAAAUGAUAGUAGAAAGAAUGCCAAGUGGAUACUGGCGAUGAGGACACGUACUGGGAGUAGCGGGAGUAAUAGAUUUGGUGAAGACAGGAUGUUCAUAGUGGCAGAGGAGAUAGAUGGUUAUAGAACAUUGCCUUAGGAGGUCAAGGAAAUCGUGCAAGGAAAGAAGGGGUGAACCCUAUGAGUUCAGUUGCAGUACUCGGAGAGUACCAGAAGGACUGUCGGGUGAGUAAGUUGUGUUUCCAGAAUGUUCAGGGUCAGGAUGGACCUGAGAUUAUUAUUCACAAGGAUUGGUGUCAGUCUGAAUGACUGAGCGGAAGGCCAGCGAAGUUAGGAAGCUGGUGUUAGACUAAUUCGUGGGGAUUUGGAGGCAGAUCGCAGGCGGUGUAUCAUAGCAAACUUCGAGGACGAAGUUUAGUUUAAGUGGGGGAGAGUUGUAACACCCAAAGUCUGGAAGGACAAGAAAGGAAAGAAAACCCUAAUUUUAAAGGGCGACUCGACGCGUCCAAGGAUGAACUCGGCGAGUCCGAGCGGGAUCCGGGUCGAGGAGUAAGUGACCGACUCGGCGAGUCGGCCAAAGGGACUCGGCGAGUCUGGUCUGUGCGGAGAAAACCCUAAAAUCGGGACUUGGAGCCUAUUUAAGUGCCUGAUUCUCCUCCCUAGGGUUCCUUUACUGCCCCUUUCACCCAGAACAUCAAACCCUAGCCGCCAUAUCAAUUGAUUGAGCCAUUUGUUGCCUUGGAAGGUGCAUAAAAGUUUGGAGAAGGAAGAAGGAACUUGGAGGAGCAAGAAAGGACUAUAGAUCUGGGAUUGUGAGUUCAUUUCUGAGCAUUUGGAGGUAAUAAACUAGUUCUUGGACCCUUUUUGCACCUAGAUCUAUGUGUGGUUGUUGGGACUUUUUAGCCAUAAUGUUAUUCAUUUGAGUUAGAAGCCAGAUCUGAAGUUGCUACUUCAGAUCUAAGCAUUUUAUGGUCUUGGGAAGCAUAAAGUAUCAGCCCUUGAGUUGUUUAUGGAGCCUCUUUUCCUUAAACCCUAGUUUAUGGUGUAUUUUGCCUAGAUCUCCUUCUCUACACUUAAAGUUUGCAAAUUUACGUGAGGAAUAGGCUUGGGAAGGGUAGAUCUACAGUUUGGAGUCCAUGCAUGACUCAAAAGUCCUCUGCAUGUAAGGAGAUCUAAAUGGACUCGGCGAGUCCUUUGAGUGGACUCGGCGAGUAGCAUGAAAAUGAGGAGCAACUCGACGAGUGGGAUGAACAGCUCGUUGAGUCAGAUGAAGAUUGCCUUGUACUCGGUGAGUCUGUUCUUGGACUCGGCGAGUCAGGUUGCGAAACCCCAAACCCUUCGAGUUGAGACUCGAAUCAGUGAGUCGGGUGGAGACUCGGUGUGUUGGACAGGUCAGGACUCAGAAAUCGGUACACUCGGCGAGUCAUGGACUGACUCGGCGAGUCGAAACGCGAAAGGAAGGAUUCUAAAUAUAUGAACUCGGCGAGUCAGUAGGGUAACUCGGCGAGUAGGGUUGACCUGGAAGGUUGACCUUGACUAGGACUUUGACUUAGACCAUGGUUGAGUUGGUUGUCUUUCGGGGGUCAGUUAGACUCAGUGUUGCAUUGAUAUUGGUAGUUCGAGGAGCAAGGGAAGCAGGAGUUCAGUGAGUUGCCGGGCAGCAGCUAGUGAGUUCAUCAACAAGUUCAGCCAGUGCAGGUGAGUUUCCCUUUGUGUGAAUGGGUCUAAGGCCACAAUGUCAACCCAUGUAGUUAUGAGAAGAAAGCCCGGGGGUUAGCCCUAGGCACAGUAUGCUAGCAUGCUAUUCAGGACGAGGUCCAUUAUUAGCGGGCGGGUGCCCAAGGAUUUGUUUAUAUGAUAGUUUAUACUUGUUGUCUGUGUGAUACAUGAAUGUGCCUGGUAGGGAGGUGAGUGUGGGCGAGGUCUCGUAUCUCACCAAUAGCAGAGUGUGGAUGGGGUUCCAUGUCUCAUUAGUAGCAAAACAGGGGCAAGGACCAAGUUAGGGAAGGAGUGAGGGUGGGUUGGGCCCAUAUCUCACUACCAGUAGGUGCGUGGACGGGGUUCCAUAACUCAUCAGUAGCAGGACAGGGGCGAGGCCCAGGACAGGCGAGGCCUUAAGACAGGAUCAGUCGUAUGAGUUUAGCUUAUGUGUUGUGAUAUGUUUAUGUGUUAUUAUUUGUUGGCGGGUGAGGCCCUAUGACAGGCGAGGCCCGAGGCAGGGGCAAGGCCCAAGAUAGCGGGCGUGGCCCAGUAUGUGUAGUAUGUGAUUAUGCAUGGUAUGUGGUAGGGUGGGGAACUCACUAAGCUUUGUGCUUAUGGUUUUUCAGUUUUCGUUUCAGGUACUUCCGGUAGCGGAAGGACGAGCUCGGGGUGAUCGCAUGGCACACACCAUAGAAUAGACAGCCUGGCAAUGUUUACUCUGAUAAUGAACAUGUGUUUUGAAAAUUAAUACUCUGAUUAUGUUUUGGAAUGAUGACUUUGCUUAAAGUAAUGUUUUAUUAAAAGAAAUUUUUGGUCUUGAAUUUUGGGUCGUUACACUAGAGUUGCCUAUCCAUGUUAAUGGAAUUAUAUUUAUAUGGCAAUCCUAUAAAUUCCAUGCCUAGUUGUGUGAGAACCCUUCCUAGGCUUGAGAUACUUGCUAUGAGGGACUGCAAUAAAUUGAAGUUAAUUGAGCAUCCUCCACGUACACUAAGCAGGUUACUCUUUCCUGUUAAUGGGCAUCUUCUAGGAAAAGUCGUAUUUGAUCCAGAGAUGUCCCCACUAGAGUUAUCAAUACCCCUGAUGCUUCCUACAUUUUUGUCAUGUGAAAUUGAAGGCAUUGUGAAAAUCCAACCAAUGGUAUGUGUUGAGGAAAAGGUAUUAUGUAGCUUGGGCUGGAGUUAUUUAGACUUCCUUAACCAAAGGCACUUGGGAACUAAUUAUCGGGAAUCUGAAACCCAGGUUUUUUUAGUUUAUUUUUUUGUCUGUAUGUGAAUAUGUAUAAUAUGCUUCUUAUGUUGAUUAAUUAAGGUGGUUGUAUUUGGCAGAUGACGAUUUAUGAAUUUGGAAUAUUCAGCACAAUGUAUGAGGCGGAGGAGAUGCCGAGUUGGUUUAGGGAUAGAAGCGUGGGGCCAUCAAUAUCAUUUACCAUUCCAUCAUCAUUGUCUCCAAACAAGCUCCUUACAGGACUCAACUUCUGCUUCUCUGCUGACACAUCAAUAUAUCCUGGUGAGCGUUUUCCAGUUUCAUUUGGUCAGUUUUCUUUGUCACCAAUGAUGACAAUUAUUAAUAUAACAAAGAACCGUACGUGGAUAUAUAAACGUUACUUCGACAGAUUUAAUGUAUGUGGAAAGUGUUGGGUGUUGUUAAGUCAUUGGAUGUUUGGGAUGAAUGAGAUGGAGGCUGGUGACCAUGUUACUGGUACUAUUACAUAGCCAGAUGAUGAACUUGUAAAGGAGUGUGGGGUGAUUCUUAUGUACGAUGAUGGAGAGAAGAAGGAUGAAGAAGAAGAUGUGUUGGGAUAUUACAAGUCAUGGAAUCACAUAAUUGGUGGAGACCUCUCUCCUUUUGAAACAACAACCACCGGAGAAUACAUCCUACACAACGAACAAUUUUUUUAUGUAUGGCAUUAGAUUGUUUCCCUAUCAUGGUAAAUUCGUUCCAGACAACCCCGACUUUCAUGGUAGAUGUCAUUUUUAUUAUUGUCAUGUAUAUAUUACAUGAACCAUCACCCAACUUCUUUAAAUAGAUGGAUAAUAACUCCAUUAAAUUUUAAUACAUGGAUCAUAACCUAAUUCUUUUAAACAAAUGGAUCAUAUGACCUAAAUCCACCCAUUUAUUAUUGAUUUUAUUAACCUCUAAAAUAAGAGUUUCUUUUUAUAAAAUAUAGAAAAUAAAACCACUACUUUUAUUUUUGAUGAAUUAACCCAAACAUUGGUCAAUCUAAAUGGAUCAAUGUGUUAUAUCAAUUGAUAAGUCUUUCGAGAUGUUGGAAUUUGGAUCACAUAAAUAUAUCGAGACCAAAUACAGCUACUAUUUUCAAGUGGAUGUGUGUUAAUAAUGAUUAACACGUUACUUUUUUUAUAUGUUUUCAGAAAAAAAGCAACCAUGGUUUAGAGCUUUAUCCCGAAGGAGACCUUAAAUUAUUGGUCACACACAUGAGGUAUACUUUUUGAAACCGAAACCUUACUCUAGUCACAUGUAUAAAAUGCAUAUACAACCAAACAUGUAAUCAUGAAAGUUCUUGAUUGGUCUAUGAUGUAAUAAAAUAAAGGGUGUUAUGACCUUGCAAUGGAUGCUUGAAAAUGGCAACAUCAGAAUGUAGUUGGAGCAUGAAAUUUGUCUAAUGUUCUUUUAAAUAUUUACAUGCACAACUCUAAUCUUUAAUCAUGUGGACCUAUGGAGCCCUAAUGUCUUCAUUUAGGGCUUCAAAUUCAGUGUUUUUUGGUUGUUAUUACUUUUGUUUAUUUUUAUGUCAAAUACAUGAUAUUUAUUAGGCAAUUAUUAUCAAUUAUUUUUAGUUGAUUUCAAAUUUCAAAUUAUUGGCCAUACCUGCGUUAAUAGAACCCUUCUUAUAAGACAUUAGGGUGCCUGUGUGUUUUGACUUAAUGCCCUUAAUAUGGACAACGUUUAACCCUUCCAGAUAUAUAGGUUUUUCUCUUUCUAACUUGAUGCAUAACGGAUAGCUUAAUGGGCAAAGUGUGGGAAGGGAUGAUUUAUGUAUUGAGAUUUGAGUUUUUAUCCCCAGUAUCCUUUACCCAAAAUUUUAACAUAAAAUAAAUAUACCAGCUGAAUUUCCCUCACCUUUUUGUUUUGUACAUUUCUAGAUAUUUUUUAUGGUAUCAAAAUCUAUAUAUUUUUUUAGAACUUUUUCAUAACAUUAAAAUCUAUUUUUUUUUCUUGUAUUAUACGAUAGUUAUAUUUGGUGUGUUAUUAAAUAUUAUGUUUACUUUAAGUUAUUAAUCAUGUUAGUAAUAUUUUUAUUUUAAUUCUUUUAAUAUGAUUAUUUGUGAUUUCUGUUUUAAAUGAAUACUUAUUUGUUAUUUGAGCUUAUUUAUAGGGUUUUAUGCAAAAAAAAGUCCCCAUUAUUUUGAAUUUUUUUUUGAUAAAGUCAUAAUUUUUUUUGAACAGACGAGUCCCGAUUAUUUAACAUUUUACCCAAAUUAACGAAAAAUUCCUUUUUUAUUUUAAAAGGAAAUGACAUAUUAUGUGAUUUCCCAAAAUCAUGAAACUUUUCUGUUAAAAAAAACAUUUAGGAAUUUAUUGAUAAAUUUUCUCAAAAUAAUGGGAUUUUUGUGCGUAAAACCCUUAUUUAUAUACAAAAGGGUAAAUAUAGUCAUUUAUUCAUAUUCAAGAUAGUUUAUUUAGUUCAAAAAAGGAACAGUCUUUAUGUGUAUACAAAUGCUUUAUUAUCCAGACAAACACUAAUACCUAUUCAUCCGCUUUAUCAAUAGAGGACUUGUUGAGGAAAAAAGAAAAUCUCUAAGCGUGUAGAUUCAAGAAAAUGUAUCCUAACAUGUAUAUACUUCCAAGUGAUUAUCUAUUUUCAUAGUAUUUUGUAUUUUGUCUCUGUAUAUUUAUGUUAUGUUUAAAAUGUUCUUACUUUUCUUUUAUUCGUUGGGCAAGGAGGAAUUUUCCAGAAGAAUUUAAUUAGAAGGUUUGGUCAUUGCCAUCUCUAGUAUUGAUUCAUCUUUUCAGUUUUUGUUUAAUAGUUGUAUCUUUAUUUUCAAAAACAGGGGGAAAUCCUUAUGAAUGGUUUUUGAGUUGGUUAAUAUAAGCAUGUAAGGAGUAUUAUAGAAAUGGUCAUGUUGUCUUGAUUACUUAAUAUAUUUGUUAUUUUGGUGAGUUUACAUGAAUUAAUCUCACAGUUGUUGCAAUAUCUCCAAGAAUCCCUAUCUUGAACAACCACCCAACCUCACUGUUUGUUGAGUUGCAUUGAAUUUAUGUUUGAGAGUAUAUAUUUGUGUUUAUGUUUUAUCAUUGGUUCAACUUCCAAGUGUAUAUUUCAUCUGGUAUAUGUUUGAUUGCACAUGAAGGUGCUAAUAUGUACUUGUGUUAAAUCGUGGUAUGGAUAUUAAAUGGUUUCUCAUAUUGAGGACUUUAAUUAGCUUGCUCUUCUGUAGCUAUAAAUUGCAAUGAUUUGACUAUACUCGUUAAACAUUUGAGAAGUUAUAUAUUCACUUGGUGACAUGUUUUGCUACGAUUAGAACUUGGUUAAAAAAGAUAACCGCAACUUGCAUGAAUUUUCUAGAUUAGCUACUAGCUUCCGUUGCAAAAUGAAACACUUCUUGAAUUAUAUGUUAUUUCCCCAAUGAUUCNNNNNNNNNNNNNNNNNNNNNNNNNNNNNUAUAUAUAUAUAUAUAUAUAUAACCCGCGUUAAACGCGGGGAACAUAUAAAAAACAUACAUAUAUCUACAGAUAUUGCAUAAUAAUUAUUAAAAAAAAAUUAUGGUUAUUGGUAUUAUUGAAAUAUGUAGAAGAUACAUUGAAAUCGAUAAAUAUUUAUAAUCGUUGAAAUACCUCUUUGUAUACAACAUUUUUUGUUUUAUUAGUUGAAUGACCUUCUUCAUCACAUAUGGUUAUAAUAUUGUUAUAUAAGCAUAAGUAUUCUAAUUAGACGUUCAUUCCAUAAUAAGAUUACUUAAUUUGAGCUUAUAUUGACAACCAAUAUACCCUUUUUUUCACUGCAUUAAAUAUUGACAACUAUUUCAUUUAUUCAAAUAAAGUCAUAAAGUAUAAUUUAUGGAAUGUUAAAUGUUAUAUGGAUUUAAUUUUAGUAUAUUAUCAAUGGAAAUUCUUUUCUAAAUCAUGAUUGGUUUAUUUUAUAUUGAUUAUGAAUAUAAGUGCUAGCUUUUAUAUUUGUUCUUAUUUAUUUGGUGUUCACAAGAACUAUGCAUUAGUCUUGGCGCAACUUUGAAUAAUUUUAGUAUAUCAUCAAUGUAAUUUAGUAUAUCUUUUAAUUAUAUGAAAUAUCAAAUAUUGACAUUUCAUUACUAUUGUGAUAAUUUAGUUUAUAUAUUGCAUUUUUACUAAUCUUAACGAUCUUAUUUUUUUUCUAAUAACCGUAGAGUUUUUACUAAUUGUACUUACAAAUCUCCUAAUAUAUUAUAAUUUUUAUCUUACUUUAUAAUUUUUCAUAUCUUUAUUAUUUUCAAGAUUUGUUGUCUUAAUAGUUUCUUUUUAGUCUAUUCAAUUUUAUAUUGCAUUGUACAACAUUAUCGUUUCUAUGUAUUCUGAAAUUUUAUUUUAAAAAUGUUUAAUGUAUACAUCUUGAUAUUUUUUAAUAAACUCGUGUAAUAAUUAUGGAAUAUAUAUCUAGUUUGAAUUAGCAUUUACUUCAUUCACUAAAUUAAAUUCCUCAUUAAUCGGAUAUAUUUUGAAAAAUAAUAAUUAUAAUGUGGCAACAUUAUCUAAGACAUAAAUGCUUGGUAUACUUUUAGAGGGAAAAAUCGGGAUCAUUAAAAAGAUUUAUAUAAAGAAAAAGACAAAUUUAAAUUGGAUGAAAUUACUGGCGAAAAUUAUUUUGGAGGGAAUUGUAUUUUGUAAAGUAUAAUACUAUGACAAAAUUCGAAAUAUGUGUAUUGUUCUGUAAUUUUAUAAAUUUUAUUGUUAUUAUAUAAAGAUAAAACAAAAUAGGUUGAUAUGUUAAACAAAAAAAUAAUAAUAAUUUCAAUGUAUGUAACUAAAAAAUAGAAUUUGAAGAUGAAAAUUUAAAAAUUAGAAGUAUGAAGACACGUGAUAAAAAAUAUAUUUGAAAGAGCUCUAACCACAUUUGACCAAUUUGUUAGUGAGAAGUGAUGGGUUUUGGUCAUAAGACAUCCUAUGUGCUCAUACAAACCCUAAUGCUUGGAUCUAGGUUUCUCUAUUGUACAUGCAAGUUAUCUAAGACUACAAACCCUAAUUCUAGUAUACAAGUAAUCAUAUUAACAUAAAAAUAGGUUUAUAAUGUUACCUUGAUUGUUAUGUAGCAAUAACAAUCCCAAAUCUCCUUGAAUUGACUUUGGAAGGCUUAGAGUCACAAGUGUCACUCCUCUAAUGGUUCACAAACACCAUAAGCAAGAGGAUGAAGUGGAGAGAGGUUGGAGGCUGCCCAAAAACGUGUGAAACCCUAGAAAGAUCAUUUGCCACGUUUUUUUAGCCUUAAGGGGUCUUUAUAUAGUUGGGCUAUUAGGGUUAUCUAACAAGGAAACCCUAAAUUGGAUGCUUAAGCCCUAAGCAACCCAUGGAGCCCUUUACUCAAGGCCUUGGACGAUUUCAUAUGGGCUUCACCCAUAGAAUUCGUCCACCUUAUAAUAUAAGGCAAUCCAUGGCCCAAAUUGCAAUUAUCUUAUAAUUACAAUUCCAGUCCCUUAAGUUUAAUUAAUCUCUUUUAGUCACAAAACUAAUUACCAAUUAAUUAUUGACUAAUAUUAAUUAAACAAUAUGAUUUCUCCUUUAAUAUAUUAUUCCCAUAAUAUAUUAAUAAAUCAUAUUUAAUCCUUUCUCUCCAUAAUUCAUCCUAUCAAGUUGCUUUGGUGAAGGCAACCCAAAAGGACCAUGCACCAUCGGGUCAAGUACAUACCAAAAUAGUUAUGGACUUAGACACUAAUCCAACAGUCUCCCACUUGGAUAAGUCUAAUAACUAUUCUGCGUAUGACUUCAGAUCCUGAUCUGCAAUCGUAGCUUUCCAAAGCCGCUGUCAACUCUGAUCCUAUCAGAUACGCGUGUCCUUNNNNNNNNNNNNNNNNNNNNNNNNNNNNNNNNNNNNNNNNNNNNNNNNNNNNNNNNNNNNNNNNNNNNNNNNNNNNNNNNNNNNNNNNNNNNNNNNNNNNNNNNNNNNNNNNNNNNNNNNNNNNNNNNNNNNNNNNNNNNNNNNNNNNNNNNNNNNNNNNNNNNNNNNNNNNNNNNNNNNNNNNNNNNNNNNNNNNNNNNNNNNNNNNNNNNNNNNNNNNNNNNNNNNNNNNNNNNNNNNNNNNNNNNNNNNNNNNNNNNNNNNNNNNNNNNNNNNNNNNNNNNNNNNNNNNNNNNNNNNNNNNNNNNNNNNNNNNNNNNNNNNNNNNNNNNNNNNNNNNNNNNNNNNNNNNNNNNNNNNNNNNNNNNNNNNNNNNNNNNNNNNNNNNNNNNNNNNNNNNNNNNNNNNNNNNNNNNNNNNNNNNNNNNNNNNNNNNNNNNNNNNNNNNNNNNNNNNNNNNNNNNNNNNNNNNNNNNNNNNNNNNNNNNNNNNNNNNNNNNNNNNNNNNNNNNNNNNNNNNNNNNNNNNNNNNNNNNNNNNNNNNNNNNNNNNNNNNNNNNNNNNNNNNNNNNNNNNNNNNNNNNNNNNNNNNNNNNNNNNNNNNNNNNNNNNNNNNNNNNNNNNNNNNNNNNNNNNNNNNNNNNNNNNNNNNNNNNNNNNNNNNNNNNNNNNNNNNNNNNNNNNNNNNNNNNNNNNNNNNNNNNNNNNNNNNNNNNNNNNNNNNNNNNNNNNNNNNNNNNNNNNNNNNNNNNNNNNNNNNNNNNNNNNNNNNNNNNNNNNNNNNNNNNNNNNNNNNNNNNNNNNNNNNNNNNNNNNNNNNNNNNNNNNNNNNNNNNNNNGCUAGAUUCUAACAUUCUAUGCAAUGAUUCUUUCGUAAUGUCACUCACCAAAAUCACAAAGACUAUUGCCAAUGAUAUUACAAAAUCUUCUAUCGGAGAUUGUUACAAGACAAUUCCAUAGACGUGAUGUCUCUCACUCAAAGUACAUUCUUUGAACAUCCUUUUGCAUAGAAGUUUCUAAUCUAGUCAUAGAUUUCUCAAUAUUCAAUUCCCAAUAUGGACACACUUCCAUAUGUUCCAUAUGACAACUCAUUCUUAAUAGAAUCUUAUCUAUUCGUAAUGAUGUCGAUAUGGUCCAUCCAAUAUGGAAACAUUUCCAUAUUUUCCAAUACUAUACUUCCAACUACUCACAAGCGACCAAUCCUCGUCGAACUUUGGAUUGUCCUUUGAUAGUUGUUUAAUUAUUUUAGUCAAAACCAAUUCUAGUCCCUUUUCCCUCUAAAUGCGCUCGACAUUUGGAAAAUUUUAGAAUGGUCAAACAUUAAAGCAUUUGCAAUCGAUCCUAUACCCGAAGCGUAUGGGACACGACGCAUAAUGUUUUAUUUGCUAUGUUCUCAAAAUUCGAAUUGUGAAGAGGGAUGCCGUAAUCAUAAUCGAAAUUUUAAGAACACACUAUGUACCUUUGACUAAAUUUAUUAACAUUUCUCAACCUAAUCCUUUAGAUUUGAAAUGAAGCAUAAUAUUCUCUCCCUUAAUUAUAGCAAAACAACUUUACAACCCUUACGACUUUGCAAGGUAUAACUCUUGUUUUCUAUAAUUAAUAUUGCCAACUUGCAAUACGUGCCUUAAUAAUCAUACAAUCAUAACAUUUAUGCUCCCACUAUCAUGAUGAUUAUUAUAAAACAUAACACUUAUGCUCCCACUAGCUUCGACAUGUAUUCAUAAACAUCUUAACUUUCAGAAAAACAAUACUUAUUGAAUUUCUUAAGUUCAUGUUUCUAAUACUUAGUGCUUUGAUAAUCUUUUAUCAAGGCUUCUUGAACUUAUACACCUUUGCCUUCGAUAGUUCAUAUGUGUGUCUAAACAAUUAAGACUAAUUGCCAAACCUCACAAUUCAAAUUAUGGAAAGGGAUACCGUAACCAUAAUCGAAUUCGAGAAUGCAAUUUUACAAUCACUAUCUUCUUAAAAUCUUUCUUAGUGAAAGCAUUUCCUCACAAUCAUUUUCAUGAAGGAGGAAAUCUUAUGACACUUAGAUUUAAACGGUGUAUGUGUUCCUAUCCAUGUGAAUUUGUUAAAACCAAAGUUUACGACAAAUUCAAACUCAUAUGGACCGAACUUUCUUAAUCUUGAUUUCUUGCCUUAUGGUAGCACAGCUGCCCACCAUGUCUUCCAAGUAGUUAAGCAGCUCACCCUUUCCUAUCAAUGUACCUUUCAUUGAUUAAGGUGCUUUGCCUUUUAUGCGUUCAAAAUGAGAACUCAUAGAACUCACAUGCAUAAUUAACUCGAUUGGAUUGGCACAGAAACAAAAUAAUGUCAACACGAUAGGUUGUAAACCUCAACUCGUGUGCUAGUGAUGAUCGAUAAGGUUUAUUUGAUUUGUUCUUGAAACCUUUCAAGACCAUUAAGACUCCCACUGACUCCUUGACAUAUAAGAUUCUCUUGUCAAUAAACAUUUCUUGACAAACAAAUAUUCAAGAGUUAGUGUAGCUUUUAUCAAAACACUUCAUAAAUUGGUCCUAGUUGGUCUUUGUCUUAUCCAAGACAUCACAACUUUCCACAUUUGAUGAAUGUUAUAAACCUUCUUAAUACUUAUCACUCAAUGUCACAAUCUUAACUCUAAGACUUGUUUUGGAACGAAGUAUGAUUGACUUCUUGAUUUAACCAUUUCUUCAAUUCUUGAUUCCUCUUCUUAGACAUACAAUUGUACUAAGACUCACUUAGAGGAUCAAUUGAGAUAUGGUUCUUAAUCAUUAAGACCUAUCAUAAAGCAUAAAAGGUACUCUCCCUUCUUCUUAGAAUGGAGAAACUUUUAUCUUUCUGCCUACUUGAUUCUUCUUAUUCGUUCUGCUAUUGAUUUAAACUUUUUCAAUCAAUUCAGAAUUACACUUAAUCUUGUAAGUAUAAUCAUAUUUACUAAACCUUUAGUAAAUCAUGACGAAUAUCUUUGUUACUCUUAUGGUGGACUUGAUCAACACGCAACUUUGUGUACUCGAUCUCCUAGUCCUUCACUUGACACUUUGUCAAUGAAUUAGUCUAAUUUCCAAAUAUGAAAUUUCUCAUUCAUCGUGCAACCAAGUUGCAUGAUUCCAAGUUUCUGUCCAAUUGAAACUUGGGCGAUGAGAAACUCUCCCUAUUUGGUAAAUUCUCGACUUUCCAUAAAUAACAUAAUAAGAACCAAAUCCAUUAUUGCUAAUAAUAGAAACAUUCAAACAUCAAUUUUUCAUAUACGCCAUUGCAAGGAUAAAUAAAUAAUAUAAAAUCAAAAUUUAUUUUAUUGCGGAAAAAAUUUGUCCUUACAAUGCAAUUCAUUGAAAAACUAUGCUAAUACAUCUUUCUUAGCAAUCUAAUUCUAACUCUAAGUAGUAGCUCAAGAAUCUAAUCUUCGAGAAAUGCGAUCGAAAUCCAUUCCUUCACGGUUAGAUUCUGCUCACUUCUUCCCUUAAGCUUCCUUUCUUUUCUUCGAUCCUACAAAACAUCAAUUGUAAUCUUAUCACAUUAUGUAUUAAGAAUCUAGAAUAGAAGCUUAAAAGAGUUAGUUAAUGGAUUUUACCUAUAUUAGAGCCAUACGUUUCGACUCUCCCAUCUCUUAGAUCUCUUAGGUAAAUGGGGCAGCUUCGUCUCCAAUGCCCUUUCUCUUGGCAAUAAAAGCAAAUUGACUCUUUUGGAACAUGACAUGGAACUACUUCAGACAUUGCCUUUCUCUUAUGAUCAAACUUUUCGAUCAUAGCAUGUCUUUCGUUGCCAUUGUCUAUAUCCAUAGAGGUCUUGAAGGCAGAUUCACCAAUCAACUUUGCUUUUCUAUUGCGCCAAACCAUUGCUGAUUCAGCAGCAAUAAGCAUAUAGGUGAGAUCUAUAAGGGUCACGUCGCGGUUCAUCAUAUAGUACUCUCUUACGAACUCACUAUAUGAGUUAGGAAGUGACUGAAGAACCCAAUCAACAGCCAUUUCCUCACAGACAACGGAUCCCAACAUUCUUAACCUAUCAAUGUGUGACUUCAUCCCUAGGACGUGUGCACACACCGACUUUCCUUCUUUAUGUUUACUUGCCAAAAGGGCUUGAGUGAUCUUGAACUUUUCAAGCCUUUGAACUUGUGGGUUAGGGAGAAUAAUUGGAGGAGGAGGAGGAAGUGAAGCAUGAUUUCUUGUUCCUCGAUCGAAUCGUGGAAUAUCAUCUUCAUGUGGAAUGCUUGUUCCACGGGAUUUGGGAAGACCAUAGUUGUCGAACUUUGACAUCUACAAAACGGGAGAAAACGAAUUCAAGUUAGUUGAUUGAUUGAGUCCUUAGUAAAUCACCCAAAUGAGAUACUAAGGCUAGGACCCAACACAAUAUUCUACAACUCGGGAGAGGGAUGCCGUAACCCUAAUUGCAGAAUAUUUGAAGGUAAGUGAAUGACGAUUCACUAAUUUCCACCAUGAAAAACGAAAAAGAAAUUUAAGUUUUAAAUCUAUGAAAACUCCUAGAUCCUUUGAGAUUCAUUGAACUUUCAAUGGCAUGUUUAAAUCUCGAUAUGCCCCUCUUGUUUGUGACUGGGAUGCCGAGGAUCACAAAGCGGGUGUGAAUAACCAUGCAAACUUACAUGGUGCCCUCACAUGUUACAGUCACCUAUUCGAUGUGCCGGUAAACCACACACGCUCCACCGAACUAUGACAAACAUUGAGUCACCCUUUGCUACCUUUGCUUAGAACCAUUUAGUGUGCCGGUAAACCACACACGCUCCACUAACGUCUUCGCAAGGGCACAAAGUGUAAUUUCAUGGAAUUGCAUCAAUUCACUUUUGCCUAAGUAACUAAGAUUGGGAAUUUUAUGAAAACAUUUAGUUACUUUAAUAAUUCAUUAUACUUAUAAUGGAAGGUUUCGUCCUAUCCUACCCGUUCGGCUAACGACCCUCCACUAGUCAAGAGUGCGGUGGGUAAGAGUGGAUACCCAUUCAAUCGCCAUUUUAUAGGCAAUUUCCUUAAACACCCCUUAUAGACCAGCUUCGUGAAUGAGGCCUACUAACGGUAAGACUGACUUUUACUCAUACAUAUAUAUAAUGUUAGACUUUUAAUGUUAUAUAUAGUAUAGGGUGUAUUUUACACUUUUAAAAUACUAGGUGGUCAAAUUUAACAAUUAUACUUUUAAUUCAAUUAAAUUGUAAACCAAAACUUUUAUGGAUUUAUUAAACCUCUUUUAAUUAUACACCUUAAUUAAUUAAUAAAACCAUAAGGGUGUGAUUUGAACUUUUUCAAAACUAUACUAGAGUUUUAGAAUUUAACAUUCCUAAUUAAACUUUUAAUCAACUUUUAAAUUCCAAAACUUGAGGGCAAGUUUUGAAACAUUUCAACACAUUAGGGUUUAGAAUUUAAAUAUACAUCAAAAUUAAACCAUUUAAUCAAAAUUUAAAUUCCAAAACUUGAGGGCAAGUUUUGAAACCUUUUUCAAAACAUUAGGGUUUCAACUAUUUAAAUUUCAAAACAACAAAACUUUUGGGUUCAAAUUUAAACUAUAAAACCUAAAGGGCAAAACAUGAAACUUUUCAUAACAACAAGGAUCAAAUAACAAAUAAUCUAAAUUAACAUUUAAUCACAUAAUUAUCCAUAUUUGAUUUAUUUAAUGAUUUCUUGCAAAACAAUUUAUCAAUUUACUCAAAAUAAUUAAUCAAUUAUCACAUAAGGAAACAAUUAUCUUUUUAAUUGAUAAAUAUCUUCAAUUAGAUCAAAAUUAUAGUCAAAUAUAUCAUAUAAUCGGAUUAAUAUUGAUCUAACAUGAUAAGGUAACUAUCUAUAAGCAAAAACAGCAAGAAAACCCGAGAUACCCUCCAUCUGACGAGUUGACUCGUCGAGUCAGCAUGGACUCAGCGAGUUUAGCUAUGGACUCGGCGAGUCCAGCCACCAAAAACCCAAAAAACAAUUUUUUCUAGUUAUACAAUGCAUCAUUACAAUUGAAACCAAGCUAGUCUUAUACCACUGAUGGGUUUUGGUCAUAAGACAUCCUAUGUGCUCAUACAAACCCUAAUGCUUGGAUCUAGGUUUCUCUAUUGUACAUGCUUUGAAUCCAAGACUAUAAACCCUAAUUCUAGCAUAUAAAAAUCAAUAUUAACAUAUNAGAAUAGGUUUAUAAUGUUACCUUGAUUGUUAUGUAGCAAUAACAAUCCCAAAUCUCCUUGAAUUGACUUUGGAAGGCUUAGAGUCACAAGUGUCACUCCUCUAAUGGUUCACAAACACCAUAAGCAAGAGGAUGAAGAGGAGAGAGGUUGGAGGCUGCCCAAAAACGUGUGAAACCCUAGAAAGAUCAUUAGCCACGUUUUUUAGCCUUAAGGGGUCNCCUUAUAAUAUAAGGCAAUCCAUGGCCCAAAUUGCAAUUAUCUUAUAAUUACAAUUCCAGUCCCUUAAGUUUAAUUAAUCUCUUUUAGUCACAAAACUAAUUACCAAUUAAUUAUUGACUAAUAUUAAUUAAACAAUAUGAUUUCUCCUUUAAUAUAUUAUUCCCAUAAUAUAUUAAUAAAUCAUAUUUAAUCCUUUCUCUCCAUAAUUCAUCCUAUCAAGUUGCUUUGGUGAAGGAAACCCAAAAGGACCAUGCACCAUCGGGUCAAGUACAUACCAAAAUAGUUAUGGACUUAGACACUAAUCCAACAAGAAGAUCAUAAAUGGAUCCUUUGAUAAUGAUCAACGAAUUAUUUCUUGUAUGAAUAAAAGUGGAUUCUAUAAUUAGUGGAUUCAUAAUGUUUUAAGUAAUGCUAAAAUAAACAUGUAUAUUGAAGUGUAGAUGAACAUGUCAUUUUCAUGCAAACGACAUGUUUUAUGGUAUCAUGUAGAAAAAUACUUUAGAAAAUAUUUUUUUUUAAACACAUAUACUUAACUUAUAUCCUGAUCAACCAGGUUCAUCAAUCGUUUCUCCCUUGAACUUUCAAUAAUCACUUUCAUGAGAUUAGUCGACACAACUCGACUAAGAAAAUUUGGAACAAAAAAAUAAAUAGUUGUUGUAUUAUAAAUGUGUAAUACAAUAAAUAUUUACGUAUAGAUAAGGUAGAAUGUUAAAAUAAAAUCUUACCAAAUGCAACACAAGUGUCGAUUCCUAGCUGUCAAAUCCUGGAAAGUCAAAAAAUUACAAGGAUCAACCAUAGUUGUCAACAAAAUUAUUUCCAUACUUAAUUUCAAAUGAUGCAUAAAUAGAUUAUAUAUUAUUUCCUAUUAAAUCAACUUAAAAGUGUAAUAUGAUCAUACUAAAAUAUUUUAAAAUCAUACCAAAGUUAACCGGAUUCUUAUUAUAUAAUAAUAAUAAAAAUCAUUAUCACCUCUAAUAUAUAAAAAUAACAUUUUCCUAAUUAGUGUCAAUUUCAAAGAUAGUGAAUUUCUAUUUUGUUAAAGGUGUGUAAUAUCUUUUCCUGUUUAUAUGAAAAGUUUCAGAAAAGUAGUUAACCGAUUUCAUGUAAUUUGUGAUAAAGAAAAUCGAAAUAUAUGAAUACAUAUAUAUAUUUGAUAUAGGAACAAAAAAAUAAUCGAAAAAAAUAUAGAAAGCAAAAGAAGGUACUAACCUUCUACUGCACAACAACGAAACUUUGAAGCAAAAAAUGAUGACGGAAGUUAUAAACAAUAAGAAUGAUGUUGUAGGAGAAGGUUUGAAGAAAAGAAACGAUUGAAAAUAAGUGUGAGUCGCGGAUUCAAUGAUGAAUCGUAUAUGUAUGUGCUAAUUUGAAUCUGAUUUUUUGGUAAUAAUGGUUUCCUAAUAAAAAUGGAUUUUUUAUAUUAAUGGGUUACUAAUAUAAACAUAUUUAUAUUAAUGGUUGAUAUUAAUGUCUUAAUUGAAAUGGUUUGUUACUAAUAUGUUUUUAAAGCUGUCCAUAUUAAAACCUUUAUAAUCAGAAAUUCAGGAUUUAAAAUAUGGAAAGAUUUUAUUGGAAUUAUAUACAUUCCAUUUCAACGGAUGUAAAUUAAUUUUGUUUGACAAUUGAAAAGUUUUAAUUGGAAUUAAAUACAUUCCAUUUGGGAAGAUGAUGUCAGCAAUUUGAUCUAAUGGUAGAAAACAUAGAAUUAAAAUACAAUCAAUGGCCCAGAUUGUUUAAGAUGAUGUCAUAAGGUUUCUCUUUUAAUAAUAUUUAGAGAUUAAAGUUACGAAGAAAAUGAAUAGUAAACUUGCAAUUUUUUUGGCAGAAUUGGUCCUUGUACUAUUUUACUUAUUUUGACACUUUUGGUCCUUGCAAUCAAUAUUUUUACACUUUUUAGGAACCUUUUAAUAUUUAAAGUUUGGCCACAAAACUUUAACGGUUUGACAACUUUGAUCCUUUUUCUAAAAAGUUGCUAAUUCCUACCUCUUUAAUUCUUUAGCCAUUUUGACACUUCUGGUUCUUGCAAUCCAAACUUUUACAUUUUUCACUUUUGUUCCUUGUAAUCAAUAUUUUUACACUUUUUAGGAAUCUUUUAAUAUUUAAAGUUUGGCCACAAAACUUUUACGGUUUGACAACUUUGAUCCUUUUUCUAAAAAGUUGCUAUUUCCUACCCCUUUAAUUCUUUAGCCAUUUUGACACUUCUGGUCCUUACAGUCAAAACUUUUACAUUUUUUCAUGAAAAUGAAAAAAAAAACGGUCUGGAGCAAAGCCCAGGCUUUUCAUUCUUGCACUUUCUACGUUUGUCAUUUUAUCGAUUUGGAAACAAUAUUGAAAUCUUCUGGCCCCCGCGUAGCGGGGGUAACCUUUCUAGUUGUCAUAAAGACCCAAAAAGGUUUUGUGAUUGGUUUUAAAUGGUCCUCAAACUAAUUUUUGUUCCUUCUAUAGGUAUAAACUCAAAAAUGACAUGUUAAUAAACGGAAGGUAACCUCUUGUUCCCUGUUAACAUAUAAAUUCAACCAAACCUUAAAUGACAUGGCAUAUUUUAUGCCACAUCGAUCCCACGUGUGAUGUGUACACCCAUCCUCCAAAACCUCACCUGAAACUAAUAAAACUCUCUUUAGAUUAGCACAACCUUUUUUCAUCUUCUUUAUAGGUGAUUCGGUUCUAACAUAGAUAAUAUAUAUUUUUCUCUCUCACAAAAUCAAAACAAAACUAAUAAAACUCUCUUUAGAUUAGCACAACCUUUUUUCAUCUUCUUUAUAGGUGAUUUGGUUCUAACAUAGAUAAUAUAUAUUUUUCUCUCUCACAAAAUCAAAACAAAAUCCUCCUAAAGAAAUCCAGUUACCGCCAUUUAUGUCUCUGUCCUAGAAACUACAGUGCACCAUCAACCUUUUUGGCGACCAUCUACGGGAAAAGGAAUCGAAGCUUCAUCUUGUUCAUUCACCUUUAAACAUAUCAAUGUUUGUGUGUUUGUUUUAGUUGCAGGUAAGUGUGUGUGUGUGUGUGUGUGUGUUUGUUUUAGUUGUAAAUAUGUGUGUAUUUUAGUUGCAAGUAGAUGAAUAGAUCUUAUUCUAGUGAUCAAUCAGGGAUUAUAAUGGUAAACUUAUUCUGGAAGUUUGAUACAGAAGAGUUCUUUUUUCCACCGUUAUUUCAUAUACAGAGAGGGGGGGUAAAGAGGUGUGUAGUUUGCCAACACCGACCGAUGAUGGGAAAAAGAUUACAGAUGAGUCGUUCUACAAGUGCGUUUCGUUUCAUUUUGGCUAAAUCAUUGUUUUCCAUCUUCAUUCCAGGUUUGAUUUAUAUCAAAAUCUGUUCUCCAGGUUUAAGUUUGUUGAAUCACCAUCGGUCAGUGCCGAUUUCUGCAGCUGCCAAUCCGUAGGUUACGAGCUUCAGCCUCCAAUUUUUUUUGCAACUAACGAUAUACGCCGAUUAGAAUUGUGAGGUGGUUAAGAAAAGUGAGGUUGAAGUCGUCGGGAAUAGAGAAGACAUCAUAGACACGAAUCUAAACUAGUCGACGAGUUGGGUGUCGGCCGAGAGUGGCCUCGGAGAAGCUGAUUGGAACGGUGGAUGUCUGGAUGGAAGAAACGCCACCGCCUGUCCGCUACUAGUGUUAUCGAUCUUCGGUUUGAAGAUGGAGAUGUGUUUUUAGUCGGCGGGGAUGAUGAAAUUUGCAGACCUAAAUGCCAACAUGGAUUAUCUUUUAAUUUUUUAUUUUUAUAAAAUAAAAAUAAAUCCACAUGGACUGUAGGUAACCUGUGAAACCGGAACUAAAUGAAAUAAGUAUAGUUUCUUAUCCAUAUUUAUUUUAAUGGCAUAAAAGACAUAAAAAAGUUUAAUGAUUUUUUAAAACUAAACGAAAACUUCAUUAGUUUUUAUGUCAAUAAUCCUUCUUUUGAACACAAUUAUCAAUGUUGAACACUUUUAGAAAUGUGUGCUAUAUAAUUUCUACCUAUUUCCCCAUGAUUAAAUUGGAAUCUUGGUCUCUACCAUUACGCAUCAUUCAUCAACAAUCUCCAUCUUAUAUGAUUGGGCUCAAAAUCUCAAAACUUUUAUAGGAUAUUUAACUAAGUAAAAUUCGCAUACUUCACCUUAGUAUUGAAGGCUCUGAUUCCAAAUAUGAGAAUUCUCUAACAAUUGUUUUUUGAAUUUUAAACGCACCAUGUUUAGGCCUUCCUUUUUUUCUUCACAUCACGAGACAAAAUAACAGGACAUUAAUCGAUAUUUUUUCUAUCCACCACCUCUAUAUCUAUAUUUUAUUAUUGUUGUUAACAAAAGGAUACCAUUUUCAUUUUCCCAUGCUAUUUUUGCACCAAUAAUAGACUCCCAAAAUUGGUCCAUUUAGGCUGAAAAUAAAUUAGGUACAUCAGGACCUUGAUGAGACCCACACAAUUCUUCACAACUUACCAUGCAUUAGGCAUAAGCUCAUGCACAAGCCCAUCUUGACUUACUCCUCCAAAGGCCCAUAUCUUGAUUACCUUUAAGGCUAUAACCUAUAGCCUUUUUCCAUGUAUUUCCAACACUUAAACAACCUUUUUAGUCAAAUAAUUAUGUAAAUCAUAUAUAGUAUACCCAUAUGAUGGGUUUUGGUCAUAAGACAUCCUAUGUGCUCAUACAAACCCUAAAGCUCGGAUCUAGGUUUCUCUAUUGUACAUACUUUGAAUCCAACACUAUAAACCCUAAUUCUAGCAUAUGGAAAUCAGAAUUCACAUGUAAAUAGGUUUAAGAACAUACCUUGAUUGUUAUGUAGCAAUAACAAUCCAAUUCCUCCUUGAAUUGACCUUGGAAAGCAGAGAGUCACAAGUUUCACUCCUCUAAUGGCUUAUAAACACCAUAAGCAAGUGGAGAAGGUAUAAAGAGAGAGGAGGGAGGUUAGAAUUCGUCUCUAAGACUUCUUGGGAAGGGAUACACGAAUUCAUGACCUUGGGGUUGUUUAUAUAGGUGUAGAGAUAGGGUUUCAGUCAUUAUCCUUAUCUAGUUGAUUAUCCAUUAAGCAACCAAUAAGAUAAUCCUUGAAUCCUUAUCAUACUCGAAUUCUAAGACUUUCCAACCUUAAAUUCGUCCACCAUAUUUAUAAGAUAAUCCUUACCUUAUUUUGUAACUAUCACAUAAUCACAAAUCAGCCCCUCUAGUUUAAUUAAUUACACUUGAUCACAAAAUUAAUUAUUAAUUAAUUAUUGACCAAUAUUAAUUAAACAAAUAUGAUUUCUCCUUUAAUAUAUUAUUCUUAUAACAUAUUAAUAAAUCAUAAUAACCUCUCUCUCUAUUUAUUUCUCCAAUCAAGUUGCUUUGGUGAAGGCAACCCAAAAGGACCAUGCACCAUCGGGUCAAGUACAUACCAAAAUAGUUAUGGACUUAGACACUAAUCCAACAGUCUCCCACUUGGAUAAGUCUAACAACUAUUCUGCGUAUGACUUCGGAUCCCGAUCUGCAAUCGUAGCUUUCCAAAGCCGCUGUCAACUCUGAUCAUAUCAGAUACGCGUGUCCUUAGAUAAGGGAUCAUAUAUUCCUCCAUUCUAGAUAUCAUAUGAGAUAUGAUUUCAAAUCAUUCUCUUUGUACUAUAUCUCGAUUUCCGAUUUAUGACGACUGACUAAUUGAACAAAUCAAAUUAGCCCUAGCCCGGCCGAGCAUUUACGUUUGUCAUCACUAAACCAUCGAGGGGCCCAAAGAUAUCGCUUUUAUCCUACUUUGGAUAAAAGGAACGGAUAAACUUUGAUACAAUGCUUGCUUGCACUCACUCACCGAAUCACACACAACAAUAUGUUUUAUAACACCAAGUUACUAGUGCGUUUACAUAUUAUCAAUGUGCAACCGAUUUGCAAGAUACAACUCACACAUCUCGGUUUCAAGAAUAUAAGAUGUUAUCGUCUCACCAAUCACUCGUGAUACAAUUCAUGGAGUGAUCCAAGUGAGCGUGGGUUUAAUCCAAUGCUCAAAUCACAUUCAUAAGCACUCAUGAACGUUGCAGCAAACAUUUGCUUAUGUCUAAUACUCUUUUAGACAAUCCACACACCAAUUCACGACAGUCUUCAUUCAUAUCUACUUCCAACAUAUGAACGACUGUGGCCCGUUUGAAUAAUUCGAUUAUUCUUAAUAAACUCAAUUAUUCUGGAAGUCAAAACAUGCAAAUGUGAAACACAAGAAUAAUACUAAUCCCAUAUGGCCUCAAACCUUUGAGUAUAAAUAAAACACCUUUUAUUUAUCACCAUAUUGAUUACUCAUUAUUUGUCGUUUCGGGUAAUCAACUUCUUACUUGAAUUCCAACACUUGUCCCAUGCUCCUAGCAUGCACACAAUGUUUACCUAUGGUUCUUACUUUGUGAAAUAGAUCACAUUGAACACAUUUCCAAUCCUUCUCAUUUCACAACUCCAAAUCCGUUUUUCAUAAGUCAAAGAAUAUCAAAUUCUUGCUACUUAUAGAAUAUGCUAGAUUCUAACAUUCUAUGCAACUAUCCUUUCGUAAUGUCACUGCACCAAAGUCACAAAGACUAUUGCCAAUGAUAUUACAAAGUCCUCUAUCGGAGAUUGUUACAAGACAAUUCCAUAGACGUGAUGUCUCUCACUCAAAGUACAUUCUUUGAACAUCCUUUUGCAUAGAAGUUUCUAAUCUAGUCAUAGAUUUCUCAAUAUUCAAUUCCCAAUAUGGACACACUUCCAUAUGUUCCAUAUGACAACUCAUUCUUAAUAGAAUCUUAUCUAUUCGUAAUGAUGUCGAUAUGGUCCAUCCAAUAUGGAAACAUUUCCAUAUUUUCCAAUACUAUACUUCCAACUACUCACAAGCGACCAAUCCUCGUCGAACUUUGGAUUGUCCUUUGAUAGUUGUUUAAUUAUUUUAGUCAAAACCAAUUCUAGUCCCUUUUCCCUCUAAAUGCGCUCGACAUUUGGAAAAUUUUAGAAUGGUCAAACAUUAAAGCAUUUGCAAUCGAUCCUAUACCCGAAGCGUAUGGGACACGACGCAUAAUGUUUUAUUUGCUAUGUUCUCAAAAUUCGAAUUGUGAAGAGGGAUGCCGUAAUCAUAAUCGAAAUUUUAAGAACACACUAUGUACCUUUGACUAAAUUUAUUAACAUUUCUCAACCUAAUCCUUUAGAUUUGAAAUGAAGCAUAAUAUUCUCUCCCUUAAUUAUAGCAAAACAACCUUUCAACUCUUACAACUUUGCAAAGUAUGACUCUUGUUUUCUAUAAUUAAUAUUGCUAACCUUGCAAUACUUUCCUUAAUAAUCAUACAAUCAUAACAUUUAUGCUCCCACUAUCAUGAUGAUUAUUAUAAAACAUAACACUUAUGCUCCCACUAGCUUCGACAUGUAUUCAUAAACAUCUUAACUUUCAGAAAACAAUACUUAUUGAAUUUCUUAAGUUCAUGUUUCUAAUACUUAGUGCUUUGAUAAUCCUUUAUCAAUGCUUCUUGAACUUAUACACCUUUGCCUUCGAUAGUUCAUAUGUGUGUCUAAACAAUUAAGACUAAUUGCCAAACCUCACAAUUCAAAUUAUGGAAAGGGAUGCCGUAACCAUAAUUGAAUUCGAGAAUGCAAUUUUACAAUCACUAUCUUCUUAAAAUCUUUCUUAGUGAAAGCAUUUCCUCACAAUCAUUUUCAUGAAGGAGGAAAUCUUAUGACACUUAGAUUUAAACGGUGUAUUUGUUCCUAUCCAUGUGAAUUUGUCAAAACCAAAGUUUACGACAAAUUCAAACUCAUAUGGACCGAACUUUCUUAAUCUUGAUUUCUUGCCUUAUGGUAGCACAGCUGCCCACCAUGUCUUCCAAGUAGUUAAGCAGCUCACCCUUUCCUAUCAAUGUACCUUUCAUUGAUUAAGGUGCUUUGCCUUUUAUGCGUUCAAAAUGAGAACUCAUAGAACUCACAUGCAUAAUUAACUCGAUUGGAUUGGCACAGAAACAAAAUAAUGUCAACACGAUAGGUUGUAAACCUCAACUCGUGUGCUAGUGAUGAUCGAUAAGGUUUAUUUGAUUUGUUCUUGAAACCUUUCAAGACCAUUAAGACUCCCACUGACUCCUUGACAUAUAAGAUUCUCUUGUCAAAAACCAUUUCUUGACAAACAAAUAUUCAAGAGUUAGUGUAGCUUUUAUCAAAACACUUCAUAAAUUGGUCCUAGUUGGUCUUUGUCUUAUCCAAGACAUCACAACUUUCCACAUUUAAUGAAAGUUACAAACCUUCUUAAUACUUUUCACUCAAUGUCACAAUCUUAACUUUAAGACUUGUUAUUGGAACGAAGUAUGAUUGACUUCUUGAUUUAACCAUUUCUUCAAUUCUUGAUUCCUCUUCUUAGACAUACAAUUGUACUAAGACUCACUUAGAGGAUCAAUUGAGAUAUGGUUCUUAAUCACUAAGACAUAUCAUAAAGCAUAAAAGCUACUCUCCCUUCUUCUUAGAAUGGAGAAACUUUUAUCUUUCUGCCUACUUGAUUCUUCUUAUUCGUUCUGCUAUUGAUCUAAACCCUUUAAUCAAUUCAGAAUUACACUUAAUCUUGUAAGUAUAAUCAUAUUUACUAAACCUUUAGUAAAUCAUGACGAAUAUCUUUGUUACUCUUAUGGUGGACUUGAUCAACACGCAACUUUGUGUAUUCGAUCUCCAAGUCCUUCACUUGACACUUUGUCAAUGAAUUAGUCUAAUUUCCAAAUAUGAAAUUUCUCAUUCAUCAUGCAACCAAGUUGCAUGAUUCCAAAUUUCUGUCCAAUUGAAACUUGGGCGAUGAGAAACUCUCCCUAUUUGGUAAAUUCUCGACUUUUCCAUAAACACCAUAAAUAAGAAUCAUAUCCAUUUGUUGUAGAAAUAUGCAAACACCAAUUUUCAUAACGAUUUCAUUGCAAGGAAAUAAAUAAAUAAAUAAGUCAAAUGAAAAUUUAUUUUAUUUAUAAAAGCAGCGGAAAAAUUUGUCCUUACAAUGCAAAAUCCAUUGAAAACUAUGUACAAAAGAAAAUUUCUAACAACUCUAUCAUAACUUUUUAAGUUCAAAAUCUAAUCUUCAAGUCCAUGCGACCGAGAUCCAUCUCUUGUGAUUAGAUUCAUCAUGCUCUCCUAUCAAGCUUCCUUUCUUUUCACCGACUCUACAAAACACUCAAAUGUAAUCUUAUUACAUCAUGUAUUAAGAAUCAAUGAAUAGGAACUUAAUGGAGUUAGAUAGUGGAUUUUUACCUAAAGCGCAGUCAUACCUUUGACUCUCCCAUCUCUUAGAUCUCUUAGGUAAUUAGGGCAACUUCGUCUCCAAUGCCCCUUCUCUUGGCAAUAAAAGCAAAUUGACUCUUUUGGAACAACACAUGGAACUACUUCAGACAUCGCCUUUCUCUUAUGAUCAAACUUUUCGAUCAUUGCAUGUCUUUCAUUGCCAUUGUCUAUAUCCAUAGAGGUCUUGAAGGCAGAUUCACCAAUCAACUUUGCUUUUCUAUUGCGCCAAACCAUUGCUGAUUCGGCAGCAAUAAGCAUAUAGGUGAGAUCUAUAAGGGUCACGUUGUGGUUCGUCAUAUAGUACUCUCUUACGAACUCACUAUAUGAGUUGGGAAGUGACUGAAGAACCCAAUCAACAGCCAUCUCUUCACUAACAACGGAUCCCAUCAUUCUUAGUCUAUCAAUGCGCGACUUCAUCCCUAGGACGUGUGCACACACCGACUUUCCUUCUUUAUGUUUACUUGCCAAAAGGGCUUGAGUGAUAUUGAACCUUUCAAUUUUACAAUCUUGUGGGUUAGGGAGAAUAAUUGGAGGAGGAGGAGGAAGUGAAGCAUGAUUUCUUGAUCCUCGAUCGAAUCGUGGAAUAUCAUCUUCAUGUGGAAUGCUUGUUCCACGGGAUUUGGGAAGACCAUAGUUGUCGAACUUUGACAUCUACAAAACGGGAGAAAACGAAUUCAAGUUAGUUGAUUGAUUGAGUCCUUAGUAAAUCACCCAAAUGAAAUACUAAGGCUAGGACCCAACACAAUAUUCUACAACUCGGGAGAGGGAUGCCGUAACCCUAAUUGCAGAAUAUUUGAAGGUAAGUGAAUGACGAUUCACUAAUUUCCACCAUGAAAAACGAAAAAGAAAUUUAAGUUUUAAAUCUAUGAAAACUCCUAGAUCCUUUGAGAUUCAUUGAACUUUCAAUGGCAUGUUUAAAUCUCGAUAUGCCCCUCUUGUUUGUGACUGGGAUGCCGAGGAUCACAAAGCGGGUGUGAAUAACCAUGCAAACUUACAUGGUGCCCUCACAUGUUACAGUCACCUAUUCGAUGUGCCGGUAAACCACACACGCUCCACCGAACUAUGACAAACAUUGAGUCACCCUUUGCUACCUUUGCUUAGAACCAUUUAGUGUGCCGGUUAACCACACACGCUCCACUAACGUCUUCGCAAGGGCACAAAGUGUAAUUUCAUGGAAUUGCAUCAAUUCACUUUUGCCUAAGUAACUAAGAUUGGGAAUUUUAUGAAAACAUUUAGUUACUUUUAUACUUCAUUAUACUUAUAAUGGAAGGUUUCGUCCUAUCCUACCCGUUCGGCUAACGACCCUCCACUAGUCAAGAGUGCGGUGGGUAAGAGUGGAUACCCAUUCAAUCGCCAUUUUAUAGGCAAUUUCCUUAAACACCCCUUAUAGACCAGCUUCGUGAAUGAGGCCUACUAACGGUAAGACUGACUUUUACUCAUACAUAUAUAUAAUGUUAGACUUUUAAUGUUAUAUAUAGUAUAGGGUGUAUUUUACACUUUUAAAAUACUAGGUGGUCAAAUUUAACAAUUAUACUUUUAAUUCAAUUAAAUUGUAAACCUAAACUUUUAUGGAUUUAUUAAACCUCUUUUAAUUAUACACCUUAAUUAAUUAAUAAAACCAUAAGGGUGUGAUUUGAACUUUUUCAAAACUAUACUAGAGUUUUAGAAUUUAACAUUCCUAAUUAAACUUUUAAUCAACUUUUAAAUUCCAAAACUUGAGGGCAAGUUUUGAAACAUUUCAACACAUUAGGGUUUAGAAUUUAAAUAUACAUCAAAAUUAAACCAUUUAAUCAAAAUUUAAAUUCCAAAACUUGAGGGCAAGUUUUGAAACCUUUUUCAAAACAUUAGGGUUUCAACUAUUUAAAUUUCAAAACAACAAAACUUUUGGGUUCAAAUUUAAACUAUAAAACCUAAAGGGGAAAAUAUGAAACUUUUCAUAACAACAAGGAUCAAAUAACAAAUAAUCUAAAUUAACAUUUAAUCACAUAAUUAUCCAUAUUUGAUUUAUUUAAUGAUUUCUUGCAAAACAAUUUAUCAAUUUAGUCAAAAUAAUUAAUCAAUUAUCACAUAAGGAAACAAUUAUCUUAUUAAUUGAUAAAUAUCUUCAAUUAGAUCAAAAAUAUAGUCAAAUAUAUCAUAAAAUCGGAUUUAUAUUGAUCUAAUAUGAUAAGGUAACUAUCCCAAAGCAAAAACAGCAAGAAAUCCCGAGAUAUACUCCAUCUGACGAGUUGACUCGUCGAGUCAAGCUUGGACUCGUCGAGUCUGCAUGGACUCGGCGAGUUCAGCUAUGGACUCGGCGAGUCCAGCCUCCAGAAACCAAAAAAUCGAAUUUUUCAAACAUAUCAAGCAUCAAUACAAUAGAAACCAGUCUAGGCUCUGAUACCACUGAUGGGUUUUGGUCAUAAGACAUCCUAUGUGCUCAUACAAACCCUAAAGCUCGGAUCUAGGUUUCUCUAUUGUACAUACUUUGAAUCCAAGACUUUGAACCCUAAUUCUAGCAUAUGGAAAUCAGAAUUCACAUGUAAAUAGGUUUAAGAACAUACCUUGAUUGUUAUGUAGCAAUAACAAUCCAAUUCCUCCUUGAAUUGACCUUGGAAAGCAGAGAGUCACAAGUGUCACUCCUCUAAUGGCUUACAAACACCAUAAGCAAGUGGAGAAGGUAUAAAGAGAGAGGAGGGAGGUUAGAAUUCGUCUCUAAGACUUCUUGGGAAGGGAUACACGAAUUCAUGACCUUGGGGUUGUUUAUAUAGGUGUAGAGAUAGGGUUUCAGUCAUUAUCCUUAUCUAGUUGAUUAUCCAUUAAGCAACCAAUAAGAUAAUCCUUGAAUCCUUAUCAUACUCGAAUUCUAAGGCUUUCCAACCUUAAAUUCGUCCACCAUAUUUAUAAGAUAAUCCUUACCUUAUUUUGUAACUAUCACAUAAUUACAAAUCAGCCUCUCUAGUUUAAUUAAUUACACUUGAUCACAAAAUUAAUUAUUAAUUAAUUAUUUACCAAUAUUUAUUAAGCAAAUAUGAUUUCUCCUUUAAUAUAUUAUUCUUAUAACAUAUUAAUAAAUCAUAUUAUCCUCUCUCUCUUUAUUUAUUUCUCCAAUCAAGUUGCUUUGGUGAAGGCAACCCAAAAGGACCAUGCACCAUCGGGUCAAGUACAUACCAAAAUAGUUAUGGACUUAGACACUAAUCCAACACCAUACGCACACACUCUUUCUUCCAUCAGGUCCAUCUCAUUACCAACAUCUUGGUCACCACCAAAAUUAUCCGAUUGGCUCUAACUAUCGUUGGCAGUAGUAAUCUUGUUUCCAAUAAUUCCAUUGCGAGAUAGAAUGAGCAGAGACUUUAAUUUCCUAUCAUUUGAUACAUGCCACUUUAUAUAAUAGGAGAAAAAACAACAUUCCUUUACCUAAAUUUUCAAAACAAUCUCAUUCACUUCUAUCUCUUUAUGUUACUGAUUAUUUUUCCAUGAAACGUAACUUGCAUNAUAUAUAUAUAAAAUAUAAAGGUAAAAAGGGUAUACAUAAGUGGGCUAGGAUACAAAAAACAAAGGUAAAAGGGCUAUACAUGUGUGGGCUAGGAUACAAUAGGCCACACAUAUUAAAAUGAAACUAAACUAAAUAUAAUAUAUAAUACAACAUAAAUAUACAUCUAACAUCCUCCCGCAGUCGGAAUAGGAGAUCUGGAACAGAUGCUCAGUCUAGAUUUGAAAUCAAGAAAUAAAGAAUAUGGAAGCCGUUUAGUGAAGAUAUCAACAUACUGGGACGAAGGUGGAAUGUGAAGAACACGAAUCUUACCCAUGGCCACCUUGUCACGCACAAAACGAAUAUCAAUCUCUAUAUGUUUGGUGCGUUGAUGCUGAACAGGAUUGGUGGACAUAUAGAUUGCACUUACGUUAAUACAAUAUACAAGAGUAGCGGAACGUGGUGGGUAAAGCAGUUCACGAAGUAUGUUGCAAAGCCAACAUGUCUCAAUAACAACAUUGGCAACUCCCAUGUACUAAAGCUUUAGAACUGGAUCGUGAUAUUGUACCUUGUCUUUUGGAAGACUAAGAGAGAAGGUUGUUGCCAAGGAAGACACAAUAACCAGAAGUGGAUCGUCACAAAAAGGGGGCAGUCUACCCAAUCGGUGUCAAAGUAAGCUAUGGUCAACAGUAAGAUAGCAGUCCCUAUGAGGGGGAGACAUAACGGUAAACAAGAAUAGAUUGAGGGUGAAAAUACUUUGUUGAUUGUCUACUUUACGAGGAAGCGGUACAAGACUAUAAAUAGAGGUAGGAUCCCUAGACAAAGGAAAACCUACGGCCCAUAGGCUAACUAGGCCAAAACCAAUAUAUGUAAUAUUUACAUUCUAAAAUUUACAUUCUAAUAAUAACAAUGUAAGCAAUGAUCAAGAGUGUCAUAAAUGUAUCUGAGAAUGUGCUUGAGAGCUAUAAAGUGGGGCUCUGGUGGAUCGUUCAUGUAUAGGCAAACCUGUUAGACGUUGUAAGUAAUGUCACGUCUAGUAAUGUUGGACGUCGUAAGUAAUGUCAUGUCUAGUAAAAUCAGAUACUAUAAUGAUCCAGUAAGACUCCUAUAGAGAGUAGGAUCAGUAACGGGUGGACCGGAACCAUCAAACUUAGCAGACGUGUCUGCUAGUGUGUGAGCUAGUUUGCAACUAAGCAUAUGUGAUCUCUCAAGUAUCUCACAACAUACUUUGGUUGUGAAAGGAACAUGGCAUGUCUAUCUCUAGUAACAGAGAUGCCAAGGAAAUAUUGAAAGGGCCUAGAUCGAUCAUAGCAAAUUCUGAACAUAACAAGUUAAUAACAUGCUAAAGAAGAAUUGUAUAUGAGGCAGUCAAUACAAUGUCAUCAACACAAAUCAUCGACUCGCACCCGAGUCAAAUAACACUAAGGCAGGUAUAGAAUUCACAAGAAAAGUACCUACGCAUAUCAUCAUAUAAGCACAAUAUCUCAACUCAGCAUGACAUAAAUAUGAAUACAUACCAGCCACUACAUCAGGCGCUGCGCGGACCUCCUCCGAUGUCAAUUGGAAAUCUCUCUCGCGAGCCUUAGUGCCUCGUCCUUCACUGGCCGAACCUCAGUAACCUUAGCAGCAGGUGCAAACCCCUGUGUUGAUCCCUGAUGUAACUGCGGGCACUCGACCUUCCGAUGGCCAGUCUGGUUGCAAUGAAAGCAAACCAUAAAUCCCUGGGGGCAAUCCUUGACGAUAUGCCCCUCCUUGACACAUUUGUAGCAAGCACUUGAUCGACAGACCCCAUCAUGUCCCUUGCCACACUUUCUGCGAGUGCGGCCCUUCUGGCCUCCAGAUCUCGUAUCAGCGGACUUAGCCCGCUUGGCUGUCGGCUGAUACUAUGCCGGCCGCCGAUCCAUCCUCUGAGACUCGGCCUCCUCCCUGGCCUAAGUCUCCAACUCAAUCUCCCUCUUCUAGUCAUUUGACUGGAGCUCAGCAAAUUUCCGGUAAGUCAAGUUCGACACGAACUCCCGAAUGUUUCUCCUCAAAACGCCCAAAUACCGGCUCAUCCAUGCCUUUUCAGAAGACACCUGCUCAGGGCAGAACAUCGCCCUCUCAUGGAACUUCCUGGUAACCACAGUAACAGAAUCAGUACCCUUCUUAAGGGUCAAAAACUCCUAAACCAACCAUUCCCUCUCCACCGGUUGAACAUACUCAUCUCUGAACAUCAUGGUGAACCUCUCCCAUGUCACCUCUGAAAUCUCUACAACAGUGAAGCUCGCCGUCACGAACUUCCACCAGUCCUUCGCUCCCAAGCGAAGCUGGUUCAGCACGAACCGAACCCUCAGAUGCUCCAGACAUGAACACGUGUAGAAGCAUCCCUCAAUAUUAGCAAUGCAUCUCAUCACAGCGAUCGGGUCCUGCGUCCCAUCAAACUCGGGUGGCUUCGUGUUGCUGAACUCCCGAAACAACAACGAGUCACCUCCCUGNNNNNNNNNNNNNNNNNNNNNNNNNNNNNNNNNCAGCGACAGCUGCGGUGGUUAUAGCAGCAGCAGCUUCAGUCACCGCGGUGUACCGCUCAUCGAAAGUCUCAAUCAGUGUGGUCUUGAUAGACCCAAACAUCUCCGAAAUCUCAACUCGGAUCGCUGCUGCCACCACAUCGUGGAUCAGCUGAUGAAGCUCCUCGUCACUCACACCGUUCGCCCCAGGUCUGUGGUGUGUUCCAACCAUGAUGUCUCUAAAAUACAACAUAAUAAUAUCAGAGACUCGCUCGAGCAUACUUGCACUCGAUAACUCGACCCUACGUGUUCCUUAGUACCCAAAGGAUUCUUACUUAGAGUGCGCACUGCUCCGAUGUCUUCAGUAGUAUGGGCCCUUAUACUACCAUCUACACCGCAUCAUUAUUCACCCUAAGUCCUCCUCCUUGGAUCCCAGAUCACAAGUACUCUAUAUCUCACUGGCAUAGGCUACCCUUCGGUAAACCUCUUAUCAACUCCUCACUAUUACCUACUCGCUCUCAAGCAUCACACAGCAGCAAAAUCCUUCCUAGGCUAAGGCAUCACAAAAUCAGGGCACUCUAGUCCUAAUAUAAAUACCUAGCCAAUUCUAGCAUGCAUAUCAUAUCAUAACAUUUCUCAUAACACAUAAUGUAAGGGUAUUUUGGGAAAUCACCGUUCAGGCGCUGGCUGAUCGUACACACUGCUUCCUUCUGCUUUUCUCAAAAUCUUUUACUCCCUUAGAAAAAUUGUUUAUUUUGUGAAAAACUUUCUCAAUUCCUCAUUUUGAGUUCAUAUUCAUCCGAAGAUGCACCCGAAUCCCUCAAACCAAGGCUCUGAUACCAACUUGUAACGUCGUAAAUUCUCAAAACAAUUUUUUCAUUAUUAAAACAUACUUUCAAUCAUCAAAAACAAUAUCAAAACAUAAUGUAUCCAAUGUUAUCAUAACAAAACAAUUCCCAGAAUCUCAAAAAUAAUCUCUAUGAGUGUGUACGGAUCAUGCCGACGCCUUCCCGCAUUCCUCGCUAGUACCUGAAACACAUACCAUAACAACUGUAAGCAUAAAUACCUAGUGAGUUCCCCAAAAUACCACAUACCAUACAUACGCCUGUCCAGGCCAUAACUCUAUAGGAUCUUCUGAUCCAUGUGUCUUAGGGGACUUCCAUCCCAAAUCCCGGUAGACCUUCCAGUCCGUACACUCUUGACCUUCCGGUCCGUAUCAUCUUGACCUUCCGUUCCUUACCAUAUGUAACAUACAUAGCACAUACAUAAAUAUCAUCUUGACCUUCCGGUCCUUAUCAUACAUAACAUAUAUAGCACAUACAUAUCACAUAACCGCAUAUAUCACAUACAUCAUAGCAUUCAAGACCUUCCGGUCACACAUAGGUACCCUUCUAGGUACAGUAUAGUGAGAAGACUCACCUCAAUGAAGUCGGAUAAACUCUCGUGCUCAACGUCCCGACUUAGCCUCCUCCUAUUUUUCAAAUAACAUUCCCGAUCAAUACACUCUCAUGAUCUCUUCUCUACAGACUGGGUAGAAGGCCAUUCUACCCUUCCUUGAACUCUCCUGAAUUAGUCUUGACCAGAAUCCUAAAGUCAACGAAAUUCGACGGUCAACUUUGACCUGACUCGUCGAGUGCACAUGGGCGACUCGGCGAGUCCAUGCGGGUCCUCUGAAUCCUUUCAGCCUCGCAUGGCUCGNCGAGUCAUCCUUCCACUCGACGAGUUACACCUGUCACGAAUCACGGGUCAACCCCGACUCGACUCGUCGAGUCCACUUAUGGAUUCGGCGAGUUGCUCCCAUAACAACUCUCAAAUUACCUUCUGAGGUCAGAUCUGCUUUACCAAACUAUAGAUCUGGCCUUCCAGUGCUUAAAGGUCACGUAAAGGUGCAACCUUUACGUGCUCGCAACCCAUAACAAGCCAUAAAUGGAGAAAUAACUCUAAAAAUGGCAACCUAGUCUCUAAUCCUCUAAGAACAAGCAUAAAGCAUAAUGGGAAAGGUUCUCUGGACCUCUAUGGGUCCAGAUCUGAGGUCUAACCCAGCAAAGGACCAUAUACUGAACCUUUCAAGCCUUAAAAGGUUUGUAGAAAACCCUAGAUCAUAGAUUUUAACCCAAAACAAAAGGGAAGUUCGAUUUGAUACCUCAAUAGUGUAGAUCUAAACUAGACAACCUUAGAUCUGCAGCCCCCUUGACCUCCUCUUGAUGGAACCACCUUUCUUUUGCUAAAACACUCAAGAAAUGGUGAGUUAGCCUCCCUCAAGCACCACAAACACACACACUCUCUCUCUCUAGGGUUCUCAAGGGUGAAAUGGACGCAAGCCCGCUAUGGAGGCUAUAAAGGCCUUUAAAUAAGCCGCAAGCCCUGAGAAUUAGGGUUUUCUCUUAAUAGCGCGUACUCGCCGAGUCCAUCCAUCGAAUCGCCGAGUCCUUCAUUAAAUCAGACCAGAAAUGUGUGAUCCCACUCGGCGAGUCUAAGCGCCUACUCACCGAGUUCCUCUCUAAAUUUCAAUAUGAAUACUCAAAAUACGAUACCUGGAAAUCCGGAUGUUACAAGCGUGGUCAAACAUUACUCGAAAUGGGAAGAUUUCACGAGAAACAACAAAGUGGACCGAAACCACCUUCGGUCCGGAUUCACUUUCGGCCUAAGACCCCUUUCGGCCCAGGCUACUACGUUUUGAGCCUACUUUCGGUUGUGAACCUAAUUUCAGUCCAAGGCCAUGUUUGGUUUAUUCCCCUAUGGCACAAACUGCUCUCGGUUAUGACUACCUUCGGGUCCUUACUACUCAUAGUUCAAUCCAGUUUCAGUCAAAGUCUCAUGAACUAAGACCCCACACCACAUUUCCCCUCCACCUCACAAUUCAAAAACCAAGGUAGAAAACCCAAAAAGUGACCCUCUUGGUCCGGAGCCCUCUGAGUCCGGAACGUGACCCUCAAAAUGAACCGGACAAUUCCGUAUACACCCUCCUUCUUUUGGAACCUCCUCAUCCGGAACCAACUCGCCUCGAAAGGAUCCGUACCAGAUGAGCUUCACGGUCUUGGAAGACCAAGGCCACUACGGAAGUUUAUAAUCCCGCACCUCCACUCCGGAACCAUGGAUGAACUCCGGACGGACGUUCCUGACUCCGGAAGGACGUUCCUAACUCCGUACACUCUAUCUCAUUUACCAACUUUGUAGAGAAGAACCCGUUCUUAUAAUAUCUAGGACUCAUUAUUAAAUCAUGGUCUGGGGAAAUCCUUAUUAUAAGAAAUAUCUAUUAUACAAGAUACUCUCUAAGAAUUGGUUGACUUUUUCCAAAAAGUUAUGACACCAACCCACUCCCCAUACACACUUUAUGACAACUUUAUGGCACUAUUCUCAUAGUACCUACUCAAAUCGAUAUCUUUUCUCCAACACUCCACCAGAUUUUCCUAUUCUAAAUCCACUAAUUGGAUUCUCAACCUCCAUCUAUAAAACCUCAAUUCCAUCUUUCAAAGACAAGCUUUACUUCCUCUUUCACUAUUCUUCAAUCUGGAACACGAGAAUUCCCUAGGAAGCAUCUGCCCUCAUUUCACCCUUGGUAAGCUCUUUACCUUCACUCUUUAAUAUUGCACAAUCCCUCACACAUAUUAUGGUUUUCUUAUGCAAUAUCGUCAUAAUUACUCUUAGGAUCUCCAAAUCCUUAAGCUUUCUCCAAGUGUUCUCGACUUGGAAACCUUUUUCCUUCGACAUCCAUUUCUAGGAAUCACUCAAGGUGAAUUCAUACCCCUGCAUUUUCAUUUUUUCUUCAAGUGUUAGGGGGGGGAUACAAGUUAUAACAUCAAAAACUUAACUAAACUCAAACAUUAGCUUUCCAUAGGAAAGUUGUAACAUCCCGAAAUAUCAAGAGUAGAGUUGAAGGGCUAAAAGAGUAAGUUGUGGAAGAGUGACUCGGCGAGUCCAUGGAUGGACUCGGCGAGUAGAGUCGCGACUGGGUCGCGUGUUAAGUAGCCGACUCGGCAAGUCAGUAAGGAGGACUCGGCGAGUAGGCGUUGGCUAGAGAAAACCCUAAUUCUCGGGGUUGAGCCCUAUAUAAAGAACAUAACAGCCCACUCUCAGCCUCUUUGUUCAUCUCCAAGUCCUAAAACCCUUAGCCUUCGUGUGUGAGUGAUCCUAUCUCAAUCGGGAGCUUGAAGGAGAUGAUUAUUGAAGGAAUUUUGGGAGAUUGAAGGCUUGGAGCAAGGGGCUUUGCUUGGAUUUGAAUUUCAUUUCAGUUAGGGCGUCCAUUGGAGGUAAUAUCUUGUUCUUGGUCUGAUUGUAUGUUGUUUAUUCAUUUUGGGGUUGUGGGAACUUGUCUAUGGAUGUAAUUGGAAGUCUAGAGGUUAGAUCUGAGGUUGCUACCUCAGAUCUGGAAUGGAGAAGAAUCAGAGAGCAUGAAAGUCCCUGUGUUGGAGUGUUUAGUGAAGCUUACAUGUCCCAAACCCUAAACCAAUGUGCAAAAGGCCUAGAUCUCUUUGGAUUCACGUAAAGUCUGCCACUUUACGUGAUGGAUGAGUUGUAGGAGGCUAGAUCUAUGUUUUGGAUCAAUUGCAUGGUCUGGAAUGCUUCUGUAUGGAUUCAGAUCGGUGGUACUCGGCGAGUCACAUGGGUGAACUCGACGAGUUGUUUGAAGAUGAGCUGGGACUCGGCGAGUUGGAAGAACAACUCGGCGAGUCGGAUGAAGAUGGCCUUGGACUCGGCGAGUUGUAUGAACAACUCGGCGAGUAGGUUGAAGAUAGCCAUAGACUCGGCGAGUCUGUUCUUGGACUCGGCGAGUCUUGUCGAAGAGUUCCGAUAUUCUCUGGUUGAGUCGAGAAUCGGUGAGUCAAGGGAUGACUCGGUGAGUUGUGUGCGAGAGGACUCAGAAGUUGUGGGACUCGGCGAGUCUCGGGGUGACUCGGCGAGUUAGGUCGCGGAUUGAGUGANNNNNNNNNNNNNNNNNNNNNNNNNNNNNNNNNNNNNNNNNNNNNNNNNNNNNNNNNNNNNNNNNNNNNNNNNNNNNNNNNNNNNNNNNNNNNNNNNNNNNNNNNNNNNNNNNNNNNNNNNNNNNNNNNNNNNNNNNNNNNNNNNNNNNNNNNNNNNNNNNNNNNNNNNNNNNNNNNNNNNNNNNNNNNNNNNNNNNNNNNNNNNNNNNNNNNNNNNNNNNNNNNNNNNNNNNNNNNNNNNNNNNNNNNNNNNNNNNNNNNNNNNNNNNNNNNNNNNNNNNNNNNNNNNNNNNNNNNNNNNNNNNNNNNNNNNNNNNNNNNNNNNNNNNNNNNNNNNNNNNNNNNNNNNNNNNNNNNNNNNNNNNNNNNNNNNNNNNNNNNNNNNNNNNNNNNNNNNNNNNNNNNNNNNNNNNNNNNNNNNNNNNNNNNNNNNNNNNNNNNNNNNNNNNNNNNNNNNNNNNNNNNNNNNNNNNNNNNNNNNNNNNNNNNNNNNNNNNNNNNNNNNNNNNNNNNNNNNNNNNNNNNNNNNNNNNNNNNNNNNNNNNNNNNNNNNNNNNNNNNNNNNNNNNNNNNNNNNNNNNNNNNNNNNNNNNNNNNNNNNNNNNNNNNNNNNNNNNNNNNNNNNNNNNNNNNNNNNNNNNNNNNNNNNNNNNNNNNNNNNNNNNNNNNNNNNNNNNNNNNNNNNNNNNNNNNNNNNNNNNNNNNNNNNNNNNNNNNNNNNNNNNNNNNNNNNNNNNNNNNNNNNNNNNNNNNNNNNNNNNNNNNNNNNNNNNNNNNNNNNNNNNNNNNNNNNNNNNNNNNNNNNNNNNNNNNNNNNNNNNNNNNNNNNNNNNNNNNNNNNNNNNNNNNNNNNNNNNNNNNNNNNNNNNNNNNNNNNNNNNNNNNNNNNNNNNNNNNNNNNNNNNNNNNNNNNNNNNNNNNNNNNNNNNNNNNNNNNNNNNNNNNNNNNNNNNNNNNNNNNNNNNNNNNNNNNNNNNNNNNNNNNNNNNNNNNNNNNNNNNNNNNNNNNNNNNNNNNNNNNNNNNNNNNNNNNNNNNNNNNNNNNNNNNNNNNNNNNNNNNNNNNNNNNNNNNNNNNNNNNNNNNNNNNNNNNNNNNNNNNNNNNNNNNNNNNNNNNNNNNNNNNNNNNNNNNNNNNNNNNNNNNNNNNNNNNNNNNNNNNNNNNNNNNNNNNNNNNNNNNNNNNNNNNNNNNNNNNNNNNNNNNNNNNNNNNNNNNNNNNNNNNNNNNNNNNNNNNNNNNNNNNNNNNNNNNNNNNNNNNNNNNNNNNNNNNNNNNNNNNNNNNNNNNNNNNNNNNNNNNNNNNNNNNNNNNNNNNNNNNNNNNNNNNNNNNNNNNNNNNNNNNNNNNNNNNNNNNNNNNNNNNNNNNNNNNNNNNNNNNNNNNNNNNNNNNNNNNNNNNNNNNNNNNNNNNNNNNNNNNNNNNNNNNNNNNNNNNNNNNNNNNNNNNNNNNNNNNNNNNNNNNNNNNNNNNNNNNNNNNNNNNNNNNNNNNNNNNNNNNNNNNNNNNNNNNNNNNNNNNNNNNNNNNNNNNNNNNNNNNNNNNNNNNNNNNNNNNNNNNNNNNNNNNNNNNNNNNNNNNNNNNNNNNNNNNNNNNNNNNNNNNNNNNNNNNNNNNNNNNNNNNNNNNNNNNNNNNNNNNNNNNNNNNNNNNNNNNNNNNNNNNNNNNNNNNNNNNNNNNNNNNNNNNNNNNNNNNNNNNNNNNNNNNNNNNNNNNNNNNNNNNNNNNNNNNNNNNNNNNNNNNNNNNNNNNNNNNNNNNNNNNNNNNNNNNNNNNNNNNNNNNNNNNNNNNNNNNNNNNNNNNNNNNNNNNNNNNNNNNNNNNNNNNNNNNNNNNNNNNNNNNNNNNNNNNNNNNNNNNNNNNNNNNNNNNNNNNNNNNNNNNNNNNNNNNNNNNNNNNNNNNNNNNNNNNNNNNNNNNNNNNNNNNNNNNNNNNNNNNNNNNNNNNNNNNNNNNNNNNNNNNNNNNNNNNNNNNNNNNNNNNNNNNNNNNNNNNNNNNNNNNNNNNNNNNNNNNNNNNNNNNNNNNNNNNNNNNNNNNNNNNNNNNNNNNNNNNNNNNNNNNNNNNNNNNNNNNNNNNNNNNNNNNNNNNNNNNNNNNNNNNNNNNNNCGGCUGCCGCGGCGGCUACAGUGGCUGUAGCAACGGCAAGGGGAGGAGCUGAUAGAGAUUUUCAGUAUCGGGACUUCGAUAAUGCGGAGCCUCCCGCCUUCGAUGGAUUUCAGGACCCGAUUGUUGCUAUGAGAUGGUUAUCGGACGGGGAGGGGUGUUUCUUCACGUGUUCAUGCCCUGCUGAUCUGAGGGUGAGGUAUGCUCUGAGCCUGUUGAGACUCGGGGUGAAGGAUUGGUGGAGAUUGACCACGGGGUCAUACUCGGAUGCGCAGAGGGCUGCGGUUUCAUGGGAUCAGUUCAGAGAGAUGUUCAGCACUCGAUAUGUUCCGCAAGUUGCGAGGGAGAGAUUGUCUUAGGAGUUCCUUGAGUUGAAGCAGGAUUCGGAGUCGGUGACUGAGAUCGCCAGGAUGUUCUUUGUGAGGGAGAUGUUUUGCCCUGAGUUCGCUUCGGAGCAGGCUCAGAUGUCCCGAUAUCUGAGUAUGUUCAGGGGGGAUAUCAGACAGUUCAUGUCUGCGCAGAGGUGUGAAACUUUGUUGGAGUUGUAGGAGGCCGCCAGGCGGCGUGAGUUAGAGGUUGAGUUGCAGUUGCGUGAGCUGAGGCAGGCUCCGAUGUAGUCGCAGCCGGUGCUGAAACGGUCCAGGACCGUUGAUGUUAGAAUGGGGAAUCUGAGUGGCCACACUUGUGGGAAGUGUGGGAGGGGUCAUACCAGAGUUUGUUGGUCCGGUGGUGCAUGCCGCAAGUGCGGAAAGGAGGAGCACUAUGCGCGGGUUUGUCGGCAGUCAGUGCCGGUUCGGGAUUUGAGGAUUUGUUAUCAUUGUUGUCAGGUUGGACAUUUGAGGGUCAACUGUCCACAGCUUUCUGCAGGACCGGUGCAGGCUCCAGCACCGACCACUUUGAGGAUUCCAGGAGGAGGUCAAGAUGGAGCGGAGCCCCCAAGGGCUCAGGGUCGUGCUUAUCAGCUUGCGGCNGAUCAGUGCCGGAGGCAGCUGCGGGUAUGUUUCUUUCUUGAUGUUUUGUUAUCUUGCGAUUAUGGUGGUGUAUUGUUUGUGCUCGUAUCUUUGUGUGGAUUUCGAUGCGGUAUUUGUCGUUUUGCGGGUUGAGGUUUGGCAUGGUUAUGGAUUUAUGUUUCGGGUUUUCGUCUUAGUAUCCGUUGUCCCUUGAGGGUUUGGCAUGGUUAUGGAUUUGUGUUUCGGGUUGGUAUCCGUUGUUCCCUGAGGGUUUGGUAUGAUUAUAGUUUGGUGUUUGUGCUAUCGUUGGUUAUCGUUCAUGAGGGUUAUUAGUGGAGAUGCGGCAUUGGGUUGAAUGUCGGGUAGCAUCCACAUUCGUGGAAGGGAUAAUUGGAGAUCGGAUUCUUUUGAGCGGAUUGAUCAGUGAGGAGAUGUGUUUUGCUGAGGGUUGCUUAUGCUUGUGGGAAGCAAUCAGUGUNGGGGUUGUUCUGGAAGGUCGUUAAUGGCGACCGGUGGUUGUUAGUCAGUGCUUUAAGUGGGGGAGAAUUGGAGAAUUCUCCGGGAGAUCGAUGAGUAUUUGAGGGUGCUUAGCUGUUGGGAUUCAGCAGUGUUCUGUCAGCCCAGAGUAUAGGCUGAUAGGAGCGAGUGUCGGGCAUGCGGGGCGAGAUACAGACCUAGAGCAUUUGAUUGUGGAGGCCUGGGAGCAGGCCGGGAUCAAGUUUGAGUAGGCAACCGGGGUUAUGUGAUCAGAGUAUUUGUAUGCUUUAUGUAUGUUAUGUGUUGUAUUGCAUUAUUUCUAUGUGAUUUAUGCUGUGCAUGUUUUCAGAGUUGGAACUGGAGGGUUCCUGGAGUUAGAACCGGAAGGUUCACAGAGUUAGAACUUGAGGGUUCAUAGAGUUUGGGUGUACGGACCCACAGAGUUAUAGCCUCGAGUGGCUAAUAUGUGUUAUGUGAGUCGGUCCAGUCAUGCUGGAGACUCUGUUGGUAUUGUUGGAUCAGUUUGAGAUUGCGGAUUGUGUAUGUUGCAGUGUGAUUGCAUUGGAAGGUCUGGCCCCGGGUAGUGAUCUUGUUUAGUUGAGGUAGUGCAUGGGCUUGAGAGUCCCUGCGAGGAGAGUCAGAGUAAGUGUGUAGGAUGGAUAGCGGAGACGCUAAAGGGUGGUGUAGCGUUAGACGUGCACCGUGGCAUUUUCCGGAGUGACAUUGUGGCCAAGUGGAUUCCUUGGUAAAGGAAGAGAGAGAGGUAGGAGGUGUGUAACUCCGAGAGGGAGUGCAAGUUCACGGAAGUGAAAGCGGCAGAGCAGAGUUAUGAUUAGAGUAAUUCGAGUUUGGUUACUGAGCAACGUGUUUGCGGCAGUGGAGUAGAAGCUCAUCCGGUUUGGAAUGUCUGCUGAGGUCGCGGAGGGAAAUCCGCAAGUGUAGAGCCAAGAGGCUCGGAAGGGAUGCAGAGAGAGAGAGAGAGAGUCUUAGACUCUCAGUGUGAUUCUGAUCAGGGUAUGGGGUGUAUAUUAGUGGUUCAUCCUGUGGGGAUGUUUGAGGAUAUUAUCAGUGUAUCAGGUUUUCCCAACCUGAGGGUGUUAGAGCUGGUUCAGCUUGUGUGUGUGGUUGCAAGGGGAGAACUCAUGAGAGUUGCUUUGAGAUUAAGAAUGGGUCUCUCAGUCGUCCCGGAAUGGAUAGAGUGGGAUUCGGAUCGGGGAUCCGAUGGUUCAUGGUUUUCUAACCCUUAUGGGUCGAGCGAUUAUUGAGAUUUGGGGCAGUGAUGCAUCUUGGGUAAUUCUCGGUUGUUGAGAGUGAUGAUCAGGGGGUAGAGUCGGUGCCCGGUUCGAGACGAUGGUCAGGACACCAUGAAGGAAGGGAAACUGUGCGAGUUUAGAUAAGUAUGCCUUGAGGGAUCUGGUCUGGUUAAGGCUAGGUGGAGCGUUGUGGGAGUAUCCUUGGAGUUGAGUUGCUGUAGGCGUCGAGGGCGAAGCCUAAUUUAAGUGGGGGAGAAUUGUAACAUCCCAAAAUAUCAAGAGUAGAGUUGAAGGGCUAAAAGAGUAAGUUAUGGAAGAGUGACUCGGCGNGGACUCGGCGAGUACAGUCGCGAAUUUGGUCGCGUGUUAAGAAGCCGACUCGGCGAGUCGAUGAGAUGGACUCGGCGAGUAGGCGCUGGGUGGAGAAAACCCUAAUUCCCGGGGUUAAGCCCUAUAUAAAGAACAUAACAGCCCACUCUCAGCCUCUUUAUUCAUCUCCAAGUCCUGAAACCCUUAGCCUUCGUGUGUGAGUGAUCCUAUCUCAAUCGGGAGCUUGAAGGAGAUGAUUAUUGAAGGAAUUUUGGGAGAUUGAAGGCUUGGAGCAAGGGGCUUUGCUUGGAUUCAAAUUUCAUUUCAGUUGGGGCGUCCAUUGGAGGUAAUAUCUCGUUCUUGGUCUGAUUGUAUGUUGUUUAUUCAUUUUGGGGUUGUGGGAACUUGUCUAUGGAUGUAAUUGGAAGUCUAGAGGUUAGAUCUGAGGUUGCUACCUCAGAUCUGGAAUGGAGAAGAAUCAGAGAGCAUGAAAGUCCCUGUGUUGGAGUGUUUAGUGAAGCUUACAUGUCCCAAACCCUAAACCAAUGUGCAANNNNNNNNNNNNNNNNNNNAAUGCUUCUGAAAGGAUUCAGAUCGGUGGUACUCGGCGAGUCACAUGGGUGAACUCGACGAGUUGCUUGAAGAUGAGCUGGGACUCGACGAGUUGGAAGAACAACUCGGCGAGUCGGAUGAAGAUGGCCUUGGACUCGGCGAGUUGUAUGAACAACUCGGCGAGUAGGUUGAAGAUAGCCAUAAACUCGGCGAGUCUGUUCUUGGACUCGGCGAGUCUUGUCGAAGAGUUCCGAUAUUCUCUGGUUGAGUCGAGAAUCGGUGAGUCAAGGGAUGACUCGGUGAGUUGUGUGCGAGAGGACUCAGAAGUUGUGGGACUCGGCGAGUCUCGGGGUGACUCGGCGAGUUAGGUCGCGGAUUGAGUGAGCUCUGAGUAUGGGAACUCGGCGAGUCAUCGGGUUGACUCGGCGAGUAGGGUCAGUCAGGGGUUGACUUUGACGUUGUCUUUGACCAAGGGUUAACCAGUGGUUUCCAGGGGUAUUUUGGUAAUUGUUGUUUAUGGUUUUGAGUUCAGUGCAUUGGUGGCUGUCCAGUGGUGGAGAUCGUAUCAGUGAUCGGAGCAGCUUGAGUUACCUGUUCUGUAGGCAGUUUCAAGGUGAGUUAUCCUCACUAUAUCGAUAGGGUUUAUGGCACCAAGGCCAACCCUUUUUAUCGGAUGGAAAUCCGGAUAGUUGUCAGUUAUUAUGUUAUGGGCCGGAAGGCGUUAUAUGUUGUGGGCCGGAAGGCAUUUGCGAUGUGGACCGGAAGGUCAUGGCCUGGAAAGGCGUAUGUGUGCAUUUAGUAUGUUGUCUGAUUUGUAGGGUGAUGUUAUGCUAGUGACCGGCUAGGCUGGUAUCUUGGUUAGGGUAAUGCUAUGUUAUGUGAUCUGUUGAUCGAUUGCUGACUGUGAGUCGUUAUAUGAUUAUGUGUUAUGUGCAUGAUUGCUAGGUCUGGGGUGUGACCCGGUAUGCGGGUUCGUUCUAUGUUUUGUUAUGAUAUGUAUACUUUUUAUGUUAUGGGCCGGAAGGCAACAUGUUAUGGGGCGGAAGGCAUUGCGUUAUGGCUGGAAGGUGAUAUGUUUUGGACCGGAAGGUCGUGGCUUGGAAGGGCGUAUAUGUGUUUGGUAUAUUGGGGGUAUCUCACUAAGCUUCUGGGCAUACAGUUGUGGUUUUAUGUUUUCAGGUUCUCAGGAGUCUGUGGCAAGGCAAAGGCGUGAUCGUAUCGUUCCUCGCGUUGGUGUUUUAUGAUAUGAACCUGGGAAAAUACUCUGUAAAAUAAUGUAUUGAAAACCUUUUGUAAAGAUUUUAUGGAAUCGAGAUGUUUUUGAAAAAUUUAAAAUUGGUUGUAUUUUUCGGUCGUUACAAAAGUUUAGUUCCAUUCACGGAUUGUUUUGAACAUCUUAAACUUUUUAUUUUUCAAAACUUUACAAGGUGAAAAUAGUUCAGGUUUACACCUUUCUAAUGAGUACUUGCACAAGUUCAUACGAUUUUUCUACAAAUUAUGACGAAUUUUACAAAACUGCCUAUCAUUUCAGCAAACAGUUUUGGACCAGUCUGUUAAGUUGCACAUUUUCACACAAGUUAAAGGUCACUAAAAAUCAUUAUAAAAAUUAUGAAAAAACUAGACACAAUUUCUAAACUCUCAGAAUUUACGGAUUCUGAUUUCAACUUUCAAUGAUUUUUCUAUAGUUUUUCUAGGAACAGAUUAGAAAAGCUAAAACUAGAAAAUAGUAAACAAGUUCAUUUACACUUUGUAACCUAUUGAGCAAAGUGUGUAUUAUUGUAUAAAUACACACUUUGCUCAAACAUCAUCUUUCCACAAUAAAGUUUAGUUCUAUUCACGGACUGUUUUGAACAUCUUAAACUUUUUAGUUUUCAAAACUUUACAAGCUGAAAAUAGUUCAGGUUUACACCUUUCUAAUGACUAAUUGCACAAGUUCAUACGAUUUUUCUACAAAUUAUGACGAAUUUUACAAAACUGCCUAUCAUUUCAGCAACAGUUUCAGACUAGUCUGUGAAGUUGCACAUUUUCACACAAGUUAAAGGUCACUAAAAAUCAUAAUAAAAAUUAUGAACAAACUAGACACAAUUUCUAAACUCUCAGAAUUUACGGAUUCUGCUUUCAACUUUCAAUGAUUUUUCUAUAAUUUUUCUAGGAACAGAUUAAAAAAGCUAAAACUAGAAAAAUAGUUAACAUGUUCAUUUACACUUUGUAACAUGUUGAGCAAAGUGUGUAUUAUUGUAUAAAUACAUGUUGUUUGUAUUUCAUGUCUUAUACCUUCGUAAGAAGGUGUGCAUCAUAUACAAAGGAUUUUUAUCACUGCAAACUCACUAUAAAAAGUUCCGUUUACAUUAUAAAAAGGAUUUUCAUUAACACUACACGUAAACUCGUUAUCAUAAAUUGUGAGACAUAACUUCAUUGUACUCUUAGAGUGAUGGUAAAUUUCAUGUAGUUAUAGCCAGAGUCUCUUGUAGGGAGAGCGUGAUAGUUGUGUAUAGAUCUAUAUUGGGAUUGACAACUCACACCUUAGUUGCAUGUAACAGCCUGACCGGCCAGUCAGGGGUGACAAAUUUCAUAACAUUCCGACGCCUGAAGAAUGUCGUAGCAGGUCAUCUAUGUCAUAACAUGGUUAUAACGACUCGCACAGGGAGAUAACGAAACAUAUACUUUACGGGGAUUCUUCAUCUAAAAAGGGUUUUAUGUUGAUUUAAAACCACAUUUACUACUAUAAGUAUGGAAAUUUACUUGUACAUUUCGGUCUUUGGGUAUUAAGACUACAACUCAUUUCAUAAGGAAAAUAUUGGAUUUUUCUUGAAACAUAUACAUUCAUUUACACAGAAAGGUUUGCAAUCCUACAUGCAAAAAGCUUAUGCACUCACCAACUUAAUUGUUGACAUUCUUUCAAAAUUACUUGUAUUCUCAGGAAAUCAAUGAAAUCAGGUAACUACAAGCUUUUGUGGAAGGAACGCUUCGACGUUUGACAAACUAUUUUGAUAUUAUGUUGUAAUCGAUUUUGAAACACGUAGCAUUUGAAAACACGUAACCCUUUUGAUAAUAUUUAUGAUUGGUUGCAUUUAAUGUGAUCACAAUUAUACUCAUUUGUCAUGAUACUAUGAAUGAAGUCCUCCACCCCCAGACGUUUCCACCAUUCGAGGUUUGGGGGUGUGAAAUAAGGAAUCUGACGAUAUCAGGCUCAAGGAGCCUGUUUGAGGCCAUACAGGGAUCUCUGCAACAAGUUGACAUGAGUUGGGAGGUUCGGAUCAUCGAAACUUGGAGGCUAAUGCAUAUACAUUGUUUCCUAAAAAUGAAUGUGAAGAAAUGAAUUGUUCACACCAAGCUGAUGAACAUGCCAGUGGUGGGAUAGAGCCAAACUAAGGAUCAUCCGAAUGGUAUCCAGUUUGACGAUCGGGUUAAAGGUCUCAUCAGAAUCAAUGUCUAGCCUUUGACUGUGACCAUUGGCAACAAGUCUUGCUUCAUACCGGAAUAGAGAUCUAUCUACAUUAUGUUGCUUUUGAAUAAAAAAAAUACAAUUAACCAUGAUGGCACUAGGAGGCCAAGGCACAAGCACCUAAUUUCUGUUAGAAAUAAGUGCAUCCUAUUCUUCUUUCAUAGCGUUUAGCUAGUUAUUAUCUCAAAAAGCUUUGAAAUAAUUGUGAGGGAUAUGAUAGGAGGAGGAUUCAAUGUGAAGAUUGAGUUUUUGAAUGAGGUUGGAGAUGUCAUCAUGAGACUGAGUGACCAUUGGGUAAGACUGAGGAGGGACGGUAAAAAGAGGAUGGGAUGGAGGGUGGUGGCCAUGAUUAUUACUGUUACAGAGUGGUAUAAUAAACUUUUAAAGGAAUAUGGGGGUGAGUUUUGUGUUUGAUGAUGGAGAUAACUAGGAUGAAGAAGAAGAAGAUGCGUUAGGUUAUUACAAAUCAUGGAAUCGCAUAAUUGGUGGAGAUCUCUCUCUUUUUCAAAAAACAACAUGACAAUACAUCAUAUACAACUGGCGGGUUUUUCAGCCCCUUAUGUUACAAUGUAUCCAUAUCAUCCUAAAUUUGUUCCAAACGGCCCUAACUAUCAAGGUAGAUGUCAUUUUUAUUAUUGUUAUGUUUUUGUAUAAAAUGUCCUGAGUCACCUUACCCAUGACCUAACUUCUUUAAAUAGAUGGAUAAUGACCCCAUUAAAUUUUAAUACAUGGAUCAUAACCUAAUUCUUUUAAAUAAAUGGAUCAUAUGACCUAAGUCCGCCCAUUAAUUAUUGAUUUUAUUAACCUCAAAAUAUGUUAUUCCCUUUGAGGUUUACCUACACCAGACGAGCUAAGUCUCAAGUGUUUGACUGGUAGGGUUGACGUUUACUUGUAUUACAAUAAGUCUGAGUUGGGAAGCAUAAUUUGGUCUUUUCCUUAAGUCAGUUAGUAUAGUGUUAGCAUUGGAGGAGGAAAUUUCUUGUUCAGUUGAACCUAGUUCAUUGCGAGAGACCUGCCCUCUCAAAAGGCAGAUGUCAUAAUUGUAAUCCUUCUUUCUAGUACAUUAAUCAUUUAGUAAAGAGUAAUCAGUUCAAUCUUACAGAUCUAGAUUACUCCAAAAUGGUCUAGGAUGUAACAAAAUAAAAAUAGUUAUAACCUUGCAAUAGAUGCUUGAAAAUGGCAACAUCUAAAUGUAGUUGGGGCAUGAAAUUUGUCUAAUGUUGUUUUAACUAUUUACAUGCAAACCUCAAAUCUUUACUUAAGAGGAGCAUGUCAAGCAACUGUACAGUUAGGGCUCUAAAUUCAGAGUUAAGGCAUGCUUUCUUCAAAAGUAUAUGCAUAGCUCCUCCACAUGUUGACUUUUUUUUUUCUUAACUACAAAUCUAGCCACUUUUUUUCAUAAUUUAAUAAAAGCUUUGUUUUCUAUUUAUCAUUAUUUGUAUACACAUUGCAAGAAAAGCUUAUAACUCCAGUGGGUGCAAUCUUUGGGAUAAAGUAUUUACAUAUAAAAACAUUUUACACAUUAAUUUGAACCAAUCAUUAUAAAGUUAGAAAAAUCAUAUUACUAUAUAAAUUAAUAAAUGUUUGAAAAUCAUUAAUUAGUGAUUAUAACUACAAAGUAUUAAUAUUAUUUUAAUUUACUAACUGCGGUUACUACGAGUUAGUUUAUAAAGAAGCAAACCACUUAAAUAUACCUUUUUCACUAUUCAAAUACUAGAAAUCACUUGACCAUCUUCUUAACAAACCAUUAUUAUAACCACAAAAAAGAAGAAAUAUGAACAACAAGGUCUAAGAUGAGAGAGAGUCGAUACUCAUAAUUUUCUCAAGCCAACCCCACUUCUUAAAAUUUGGACAAUUUUACGCAUACAACUAGUCUAGGAAUGACAUUUAUUAUUAAAAAAUUGAAAUGAAAUGAGAAUGAAAUUUAAAGAGUAAAAUGGAAUAAAAUGUGUGGUUUUCAAUUGGUACGAAGAGAGUAUUUAUAAUGAUAUAAAGGAGAAAAAAAAGGAAAAAAAAUGAAAAUGUAACUGUUAGAACGCGUUCCACAAACCUUUAACCUUCUUCUAACGGUAACCAAUGCGCUCAAAUCCAUCUCCUCGGCGGUACCGCCCGUCACCCGUCGGAGCCUACUUCUGAGACCCUCCACUCUAAUAAAUAUCAUUAUUAUCUUCCAAUUUUAAGUAUCAUGAUAAGUUCUGUGUUGACUUUGGGUUGACAUAAUGAAUAUCAAUUAUUUUCUCUAAAAUUCUCCUUGCUAAUCAUUAUUUUGUUGAAAUGUACCUUUUCCUUAUGAGCAUAAUUACUUUAUUAAAUUUAGCUUGCCUUGAUAAAUAUCUUUUAUUUUCGUGAAGUUUACAUUGUCUUAAUAAAUAUCAUUACCACUUUAAUAAUUAUCAUUUCUAAUUCCACAAUAAAUAUCAUUAAAUAGUUUUCUUUAAUAAUUAUUAGACAACAUUACAAAAAUGGUCCCUGUGGUUUGCCGAAAAUCACGAAGUCAGUCUCUGUUAAUUUUUUUUUGAUGUAAAUGGUCCUUGUGGUUUGCAAAACUUGCAAAGAUGACUCUUUUUACUAACACCGCUAGUAUUCAGCCGUUAGGAACUAAACCUGUGAGGGUAUUUUCGUCUUUUCAAGUAUAAAUGAAUAUAUUCGAACUUUGGACCUCCUACCUUUCUCCCUUAAUCAACCAAAGUUUUAACCAAUUAGGCUAGAGACGCACUUGAUUUAUAUUUUCGAAAACUAACUAAUAUUAUCUACAAAUCGUAAAUAAAUUAAUAAUAAAAUAUUAAAAAAAACAUAUUUUUUAAAAAAAAAAAAAUAAAACAAAAUAUAUUUUUAGCGUAUUGUAAAAAAAAAUAAAAACAAUUAUUUGUUUUUUUACGUAUUUAAAAAAAUAAGUUUUCGUAUACUUUUAAAUACAUAAAAAAAUAACGUAAUAACAUAUUCUACAAAAACAUAAUCCUAAAAAACAUAAAAAAAAGUUUUUGUAUAUAUUUAUUUUAUGUGAAGAUUCAGUUUCUAACGGCUGAAUACUAACGUAAAAAGGGUCAUUUUUGCAAGUUUUGCAAACCACAAGGACCAUUUACAUUAAAAAAAAAAUUAGUAGGGAUUGACUUUGUGACUUUUGGCAAACCAUAGGGAUAUUUUUGUUAUUAUGUCUAAUUAUUAUUAUAGAAAAGAAUUGAAAAAAAAAAAAAAAGCGACACCAUCAAGGCAUCGAAGGAAAACCCAACACCCUCGUUGACUCUCCUCUCUGGUCGUCUCCCUUCCUCGUUGACUUGCUGUUUCCCUGCCGACUUAACGCGGUUCGCUCUGUACUUUUCACUCUUCAUCGAUCUUUCUCAGACUCGUCACUGUUGGUUCAUCCUUUAUCGCUGCUGUUUCAGUUCUCCUUGUCAUCCUGUAUGCUUCUUAAUUACAAGUUGUUAGACAAUUUCAUCUUAUGAAUCAUAAAUCACAUCAUAAUCGUUUGGUUAUUUCACUAAAAGGUGAUUGAAUAUUGUCUAUUUCCAUUAUUUUUGUUUUAUUUUAUAUAUCAAUUAGGAUAGUCCACACUCCUUCUAGCUAAAGUCAAGUACGAUGAACAAAAUUUCCUGCACGUUGAGAAUUCUUUGAUCCUUUAAAAUUUCUUCCUCAAUUCCUCUAUAUUUUCUAAUUCACAACACGAUUUUUAGAUUUGAUUCUUUUUGAAUGAUGUUUAUGAACAAGCUUCAAUAUUUGACUGUCAUAAUGAGUGUUUUGCUUGUGUAUAGACUAAAGAGUGCAUUUAGCUUUGAAGUUUCUUCUAUUAUUGAGUUUGAAAUUGAACCCUUAGAAAGGGCAAAGUGGAAGGCGUGUUUUGUUGGCUUCAGAAACAUAUCAUUUGGAACAACCCCAUCAAUAUUGUUAGUUGAAACACUUAAAAUAAGAUUUAUGCUGAUACUAGAUCCAGUUAUAUAUGAAUUUUAAAUUUGUGUAGAUUGUUGUUGCUAAUUUUGGAGAUCCAUAAUUAAACAACCUUGUCAAGCAAGUGCUGUUUUUUUUGUUUAAAACUUUACAUCUUUCAAUUGUAUGUUGAUAUCUAGUAAAAGCUUGAAAUUUCCUGUAUGUUUUGCAAUUUCCUUCAUGGGAGGUAAUAGUGGAUCUUGUAGUUAUUUCCAGAAUGGUAUUUUGGUGUAGAUUUGUUUGAGGAUUACUUUACUGAAAUUCAUAUGGAUUUUACUUAGACAAAUAAGGAUCUUCAUGUGGGCUAAUCAAAUUAAAACAGAGGCGUUGUAGUUUCAAUGCAUAAAUUGGUUUGUUUUUUUUUUUUCUUGAAUCUAAACUUAGCCAGAAAAACAGGUUAACCAAUUUAGUUUAAUUGGUAACAGCAUUUAAAAUAAAUUUCAUGGCAAUGUAAUGGUUAUUCUAUAUCCAUACUUUGUUUUUGUGGGAAAAAAUAUUCUAUAUAAAUACUUAGUUAGCUAUAUAUGUGUUGGCUAAAGGAUCCAAAAACCUGUCACAUAAUUAUUAUUGCCAUGAGAUUGCUGUUGUAGUGAUUUAACAGCCUCUCUUUGUAUUUCAAACACGGCAGCAACCGCUUAAUGCUUAUUCUUUUGUGUUCCUUUUCCAGUGUUUAUUUGAUGAGAUUUAAGUUGCAUAUUAUAAAUAUUAAUAAUUUGGAUUUUAUGUACAGGCUUUAUUUGAACCACAAGUUAAGUGUUUCUAGCUAAUUGAGAUACACAAAGGCUCAUCAACCCAAAACUCAUAAUGGUUAUUCUCUCUGAACUCCUCUCAGAAGGAUCUUCAUCUUCUUCAUCAACUCAUGGUUAUAGUCCAUCAGCUUGUGUUCCUACUUCAUCAACUCAUAAUCAUAGAUAUGAUGUAUUUUUAAGUUUUAGAGGUGUUGACACUCGUCAUAGUUUCACUGAUCACCUUCAUAAAGCCCUCAUUGAUGCCAAUAUCACUACGUUCUUGGAUGAUGAAGAGAUUGAAACAGGGGAAGAUCUGAAACCAGAACUGGAGACUGCAAUUAAGGCAUCUCGGGGUUCUAUCAUUGUGAUAUCUAAGAAUUACGCUUCUUCAACAUGGUGUCUGGAUGAAUUGGUGUUGAUCCUUGAGCAGAAUAUGACAUCUGAUCAUAUUGUUAUCCCCAUAUUUUAUCAUGUUGAGCCCACCCAUAUCAGGAAGCAACAAAGUAGCUUUGGAGAUGCAAUGGCUAAGCAUAAACAGAUGAUGGAGGCAGAGAAAAAUGCAUAUAAAA